rnacentral:lncRNA from 1 species
UUUUUUUUUACAUUUUGGGCUGUCAUUGGUAGGCACUAGUAUACAAAAAAAUUUAAAAAAAAAAUUUGGUGGUGGCCUGCCAAUGGCUGGCACCAUCUUUAUGGGAAAAAAAAAUUUCGAGUGCCAUCAAAAUGAGAGUGUCUUGUAGUAUAUCAUCAAAUAAGUUUUUUUGGAGUGGAUUGUAUAUGGAGUUUUUUGUAGUGUACAAUCAAAUUUCGGGGUUGAAUUAUAUACUGUCAAGUCCACCCUAAAGGUUAUGCUAUUAAGGGUUGGAUGAUUCUUUACACCAUAGAUGGCUAAUCGAGUUGUCCAAUAUGCAGAUGGACAUUAUCUAUGGUGCAAUAGUGUUUAUUCUGCAACUAGGUUCUAAUUGGAAUCGGUUGAUAGAAUCUCCAUGCAAAGGUAUCUCAUGGGACCUCAUAGGACAAUGGAGGAAGAAAAGGUCUAGAGCAGAAGACGAUUAAUUGUGAAGAAACUAGUGCCGGUGCCACGUAGACCUGAUUCAAGCAGAAGACGAUUAAUUGUGAAGAAACUAGUAUUGAAAAUAAUUGUAUUAUUUCUUAAGAAUGUUAUAUUUAUCGUUUUAAAAAUAAUUUAAAAGAAUAUUUAAUAUUAAUUAGGACAUUUUAUUUCUCGGUUACCUUGUACACAAUGCUUGCAAUGUGGUCGUUGUCAUUUAAAAGAACAUUUGGAUUAGGAUCCACGGAGUGAUCGGCGGUCGUCGGCGAUGGUUAAGCAUGAACAGCGGCGGUCGUCGACAGUGGUUGAGGGUGGCGGUGGACGGAAUGGCCUAUUUAUAGUGGGGGACCAUUUUAAAAGGAGGCAAAAUUGGAAAAAAAAUUUAAUACUUCUGACACACUUUUAUUUUUCAGUCAAUUUGGUUUAUUUCAUUUAAUUUUAAUCAUUCAAUUUUAUGACACACUUUUUUUUUCUACCAAUCUGAUUUAUUUCAUUCAAUCUGACACACUUUGUUUUUUUUUCAUUCAAUUUUAAGCAUGCCAACAUCUGACACACUUUUUUUAUCAUUCAUUUCAAUUUUUUAUUUCUACAUCUAACACCCCUUUUUUUCAUUCAAUCUCAUUUAUUUCAAUUUUAUUUUUCUAUAUCUAACACCCUUUUUUUCAUUCAAUCUCAUUUAUUUCAGUUUUAUUUUUCUACAUCUAACACCCUUUUUUUCAUUCAAUGUCAUUUAUUUUAACUUCUUGAAUUUUUUUUUACAUAAAGGUGGUGUCGACCAUUGCCAAGCCACCACCAAAAUUUUUUUUUUGAAUUUUUUCAUAUACUGUUGCCGGCAAAUUACAGCCAAAAUGUAAAAAAAAAUUUACAUAAAGGUGGUGUCGGCCAUUGCCAGGCCACCACAAAAAAAUUGUUUUUUUAUUUUUUCGUAUACUGGUGCCGGCCUAUGAUAGCCAAAAUGUAAAAAAAAAAUGGUGGUGGCCUGGUAAUGGCCGACACCACGUUUAUGUAAUUUUUUUUUUUACACUUUGGGCUGUCAUUGGCAGGCACUAGUAUACAAAAAAAUAAAUAAAAAUUUUGUUGGUGGCCUGCCAAUGGCUGGCACCAACUUUAUGGGAAAAAAAAAUUUCGGGUGCAAUCAAAAUGAGAGUGUUUUGUAGUAUAUCAUCAAAUAAGUUUUUUUGGAAUGGAUUGUAUAUGGAGUUUUUUGUAGUGUACAAUCAAAUUUCGGGGUUCAAUUAUAUACUGUCAUAUUUUAUUUGAGUUGAAUUAUAUACUGUCAAGUCCACCCUAAAGGUUAUGCUAUUAAGGGUUGGAUGAUUCUUUGCACCAUAGAUGGCUAAUCGAGUUGUACAAUAUGCAGAUGGACAUUAUCUAUGGUGCAAUAGUGUUUAUGCUACAACUAGGUUCUGAUUGGAAUCGGUUGAUAGAGUCUCCAUGCAAAGGUAUCUCAUGGGACCUCAUGGGACAAUGGAGGAAGAAAAGGUCUAGAGCAGAAGACGAUUAACUGUGAAGAAACUAGUACCGAUGCCAUGUAGACCUGAUUCAAGCAGAAGACGAUUAAUUGUGAAGAAACUAGUAUUGAAAAUAAUUGUAUUAUUUCUUAAGAAUGUUAUAUUUAUCGUUUUAAAAAUUAUUUAAAAGAAUAUUUAAUAUUAAAUAGGACAUUUUAUUUCUCGGUUACCUUGUACACAAUGCUUGCAAUGUGGUCGUUGUCAUUUAAAAGAACAUUUGGAUUAGGAUCCAUGGAGUGAUCGGCGGUCAUUGGCGAUGGUUAAGCAUGAACAGCGGCGGUCGUCGACAGUGGUUGAGGGUGGCGGUGGACGGAAUGGCCUAUUUAUAGUGGGGGACCAUUUUAAAAGGAGGCAAAAUUGGAAAAAAGAAUUUAAUACUUCUGACACACUUUUAUUUUUCAUUCAAUUUGGUUUAUUUCAUUUAAUUUUAAUCAUUCAAUUUUAUGACACACUUUUUUUUUCUACCAAUCUGAUUUAUUUCAUUCAAUCUGACACACUUUGUUUUUUUUCAUUCAAUUUUAAGCAUGCCAACAUCUGACACACUUUUUUUAUCAUUCAUUUCAAUUUUUUAUUUCUACAUCUAACACGCUUUUUUUCAUUCAAUCUCAUUUAUUUCAAUUUUAUUUUUCUAUAUAUAACACCCUUUUUUUCUUUCAAUCUCAUUUAUUUAAGUAUUAUUUUUCUACAUCUAACACCCUUUUUUUUCAUUCAAUGUCAUUUAUUUUAACUUCUUAAAAUUUUUUUUACAUAAAGGUGGUGUCGGCCAUUGCCAAGCCACCACCAAAAAAAAUAUUUGAAUUUUUUCGUAUACUGUUGCCAGCAAAUGACAGCCAAAAUGUAAAAAAAAAAUUUACAUAAAGGUGAUGCCGGCCAUUGCCAGGCCACCACCAAAAAAAAAUUGUUUUUGAAUUUUUUCGUAUACUGGUGCCGGCCUAUGACAAAAAAAAUGUAAAAAAAAAUUGGUGGUGGCCUGGUAAUGGCCAACACCACCUUUAUGUAAUUUUUUUUUUACAUUUUGGGCUGUCAUUGGCAGGCACUAGUAUACAAAAAAAUAAAAAAAAUUUUGUUGGUGGCUUGCCAAUGGCUGGCACCAACUUUAUGGGAAAAAAAAAUUUCGGGUGCCAUCAAAAUGAGAGUGUUUUGUAGUAUAUCAUCAAAUAAGUUUUUUUGGAGUGGAUUGUAUAUGGAGUUUUUUGUAGUGUACAAUCAAAUUUCGGGGUUGAAUUAUAUACUGUCAUAUUUUAUUGGAGUUGAAUUAUAUACUGUCAAGUCCACCCUAAAGGUUAUGCUAUUAAGGGUUGGAUGAUUCUUUGCACCAUAGAUGGCUAAUCGAGUUGUCCAAUAUGUAGAUGGACAUUAUCUAUGGUGCAAUAGUGUUUAUUCUGCAACUAGGUUCUGAUUGGAAUCGGUUGAUAGAGUCUCCAUGCAAAGGUAUCUCAUGGGACCUCAUGGGACAAUGGAGGAAGAAAAGGUCUAGAGCGGAAGACGAUUAAUUGUGAAGAAACUUGUACCGAUGCCACGUAGACCUGAUUCAAGCAGAAGACGAUUAAUUGUGAAGAAACUAGUAUUGAAAAUAAUUGUAUUAUUUCUUAAGAAUGUUAUAUUUAUCGUUUUAAAAAUUAUUUAAAAUAAUGUUAUAUUUCUCGGUUACCUUGUGCACAAUGCUUGCAAUGUGGUUGUUGUCAUUUAAAAGAACAUUCGGAUUAGGAUCCAUGGAGUCAUCGGCGGUCAUCGGCGAUGGUUAAGCGUGAAUAGCGGCGGUCGUCAGUAGUGGUUGACGGUGGCGGUGGACGGAAUGGCCUGUUUAUAGUGGGGGACCAUUUGAAAGGGGGGCAAAAUUGAAAAAAAAAUUUAAUACUUCUGACACAUUUUUUUUUUCUUUCAAUCUGAUUUAUUUCAUUUAAUUUUAAGCAUUCAAUUUUAUGACACUUUUUUUUUCUACCAAUCUGAUUUAUUUCAUUUAAUCUGACACACUUUUUUUUUCAUUCAAUUUUAAGCAUGCCAACAUCUGAAACACUUUUUUUUUCAUUCAUUUCAAUUUUUUUCUACAUCUAACACCUUUUUUUUCAUUCAAUCUCAUUUAUUUCAAUUUUAUUUUUUUACAUCUAAUUUCCUUUUAUUUUCAUUCAAUUUUAUUUUUCUACAUCUAACACCCUUUUUUUUUCAUUCAAUCUCAUUUAUUUUAAUUUUAUUUUUCUACAUCUAACACCCUUUUUUUUCAUUCAAACUCAUUUAUUUCAGUUUUAUUUUUCUACAUCUAACACCCUUUUUUUGGUUUUUUAGGCGUGAAACCCUAUUCAGAUAAUUAAAUUUCUUAAAAUAAAUCUAAUUUCAUUUUUUUAUUUUAAUAUUUUAUUUAAAUAUUUUAAUUUAUUUAUUAUUUUUGUCAAUUGAAAAUUUAAACUUAUUAAAAAAUAUUUGGUUUUGUUUUCUAGAUUUUUUGAGCCUGACACCACAUUUAUCAGGCCUGAUAACAUUUAUUUUAACCUCAUUUCAUUUUAUAUUUAAAAUUUCUAUUUUCAAUGCAAAUUUAUUUUUACAAGAAUAUGCACUCAAUAAUAUAUUAGUCGUCAUCUUGGAGUCCAGCAUUACGAGACGAUUAGCUAGAAACGUAGACACGAUGUGGGCAUGUUGAUCGGUUGUGUCCGGAUGUUCGACACACAGUGCACAAUUUGGGUUCACCCGUCUACCUAACGUCCAUGUCAUUUCGAAUUCUCGUCGAUUGUGGUCGACCUUUAGGAUGUCUACGGAGACUAGGUCAGGCACCAUCUCGAAAGCAGGCGGUGGAACUUCUCAGUUUGAGACAUCGGGCAUUACAGGAAAUUCGUUCCCCCAUAUGCGUAAUGUGCGUUGCAACGUGUAGAUCUCGUCUGAGAAUUGUUCAACAUUUAAGUUUGCUCUCGCACACGCUGCAUGAACAUGCGCACACAGAUAUCGAAGAGUCUGAAAUAUCCUGCACUCGCAUCGCCUGUUUCGGAGAUCAACUGCGCACACGGUACCAAUUGUUGUGCGAAAGCCUGUAAAAGAGUAAAGUUAUUGUACUAAAAAAUCACACUAAGUUCAAUUCCCAAGAAAGAGAGGUGGAUCACAAAGAUCGCUUAAGUACCAGGUCUUGCCUAGCCAGAAUAUCCCUCAAUCGUAAUUUAAUAGCACAAUAAAUCACUACAAUCACACUCACAAUUUAUACAGAAUAAUACAAUAAAGAGCACAAGAAUUUAACGAGGUUCAGCAAAAUUUUUCCUACGUCCUCAGGCACUACCAAAUAUAUUUCACUCUAAAAUACAUGUGAGAAUUUAUAAAGAGAGAGAGAGAUGGUUAUGCCUAUUUAUAGUUGAGGUCCAGGGAUCAACUUGCAAAGUCACUUUACAAUUAGGGACCAAAUAUUGCAAAUAUCUCAGAUUUCUUAUGCCAAUAUCUCGAUACCCAUAUCUUUGACUUUCCAUAAAUAUGGAUGAUUACCAAUAAUCUCUACCUUGAAGAUUUAAUUCGAAUAAUCUUAUCAUCACACAAUUCUCUCUGCCUUUGUCAACAACACUUGAUAGUGCCUUCUUCAACUGUUAAAUAUGUAGAAUAUUGAUCAAGUUCAAACAAUGUUCGAACUUGAUUGUUGUUACCACCUUGGUCAUCAUAUCUGCGAGAUUAUCUACAGUCUUAAUCUUUUGAAGGUGAAUUUUCCCCUCAUCAAUAAUUUCCCGCACAGAAUGGAAACGUGCAUCGAUAUGCUUUGUACGUGCAUGAUAGACUUGAUUCUUUGCUAAAUGAAUAGCACUUUGACUAUCACAAUACACAAUAAUAUGCUCCUGAACCAAUCCCAAGGUUUUAACCAUACCUUAUAACCAAAUAGCUUCCUUUACAGCCUCUGUUACAGCCAUGUAUUCAGCUUUUGUGGUUGACAACGCAACUGUAGACUGCAGUAUAAACUUCCAACUUAUUGGUCCUCCAGCAAGUGUAAGCACAUAACCAGUGGUUGAUCUUCGUUUUUCCAAAUCACCGGCAUAAUCAGAAUCAACGUACCCAAUAACACCUUUACCAAGUGUAGUAUCCUACUUGAACAGUAAUCCAAUUCCAUAGUAUUCUGAUUAUACCGUAGAAUCCAUUUCAUAGCUUGCCAAUGUCCUUUUCCAGGAUUAUGCAUAUACCUGCUCACUAUACUAACUGCCUAUGAAAUGUCGGGUCUUUACACACCAUUGCAUACAUCAAGCUACCUACUGCAUUAGAAUACAAAACUUGUAACAUGUAUUCUUAUUCUGUAUUCGUCGAAGGAGAUAGUUGUGCAGAAAGCUUGAAAUGAGAAGCCAACGGGGUAUUUACAACUUUUUUUUGCUCGUUUAUUCCAAACUUCUGUAGUACCUUUUUCAAAUAUUGCUUCUGAGACAAACUAACUCUGCCAUGAGCUUUAUCUCUACAUACUUCCAUGCCAAGAAUCUUCUUAGCUUCACCUAGAUCUUUCAUCUCAAACUCAAGGUUGAGUUGAGUCUUCAAUCCCUCAACUUCAACUUUACUCUUAGAUGCUAUCAACAUAUCAUCAACAUAUAAGAGCAAGUACACGAAAAAUCCUUCUUGUAGCUUCUGAAAAUACAUGCAAUGAUCAAAUUUACUUCUUGUGUACCUUUGCCCUUUCAUGAACUGAUCAAAUCGCUUGUACCAUUGCCUCGGAGAUUGUUUCAAUCCAUAAAGUGACUUUGUCAGUUUACAAACCCAAUUUUCUUUAUCAGCAACCUUGAAUCCAUCUGGCUGAGUCAUAUAGAUUUUCUCUUCCAAAUCACCGUGUAAAAAUGCAGUCUUCACAUCGAGCUAAACUAGUUCAAGAUCGUAUUGCACAACCAAGGCUAGCAAAAUCUGAAUAAACGAAUGCUUCACAACUGGAGAAAACACUUCAUUGUAGUCUAUUCCUUCUUUCUGAGCAUAACCCUUUGCUACCAAUCUAGCCUUGUAUCGAACUUCAUUUUUACCAAGAAAUCCUUCCUUUUUUGUAUAUACCCAUUUGCAUCCAAUUGCCUUCAUUCUUUUGGGUAGUCUCACCAACUUCCAAGUCCUAUUUUUAUAAAGAGACUUCAUUUCUUCAUUCAUAGCUUGCUUCCACUUUACACCAUCAGGGUUACUUCUUGCUUCUGUUUAAGUAGAAGGAACAUCAUCAUCUGCGAUUGGAAAUGCAUAGGCCACCAUAUCAUCAAAGCGAGCAGGCAUAUGAAUCUCUCUUCUUAGUCUCCUAUAUGCAAUUGAAUCAUGUUACUGUUAAAGUUCUUGGGUCGAAACUUCUUCAUUAUUUGUUCCUUCAAUAUUAGCUGGAUCAUCAUUAACCUUUUCAAGCUCCACUUGUGCAAAGUGCCCUAGUAUUGUUAUCCUUUUGUGAAUCUUUGUUCUUCAUCAUGGUUGAUUCAUCAAAAGUCACAUCUCAACUGAAAACAAUCUUCCUUGUAUCACGACACCAGAUACGGUAUCCUUUUACUGCACCAGUUAUACCCAUGAAUAAUGCUUUCUUUGCUCUUGGGUCUAACUUAGAUUCUUUUACAUGAUAAUAUGCAGUGGAACCAAAAACAUGUAAAGAAUCAUAAUCAGUAGCAGGUUUACCAGCCCACCUCUCCAUAAGAGUUUUUCCAUUUAUUGCAGCUGAUGGCAACCGGUUAAUUAGAUGGCACGCAUAUGUAACCGCCUCAGCCCAAAAUUCCUUGCCCAAUCCAGCAUUGGACAAAAUACAUCAAACUUUCUCUAGUAUAGUCCGAUUCAUACGUUCUACCACCCCAUUCUGUUAUGGUGUAUCUCGAAUAGUGAAGUGUCGCACAAUGCCCUCAUCUUGACAUACUUGUAGAAAUUGAUCAUUCUUGUACUCAGCACCAUUGUCUAAUCGAAGUCGUUUGACCUUUCGACUAGUCUGGGUCUCCAUCAUCUUCUUCCAUUUCAAAAAUGCAUCCAAAACUUUAUUUUUUCUUUUCAUUAGAUACAGCCAUACUUUUCUUGAAUAAUCAUCAACAAAAGUAACAAAAUAGUGCAUACCUCCCAAAGAAUCCACUUUAGUAGGUCCCCACACAUCACUAUGAACGUAGUCCAGAAUUCUUUUUGUAUUGUGAAUUGCUAAACCAAAUUUUAUCCUCGUCUAUUUGCCCAGAACACAAUGUUGAUAGAAUUCCAAUUUGCAAGAAUUUGCACUUUUCAACAAGCCUUGCUUCGCCAAACUCUGCAAAGCUUUUUCACCAGCAUGUCCCAAUCGCAUAUGCCAUAACCUGGUAGCCUCUGAAUCUGCAUAUUUCGCAGAAGCUGUUGAUGUUGACCCAAUAACUGUACUUCCAUUUAAAUAGUACAGAUUAUUCCUUCUUGUGCCUUUCAUCACCGUCAAUACCCCAGUUACUACCUUUAGUAAUCCAUCUCUCAAAGUGAUUGUGAGCCCUUUAGAUUCUAGGACCCCUAAUGAGAUGAGAUUUUUCUUCAAGCUAGGUAUGUAGCGAACAUCUAUCGAGACUUGAAUUGAGCCGUCACGAUUCUUCAAUUUGAUUAUACCUUCUCCCAUUGUCUUAAAAGCACUGUCAUUUCCCAUAAAAACAACUCCACCUUCUAGUUCUUUAAGACUAGAAAACCAGUCCUUAUUAGGACACAUAUGGUAAGUACAUCCCGAAUCUAAAAUCCACUUAUCUGUAUGACAUGCCAUUGCCAUGCCAACCAAGCUAAAGUCUGACUCCUCAUCAUGUUCCACUACACAUGCAUCAGAAAUAGCCUUGCCCUUUUGUAACUUAGGACAAUUCUUUUUCCAAUGCCCUUUUUCAUGAAAAAAAGCACAUUCAUCUUUGGACUUACUCCUUCUACCAGAUUUGUUACUGUGCGAACGACCUCUUACUGUUAAGACUUCUGUAGUUGUAUCUCUAUGAUAUUUUUUAUCUUUCUUUCGAGUCUAAGAUCUAUACAACACACUACAGACUGCAUCAGAUGUGAUCAUAUCCUUCCCAUGAAGCAAUGUGGUGGUAAGAUAAUCAUAUUCAUCAGGAAGAGAAUUCAACAUCAGUAAUGCCUUGUCUUCAUCUUCAAAUUUCUAAUCCAAAUUUAGCAAGCCUGCUAAAAUUUUAUUGAAUGAGUUCACAUGGUCAUUCAUUGACAUACCGGGUGUAUAAAUGAAUCGAUAAAGUUUCUUUUUCAUAUAAAGCCUAUUUUCAAGACUUUUUGUUAGAAACUUUUCUUCCAGUGUAUCCCACAAUUCGCUGAUGUCUCCCUCAUGACAGAGUACUUCUGCUCUUUGGCCAAACAUAGGCGAAUUGUUCCACAUGCUUGUCUAUUGAUCUUAGCCCGCUCCUUGUCAUCCAUUUUGUCAGGUUUUUCUUCAAGGGCUAUAUCCAGCUCUUACUGACAUAAGACAUCUAGGAUCUCACAUUGCCACAUACCAAAAUUUUUGGUACUAUCAAAUUUCUCUACUUCAAAAUUUUGCAUUAGUCACAGUAGUCUUUGCUGAUGACGAUACCUUUUCCAUUUUUCUCUUCAAUCCCAACUACUGUACGUGAACAAUGCCAUGAACGAUUGUACUCCCUAAGUACGAAUCUAACUCUGAUACCAAUUUUUGUGCGAAAGCGUGUAAAAGAGUAAAAUUAUUGUACUAAAAAUCACACUAAGUUUAAUUCUUAGGAAAGAGAGGUGGAUCACAAGGAUCACUUAAGUACCAGGUCUUGCCUAGCCAGAAUAUCCCUCAAUCGUAAUUUAAUAGCACAAUAAAUCACUACAAUCACACACACAAUUUAUGCAGAAUAAUACAAUAAAGAACACAAGAAUUUAGUGAGGUUCAGCAAAUUUUGCCUAAGUCCUCGGGCACUACCAAAUAUAUUUCACUCCAAAAUACAAAUGAGAAUUUACAUAGAGAGAGAGAGAAAACAAUGCCUUAAGUAGAGAAUGGCAAAUAUGGGAUACAGAAUGAGAGAUGGUUAUGCCUAUUUAUAGUUGAGGUUCAGGGAUCAACUUGCAAAGUCACUUUACAAUUAGGGACCAAAUAUUGCAAAUAUCUCAGAUUUCUUAUGCUAAUAUCUCGAUACCCAUAUCUUUGACUUUCCAAUAUUUGAUACCUAUAUCUUUGACUUUCCAUUAUUUGAUACCCAUAUCUUUGACUUUCCAUAAAUAUUGAUGAUUACCAAUGCUUACUUUAAGAAAUAACACCAAAAUUUUUUGAAAUGUCUUAUGCGACAUUGUAACUAUCAUAUGUAUAACUUUAGAACUUUGUUCCGUUGUCCUCAGGAAGCGGCUUGAUUCAUCUCUUCAAGAAGAGAAACAACACAGCAAGAGAGAAGCGGUUGGUGUUCUUCUUCUUUUUUAUGUGCCUUAGUUCUCUUUUAUGCUAUAUAAGACAUUUCUAUAUAACGUUAAACAACAGUAGUGGAACAUGUUUCUGUUCUACUUUUUGCAAACUAAUACUAUUGUUACUUGUUAAACAAUUGAAUAGUGUAGACAAUCAUUAGAAAGAAUGCCUAUUUGUGACACAUGGAAGAGCUAUGAUUGAGAUUGUUUGUUAGUAUGGUUCAACCUGCUACUAAAGCUGCACAUAAUUGUUUGUUAUAUUUUUUUUUAGCCUUAAUGGCUAUAUAUAUAUAUUUUAUUUUUAACAUCUCUCUUGUUUACCAAGUUUGUUGGUUUAUCUGAUCAUUUGGUUUUGCAUCAUUUAGAUAUUGAAGGUGUAACAGAGGAUUCAAUCUCUUCAAGCUAGAAAAGCCAAGGCUUAGCACUUCUUCAAGUGGAAUGUUAUUUAAUGUUGCAUUCCAUGGUCGUUUAUCUUAGUCGGAACUUGAAUUUGGUGUUAUUGAAACAAGGUUUUAUAGCUACCUUGUGUACUAGCUUCUUUAACCAUGAUUUUUAACUAUUACGUGUUUUGUAGCUUCUUUUAUAAUGGGCUGAGUUAAUAUAGAUCAGGUGAGCUGUGAGGUAGAUUGCUCAUUUAUUUAAACAUAAUAUUGAAAUUCUAAAUUUAAAUUCAUUAAUUUUUAUAUUUAGUUUUAAAGUUAAAAUUUUAAUAGAAAAUUUAAUUUAAUUAAUAUUUUUAUCCUUAAAAGUAUAUAGUUUAAAGUUUAAAUUUAAAAAAUAAAACAUAAUAUAAUAUUUAUCAUCGAAAUAAAUAUUAUUUAAUUAAAAUAUUUUUUAAAGUUUUCUUUAGCGGCAUUUCUGAAAAAGUGCCGCUUAAGGUCAUGUUCUUUAGUGGCGUUUAUGAUGAAUGCGUCACUAAAUGUCAUGUUCUUUAGCGGCGUUUGUGAUGAACGCGCCGCUAAAGGUCAUAUUCUUUAGUAACAUUUGUGAAAAAAUGUCGUUAAAAUUAGCGACAUUGUCUAUAGUGGCAUUUUGCAAGCGCCGCAAAUACUUUUAGCGGUGCUUCUAAAAAAAGGCCGCUAAAAGCCUGUUUUGCUGCAGUGAUUUCCUAAAAACUUAUAAUUUUGCAGAGGAACUCUUUAAAAGUUAUAUUUUUGAAAACACAAUUUGUUAUUUGAAACCUCUUGGUUUUGCAGAAAACAAUCGUUGUAGAUAAAUCGUUUAAACAAUUUAAUAUGGAAAACGGAAAAUAACGUUCAAAACCCAAAACAGUCCAAAAAGUCCAGUCAGUCCAAAAUUUACAAAAACACUUUAACCCAAAUUAAAUUAAUUAUAAUAAUCAACCUGAACGAAAAACUUUUUAUAACCGAUCACCUUCGCACCAACCUGUCUAAGUCUGAGGAUUAACUGAAAAUAUCAGACAAAUGGAAUGUGAGUUUUCAAAACUCAAGGUGUAACAAAUAACUUAACCAUAAAUUUAUACAAGAUAGAUUUUACAGAAACAGAAUCAUAACAGAGCAGACAUGCUUUCCUACCACCAUCCGCUACACACCAUCUCCGACCAUCCCAACACACCAUAUGGGGUAUGCAACACCCAUCCAACCCUACACACCACUUAGUGACAUUAAGAAACUUUUCAAAAUCUUUGCAACUGUGCUGCCAGUAUAAUGGGCGAGAUUUUGCCUCUCACAGAAACACUUCCUCCACAUAAUAUAACCCGUCCCCAAUGCAAAUAUAAUCAGAACAGAAAAUUAUACAUGUUACAGUUAUACAUGCAUGUCAUAACAGAUAACCUAUUACAAGGUUAACAUAUCAUAUUUUAUCUCAAAUACACAUACAUAUAAUAGAAGCAUGCUAAUAAAUGACUAGAUUCCAUGUUUUAUAGAUUAUUUUUAAAAUUAUUCAUGCAUCGAUUAGUAUACAACAUUUUGAUCGAUAUGAUUGAAAUUUGUCGGAAUAAAUUGGUGCAAUUAAUAUAAGUAAAAAUUUUCAUCGUUGCGAAAUAGAGACUAAAUUAAAACUUUUUUAAAAAUAAUUAAAAAAUUAAAGCUCUUUUAAAUAGAAAUUUGAGAGGAAUUUGAAAGGAAUUUGAGAGAAUAUUAGAGAGAGAUUGAGAGAAAGGAUUUAGUUGUGAAAAAAAAUGAAAUGGGGGUUUAUAGUUUUUUUUUACAGUUGGGGGGUCACCAACGGUCAAAAAAGUAUUCGUUGCUACUGUUCACGCGCGGGCAAAACACGUCCCCAAGGGAGCGCUUACAUGGCAGGAAAACGCAUCCUUGAGAGCGCGCUUUUUGUCCACGUAGGUAAAAUGCUUCCUCAGGGACACGUUUUCCUACCACGUCCCCUGACAUCGCGCUGACGUGGACGCGCUUUCGAGGAAUAGGGCCGUUCCUAUAAAUAAUUAUUUACCGGAACCAUUUCAAUAAUUUUUUUAAAAAAGGGGCAUUUAUAUGUAAUUUGCCCCAUAACAACUGUAUAUAGAUAGCCAGGGUGUCCAAGAUUCUCAAAAGCCAAAAUUCUUGAACAUGGCAGAAAUAAGCUUAGAACGAGCUCAAGAAUCCAUUGUGAAUCGACGACAGGAAUUGAAAGCUUUCGAUGAAACAAAAUCAGGAGUGAAAGGGCUGGUAGAUUCGGGCUUGUCAAAGAUUCCAACGAUUUUCAUCGACGAACAGUACAAGCUUGAGAGAAACAACGUCCAUAACCAGAAACCUGGAAGCCCCACCAACAAUGACGGAAUCCCAAUCAUAAACUUGACCGGCGUCGACGAUGAUCCAAAUUUACGUCGCGAAAUAGUGAAGAAAAUUGGAGAAGCUUGCGAGAAAUGGGGUUUCUUUCAAGUUAUCAACCAUGGGAUUCCGUUGCCGACUACGGAUGAAAUGAUAAAUGGGGUUCGCAGGUUUCAUGAGGAUGACGAAGCUAAGAAAGAGAUUUAUUCUCGAGAUUAUUCCAAGAAAGUGUAUUAUAACAGUAACAUCGAUCUUUACAAGGCGGAAGCAACCAAUUGGAGGGAUACUUUAUGUUGUGUUAUGGCACCUCGCCACCCUCUUCCUCAAGAACUGCCUGCGGUUUGCAGGUAAGUAGUAAAUAUAACCUCUAUUAUCAAUGUCCGCAAUGAAUAAAUUAAGUUUAAUUGGAGCAAAUGUUGCUAGGAAUAUAGAUCAGUCACGUAUGAAAUGAAGGAAAUUAAAACGUAAAUAGCUACUUAUAUGAAACAUAUUUUGAUACGAUAAUAUUUUUGCAAAAAUCAUAUCUGAAGCUAACUUCAUCCGCAGAGAUAUAAUGAUAGAAUAUUCAAGCAAAAUGAUGAAAUUAGGGCAGACUUUGUUAGAAUUGAUGUCGGAAGCUCUGGGUCUGAAUAGGAGUUAUUUGGAAGAUAUUGGGUGCGGUGAGGGAAUGUUUGUGAAAGGCCAUUACUAUCCAUCGUGCCCUGAACCGGACUUGACAUUGGGCACCAGCAGUCACACCGAUACCGACUUCUGCACCGUAGUUUUACAAGAUGAAAUCGGCGGACUUCAAAUCCUCCAUCAAAAUCAAUGGCUUGAUAUUAAUCCUGUCCAUGGAGCUCUUGUUGUAAAUUUGGGUGAUAUGAUGCAGGCAAGCUCACCUUAACUUUAACCCUAAUAUCAUAAUUUAGGUAUUUUAUUGCUAUAUAUAUUAUAUUAUAUUAUAUUAUAUUAUAUUAUAUUAUAAAGUCUAAGAUCGAGCAUAACAUAUUUAUAUUAUUGACAUCUCACUUAUUAAAUUUAUACUUUUUUAAAAAUAUAUAAUAAAUUGUCUCAGUAAUUUUUAAUUUUAAUUACUUAAUAUUUUGUUAAUAAGUUCAGUUUAAAUCAUCUCAAUAGUUAACCAUUUUAAAAAUAAAAUUUAAAAUAAGCAUGAUAUAUGUACAAGCCCAAAUAUGCCCGGGCCCAUACAAAAUAAAAACAUAGCAGGCCUAAUUACUUAUCUACAGACUAAACCCAAAAAUUCAGCCCAAUUACAUUAACCCUAGCCCAGUCCAGAAGCCUUAGCCCUUUCUGCUUCAGUGCCGCAGCAAUCUGGCGCCGCAACUGCUCCCGCGCACCACGCUUGUCGAUCCCGCACAUCGCGCCCCUCGCUGCCGCGAAUCUGGCAGCACGACCCGCGCCUUCCCCACGUUUGUACCUGCAACAGCAAACAUCAACAAAGAAAAGGAAGCCAAAUAGAAUAGCAAAAAUCGGGCAAUAUAAUGCCAACAAAUAACAGAAUAGAUUUGGUGGGAUUUUCUAUUUCGGCUAUAAAAGCCCGAUUUUAAUCUGUAAAAGGGGGGAAUUUUUCGGUGUAAAAAAGAUACAAAAGUAGAAGCAAAAAACACAGAGAAAUUUUUAAAAUACAAAGGUGAAUCGGGUUUCUCUUUUUUGUAUAUUUUCUAUUAUUAUUAUUGUUUUUUUUGUAAACAAAAGUCAAAAAAGGAGAAGGAAAACUCACCUAAUCGCCGGAGCCAACGUGCCGUCGCGGUGACCCCUCUCCGUCGUAAUCGGAGGCUGGGGUGUCGUCGGAGGCCAAGGGGGCGGCCUAGUGACGGCGGCGCAAAAGGGCAGGGUAUAAACCCUAGCAGAGAACACAUGAGUUUUUUUUUGUUUUUUUUUUCUUUACAUUUUGUUAUAAAUGAUUUUUAGGGAAAAUUUUGAUUUAAAUAACAUUAGCAAAAUGGCGUCGUUUUGAGGGGAGGGGAUCCGCGUGUUGACCCGACCCGACCCGGGGAGGAUCCGCGCGUUCUUGCCUUUGGGGAAAUUUGCACAAUUGGCCCCCUAUUUUUGCACUGCAUUUAAGUCGCAUUUCUGAUUUCUUUUAAAUUUUGCUAUGAAUUUUAUUCAAUUGCGAAUUAGUCCCAGUUGCUGCGCACCGAUUACAGGGAAAUGGAUUAUUUCCAUCUAGGCCCCUCAUGCAAUGCGCACAUCACAAUUUGCCCCUCCGUUUUGUUUUAAUUACGUUUUUCUUUGUAAUUCAUUUGUUUUUUAUUUUUAUUUUUAUUAUUAUUAUUAUUAUUAUUAUUAUUAUUAUUAUUACUAUACAUAUACACGCAUGUUUUAGAUAAUAUACAUACAUAUAUUUUUAAAAGAUUUUAAAUAUAUAUAUUUUUGUACAUACAAACGUUCUUUUUAUAUACAUACUUUUGUUUUCAAAUUAUUUUUUCUGUAAAUACGAAUAUAUUUGUAUAUUUCUAUUUUAUAUGUACAUAUGCAUAUCUUUUAUCCAUACGUUUUUUUAUAUUUUUUUAACUUUAUAUACUUUAUAUUUUAUAUAUAUACUUGUACAUUUUUUUUUGUAAAUAUAUAUACAUAUACAUAUAUAUUUUUUUAAAAUCUUAUUUUCAUAAUUUUCAUGUACAUAAAUACAUACUUUUUUUAUAAAUUAUUACAAGGUUUUUGUUUAUAUAUUUCAUUCCUUUUCUCUCACAUGUAUACUUAUAUGUUUUUUUUUGAAAAAGAUACAUGCACACUCAUAUUUUUAAUUUACUUGUAAAUUGUUCUUGUAUAUAUAUUUUGUAAAUACAUGUACAUAUAUAUUUUAAAUUAAGGUAUUUGUUUCAUGUUGUACAUUAACCUUUUAACACGCCUUUUAGAAAACACAUAUUUUGGUUCUUAAAGUAUUUAAAUCAUCCUAUUUUAUAAAUUUCAAAAUAUUUGGCAUUCAUGAUUCUCGUGAAAGAUCGUGUCCUAACUUACUGGAUUGCGAUUAUUUUUCGAUGAAUUUAGAAAGCCAAGUAUUUGUUUUGCAAUAAAUCCACAAAUUUCAAAUAAAAGCUUAUUCUCGGGAAUUCAAAAAUGUUGGGUCCUAACUUACUAGUCAUGACAUUUUAUUAUCUCGAAAUAAGGAUUUCAAAAACAAAAGGUAAUAUUUAGAAUUUUGAAGAUUUAAAAAUAUUGUGCCCUAACUUACUGGGUGUGGUGUUUUAUUUCUUUGAAAUAAGAAUAUUUUUUUGACUCGUUUGCGAGUUAAAAUUUCUCUUUUAAAAUCUUUUUAAAUUUUUGACACCAAGACAUUAAAUAAUCAAUUUGGUACUGAUUUUGGGCAUUACGGGGGUGCUAAUCCUUCCUCGUGCGUAACUGACUCCCGGACUCAUUUUCUCAAAUUUCGUAGACCAAAAUCAUUUUAAGGUGAGCCGAUCACACCUUAAUAAAGGAUCGAUGGCGACUCCAAUUUUAUUUUUAAAAGUCGACAACAAAAUUUUUGUUUUCAAAAAACGGUUUCGACAGCUUGGCGACUCCACUGGGACUUUGAGAGUCGAGCCAUGAAUUGAUUAUGCUUUGUCUUUUUGUCGAAAGUCAAAAGUUUUUUUUAAAAAAAUCAUGAGUUCUCUUCGCAUUCAUGGAUUUUUCAUCUUGGUAUGUUGGCAACUUUGCAUUUUGCAUUGUAUGGUUAGUUUUACCCCCUUAAGUGGGAGCGAGAAACUAGUCCUUCGUGAGGUUUUCACCUCCGUGCAGGGUAGUGGACCGCUUCCGGGAUACAUCCGUACCUAUGUCUUCGUGAGAUUUUCAUCUCCGUGCAGCCAUAGGGAAAUGUAUCCCCCUGAACUGAACUCGAUCCACAUGAGCCUAUAAUGGGUGAGGAUCGAGGAAUCUGCUGGUUCGGGUACCCUUACUCUAGAAACUAAGCCUCAUAUAGUGAGCUUUAGGAACUUUCCCUAGGUAGAGCUAUACCAAACCCUAGUGGAUUCCUGAAUAAAUGUUCUUACUAUUUCUUAUUCGUGUUGAAUUAUAUAUUUUUGGUGUGAUAUUGACUUGGGUUUAUUUUGUUUUGAUUGCAUGACAUCAUGAUUACAUUGCAUUUGCAUUUAAGAAAAGAAAUGUUGAUUUGAGUUCGAUUACUAGAUUAGAAAGCUUGUUAUGGAAUACGGGUUUCUUGAUAAGGUGGAAGAUAAUACAGUGGUCCGAAAAAACAUGGCACGAAAACCCUAACAAGAGGAGUAUACGACUUUACUGCAUGACCUGAGGAUCCAAAUUGUCAAAGUUUAUUCAAAAGUCAUCAAAGGUCCCAAUCUCAUAAAGAAGCUAAUAAACGUGAAUGAGCAAGGAUUUACGACCUAGAUCAAACAAAAAGGAGAUCAAAUUCGUGAGAUGUAUCUUAUUAUCUGAAGGGUUGAUGUCUUCUCUUGGAGUAUGAGGGCAAAGCCGUAUAUAUAUGUCCGCUUUGUGUAAAGAGAUUUGUUUUCUAGUAAAGUUUUCUAGUAAAAAAUUGAACAUGAAUCAACGUCUCUUUUCGCAUUCAAUUCAUGCAUUUGCAUUACAUUACAUCAUAUGCAUCAAAGAUUAUUAAAAGAUCCUAAUUAACUAAAAUCAUUGCUCAGUUAACCUGGAAACCAACCAACCAACCAAACAUCGUUACGGUACUCGAGCAAAGAUUAAGGACAUGGAUCAGAGAUUGGAAAAACUCGAACAGUUUCAAAAGGAGAUGCAAGACCGACUUCAGCUACAGGUGCAGGAGUGGUUAGACAAGAUGAAACAAGAGAUGUCAGAGAAGAUGCGAGAAUCCCAAGAAGAUAUAGUUGAAAAGUUAACCCAACUGAUAACUAGGGGAAGUGAUAAAGGAAAGGGCCCCAUGGCAAAUGUCGAUGAGGGAAAUGAUGAUGAACCUCUCUAUCCUUCAGGUUUCACCCCUCCACAUGUGCGAACUCAAGCUAAAUACCCUCACAAAUCUACUGUCACCAUUAUGCCGCAGUGGUUUCGAGCUGGUGUUUCGAGCUUUCAAGCUGGACCGGGAUCUAAUCCCGAAAAUAAUCCUGCCAUUCCUGACUUUGAUGAAGUGGUUGAGAAGGAAAGAGUGAAGGAGGAGUUACCGAAACAGUUAGAGGAAAGAUGCAAGUGGCUCGAGGAGAAGUUUAAGGCAAUGGAGGUUGCUGAAAGUUAUCGAGGCACUGAUGCCAAAGAACUGAGCUUAGUUCCGGACUUGGUACUCCCUCAUAAGUUUAAGAUGCCGGAGUUCGAAAAGUACAAUGGGACAACUUGCCCAGAAGUUCAUAUCACCAUGUUCUGCAGGCGAAUGGCUGGAUAUGUUAACAAUGACCAGUUAUUGGUAUACUAUUUCCAAGAUAGCCUCACAGGGGCAGCAUCUAAAUGGUACAAUCAAUUGAGUCGUACCACGAUUGGUUCAUGGAAGGACUUGGCACAAGCAUUCAUGAAACAAUAUAGUCAUGUGACAGAAAUGGCUCCUGAUAGAAUCACCCUUCAAAACAUGGAGAAGAAGCCGAGUGAAAGCUUUAGGCAGUACGCGCAGAGAUGGAGGGAGGUCGCAGUCCAAGUUCAGCCACCGCUCCUGGAAAAGGAAAUGACCAUGUUGUUCAUUAACACCCUGAAGGCACCGUUCUUUACACAUACGUUAGGAAGUGCCACAAAAAGCUUCCCUGACAUAGUCAUGAAUGGCGAGAUGAUUGAGAAUGCCAUCAGGAGUGGGAAGAUCGAUGCUGGAGAGAGUAACAGAAGAUCGGCUUCGAGGAGGAAGGAAAACGAGGUGAACAGCGCGAGCAUGUACAACAAGGGUUACCCGAAGUCAGUAACAGUGAGUCAGCCAGGAAAAGUGGCUGCCAAUCAGCAAAGCUCGUCGAGGCAAGAGGUCGGUACAAGGCGAAAUACUGAGAGGCCCCAAUUCACGCCAAUUCCUAUGUCGUACAGGGAACUAUACCGAAAUUUAUUUGACGCACACGUAGUUCCCCUUUCUAUUUGAAGCCCUUGCAACCCCCGUAUCCCAAAUGGUACGAUGCGAAUGCACAGUGCGACUAUCAUGUGGGAACAACAGGCAUUCCAUAGAAAACUGUACGGCCUUUAAGAAGUUGGUUGAAAGGCUCAUUGGUAUGGGUGUCGUUAAAUUUGAUGACUCGACCAAGGCAGAAAACCCAUUACCAAACCACACUGAUGGUGGGGUAAAUAUGAUGGGCGAAGACAAAAAAAUCAAGGCGGACAUUGCGGACGUGAAAACUCCUUUGAGAUAGGUCUGGAAGGAGAUGGUGAAAAGGGGACUAAUCGUCUCAGAAGGAAGUUGUGAAAAGAGGGGGAACUACUGUGAGUUCCACCAUGAAGUGGGGCAUGAAAUUCAAGAGUGUAUGGAGUUUAGGGCCAUGAUACAAGGUAUGAUGGAUAAUAGGGAGAUGGAAUUCUGUGAAUGAGUUCAAGAGGAGAAUCAUGUAUGCGCGUCAGAGUUGGCAUUGGGAGUUUCGAAGGCUAACCAUCCUGUGGUCAUCAUUUCACGACCUCAGAACAGUGAGGUUGGGGCACGUAUAACGCCAAAAGUAAUCAUUCAAAAACUGGCUGUGUUUGCAUAUAAGGAUAAUAGGAGGGUUCCUUGGAAUUACGAUUGUAAUGUGACAAUCCCGGGGAAGGAGGAUAUAAUCAGUAAAGAGGAUCAGGAUGUAGAAAGGAACUGUGAACAGAUGAAAGAUCGAGUAGAGCCAAUAAGAGAAGAAACUUCGGUUGGAAGGAAGAAGAAGGCGGUCGAACCUGAAUUAUUAGUCAAUGAACCAAUCAACGAGGAGGAAGCUAGAGAGUUCUUGAAGUUCAUAAAGCAUAGCGAGUACAGCGUUGUGGAACAGCUGCACAAACAACCAGCUCGCAUAUCUGUGCUAGCUUUACUCCUGAACUCGGAGGGAUAUCGAAAUGCACUACUGAAGGUGCUAAAUGAAACUUAUGUGGCCGACGAUAUCUCUGUUAACAAGUUGGAUCGACUGGUCGGCAAUAUAAGCGCUGAUAAUUUCAUCUCCUUUAGCGAUGAUGAAAUACCACCUGGGGGUAUGGGAUCUACUAGGGCUUUACACAUCACUGCAAGGUGUAAAGGGUGCAUAUUACCGGGAGUUCUGGUAGACAACAGGUCAGCACUGAAUGUAUUGCCUCUAUCCACGCUCAACAGGCUAUCUAUGGAUAUUUCACAUAUGAAGUCGUGCCAGAAUAUGGUGAGAGCGUUUGAUGGCACCGAGAGGAAGGUCAUGGGAAGAAUUGACAUACCCUUGUUAAUUGGCCCAACUAUCUAUGAGGUAGACUUCUUGGUUAUGGACAUCAAGCCUUCCUACAGUUGCCUAUUAGGAAGGCCAUGGAUUCAUUCAGCAAGUGCGGUACCGUCAUCGUUACAUCAAAAACUGAAGUUGGUAGCAGAAGGCCGGGUAGUGACGAUAAAUGCUGAAGAAGAUAUCAUUACAUCUGUGACCAAUGAUGUACCUUAUUUGGAAACAAGUGAUGAUGCAAUCGAGUGCUCUUUCCGUUCCUUGGAGUUCGUAAAUGCAACAUUCAUCCGUGAGGGAAACAAGAUCCCGAUACCGAGAAUAUCAAAGACCACAAAGGUGGGUUUGCAAUUGACAGUUGGAAAGAGAGCUUUGCCGAGAAAAGGAUUGGGGAAGUAUCUUCAGGGCCGAGUUGAGACUCCAGUGUUGAAAGACAAACAAGACCGUUUUGGCUUAGGAUACAAGCCAGAUGCUAGGCAGAAGAGGAUAGAGCAAGAAAAGAAGCGAGAGAGAAGAAGGGCUCGUUUGACAGGUGAUGACGUCAAAUGGGAGCCCAUGACCUUUCCUCACCUAUCCAAGACUUUUGUAUCGAGAGGAUUCAUCUAUCAGGGAAUGCUAGAAGUUGGAAGUAUUAACACGGAGUUAGAAAGUAUUCAUGCCGUGUAUGAAGAAGCGACGGGAGGAAGAAAUUUGCCGGAUAUUCACCCUUAUGAGUCGGGAAGUGCGCUAAAUAACUGGACUGCAGAAGAAAUACCUAUAGUUUUUAGGAUUUCCUCAGAGUAAUGUCCCGAACACCCUUAUUGCUUUUAGCCUAGAAGUGAUAAGGAUUCCUUUGUGAAAUAGGCUCAUGUCCAAAUCGCUAUUUUAAUAAAGUUCAUUUUUGCAGUCAUUUUUGGAGCAAAUCUUUCUUUCCAUAAGAGCAGUUAUUUUGAAUUUCUCCCGAACUACACUUGCAUUUCAUUCAUGACCAUAUUGCACCAAACAAAUUCCUGAAUCCAUAUUGUUUUUCAUAACAGGUCCUACGAUAUCAAUGAUACGAAUGUAACUCUUACAAAGUUAGAGUCUCCUUUUGAACGAAACAUGUGUUUAGAGGGAUCGCAUGAUUUUGAGGAUGACGAAGACUGUGGUUUGUCUCCUGACUUGUUGAAAAUGGUAGAAAGGGCUGAGAAGCAAAUCCUACCUCACAGGGAGUCAAUAGAAAUUGUGAGCUUAGAGGAAGGUAAAGAAGUGAAGAUCGGAUCGGAUAUCUCUGCAAAGACAAGACAAGACCUCAUCGAAUUACUCCGAGAGUUCAAUGACGUGUUUGCAUGGUCAUACCAGGAUAUGCCGGGGUUGAGUACUGACAUUGUAGUCCAUCGUCUCCCUAUAAUAAAAGAUUGCAAGCCAGUGCAGCAAAAGCUCAGAAGGAUGAGGCCUGAUAUCGUGUUGAAGAUAAAUGAGGAGGUUCAAAAGUAGUUUGAUGCCGGAUUUCUGCAAGAAGUCAAGUAUUCUGAGUGGGUGGCUAACAUCGUACCAGUUUCAAAGAAAGAUGGAAAAGUACGAAUGUGUGUGGAUUAUCGGGAUUUGAACAAGGCUAGUCCAAAGGAUAAUUUCCCAUUGCCCCACAUCGACACAUUGGUAGACAAUACUGCGGGCUUUUCAUUGUUUUCCUUCAUGGAUGGUUUUUCUGGGUAUAAUCAGAUAAAGAUGCAUCCUGAAGACAUGAGAAAGACUAUGUUCAUUACGUUAUGGGGGACGUUUUGUUAUAAAGUGAUGCCGUUUGGAUUGAAGAAUGCAGGAGCGACAUACCAAAGAGUCAUGGUAGCCUUGUUCCAUGACGUGAUGCACAGGGAAAUCGAGGUUUACGUUGAUGAUAUGAUCGCGAAAUCUAGAAUGGAGGGCGAACAUGUGCGGGUCUUGAGAAAGUUAUUCUUAAGAUUGAGAAAGUUCNNNNNNNNNNNNNNNNNNNNNNNNNNNNNNNNNNNNNNNNNNNNNNNNNNNNNNNNNNNNNNNNNNNNNNNNNNNNNNNNNNNNNNNNNNNNNNNNNNNNAGCUUAAUCCAGCGAAGUGCACUUUUGAGGCCAGGUCAGGAAAGUUGCUAGGCUUCAUAGUCAGUGAAAAGGGAAUCGAGAUUGACCUAGACAAAGUCAAGGCAAUACGAGAUUUACCUCCACCUCGCACUCAGAAAGAAGUUCGAGGUUUCCUCGGAAGACUGAAUUACAUCGCUAGGUUCAUUUCACAACUGACUGAGAAAUGUGACCCUAUAUUUCGUCUUUUGAAGAAACAUGAUCCUGGUACUUGGGAUGAAGAAUGUGAAGAAGCUUUUAACAAGGUGAAGCAGUAUUUGUCUAACACUCCAGUGCUGUCACCACCUAGCCCGGAUAGGCCGCUGAUAUUGUAUCUGACAGUAUUUGAUAAUUCCAUGGGGUGUGUGCUAGGCCAACAUGAUGAAACGGGGAGAAAAGAAAGGGCAAUAUAUUAUCUCAGCAAGAAAUCUAUUGACUGUGAAAUGAGAUAUUCGCCUAUUGAAAAGUUAUGUUGUGCCUUGAUUUGGACAACCCGAAGAUUAAGGCAGUACAUGUUAUACCAUACGACUUGGCUAAUCUCAAAGUUAGACCCGUUAAAGUAUAUGAUAGAGUCAACUGCUUUGAGUGGGAGGAUGGCCCGAUGGCAGAUCUUACUGUCUGAAUUCGAUAUUGUCUACGUGAGCCAAAAGGCUGUGAAAGGGAGUGCAAUUGCUGACUUUCUAGCUACGAGCCGUUGAGUUUUGAUUUUCCAAAUGAAGAUUUGAUGUGUAUAGCGGCUAUGGAAGAAAAUUCAUAAGAAGGUUACAGUUGGAGGCUAAACUUUGAUGGAGCCUCGAAUGCUGUGGGCAAUGGAAUUGGGGCAGUCCUAGUGUCCCCGAAUGGUGAUCAUUAUCCUUUCACUUGCAAAUUUGAUUUUGAUUGUACAGACAACAUGGCAGAAUACGAAGCAUGCAUCAUGGGUAUUCUUGCGGCUAUAGAGCGAAGAAUCAAAGUGUUAGAGGUUUAUGGAGAUUCAGCAUUGGUGAUAUAUCAGCUCAAGGGUGAGUGGGAAACGAGAGAUCCCAAAUUAAUCAGUUAUCGAAAGUUGGUCCUUGAAUUGAUUAAAGAGUUUGAGAAUGUCACUUUUUGCUAUCUCCCACGAGAUGAAAACCAGAUGGCCGAUGCACUAGCUACUUUAGCCUCCAUGAUUAAGGUGAACAGACAUGAGGAUAUAAAGCCUAUCCAAAUGAGUAUCCAUGAAGACCCGGCUCAUUGUUGCAAUAUUGAAGAAGGGGAAAUCGAUGAUAGUCCUUAGUAUCAAGAUAUACUACGAUAUGUAAAAAAUCGUGAGUAUCCUGGCCAGGCAACGAAGAAUGAAAAGAGAACUCUGAGAAGGCUAGCCAUUGAUUACGUCUUAGAUGGGGAGAUCUUAUACAAUAGGGGAAAAGAUCAGGUACUGUUAAGAUGUGUGGAUGCCGUGGAAGCAAAGAAAAUCCUAGAAGAAGUCCACGAGGGCAUCUGUGGAACGCAUGCCAGUGGGUUCACAAUGGCUAGACAAAUUAUGAGAUUCGGGUAUUACUGGUCCACCAUGGAAGGGGAUUGCAUCAAUUAUUCCAGAAAGUGCCAUAAAUGUCAAAUCUAUAGUGAUAAAAUGCAUGCACCUCCUUCGCCUCUUCAUGUCAUGACUUCUCCAUGGCCUUUCUCCAUGUGGGGUAUGGAUGUCAUCGGGCCAAUAUCGCCGAAGGCUUCAAAUGGGCAUCGUUUCAUAUUUGUGGUUAUUGACUACUUCACCAAAUGGGUAGAAGCUGCUUCGUAUGCCAACGUUACGAAGUCAUCAGUCAGUAAGUUGUUGAAAAGGGAGAUCAUAUGUCGGUAUGGAAUGCCUGAAAGAAUCAUAUCUGACAAUGCGCUGAACCUAAACAAUAGCUCAAUAGCAGAAGUCUACAAUCAAUUCAAGAUCAGACAUCACAAUUCAUCGCCGUAUCGCCCAAAAAUGAAUGGUGCAGUGGAACCGGCUAAUAAAAAUAUAAAGAAGAUUGUGGGGAAGAUGACUGAGACCUACAGGGACUGGCACGAGAAACUACCGUUUGCCCUUCUUGCUUAUCGAACGUCAAUCAGGACCUCCACUGGGGCAACGCCCUUCUCCUUAGUUUAUGGCAUGGAGGCAGUCUUGCCCAUCGAAGUUGAAAUUCCUUCUCUCUGGGUUUUGACUGAGCUACAAUUGGAUGAAGCAGAAUGGGUUCAAUCUCGAUAUGAUAAGUUGAAUCUGAUAGAGGGAAAAAGGCUAAAGGUUAUUCAGCAUGGUUAGAUGUACCAGAAAAGAAUGAUGCGAGCCUACAACAAGAAGGUCUGACCCAGAGACUUUCACGAGGGGGACCUGGUGUUGAGAAAAAUUCUUCCUCUACAAAAAGAUUUUAGGGGGAAAUGGAUGCCAAAUUGGGAAGGUCCUUAUGUUGUAAAAAAGGCCUUUUCUGGAGGAGCCCUGAUUCUGGCUGAAAUGGAUGGAAGAAACUUGCCUAAUCCAGUAAAUUUAGAUUCGGUCAAGAGAUACUUUACUUGAAGAGGGGAAGGAACCGAGGUGAAAACCCACAAAGGGCGCUUUGAUUCCAAAAAAAAAAUAGAGAGGCUAGGGUGAAAACCCGCAAAGGGCACCUUAAGACCAAAGGGGUUUGAGUUGAAAACCUGAAAAGGGCGGCUCAAAUUUUGACUGUCACGUGGUAGCCGUGUUGUACCUAAAUCGGUAGAAAGGAAUAGACGACAUCUUGGGGCAUCAACAAAAUACUGUGAAUCUCCUAAACGCGUGUUGAAUUUAGAAGGGUCUUCGAAAAGUUGUAUAGAGAAAUUCAAGCAGAGAUAUCUGGGGCACCUGUUCAUAGUAUUUGUAUUGAAUUCAUUUUUUUAGAAUGUUUCAUUCUUUUUCAAUAUAAAUGUCCCCAGACAAUUCCUCUAUCAUUGACAACCCAUUGCGAACUAUGCUCCCAAAUUAAUUUUGUUUAUUUUAUCGUUAUGAUCUUUUCGCAAGCAUGUUGCAUUAGAAUGACGAUUAAUGGACUAGUAAAACUUUCACAAGGGAAGUUUUUCAUACUACUAUAGAAAUUUCUAAAUAACACAGGAGCCUGAAGCAGGACUAUUGUUUAGACUUCACCGGGUUAAAAGGUCGAAGAUAUCUAGGGGUCAAGAGUCAAGAUAUAGAUUUCCAAGUUUUGACGAAGCGUUAUUGUCACAAAGGAAGCCUUAAUGAGCAAUAAUGACUUUAAACAUUCAAUAUUCAUUUUUCAUGACAUAACAUUCAAAUGUCAUUCAUACACGUCUAGUUAGGAGCAUUUGAUUCAUUUGAUCAUGACAUCCUAAUCACUAGGCAUAAUUAGGCUCAUCAUACAGGUCAUGUUCCACAGAGAACAAGUCGGUGGAAUCAUAAAACCUUAUCUCCCUGAGCAGCAGUGGAGCAGGUUGAAAGAAAGCAGAUCUUGUCUUCAUGUACUAGUGGCGAAGCAGAUCAAAGAAACAGAUCUUGUCUCCCCAUACUGGUGGUGGAGUAGAUCGAAGAAAACAGAUCUUGUCUUCAUGUACUGCCGUGAAGUAGAUCAAAGAUACCAGAUCUUGCCUUCCCAUACUGGUGGCGAAGCAGAUCAAAGAAACAGAUCUUGUCUCCCCAUACUGGUGGUGGAGUAGAUCGAAGAAAACAUAUAUUGUCUUCAUGUAUUGGCGUGAAGUAGAUCAAAGGUACCAGAUCUUGCCUUCCCAUACUGGUGGCGAAGCAGAUCAAAGAAACAGAUCUUGUCUCCCCAUACUGGUGGUGGAGUAGAUCGAAGAAAAUAGAUCUUAUCUUCAUGUACUGACGUGAAGUAAAUCAAAGAUAGCAGGUCCUGUCUUCCUAUAUCGGUAGCGAAUUGGAUCGAAUAUAUAGAUUUUAUCUUCCCAUACUGGUGGCGAAGUAGAUUGAAGAUUACAGAUCGUAUCUCCCUAAGCAGAGGUGGAGCAGAUCAAAGAUGGCAGAUUUUACCUCCCUGAAGUUGCAGUGGAGUAUAUUGAAGCCAGUAAUUCUAUUCCCCUGGUCGACAGUGGAAUCGAUCGGAAAAAGCAGAUCUUGUCUUCAUGUAUUGGCGUGAAGUAGAUCGAAAAAAGCAGAUCUUGUCUUCCCAUACUGGUGGUGAAGUAAAUCGAAGAUACAAGUCUUAUCUUCCUGAAAUUGCGGUGGAGCAGACAAAAGUAACCAAUCCUAUCUCCUUGAAGUUGCAAUGGAGUGGAUUAAAACCGCAGAUCUCAUCUCUCUGAAGUUGCAGUAGAGCAGAUCACAUCAGAUUUACCCUUAAGUUGUAACAGAACAAGUUGAAGCUAUAAGUCUUAUCUCCCUGAAGUUGCAAUGGAGCAGAUUAAAGAUAGCAGAUUUUGUUCUUUUGAGAACCUACAACAUAUGAAUCCUAUCUCCCCAACAUUCCAGUGGAGUAGAUUGGAGCACCAGUUCCUGUACCUCUGAAGAUGCAGUAGGAAAGAACGAGGUUACUUAAAAUAGAGAAGCAUUAAAGAAGCUGAGGCUCAAUAAGACUGGGCACCAUUGGGCCCUGUAGUCUUUGCUCUAUUCCCGUUACACGACAAUGAGCAAAGAGGGGCAGCUGUAAUAGGGCCCAAUCGACCCAGGCCCAAACAUAAAAAACAACCCAAAAUAGUCCCUAGCCCAGCAACUAAAGAAAACCUAAGGGAGAAAUAAACCCUAGCCGCAUGUCUGCCCCGACGCCGCCAGCAAGCAUCCAACCGCCGCACACCUCGGGGCCACUCCUCCACGAACGCUCCGUGAUACCUGCAAACACGGACUCAAAGAGUUCGGAGGAGAAAAACAAGCAAAAUAUAUAAUUUAUUUAUUUUAUUUUUUUCUUUUCGGCCUAUAAAAGGCCAUUAAAUCUGUAAAAUAAGGGGACGAAUAUUGUAUUGACGGAGAAAUACACAGGGAAAUUGAAAGAAAAUACAGAUAUUAAACUUGUUUUUCAAAGGUGAUUUUUGCUUUUUAUUUUGCAGCGUUUGUUUUAUUUUGUUUUCAAAAUUUUUCUGGUUUUUUUUCUUUUAUUUUCAUCAUUAUUUUGUUUAAAAUAACAAAGGAAAAGGAGGGAUCUUACCUCUGUCGUCGAAGCUGCCGGACCGUCGCCGUACCCGUCGCGAUUGGAGCACCGGCAUGGGACGUGGGGUGGCGCGAGGACGCUAGGGUUUAAACCCUAGCAGAGCACCAGAGAAACUUUUUAUUUUAGUUUGUUUUAUUUUAUUAUUAUUUUUUCAUUCGGUUUCAAAUGAUUUUGAAGGGCAAAAAUUUGGUAUUAAAUAACGUUCAAAACGGCACCGUUUUGUCAAGACCCUGACCCGCGCGGUGACCCGGCCCGAAGGGGAGGAUCCGCGCGCUCUAACGUCACAUAGUCUAUUUGCGCAAUUGGCCCUUCCUUUUUUGCGAUGCACUUCAAUUAAACUCAUUUUGUUUUUUUAAAUUUAGCCGCAUCUUUCAUUUCUGUUUCAAUUCGGUCUUUCGUUACGCAGUGUUUUGGAGGGUGGGAUUAAUUUCCCUUUUAGUCCCCUAUAGUUGCUCGCGUGUUCAAGUUUGUCGUCUUUUAUUUAUUUUCGAAUCUACCCCAUUUUUUUGUUUUUAAGUUCAAUUUAGUCCAUUUUAGUUUUUUUCUAUUUUUUUAAAAUAUUUAUCAUUAUACCAUUAUUUAUUAUUGUUAUAUUAUUUAUUAUUAUGGUUAUUAUCAUUAUUUCUAUAUUCAUGCACGCAUGGUUUUUACAAUAUAUAUAUAUAUAUGCAUUUUUUUAUGUAUUAAACACACAUAUUUUUAUAUAUAAUAUAUACGCAUUUUUUUAAAUAUAUAUAUUUUUUAAAGCUUUUAUGAAUACAUGCAUACCUACAUAUUUUAAUACAUUCAUUUUCUAUAGUAUAAAUAUAUAUUUUUUUGGUUUUUUAAAUUAUUAUAUUAUUUUAUAUAUGCUCCAUUAUUUUAUAUACAUAUUUUACAUAUUUUUUUAUAUUUUUACUUUAUUUACACAAUUCUCAUAUACAUAUAUACAUGCAUUUUUAGAAAUUAUUAUAAGUUUUUAUGUAUUUUAUUCCCUUUUUAUAUGUAUACUUAUAUAUGUGUUUUAUAUAUGCAUUAAUAUUUUAUCAUGUUUUUAAAGAAAAUACAUUUUGGUUUCGUCAAAGCAUUAAAAUCGUUUUUUUAAAUAUUUUUUAAAUAUUUGGCAAUCAUGAUUCUCGAGAAAGAUCGUGUCCUAACUUACUGGAUUGCGGUUUUUUUUGAUGAAUUUAGAAAGUUAAAUAUUUAUUUUGCAAUAAAUUUACAAAUUUCAAAUAAAGCUUAUUCUCAGGAAUUCAAAAAUGUUGGGUCCUAACUUACUGGUCCUGAUAUUUUGAUUACUUGAAAUAAGAAUUUUCAAAAGCAAAAGGCAAUAUUCAGGUAUUUUGAAGAUUUAAAAAUAUUGUGCCCUAACUCACUGGGUGUGGUGUUUUAUUUCUUUGAAAUAAGAAUGUCUUAUUAUUUUGAUUCAUUCAUGGGAUAAAAAGUCUCUUCUAAAAUCAUUUCAAAUUUUUGACACUAAGACAUUAAAUAAUCAAUUUGGUACCGAUUUUGGGCGUUACGAGGGUGCUAAUCCUUCCUCGUGCGUAACUGACUCCCGAACUCGUUUUCUAAAAAUUCGUGGACCAAAAUAAUUUUAAGGUGAGCCGAUCACACCUUAAUAAAGGAUCGGUGACGACUCCAGUUUUUGUUUUUUUUAAAUCGACAACUAAAUUUUUGUUUUCAAAAAAACGGUUUCGACAAUAUACAACUAAAAACAGACCUCAAUUCAUAUAAAACACGGAAGAUAUUUACAUUAUAAAAAACACACUCGAUUAAAUAUUUAAAAACACACACAAAUUUUAUUUACUUCUAUUAUUUUAAAAAAAUAGAAAGUAAUUGAAUCUCAUGAUAAUUUGAUAUUAAUUCUUUCUUUAUUAAAUUCAAAAAUUCGAAAUAGAGUAAUAAGAAAAUUAAGAAUAAAGUAAGAUAAUAAAGAAAUGGAUUAUCUUAUCAUAUACACGAUUUAGAAAGAUGUGCUACUUUGAGAUAAAUAUAAAAUAUUCAAAGAAAAAACAAAUGUGAUCUCUAUAUAAGAUUUUAAAUUAUAUUUGUUUUAAAUAUAUACAAAAUGACUCCGUUUUUUAAAUUUUUUAUAUAUAUCCCAAUUUAUUUAAUUUUCGAUUUUUUAAAAAUAUCAUUAUAAUUUGACCUCCUUAAAAAGAUUUUCUACCUUAUCCUUUAUGAAAAUCCAUAAGUAUUUGGGUGAUGAUGGAUGGGGCUUUCUCGUCUCCCGCCUUUUCUCAUUAAAACGAAAAGAAAAAAGAAAAACCCAAAUCUAUUGCCAUUUGUGAGCCUGAACAUGGAGACAUUUGAAGUAUAGCAAUUACUGUCUCUUCCGGUGGAGAUUCCAGACAGGACACAUUCAAAACAAAACCCAUCAAAACCUAAUAUUAAAAAUAUUUUUAAUGUUCGUCAUAAAAAAUAAAUAUUUAUUUCAUAAUUAUAGUUAUUAAAUAUAUCUGAAAUCUAACUUCAUAUAUCUUUUUUAUUAUACUGCAUUUAAUUGUGUUUAAUAUCAAAUAAAUUUUAUUUAUUUAUUUUCCCUCAAAAUUGGUUUUUUAAAUUUUUAAAAACUGUUAUGCAUUUUAAUUUAUUUUAUGUAAUAAUUUUUAAAUAUUUCACUUCUACUUAAAACACUAUUGUGAUUUAUUUUUUUAUUUUUUAAAUAAGUCAAAUAUAUGAUUUUAUGUUAUUUAAAACUUUAUUUUGAACCAUCAAAAUAUAUUAUUUAAAAUUUUAUUUCUAAAAUUAAAAAUUAUUAGGUACAUAUAAUAUGAUUUCUAAGAUUAAAAUUUUAAAAAUAAUAAUUAUUUUAAACUUUAUUCAAAUUUCCUUCCUCCAUAAGUUAUAUUCAUAACCUUACAAAUAUAUUAUAUUUUAAAAAAUUAAGUAUAUUUUUUAAUUUGGUUAUAUAUUUUAAAUAUUGUUUUAUUAAUAAUUUUAUUUAAUAUAUCGUUAUUUAAAUAAAAAAAUUAUAAAAACAUAUAUAUGAGUAACCUGUGCAUCACACGGGAUAAAAAAUUAGUAUAUUAUAUUUCAAAAACUUAAGUAUUUUUUAAUAUCUUUUAAAUAUUAUUUUAUCAAUAAUUUUAUUUAAUAUAUUGUUAUUUAAAUAAUAAUUUUAUAAAACACACAAGCAACCCGUAAAUCACACGAGAUAGAAAACUAAUAUAUUAUAUAUUUUAAAUUUUGAUUAUAUCUUUUAAAUAUUGUUUAAUCAAUAAUUUUAUUUAAUAUAUCAUUAUUUAAAUAAUAAUUUUAUAAAAUAAACUAACAACAUCACACGGGAUAAAAAAUUAAUUAUUUAUAUUUGAAGCUUUGAAUAUUCAUUUUUUUUUUCUGAAAUGUUUGCCGGACAUACAUAUAUAAGAUGUGAUUUUCAGGGGUACUAACUGCAUAAAAAGCUUAGAAAGUUUAAUCAUAUCCAUGUUGAACACAUCUAUAUCCAUCUUUUACACUCAAGAAGCAAUAUAGGUUUAAGUUAAUCAUGUUUGUGUAUACUUUUUCAUGUUAUACUAUAUAGGUUUUGAGAUGUUAUGUUUUCAUUAUCUUUUUCAAGUUGUGUUCAAUAAUGCUUUUAUUAAAUCUGAUUAAUUAUCAGCUUUGACAUAAUUAUAUGAUGUGAGUCGUAUUAGUUUGUAAUGUUAGUAAUCUCACACUACUAACAAAUAUAUAGUAUAAUAAAUUUAAAAUAACCAAUUUUUUAUAAUUUGGGUAAUUAAAUUUGUUAGAGUUGUAUAAUCUAAAUUAUAAGAGAUUGUUUGUAAGUCAAAAUAAACAAAAUAUAUUUUCUUUCUAGAAGAUUUAGUAUUUAUUAGCAUAAUAUAUUUGACAUUGAUUAAAAUUAGGUUUUUUUAACCUGUAAAUAGAUGUAGUCGAAACUCCCCUUCUAUCAUUCGAAUUCGACAUUAGUGAAUUUUCUUCUCCUCUGUUUUUUGAUUUUUUCCCGAAAAGAUUUUCACGUAAAAUAUGUGUGUUAUAUAUUUUUUUUCUUUACAUUCUUUUUACCUCUUCAUUAUCAACAUUCAAAUUUUUAAUAAAAUUGGAUGCUUAACUCACUAAAUAGGUGAGCUUGCUUAUUGAACUUUAUAAAUUUAUGGUUAAAAAUAGACAUUAGAGUUUGAGUUUGGUGUUGUGAUAAUUUUUUUUUUAUAUAUAAUUCAACUACUUGAAUAAUCUAAGCAUUAAAAUGUUUGAAUUUGGUUAGCUCCAUGUUUCGAAUUACUCAAACUUCGUCUAACAAUGUCUAAAUUAAUUUAUAAAUUUCUUAUUCCUUCUUCAUAGUCGGUGAUUAUGGGUUAUUUUGAGUUUUUUUUUUUAACAUUUAAUGCAUUGAUUUUAUUAAACUAAUAGUUUUUUUUUAUCAUAUUCUAACAUUUAAUGUAUUGAUUCUAUUCAAUUUUUUUAAAAAAAAUUGUUAAUUGUAAUUUUCUUUUAACAUUUAAUUGAUGGAUAAAUAUCUUAUAUAAGUAAAUAAUAAUUAAAAAUGACAUUUGACAUCAUUUUAGAUCAGUUUAUGGAGUUUUUAACUUCACUAGGGACAAAAUAAUUACUCUUAAUUGAUUAUGGAUUAAUUUCCGUCUAAGAAGUUUUUUUUUUUAACAUUUUUCAAAUAUCUAUUAUAAUCUUUUUUUUUUAAUUUUUAUGCAGUUAAUAACUAAUGACAAAAUUUGUAAGUAUUGAGCAUAGAGUGCUUGCUACUAAAAAAGGUCCAAGAAUUUCAGUAGCAAGUUUCUUUAGAACACAACUUCCACCAGAGAAUACCUCGAGGCUUUAUGGACCAAUCAAGGAGUUGGCAUCUCAAGAAAACCCUCCACUUUAUAAGGAGACUACUAUGAAAGACUUUGUGUCAAACUACUGCUCGAAAGCAAUUCAUUGCAAAUCUCUCCAAUACCUUAGGUUAUGAGUUGUUGGUGAACUUAAUCCAACUACUUUCAAGUGCCAAAUUGUUUUGGAACUAUUUGAGUCCAAAAUUUUACUUCUGAAAUGAAUUAUGUAUUUGUAGAUUAUUGUGUUGCUUGUAAACUUAAUCGAACUAUUUUUAAGUUUAUUUCCAUCUUUCAAGUGUCAAAUCGUUUUGGAACUAUUCGAGUCCAAAACUGUACUUCAAUAAGGCAAUGAAAUGAUUUAUGUAUUUAUAGAUUAUUGUGUUGCUUGUGAUCUUAAUUAUAUUUUUAGUUCAUUUUCAACCUUUAAGAGCCAAAUUUUAUAUUUCAAAGUUACAAUUACUUGGACUUCUUUUUAGUCUUGGUUACAUAAUUUAAAAGCUUGUUAGGGCAAAUACAAAUUGCCAUCUUACACGUAAGCGAACAGGGACAAAGGCAAACGGAGUAAGCAGGGAUCUUAGUCCUCUUAAAAUGUAAAAUAUAAAAUUUAAUUCUAUAAUUAAUGAUUUAAAAAAUUGAGUAAAUAUAUAGUAAAAUUAUAAUUUGCGUCCUCAAACGAUAAUAUUUUUGAGUUCAUCCUGGACGCAGAGGGUGGAACAUAUUCAAACUCUUUUGAAAACCAUUUUACUAUAGUACUUUUUAAAAGAACUAAAAGGUUUGAAAAGAGGACCAUCUCAUGCAUAAGCAAAGGUUUUAAGUUUGGGGUCAAACAUACUCUUGAAAAUCAUUUUAUCAUAAUAACUUGUUUUUAAAAUGUGAAAAUUGACCACCUCACAUAUAUGCAAAGGUUUUCGUUCUAAGGUCAAAUAUACUCGAACCCUUUUUGAAAAAUAAUUUUAGGCAUAAAUAUAAUUGUAGCCCUUAACGUUAAUCUUUUUGUCUCUUUAACACUAAUUAUUUCUAUUGGAUCACUUUGAUCUUUGAUCUUUGAUCUUUAAUCUUCAAAAUUUAGUCAUAUUGUUUAGUUUUAGAUGAAAAAGUUGACUAGAUCACUAAAAUUUUUAUGACAUUAAAGUGACAACCUACUUGAUAGUCCAAUUAUACUUCAUUGCUAUCAUGAAUAUUUUUAAAAUUAUAUAUAUGAUUUUUUUUUGUUAUUUGUUGAAUUUUUUAUUAACUUCUAUUUUUUUUUGAAUUUUUAUGAAUUACUGGUGGACUACCACACGAGUUGUCACAUUAGUUUCGUUAAAAAUUUCAUAGUCCAUUCAACUUUUCCAUAUGAUAAAAUGUAAUUUAACAAAAAUUUGAAGGUUGAAGGCCAAAAUAAAAAAAAAGUAAGCGUUAGGGGUUAAAUUUAUUAGUAUGCCAUAAUUUUAUUAUAAUUUAGAAAAACAAAACCUAAAACAUUUGAAAAUUUAAUAAAUGGAUAAUAUAUAUAUUUUUGCUUUGAACUUGACAACUAGACUCACUUUGGUACCUACACUUUUUUAAGUCCACUUUGACACUCCAACUUCACAACUUGGUUCAUUUUGAUUAAGGAUGGCAACGGAUUGUUUAUUUGCAAAUUUUAGAUUAUCUGAAUCCAAAUCCACAAAUCUACCAAAAAUCUGAAUAUGCAAAUUAUUUGACUUUUAGUAACCAAAUCUAAAUUUGAAUUAGAUCUCAUUAUUCGCUGGAUAUCCGACUCAACAUUGAUUAAAAUAUAUAAAGUUUUACUUCUUGCAAGAUUUAGACGCAUAACCUUUAACAACUAAAGCUAUGUUUUAACUAUAAAAAAUAAUCCUCAAAUUUGUUUAAAGUUUACACAAACCAAUGAAUAACAUAUAAAUAUUAAUAAUUAAAUAUAAUAAUUAAUAAUACAUUUAAAUAUAAUAAUUAAUAAUAAAUUUAAAUAUGUCUAAAAAAUUUUAUCAGAAAAUUAUAUCCCAAUUAACAUAUUAUUCUCUUAAAUCUCAUGUAGCUUUUUUGAUGUCCACGCAACCAACUAAAAAAUUGAAUAAGGCAAGUACACCUAUCAAUUAAUAGUAUAGCUACGGUGAGUAAAGAUAUCGUUCCCACGAAGACUGAAAGUACAAGUAAUUACUGUCUUUCUAUUAUUUAACCGAAUAAUUUGAGUGUUUGAUUAAAAACUAAAAUUAACUAACAAACCUAACAAAGAAUAAUUCAGAAAAAUUAUUGAAUAAUAACCAUGAAGCGAAACAAUACCCAAGAAAGAAUCUGCCUAGAUUUCAUCUGUCACUAUCAAUCUAAAUUAUGCAAUUUCUUUACUUAGUAUCUUUAUCCGUAGAAAUCCCUAAAUUAUGCUAAUAUCUCUUUCGAGAGUAAGAGCAACUGACUCUAGGUUGAUUACACUACACCAUAACAGGUUUUUAGCGGCGUUUUUUUAGGCCUUUAGCGGCGCUUCUACAAGCGCCACAAAAAAUGCCGCUAAUGACAACGUCGCUAACGUUUGCAGCGUUUACAGAAAAAAACGCCGCUAAAGGUCAUGUUCUUUAGCGGCGGUUAAAAAAAAGACGCCGCUAAAGAUCAUGUUCUUAAGCAGCGCUUAAAAAAAAGACACCGCUAAAGAUCUUGUUCUUUAGCGGCGCAUGGAGAAAAAUGCCACUAAAGAUCAUCUUCUUUAGCGGUGCUUAGACAAAAACGCCGCUAAAAAUCAUAUUCUUUAGCGGCACUUGGUAAAAAACGCCACUAUAGAUCAUGUUCUUUAGCGGCGCUUUCUUCACAAACGCCGCGAAAAGAAAUGUUCUUUAGCGGCACUUUCUUAAAAAACGCCACUAAUUUUGGGAUUUUUGUAAAAUAAAAUUUUCCAUUUUUUCAACCCUCCUGUAGCAACAAAUCAAAAGCAACCAGAUCUAAACCAUCCAAAAGCAAUAAAUUUAUAUAAUAUUUCAAAUUAAACGAAUAAAAUAAUAUUAAUAUCAAUAAAUAAAAGUGAAUUCAUACUUUUCUUUACAAAAAUGUUAAAAGUUAAAAUGAUAAAAAUAUUUAUGCAAUACACUAUGACGGCGAAAGUUGCGACUGCUGAAACAUCUUCAUCAUAAUCUGAAGCUGCUAUUGAAGUUCGUCGUACUUUUUGCUCUGCUCUGCUUCUCUCGAUGCCGCAUCUGCUUUAAUUGUAGCUGGAGUUCUUCAUAUUUCUUUUGAACCUCUACUUCUCUUGCUGCAGCCUCUGCUUCUCUCGCUGUAGCCUCUGCUUCCCUUACUGUCGCCUCUGCUUUAAGUUGUAGCUGGAGUUCUUCAUAUUUCCUUUGAACCUCAAAUGUGGUCGCUUGCAUCUGAGCCAUCUGGUCUUUUAACCUUUGAACUUCAGCUUGAGCCUGACUCCCCGAAGCCAUGUAUUGCUGCGAGCUGGAUCCAAAAUAUUGGGUUGGGCUAACAAAAGAUCCUUGAAAUCGAACCCGACCAUACCUUUCAGGACCAAAAACUUCAAUAAUAAUCCGGUUAUCAAUGUCUUCAGGAUGAACAGAACUAUCAGUAGAAGCAAUCGCUUCGUACUCCGCCUUUUUAUCCUUUAAUUUUUCCUAAUAAAUAAAUCACAUAGUUAGGAACACAAUAUAUAUUAAAAAAACAAAUGCAACAUAACAAUAGUCGCAUUACAAGCAAUGAAUUAAACCAUUAGAAAAUAAACACUAUAAAUAACUAAAACAAGUCAAAUCGUAUUAAGUAAACGUACCAUAAUUUCACCAGGUUCAGGAGUCAUAACAAAUCCAUCUUUCUUCCUAUGUGUAAUUUCAAAAAGUUGAAGGCGUCCAACUUUUUGACCGGACAACCGUUCCUACAAUAUAGUAGUAAAAAUAUUAUUUAAUGGAAAGUUAUACAUAUGUGACAAUAUUAAAAAAUUAAAAAUACCUCUGCCUCAGCUACACAUGCAAAACUUCUCGACCCGGCUGUGUGAGUGAAUUUUUGUUUCUGCCUACUGCUUUUUCCAACUCGUUCACGAUCCUACGUUAUGAAAUUUUUAGUACGUAAAUAGUAAAUACUAUAAACCAAAAUAAUUACAAUAGUUUGGAAGUACGUCAUACCUCGCCUUUCUUCAAAUGCCAAAAUCUAACCACAUCUUCCCAUUGGUACCUCAGCAUACCCNNNNNNNNNNNNNNNNNNNNNNNNNNNNNNNNNNNNNNNNNNNNNNNNNNNNNNNNNNNNNNNNNNNNNNNNNNNNNNNNNNNNNNNNNNNNNNNNNNNNGUCUUAUAAUAAUAUUUCUUCAAAGUACUUUUAUGGUCUCUCCAUCUUUUUCCCAAUGCCUUCUUUACAUAAGCAUCCGAGACCUCUAAAGCAAACCUCGCCUACAAAAAACACAAGUUAAUAAAGUAAAUAUAAAUGAAACUAUUUCCCAAGUAUUACAGAUGACAUUAACAUUUUGUUACCUUAAUAUUAUCGAGGGCUUGAUUUUUGUUGCUAUCGGGCAUUUGAUUCCAUGAAUCGUAGUUGAUAGGUAACAUAUUCGCAUUUCGUGCUAAAAUGCCCAUGUAUCCUGCUAAAAGUCGAGCUUCUGAUCCAACAGGCUGACCAAAACUAUUUCUGCAUACCUUGACACGCUCGACUGGAUCUAACUCGUAGAAAUCUUUAAGUAGCGUACGUCCUCGACCUCUGCGCGUCCCACCAUUUUCAGCUGCAAAUGGUAUAUUACAAUAUAAGAAUUUGAAAAAUAAAUCAAUUAUAAGUCAACACGCAUGUAAAUUAAAUGUAAAAUUACUUUGAACUUCUGUAGGAUCCUCAGGUGUAAUCGGAACAUUCGAAGAUCCAAUUACUGUCUGUUGUUCAGUACUAUUUGUUUCUGUCGAGUUUGGAUCAUUUUGAACAAUGCUUCCCCUUGGAAUUUUUCUUCUAGACAUUUUAUCUGCAAUACACAUAAAAUAGUUGAAAACUUAAUAACUAAUUACAACAAUAACAACACAUAUAAAAUAGUUGAAAUAUAUAAUAAGACCAAGAUUUAAAUUAUGAUAUUACAUAUAAUUAAACAAUCGUAAAAUCUUACUACGUCAUUAUUCGUAAAUAUCUUCAUCCGUAUGCUGACGAACCCAUUGAAAUUGUGUACUAGUGCUAGGGAUAUUAUCGUUUAAGUUUUGUUCUGGAAAGGGCAAAGUUUCUGAUCUAUGGUCGAUGUUAUCUCUACUUCCACUACCCAUGUCAAACAAGUCUCUAGGGAUGUUACGGAGUACAUCCAACCCUCAUCAGUUGGAUCUUUUGAGUAAAAAACUUGUUUGACUUGAGAUGAGAAUACAUACGGCUCAUUUAUCAGUUGUUGUCCUGUGUGAAUCAAUCGAGCGAAGUUCACCAUUGUAAAACCAAAUUGAUCUUGCUUAAUUCCACGAGCAGUAUUAACAUCGACCCAAUCACCUCGAAAUAAGACAACUUUCCAUUUGCCGUAGUAAUCCAACUCAAUUAUGUCAGUAAGAAUCUGAAAUAUUCCACAUUUCCCUCGACAGGAUUCUUGUCCCUAGCACUAGCAUAACUUGUAAUUGAGGAAUUAACAACUAUUCCACAAUUUUGCGUUCUCCUCAACCUCUCGCGAUAUUUUGUAUGAAAUCUGAAUCCGUUGAUGAUGAACACACUAUAUCUUUUAACCACUCGAUUUGGACCUUGGGAGAGCCAUUUAACUUUGUCGUUUACGUUCUUCCCACUCCAAACCUAUUGAAUGGAAAGUAAACUGAGUAAUUAAAAAUGUUAUGAGAAAAAAGUUAAAAGUAAGCGAAAGCUCCAACUGCAUACCGUUUGGCUUAACCAUUCAUGAAAAGAUUCUGUAAACAACUUAUUGAUAUCUCGAUGUUGUGUUCUUCAGGGAGCGCGAACGAGAUCUCAAUAUUUGUUUGUACUCACUAUGUUAAAAAAAUGUUCACUUUGUUAAAAGAUAAACAAUUUUUAAUUUGAUAAAUAUUUAUCAAAUUUGUAGAACUUACUUCCGUAAAGGUUCCAUUGAUUCAUGGUGAAACAGAACAUAUCGAUGUGCUUGUACCCACGAUAAAUGAUCUAAUUUUGCAAUUUCAACUUUGCCGAUUGGUUCUCUAAAACUUUGGAACAAAUAAGUAUCGGCGAAGUUAUGCUCCGUGAUUCCAGCAUUCCUAUUUGGUCUAUUCAACCUUGUUUCAACAUCUUCCAAAUAUCUUGAGCAGAAGGUCAUACAUUCCUCUGCCAAGUAGCCUUCAGCAAUCGAUCCUUCUGGAUAUCGCUUGUUACGGCAGUAAGACUUUAAUUUGGAUAGGAACCUAAACACGAUAUACAACAUUAUUAAAAGUUGUAACUAAAGGCAUAGAGAUGAAUGAAGGAAAAUUUUAAAAAUUUUAAUUAACACCUUUUUAUGGGAUACAUCCAUCGAUAGAAAACGGGUCCGCCAAGAAUUGCUUCGUGAGGGAGAUGGAUUAUCAAGUGAACCAUAAUGGUGAAGAAGGAAGGUGGGAAGAUUUUCUCCAUGUUGCAUAAAGUCAAAGCGGCUCGAUCCUGUACCUUCUGAAGUUCUUGAACAUCCAAAACUUUGCCACAAAUGGCUUUCAUUAUAUUGGAUAGUUCAAUUAUACAAGACGUCACCUUCUUGGACAUACAACAUCGUAGAGUAACUGGCAGUAAAUCUUGCAUCAAGAUGUGAUAGUCAUGUGAUUUUAGCAAAUAUAAUCUUUGAUCUUUAACACUAACACAUCGAGAUAUAUUUGAUGCAUACGCAUCUGGAACCUUUAUAUCCUUCAAAACCAUGCAGAAUACUUCUUUUUCCGUCUUCAACAUUGAAAAAAUAGAAGGCGGCAACCGAUAUUUCCCAUUCAGAAGUGGAUUGGGAUGAAGAUCAGACCGAAUUCCCAUUUGAACUAAAUCAAGUCGACUCUGAAGAUUGUCUUUUGAUUUUUCGUCGACAUUCAAAAUUGUACCCACAAUGUUCUCGCAGGCAUUUUUCUCAAUGUGCAUGACAUCAAGAUUGUGUCGUAAAAGGUGAUGCUCCCAAUAAGGCAACUCAAAAAAAAUACUUCUUUUUUUCCACAAGUCCGCCUCAUUAGGAUCGUCCUCUUCAUUAGAGUCAUUAUCAGCUUCAACAUUUGAUCUUCUAUUUCUUUACGUGUUUGGCGGUUGGUUCAUCUUCCCAUAAAUGAAAUUCAUAUCUUCCAACAUGAACAAGAUUUCAGAGCCACUGGUCUGUGAAGGAGCUUCUCUGAACUCUUCAGUAUCGUCAAAUACAAAACUCUGAAAUCUAAAUCUAUGAUUUUCCGGUAACCACCGACGAUGCCCCAUGUAAGAGAAUUUCUUCCCAUUGUACAACCAUUGUGAACAUGUUUGUGCAGUACAACAAGGACACACAUAACGACCCUUGGUACUCCAACCGGAUAAAUUGGCAUAAGUGGGGAAGUCAUUAAUGGUCCACAUCAAAGCUGCACGUAAAUUAAAGUUCUCCUUUCUCAGCACAUCGUAUGUCUCGACACCAGCCCAUAAUUGUUUGAACUCUUCAAUAAGUGGCUGUAAAUAAAUGUCGAUAUCAUUUCCGAGCCCUUUCUCUCUAGGGAUAAUCAUAGAUAAGAUAAGGGAAGAUUGCUUCAUGCAAAUCCAAGGAGGCAGAUUGUAAGGAACAAGCACUACUGGCCAAGUACUGUACGCAGUGCUCAUGAUCUUGAAAGGAUUAAAUCCAUCAGAUACUAGCCCAAGCCUCACAUUCCUAGGAUCGCUUGCAAAGCUUGGAAAUUUAUUGUCAAAUGAUUUCCAAGCUAAAAAAUUUUCUGAAUGCCUUAAUAAUCCAUCAUCGAUUCGUCCAUCAUGGUGCCACGUCAUAGACUCCACUGUCUUGGAUGACAUGAAAAGCCUUUGAAGCCUCGGUAUCAGGGGAAAAUACCGCAAAAUCUUGACUGGCUUCUUCCUCAACUGUGCAUCAUUUUCAUCGUCAUUCUCAUCCUCUGUGUUUCUAUUUAUCCAACGGGAUUGGCCGCAUACAUGACAGCACUGUUGGUUUUUCCGAUCGCCCCAAUACAACAUGCAGUCAUUUGGGCAACUAUGGAUUUUAUUAUACCCAAGGCCUAAAUCUUUUAUCAUUUUCUUCAUAUCUUUGCAUGACUGAGGGAUUUUUGCAAACGGAAACAUUUCUCUCAAAAACUCUAACAGCAUUGUCAACGAGUUUCCGAUCCACCCUCCCAAACAUUUUAAUUGAAAAAGACGAACACAGAAGGACAUUUUUGAAAAUUUUGAUCCCUCAUACAGUUCUUCGUUCAUGUCAUUAAGUAGAGCGUAGAACUUUGCCGCUUCUCCAUUCGGCUCUUCAUGAGGUACACUACUUCCCAGUUCGGUAAAAGCAGUUCCACCAAUAUUACAAUCAUCAGAUGCCACAAAAUCUACUGGGAACGACUGCACACCAUGAUUGUGCAUAUUAAAUGCAUCCCGCAACAUACCUUCAUGUCAUCCCCUCUAUCAGACUGAUGGUAAGCAGUACCAGGAUAAGAUACAUCCAUCGUUGAAGAUGAAGUACUAGGCGGGCAUUCUCCAUGAAAUAACCACUGUUUAUAACCCCGAACAAACCCAUCAACAAUUAGAUGCUCGUAUACAACCUCACGAUAAUGCCAGUUUAUGUUGACACACUUCUUACACGGGCAAAGAAUCAUGUUCUCUUGGCUUGCAUAUUGAAAUGAAAAAUUUAAAAAAGUCUGUACUCCAUUUCGAUAACUGUUGCUAACCCUUGACAAAUUCAUCCAAGACCGGUCCAUUUCUUAAUUCUUGAAGUCUGACGUUGACAAUAAUUUGCAUGGGUAAGUUAAAACGCCAGUUAUUAUGUAAGUUAUGUAAGUUAUUUAAGUUAUGUAAGUUAUGUAAGUUAUUUAAUUUAUGUAAGUUAUGUAAGUUAUGUAAGUUAUUUAAUUUAUGUAAGUUAUGUAAGUUAUUUAAUUUAUAUAAGUUAUGUAAGUUAUGUAAGUUAUUUAAUUUAUGUAAGUUAUGUAGGCAAUGUAUUAUGUAAAUAAUGUAAGUUAGGAAGGUUAUGUAUUAUGUAAGUUAUUUAAGUUAUGUAAGUUAUUUAAUUUAUGUAAGUUAUGUAAGUUAUGUAGGUUAUGUAUUAUGUUAGUUAUUAUGUUAUUAUAUAAGUUAUGCAAGUUUCUAUAUAUAUAUGUAUUAUGUAAGUUUAUAUAUAAGUUAUGAUAUAUAUUAUUGAUAAAUUUGAGUUAUGUAAGUUAUGAUAUGAUUGAUAAAUUUUGAAAAAAAUAUAGAUUUUAAAAAUAUAUACAUUAAAAAUGUUAUAAAUAUGUAAGUUAUUAUAUUGAAUUUAAUUGAAAAACAAAUAAAUAUAUGUUUUAAUUUUUACAUAUUUACGUCAAUGUUUUUAACUUUUUUUUUAUGUUUUAUUUGUGUUGUGUAAUUUACAUAUUAAAAUUAUGUAAAUUAAAGAGGUGAGUAGAAAUGAUGAAAAAGAGAGGUUUAUAUAUAUAUAUAUAUAUAUAUAUAUAUAUGAUUUGCUUGCAUUGUGGUAAGCAUUCUUUUAUUUUUUUAUUAUUUUGAUUUGAUUUAUAAUGAAAUGAAAAAGAAAAUACAUGAAAAAGAAAAAUCAUAUAUAUAUAAUACUAUUAAAUUUAUCCUAUUCUUUUGAAAAAUUAUUUUGUGAAACCGUCCCAUCAUAUUAUUCAUGGCCCUUUUUCAAUUAUUUAAUAAUAUUACAAUAAUUUUUCAAUGUCAUUGGUAUAUAAUUUUGGUUUUUUUUUACCUUGAACCCAGAAUCAUGAACCUCAAACCCCAAACCUUAAACCUGAACUCGAAUAUUAAACCCCGAACUCUAACCUUAGACCCCAAACUCGAACUCUAAAUCUCGAAUCCAAGUUUAGGGUUCAAGGUUCGGGGUUCAAGUUCAAGGUUUGGGUUUAGGGUUCAGGUUUAAGAUUUAGGUUUUGGGUUUAAAAGUUCAAGGUUCAGGAUUUAGGUUCGAGGUUCAUGGUUCAGGGUAAAAAAAAGUACCAAAAUUAUGUGUCAAUGACGUGAAAAAAAAUCAUCGAAAUGUCAUUAAAUAAUUGGAAAGAGAUCAUAAAUUAUCAUGAACAAAAAAAGAAUGGGGCUUAUUUCGGGGCUGUUUUGAUUUCUUUUUAUUUAUGCAUCAGGAAUUGUUGAUUAAAAAAAAUGGAGCUUAUUUAGGUAAAAAGAAAAAUUAUGAGAACUUAUUUAAAUAAUAUAUUAUAAUUUAAUUUCUUUUUUAAAUAUCCAAGUGUUAUUUAUUUAUAAAAAAUAAUAUAAAAACUCAUGAAAUAUAUAAAAUAAAUUAAAAAAUAAAAAAAACAUGACAUGGCAUGAAGACAUUAUAAAUACACAAAUGUGUCAAAAUUUACAUAUAAAAAUUAUUAACAUGAAAAAGAAAAGCUCAAACAUGAUAUGGAUAUAUGAUUUUUCUUUGAAUUCAAACACUACUAAAUUAUACAAAUAUGAAAUAAGUUUAGAUAGACAAAUUAUUCCUAAAUAGCCUACGCAAAACACGAUUUAAAAUAAAAAUAAAAAUCUAUAUAAAACAAAUUAUUAACAAUAUGUUUAUAUUACUCUAAACUCACCAAAAAAAAAGACAUGUUAUAAAAAAUUACGAGUUAAUUACAGAGCUAAUUACAGAGUGCUGGAAAAUCGAUUACAUUCUAAGAAAAUUACUUUCAACAAUUUUUACUGCAACAUUCCGAAAAAUUUAAAAAUAUAUAACGAAUGAAGAGCAGCUUACCUAAAUACGAGCAGUGACAAAUGCACCAAAAAUACCAAGCCAUUCAAAUGUUGAUAAAAAUAAAAUCAGCAAACUUACCUAAAUACGAGCAGUAACAAAUGGUUAAUCCACAAUUUUCAGUUCUCCUUUCUUUAACAGUUGGGCAAAUGCAGUGUUACUCCUGGGGAACAAAACAUGAACAUAAGAACACUAUAAAUAUUUUUGGGGGCCCUUCAACAAUUAGAAGAACAAACUAGAAAACAAACACACAAGAUCGGAACUUCUUCCCAAACCCUAGACACGCAAAAAUUCCCAAAUUCCCCUAAUUCCCAAACAAACUGGUACAAGCUUGGUGAUUGAACUUGGACCCUAAACCCCAAAUUCCUAAAUUACACUGAACCAAAACCCUAAAUCAAGAUACAAUAUUUCCAAAGAAAAAAAGCUUACCUUUUAACCACAAAUUCUGCAGCUUUGAUAGUAUCCUCUCAAGAUUGACUCGUACGUUAUGCUUCGUUUCUGAUGAUUUCUGAGUUCUCCUCUCCCUUUUUUCCUUCGUUUUUUCUCUUUCAUUUUUACCCCUUUCGUUUUCUCCUCUGUUCUGUUUCUGUUUGUCUUUCUGCCUACUGAGAUAUAGAGAAAAUUAUAAGUUAAAACACAGUACAGAAACGAUGUUGUUUCGCCGAAAGUUUAAGAAACAUUUGCGGCAUUUUUUUGAAAAACGCCACUAAAAAUUAAAGUUCAAACCGAAACGGCACCGUUCAAUUAUGCUUUAAUGCACAGUUCUGGCGUUUUCUGUAAAAAUGCCAGUAAAAAUUAAUUUGCUUAAGCUAUAUGGGGUCGUUUAGACAAUAUUUUAAGUCAUUUUGCGGCGUUUUGUGCAAAAACGCCAUUAUAAAUUAAGAGAAACGGCGCCGUUGGAUUAAUUUAGAGAAAAUGCUAAGUUAAAAACUAGUACAGAAACGACGUCGUUUAGACAAAAUUUUAAGACAAUUUUGCAGCGCAUCCUGAACAAACGCCGCUAUUGCUUGUACGUUUACGGCGUUUUCUAAAAAGCGCCACUAAAAUUUAAAGUUCUAAUCCAAAACGACGCCAUUUUAUUAAGCUGUAAAGCACAUUUUUGGCGUUUUCUGAUUAAACGCUAGUAAAAAUUAAUUUGCUUAAGCUAAACGAAGCCGUUUAGGCAAUAUUUUAUGUCACUUUUGUGGCGUUUGGUUUAAAAACGCUACAAAAAUUAACAGAAACGGUGUCGUUGAAUUAAUAUAGAGAAAAUGCUAAGUAUAAAAGCAUGUACAGAGACGGCGCCGUUUAGCAAAAAUUUUAAGACACUUUCGCUGCUUUUAUUGAACAAACGCCACUAUAGCUUGUGUAUUUGCAGCGUUUCUAGACCAGAGCCACAAAGAAUGAAGGUUCUAAUCCGAAACGGUGCCGUUUUGUUAAGAUUUAAUGCACAUUUCUGGCGUUUUCCGUUAAAGCACCACUAAAAAUUAAUUUGCUUAAGUUAGACGUCGACGUUUAGCCAAUAUUUCAAGUCACUUUUGCGGCGUUUCCUGAACAAACGCCACGAAAAAUUAUCAUAAAUGGCGCCGUUUUGUUAAUAUAGAGAAAAUGCUAAGUUAAAAAUCGUGGACAGAAACAGCGUCGUUCAACCAAAAUUUUAAGUCACUUUUGCGGCGUUUCUUGCACAAACGCCGCUAUUGCUUAAGCAUUAGCGGUGUUUUUAAUAAAAACGCCACUAAUUGUUAAAGUUCUAAUCGAAAACUGCGCCGUUUUAUUAAGCUUCAAUGCACAGUUCUGUCCUUUUUUUGAAAAACGCCACAAAAUAAUUAUUUUACUUAAACCAAACGGUGAUGUUUUAAAUAAUUAAUUCUAAACUUUUUAAGUAAUAUUUAUAAGAAUUAUAUAAAAUUAUAAAGUUUAGGUUUUCUUGUCUUUUUUGUUUGUAUUUUUAUUUCAUUUCUUAUAAUUUGGUCCUAUAUAUAUAUAUAUAUAUAUCCAAAAUAAUUAAUUAUACCUAUAUAUAUAUAUCCAUCCAUAUAUAUAUCAAUACUUUUUUUAACUUAUUUAUUAAUUCUAUUUAAACUAAUAUUAAUUAAAUACAUCAAUUGGUUUAGAUUAAAUUUUUAAAAUAUAUUUUAAAAAAACUAAUUACUCUAAACCCAAAACCCUGAUCUAACCCCAAAAUCCCUAAACCUUAAAUCCCUAACUCUCAACUUCUAACCCUAACCCUUAAACCUUAAAUCCCCAACCCUAAAUCCAUACAAGUGUCCACCAAGCAUUGUUAUUCCAUUAACAUAUGUAAGUGUUUCCACCAAGCUCUGUUUUUUAUUCUAUUUAUUGGUUUUUUUCUAUUUCUUUAAGAAUUAUUGUUUUAUCGUGCUUUAAUGUGGUGUUUUAUUAAUUAUUUCAGAUUUGGUUGGUUAAUGAUUUUUAUUUAAGUUCAAAAAUAUAAGAACAUAUUUAAAAUAUAAAUUAAAAAAACUAAUUAUCAUCUAAACCCUAAGUCCCUAACUGCUAACUUCUAACCCCUAACCCUAACCCUAACCCCUAAACCUUAAAUCCCAAACCCUAAAUCCAUACAAGUGUCCACCAAGCUUUGUUAUUCCAUUUACAUAUGUAAGAUCUAAACCCAAUACCCUAACCCGACCCGCCUAAAUCCCUGGCUAAACCAUAAAUCCCUAACUCCUAACCCCUAAUGUCUAACCCAGCCCCUGACCCCUAAGCAUUAAAUCUGAUCAACUUUUAAACCAUAAUCCCUAAAUCCAUAUAUAUACACUCCUAAUCAAUUACUAUAACCUUAAAAUAGUAACCCGGCCCUAAAUCUGACCUAGCUAAAAUCUUAAAUUAAUAAUCAUAUAUAUUAUACCCUAAACCUAAAACCCUAAAUUAACUAUAGUGACAAUUAAUUAAUUCAAUAUUUUAAAUUUAAAUUAAUACUAUCUCUUUUAUGAUUAUAUAAGAAAUUUUUUAUGAUUAUAAAUUAAAAAAAUCAGUAAUCAUGUACCUAAAAAACUUUAAAAUUCUUUUAAAAAUAGCAUUUUAAUUUUUCCAUGUGUUUUUAUUUCAAAUUGUUUCUACGUGUUAUUUUUUUUCUGAAGAUUUUAAAUAUUCAAUUAGAAAUAAGUUCAAUUUUAUUUAAUAAAUAUAAAUAAUAAACAAAUUAAGAUAAAAUGAUUUUUGUGGCGCUUUGUCAAACACACCGCUAAAAACCAGAGCAUUAGCGGCACUUACCCAUAAACGCCACUAAAUCCCCCGAAAGCUCAGAAAACGGCGUCGUUGGGCUUAGGUAUUUUUGCGGCGCUUUCUCAAAAACGCCGCUAAAGCCCUGGGCAUUAGAGGUGCUUAAUUAAAAAUGCCACUAAAUCCCCGAAAGCUCCAAAAAUGGUGUCGUUGGGCUUAGGUAUUUUUGCGGCGCUUUCUCAAAAACGCCACUAAAGCCCUUGGCAUUUGCAGUGCUUACAUAAAAACACCACUAAAUCGCCAAAAGCUCAAAAAACGGCGUCGUUAGGCUGAGGUAUUUUUACGGCGCUUAACUAAAAACGCCACUAAAUCCGCGAAAAGCUUAGAAAACAGUGUCGUUGGGCUUAUGUUUCUUUGCGGCGCUUUACCGUAAAUGCCGCUAAAGCCCUUAGCGUUAGCGGUGCUUACCUAAAAACGCCGCUAAAUCUCUGAAAGCUCAGAAACGGCGUCGUUAGGCUUACGUUUUUUUAUUCCUGAGCCUUAGCAGCGCUUUCUUAAAAAACGCCGCUAAAUCCUCGAAAGCUCGGAAAACGACGUCGUUGGGAUUAGGUAUUUUGCGGCGCUUUAUGGAAAACGCCGCUAAUGCUUAUUUUCAGCGGCGUUUCCAUGAUGCGCCGCUAAUGAUCGAUCUUUAUCGGUGUUUUUUAUCCAACCGCUGCUAAAAACGCCGCUAAAAGCCUGUUUUGGUGUAGUGAAAAAAUAUUUAUAUAUAGGGAAGAAGAAAAAAUAGAACUGGGCAUGGAGUUAAAAGUUUUAAAGAACGGUGUGUUUGUAAAGUUGGGAGUUUCAAGGGGGGAAAUUAGGGAUUUCAGGGGGGAAAGAUUUCAGGGGGAAAAAUUUAUAAAUGGUGCCAUUUUUUAAGUAAAAUUAUUUUUUGUGGCGUUUUUUGUAAAAAAGCCUCUAUUUCUUACCUUUUGCGGCGUUUUUCAUAAAAACGCCGCAAAAAAAAUUUCAUUUUGAACAAAACGAUGCUGUUUUGCUCUGCUAAAAAUCCUUUAUUUUGUCUGUUAAAAAUUAUUAGUUAAGUGAUUUUAUAAAACAUUUAUUAUUUUUUUAUAAAUUAAAUUUUUAUAAAAAAAUCAAGUACUCUCGAAAUAAAUAUAGUAUAUUUUAAUAAGAAAAAAUGAUUAAAUGGCUGUAAUUAAUUAUUAAGUUAUAAUUAUCCAAUGUAAGCAAUUAAUCUCUCACAUAUCAAAUUUAUAUUAAAGAUUGAGACGUUAAUCAUGAUUUUAUAUUAUUCAUUUCCGAUCUAAUCUCCAUUUUAUUAGAGAUAUUUCUUCCUAACUAAAUUAUAACUAUUUUGCUUGAUGUUCGAUGUGGAAUGAUUUUAGUUUUUGUAUUUCAUUUUAAUUUAUUUGUUAUAAUUUGGUCCUAUAUAUCCAAAAUAGAUAGUUACCUAUCCGUAUCAAUUUGUUACAUUUUUUGUAUUUUUGUAUUAUUUUUAAAAUCUAAUAAUUAAAUAUAUCAAAUUGUUUAGAUUAAAUAUUUUUUAAUAUAAAAGCAUUAAUUAAUUAUAUAAAAUUUCAUCAUUUAACAAAUUUAAAGUAAACCUUAAAUCCUAAACCAUUUAAUAUAUAUAAAGUUUAUCUAUUACCUCUUAAAUAAUUUAAACUAUAAUCAUAAUUUUAAUAUAUUAAAAUUAAUAUUAUCUCUUUUACAAUUAAAUUAGAAAAUAUUUAAUAUAUAAAUUAAAAACACCAAUUAAUCUAAACCCUAAAUCCCUAACCCCUAUCUUUUAAACUCUAAAUCAUAAAACAUAAUCCUUAACCCCUAGACCCCUAACCCUUAACCCCCAACCCUUAAACCAUAAACCAUAAUCCAUAAUCCCUAAACACAUAAUCCCUAAACCUUAAAAUUUGGAUAUUCUUCUACUUGGAUCUAAGGUAUAUUCUUCUACUUGACGAUGGGUAUUGAUCCACCAUACUAAUUAUCAAAUCAUUACUUGGAACUCACUAGCCAGACUUUAUAAAGGAAAAAAACUUAAUACUCUAGUGAUUUGCAUGAAAACUUUCGAAUAGUUAAGUGGCUAUUUUGUAAAUUUUUGCAGUUGAGUGAUCAAAAUGUAAAUUCACUAAUAGUAUAGUGACAUUGGGUGUAGUUUACCCUUAUUUUUAUUUCAAUGAAUUUAAUUAUUCUAUUACAAUUUUUUUGUCAAUAUUUCUUUGUUAUAUGUCUACAAAAUGAAGUUUUUUUUUAAUUUCAAAAUAUCAAACUAAUAAACCAUAACCCCUAAACCCAUAAUCCAUAAACCUUAAAAUGGUAACACCUAAACCUUAAACUCUAAACCAUAUACCCUAAACCAAAAACCCUAAACUCUAGUGAUAAUUAAUUCAAUAUUUUAAAAUUAAUAUUAUCUCUUUUACGAUUAUAUAAGAAAUUAUUUAAUAUAUAAAUUAAAAAAAUCAGUAAUGUACCCAAAAAACUUUAAAAUUAUUUUAAAUAAUAGUAUUUUAAUUUUUCCAUUUUUAUCAAAUAUUUUAAAUUAUUUUAAAUCCUUGAGCAUUAGCGGCGCUUUAUCAAAAACGCCACUAAAGCCCCGAGCAUUAGCGGCGCUUUUCCAAAAACUCCGCUAAAGCCAGGAGCAUUAGCGGCGCUUUCCCAAAAACGCCGUUAAAAGCCUGAGCAUUAGCGGCACUUUCCCAAAAACGCCGCUAAAGCCUUGAGCAUUAGCGGCGCUUUCACAGAAACGUCGCUAAAUCCCUGGGCAUUAGUGGCGCUUUCCCAAAAAUGCCGCUAAAGCCUCGAAAGCUCAGAAAAUGGUGUCGUUGGGUUUAGGUUUUUUGCGGCGCUUUCUGGAAAACGCCACUAAUGCUUAUUUUUAGUGGUGUUUUCCUUAAAGCGCCGCAAAUGCUCGAUCUUUAGCGGCAUUUUUUAUCCAAGCGCCGCUAAAAAUGCCGCUAAAAGCCUGUUUUGGUGUAGUGUUAAUUGAAAUUUCUUUCUAAUUAAAACCCCUAUUAUCACAUUAACCGUAUUAUGGAUUCGCCUAUCAGAUUUGACUCUAAUCUGGUAGAUUUAUGUCGUCCUAUUUAUAGGAUUGCAUACAAUUCCACUCAAUUACGCUAGAUCUACUCUUAAACAUGGUCUAUUCCUCCUCUGAUUUAAACACAUCACACGUGGAUCAAUAAUCUAGAAAUAUCAAACCAAGAAUUAAGCACACAUAAUUGAGAACAAAAUCUAAGUAUUUAUUGCGUAAAAUAAAAAUUAAAUGACAGAAUUCAUCAUAGGGUUCAUCUCCUUAGGUAUUUAGAAAAAUAGUUCAUGCUUGAAAAUAAAAACAUCCCAAAGACAAUAUAUCCGAAAGAAAUAAAGAAACUCAUUAUAAUCUCCUGAGAAAUCAACUGGGAGUCUUUAAUCUUGACAGAAGUUUGCUUUAGAAUCAUCUUCAAUGGUGUUUUUUGGGUUGUUUUCUUGAGUUAUUCUAUGACAGCUCUCUCAUAUCUUCUUAUUUUUGUCAUAUAUAUGUCUUAGAAUGCCUAAAUAACCUAAAAAAUGUGAUUUCCUGCAGUUUAGGGUGCAAAUUUAUGCAAUCGACAUGGCCUACCACAUGGCCGUAUGGUAACCCAUAUGGGUAAGCCGAUCGUGUGGCCAGGCCAUGUGAAAGGGGCUAGCCUAUGUGGCUACUGUACCUUGCUCCGAUUUUUCAAUUUUCGCUCAUUUUUCACUCCCAAAUACUCUCCUAAGUAUAAAAACAUGAAUUUAAAGGAUUAGGAGCAUAAAAUUCACCAUUAACAUCGAAUAAUUACCCAAAAAUGCAUUAAGAAUGAGAUUAAAACAUGUUACUUUUAACACUUAUCAUUUUCUUAAAUCAUAUUCUUUUCUAUUUGUAAACCUAACUGAACAAUAAGAUGGGAUCAUUUGAAGUUCUAGAUUUGUGAUUAUCUCUUUUAUUAUUUGAUCAACUCAAUUAGUUAACAUUUUUUAAAGAAAAAAUUAAUUAAUAUUUAUAUAAUUAAAAAAUAUUAUGAUAUUAAUUAUUUUGUAUUGUGACAUAAUUAUAUUUAGUACAUAUUAUUUUAUAUAAAAUAGUAUCCAUACACAUUUAAGGACAUAUAAUAUAUUAAUUGUUAUAUAAUUAAAUUAUGAAUGUAAAAUAAUUAUUAUAACAUUGUGAUAUUACAAUGUGUAUUCUUCUAUUAACAAUAUGCAACUUAAACCUUAAAUAUGCAAAUACUUGUAUAUAGGCUACACUUCUCUAUUACAUCAACUAGACUCACUCCCACAAAAAAGAUCUUUUUACUAGCCAAUCCUAAUUUCAAAUAGAUCAGUUUUCCUCAUUUGUUUCUCUUUUAUUGUCUUUCUUAUUAGUGAAGGGGAUUCUUAAGAAAGCUUUUUGGCCAAUCAAGAAGAAUUUGGUACAUGGCAAUGUUAAUUCCAGCCAACAAGACAAAUGGAAUUUAAUAUGUAACCCUGUGAUAAAGAAUGAGUGCGAAACAUGAUCAUAAGUUUGUCCAAGUUGCAGAUUAGGCCUAUAGACGAUCGAAAAUAAACUUGAAUUUUGACACAACAUGAAACGUAAGCAAAUUCAAGUUAGAUCUAAGAAUUUAAAAAUUAAAGGAAGCAAUUAAAAUAGAUAAUUAAGAUAGAUAAAAAUAAUUAAAUAAAUCAAAUAUUUAAAUAAUUAAAUAGGAACAAAAUAGAAUAAAGAUGAAAAUAAAUAAGAUAGAUAGAAAAGAUGAAGAUGACGUGUAGAAGUUUUAAGGAGCCUUGGAAACAAGAUGAAUCCACAACCCCCUUCAAACGACUCCAAUUUCCCCUCCAAUAAAGAAAACCUGGCAAGAAAAAGCUUGAAGAUGAUCCCCAUAAUCUGAAAUGAUUGUCAACUCUUGUAAAAGAAAACUAAAGAAAAAUUCUUAAAAAGAAAAUUGAAAGAGAAUUUUAUUAACUCAAAGUGAAUAAUGAAUGAAUUUAUUAUGUACAGCGAAGAGGCAUUUAUAUAGGUUAGCUAAGUAAAUCCAAAUAAAACUUUUAAGUAUAUUGAAACUCUAAUUACCCUAAACAAUUAAACUUUCUUGUUGACAUAAAACCCCUAAAUAACUUAAAAUACUUAAAAAUUAUCCAAAAUUUGGAAUAAAUAAAUAAUAAAAUAAUAAAAAGUAAUAAAUACAAUAUUGUGCUAGUAUAUAAUAAAAAUUAAGCUUGAAACUCAAACCAAUAUGAUUUAAACUCAAACAAAAAAGCCCAAAAACUCGUAAUUUUCGUAAUAGUCUCAUACAGAAAUUCUGCACGCACAGUCUUCACUAAAACAGUCAUAAAUUGAGUUCCCAAACUCGAAAUUGAGUGAUUCAAAGUGCAUUGUGAAGCUAAGAGAUAGAUAUUCAAACUCUAUGUAGACAUCUAAGACCAUAAAUACCUGGAUGCUAUCCAAAAAUUUGUUGCAAUUUGACUAUUCUUUUCAGCUUGAAAAUUGACAGUUUGGUUGAAUUAACUUUAAUAAAUUUCACCUAUUUCGUGCAUGUAUCAUUCCCCCUUUCCUCAAAAAGAUUCAUCCUCCCGUAUUGUCUUUGAUCGAAUCUUAGUUUGAUAUGCUUGACCUUUGGCAUUGGUUUUGGGCCUAGAGGUAGUGUAAGCCCAUCGCAUCUAUGGGCUUGAAAUUGAGCCCUGAGAAUCGCAUCACCCAAUAUACAUAAAACACCCUAUUACCCGACUUGAUCAUCGAGUCCGAGUUACAAGAUGCCACAUUCAUUUCUGAAGCAACUACAUUCAUUUACAAUCAAUUUAUACUAUUAGCUGAUUAAAUUCAACCAAAACAUGUAUUUAAUACGAUAUACAAUCAUUUAUAAGUUUUACACAAGCCUAAUAAAGCCCUAAAGCUAACCCGAGAUAGAAAUAAGACCAAAUUGUAAGGAAUUCAAAAUAUAGGAUUGACGUUGUGACUUGAGAUAGUUCCUUGUCGCGACAUAACAAACUAUUUUUGCCUCAUUGAUAUGACGGGGUCUCUCGUCUCGCCGUGACAUUAUACAUCAUUUCUUGUUGUGACAUCAAGAGCAUGUCAUCGUGACGUGACAUACUGUCUCUACAAAUUUCUUUUUUUUAACAACCUGCAAACUUCCAAACCAAACUCUAAGAACAUUCAAACAUUAACCAACCAACAUAUGCAAUUAUAUAGCAUCAAUUCAUGCAAUUUAAUACCUUAUCCAACACUAGGCCAACACCUUAACGCUUACAAGCUAUCUAUCCAAUAUAAGUCAUUCAAAUCAUUUACACUUUUAUCUAAAUCACCUAAUUCCUUUAUAUUUGGUUUAUCUACAAUUUUGUUCUGACAGCUUGAUUGCAAUAUAGUGGCUUGUCCACAUGUAUCUGAUAUGACAGUUUUAACAAAUUCAGGUGGCACUGUCCACAGUUAUCUGUUGGUGUGAUUUGGUUGGACGAGUUCUGGGAAAACUCUAUUUUGGUGUGUAGUGAAGUUGGGUAGGAUUUUUUCUGAUAAAUCUGCACUCUAAUUGGUUUCAAAAUAAUACUGCAUCAACAUCCACAUGCAUUUACUAUUCUGUUCUGUUUUGAUUUUAUUUAUUCUACUCUGUUUUAUUUUGUUCUACUAUGUUGUAGUACCGCUGUCAAAAUCUUUGUGAUAUUCUAGAUUUGUUUCGUACUGGUUAUAUAACUGUUAUUAAGUUCUCUACGUUACUAUGAUUUAUAUAUUAUGAUAUGUUUAUUUUAUUUGAGUUUAGUUAUACACGGUGCUUGGUAGCUCACCCUUUGUCUUAUUUAUAUCUAUUCAGUUAAACAUCUGACUUAGGAUCGAACGAUGUACGAGAGCUAGGAUUGUUUUGCACUGAUGUAACUAUGAUUUAAUCUUUCAGGUUUAUAAUUUGAUUUUUAGACUUGCCUUUUUUAUAAUCUUAUCAGUAUUUGACAAUUUCUAACGCGAAACUACAAAAUCACUUAAGUCGACUAAACAGAUUGUGGGUUCAAAAUUAAACCCCAAAAAGAUUUUCCAUUACCAAUCAACCAAUCAAGUAACAUUUUGAAAGUUUUCUGAAUAUUUACUGAAAUCAAUUUUCAAUACAUUAGGGUAACUCUUCUCGAUUCGGCUUAAAAUUCUAAGCUAAGUUUGGGGAGUUAGAUUUAGUGAUAUCAGAGCCAGGUUUGUAAAACUCAAACUGUGGUUUUUAGGUUCAAAACGUUUCCAAAAAAAUGCUUUAAGCAAGUGGAACUUCUAUCUGACUUCGAGAUUUAAGGUUUUUGAAAGUACGUGUUCAUAUUUUGAUUAUUUUUGAGUCUGUAAACAAAGAAUCUGAGACUCCGAUGUCGAUCCUUUAAGUAACUCUACUUUAGCUAUAUUAACUGAACUAACACAAACCGUAGUGUUUUGGUUACUCUAUCCUAACUAAACUAUGGAGAAUUCUAUGAAAACCUUUGUUAAAACUUCAUAUUUAGGGUUCUCAAUGAACCUAAGCUAACUCAUAAAAUUUCUGGAAUUAUAAACUAGCAUAAUGAGUACCCGUAGCCUUGUUGGGCGAGGGCAUGUUAAAUAUAGACAAGCGACUCGAGUUGAGACCUCUUUUUGGGGCAUGAGCCCAAGUUGAGAAUUUAUGAAUUUGUUAGGACACUUGGAUCUAAGGUCAAUGAUCAAGGGGCGUAGGGCACUGUGGUGCCUGGGUUGUAUUUGGUGAUUUGCGGGAGUCAAUGAGACUUAAUUUGAAACUAUGGGUCAAGGGUCUGUGAUUAAAGAACUCUAGAAUACGAGAGGAGUACGAGUUCUAUUGAUUCGAAUCUACGACCUAGUUUAAUUAGUGAUUUUUGUGAUGUGUUUUUGUGAUAAAUUACGUUGAUGAAUAGAAAUUUGCUGGAAAUAUUGUUUGGUUUUGUAUGGAAUUUGAUUUGCGCUGCGACAAUGUGGUGGUUUGUAUAAAUGAGAACAAUUCUGAUUUUACGGUUUAAAGACUGAUGAGACUCUAGGAAUUUAGGAAUGAAAUUCUUUUAAGGGGGAGAGAGUUGUAACAUCCCAAAAAUCAGGUUAGAAGAAAUUAAGUUUUGAAACCAAUCAUGGUUACUUUUGAUUUUGAUUCUAGAUUUGGAAUUUUUUUUACAACGAAAUUAAUCAGGUUUAGUGGUUAAGUGUUAAGUUUGUGUGUGCGAGGUUUUGGGUUCAAAUCGCAUCUCUUGAAAUUUUGUUAUUUUGACUAAAUCCCAUCUUUGGACAUAUAGGUUAUAAGUUAUUUUCGAUCAAAUGAUGACAAGAAUGAGCUUGCUAGUUUAAUGGUUAAGCUUUUGUAUACUCUCUAGUCUGAUGUUUGAAUAUCUGCGAAAGCAAUAUGAAAAUGUUUUUAUUUUGCUACCUCGUGAGGUAGUUUUGGCUGGUUUUAAAUUAACCAAUUCUCUCAACUUUUUUUUUCUAUUACAGUCUUUCUAUUCUUUUUGUUCUUGACUAUCGUCUUGGCCCUUUCUCUUUUUAUUUAUCAAUUCUUCCUUCAAUGAUUAUCCGUUGAAUCCAUGUAACAUCUAUCCUUCUAAUUUUUGUGCGUUGUUCAUCUGUAAUCAAUCCUGUAAGUAUUCUCUGUCAUGUUCCUGCGUGAGUUUGUUGUUAGACGAGGUUGUAAUUCCUUUUCUGUUAUGAAAAUGUUGACUUGCGUAAUUUUUGUUAGGCGAAGGUCUCGAGUUCAAUGUUCUCUCGAUAGCUUAAGGUCUAUGAAAUUGCAGUUCCAUUAUCAGUAAGUGUGUAGUCUGAUUUGGAGUUUUUGUGCCAAAGUUCUUCGACAUAGUUUCAGUUUGAAUGCUAGUUAGCGCAUUGGUUCGAUUAAUUCAAUUGAAUAGUUAAUUGAAUGUUGUGAUUAGAUGUCAGGAUUAUUUUGGUUGCUCCUAUGUCAGAACCGUAUCAGGUGGGAACAAAAAAAACCUGAAUUUGUCUGAUUCAUGGAUGUAAAAAACAUGGCCUUCGACGCCACACGGUUAUGUGCCAGGCUAUGUGGUAGGCCAUGUGUGCCACAUGACCAUGUGUGAGGUCGUGUGGUAGACCGUGUGAGGCACUGUUUGAGUCACACGGGUCAGAGACACGAACAUGUGUCCUGGCCAUGUAACUUACUAUUUUGGAAAUAGGGUCACCCGGGCUAGAGACAUGGGUGCAUGUCCAUGUUGUGGGGACCGCACGGGCCAGCUGUCCAAUCCAUGUGAAUCCACAUGGACGUGUGGGCCAAAAAUUAAAAAAUUUCCCUAAGGCCGUAAAUAUGUUUUGAAGUGAGCAUAGGCCUUCUGUAGGGUCCGUAUGAUCUGUAUUAAGCUAUAAAACUCGAUAUUUGUUAAUCUAUUAGUAUAUAACCUAUUAUUUAUAUAUAUGUCUAAAUUGAUAUAUAAGUUAAGUAAUAAUGACUUGAUAAUGCAUAAUGUACCUCUGUUUGGAUGCGUUAGAGUAUGCAUUUUGGUUCAGGUACGAUUCGUAUUAUGUUAAGUUUGCUGGUACGCCUCUGUGUUACUCUAUUGUUUAAGAAUAUGUGAUAUGUGAAUAUGAUGAAUUGAUUGGUACUGAUUCUGAUUUGUAGCCAUGCAAAUAACUUUAUGGAAAAUCUGAUAAAUCUGUUUUACUAGUUUGGACUUACAUGUUCACUGAUUCAGUCAUUUUUCGACAACAUGACCUUCAUGCUUAUCUCUCUGAUUCUUUAUAUGCAUGCCAUGACAUAUUGCAUGGGAUUUGGGAUGAUGUGAAAGAAGGAAUUUUUUGGCAUUUCAAUGAUCUGUACUAUCUGGUGGUUUAUCCACAAUUUUUGUUCUAACAACUUAACUACAAUACAGUGGUUUGUCCACAUGUAUCUGAUCUGGUAGUUUAACUGCUAAUUCAGGUGGCACUGCCCACAGUUAUCUGUUGGUAUGAUUUGGUUGGACGAGUUUUGGGAAAACUCUAUUUUGGUGUGUAACAGAGUUAGGUAGGAUGUUUUUUUGAUAAAUCUGCACUCUGAUUGGUUCUGCAAUAAUACCGCAUCGACAUCCGCAUACAUUUACUGUUAUGUUCUACUUUAUUCUGGUCUGCUCUAUUCGGUCCUGUUUUAUUUUGAUUUGGUUUGUUCUACUUUGUUCCGUUUUGUUUUGUUAUGUUGUACUACUGUUGUCGAAAACUUUGUGUUACUGAAAAUCUAUUUUGUACUGGUUAUAUAACCACUAUUAAGUUCUCUGCGUUACUAUGAGUUAUAUAUUAUGAUCUUUUUAUUUGUAUUUGAGUUUGGUUAUAUGCGAUGCUUAGUAGCUCACCCUUUUUCUUAUCUGCAUCUGUUCAGGUAAACAUUUGACUUAGGAUUGGAUGACUUAUGGGAGCUCAGAUUGUUUUGAACUGAUAUAACUAUGAUUUGAUCUUUUGGGAUUGCAAUUUAUUUUUGGACUUGCCUUGUUUUUUUAUAAUCUCAUUAGUAUAGGACAAUUUCUAACAUGAAACUAUAAAAUCACUUAAGUUGACCAAAUGGAUUUAGAUUUCAAAAUUAAACCCCAAAAAUAUUUUUUGUUACCAAUCAAGUAACAAUUUGAGUGUAUUCUGAAUAUUUAAUAAAAUUAGUUUUCAAUACAUUGGGGUUACUCUUCCAGAUUCGGCUUAAACUUCUAGGCUGUGUUUAGGGUGUUACACCGACACAAUUGAAAAAUGGGCUAUUACAUCUCAACCUCUAUCUAAUUAACUAAUCCACCAAUACGUGCUUAUCUCUUGACCUCACUAUCUUGAAUGGGAUAAGUUAUUAUUUACUUGCUAAACUUAUCUUUUAACCUCGUUUAUCCUAAAUUACUUAUUAGGGUUUAAUCGCAAUAAUUUAAACCAACUAUGUCACACCCCAAAAUAGGGCCAAGAAGUUUUGAGGGUAUUUUAGAAAUUUUUGCUUCUAAGUGCUCAAAAUUUUGUAAGUUUGGUAAUCGAUAAUGUUUUCGAAAAAGGCUAUUAGGAUAUUAAACCAAUUUCUGAAAUUGAGUUUUAAAUACCUUUAAUUUUAGAAAAAAGGAUUGAUUUGUAACAGAAUCAAAACAGUGAGCAUUUAUGUUGCAGUUUAACCCAUUCUUGAAAUUGAACCUAAUAAACCCUCAUUCCUAGGUCUAUUUUAAGAUAGUUGCUCUCCAAAGUUUUCUAUUACCGACCUUUGCUAUCCUCUUGAUCUUUCAAUUGAUUUUUGAUUCACAAACCAUAAUAAUUUGAUUUCCUAUCAUUCCCAAGUCAAUUACCUUCAUAAAUCUCCAAGAAAAACACUCAAAAACUCUACAGAUUUCAUCUUCUUCUACAAUUGUGGGUUUCUCAAAUUUGCAUCGAAACUCGUUUAAUCUUCUGUCAAAGGUAACCAUUCACUUUCCCAUUAGAUCCUAAUGUUAUCUAGACUUUAAAAUUGAGUUUUUAGUUAUGAAAUUGCAUGUUUUAAUUAAAACCCAAAAAUUGGGUCAUUAAUGGUGGGUUUUCAUCUUGUUUUAACUUGAUUAGAAGGUUUGUAAAAUUACUUCAAAGUUUUGUUAAGGAUUUCUCGUGUUUUAAUGAACUUUCAUUAGAAUGGCCAAAACUUGUUGAAAAAUUUUGGUACCUUGAAACGUGUAGUUUUAUAUAGUUUAAAGGUUGAGAAUUAGUUGUAAAUGAAUAUGUAGAUGAGUGGAACUUGUUUCAUGCGAAAAGGUUAAGUGUAGAUCGAGAUGUUUGCAUUUUAAGUCCGUCAUACUAAAGGGUUUGGUUACAGAAGAAAGUAGCUUAGGCUUGUGUUUCGGUUGGUUUAAGUGGGUCCUUGGCUGUCAUUUAACUGUGUGUAUUAUGUGAUUAUCAUGUGUGAAGCCUCAGAUUCAUUAGAGCCUCAUACGAGUUAGAGGAAGAGCUUGUUCGAGCUCUCAGUUUUUAACAAAUGUUAGUUUUGGUGAGUGUUUUAGGAUCGCUACUCAUAGAUAAUUUGUUGUGUAAUUGGGAAUUUAGAGGAAGCCUAAACCCCUAAUCUAAAUUUUGAGUGUAAGUUUUCUCACACCUAUGAUUAAAUGUGAUGUAAAUGUGUUUGUGCUAUUGAGGAAUUGUGAACAUGAAUGAGAUGCAAUGACAGGUGUUAUAAGUUUGUGAUGACUGUUGUGAUAGUGAACAUGUGGGUAUGUUACUUAUGCCACGUGACAGUGAACAUUUUGUGCUAACAAUGUGAAUAUGUAGUGAAUGUGUGCGGAAAAUUGAUAAGUAAAUAUAUGAUAAUAAUAUGGAUAUUUUGGCUUUGUGACCUUAUGAGAUCGUUGGAUAUAGUUCGCAGGCCAUAGGAUUGUGAGUACUCACCUAUAUAUGUGUUGUGAUGUUUCUGCAUUGAGGCCCAUGAUAGUUUUUGGAUAGAUAAGGGAAUGUGAACUAAGCUCCAUUCAUUGGGAUAUGUGUGAUUGGUGUGUUGGAGAGUGUUAGCUAAAAGCUUCACUUAUGGGAUAUGUUCGACUCUAUGAGUCUAAGUGAUGUGCUGGAGAUCUAUGUAUCCAAUGAAUGGCGGUAGAGUCCACUUCUCGUUUCAUAAUCUCAAGAGCCCAAACUAUCAUUAAAAGUACCUCAUGUGUUUUAAUAUAUGCGCUUGAAUAAUCAUGUGAACAAUAAGUAAAUGAAUGUAUGAAAGAUGGUUAAACAUGUAAAAUAUGAUAUAGAACUAGGGAUGCCAUCAAUACGUUAUAUGACUGUUUCAUUGUUGGAUAAUGACUUGUUUGCAUAGUGGUUGUUUCCAAGCAUUCACUGAGCUUGUUAAGCUCACCCACUCCAUUUUAUCCUUUGCAGAGUAGUUGCAUUUCGGGUGUGAGCGAUGUGGCAAUCAAGGGGGUUGAUCAAAGCCAUACUUUUAGUUGCUAUAGUAGGUGUUAUAUGCUUAAUUAUGAUUUGGAAACAAAGGUAAUGUGAUAGUCCAAUGUUGUAGAUUUUACUUCGAUUUUGAUAAGUCAAUUUUUGGGUUGUUUGCAUCUAUUUAUGUUUGAAAGUAUGUGGACUUGAUUAUGAUAUUGGGACUACUAUUUCGAAUAUUUUGAUGUUUCUCUAACUAGGUGAAUGAAACAUGUUGUUUGGGAUUAAGUUUGAAUGAUAUUAUUACUGACACAUGCCAAAAUUUGGUAGUCUAGAGCAGAGGUGUCGAUAUGUGGGUUUUAAAAAUGAUACCUCUGUAAUUUCGAAAGUGCAGUAAAACAAAAUAUAGAAUUGGUAUCGAUACCUUGGCCCGAGUAUCGAUACUCGAGGUAAAUUUAUCGGUACCUAGUGAAAGAUACCAAUAGUUUUCGAUGUUUGAGAAUUUUGCUGAGAAACAGAAUGCAAGUUUGGUAUUGAUUUUUCAAGUGGUAUCGAUACCACUUAAAUAAAAUAUCGAUACCACUCUUUUAGUAUUGAUACCUAGGUAAAAUUUUUAGGAAAAUUUGCUAAGUGGUCACAAUGCUCGAUGUAUGUCCAUUUUAUGUUUAUUUGUCGUAAGUUAGCAUGGUUAAACAAUAAUUUCAGUUUGCAUGUCUUAAUAUUCGCAUGAUAGCUGUAGUAAAAAAGGAAAAUAAAAAUGCUUGUAUACUAAAUGUGAUGAUUACGAUGAAAUCAAUGUGAGACAAUGAUGUAGCAUCGUAGAACUCGGGCUCAACGACCGAGCCGAGUAUAGGGUGUUACAAGAUAACUCAUAUUUAAACCCUAAUUCAUCUAUUAAUUAUUCACACAUUCAUUCGUUAAUCUCCCUAAGAAAACUAGCCACUCAUGGAUCUAAAUGCAAUAACCCUUAAAUUCAUAUUCAAUAUACAAACAGUAAAUUAAAUAAGAAAAUAGAAUAAAAAAUAAAUCUGUUUCUAUGUUGAUUUGAGCACGAAAGCCAGAUUUCCUUUAACAGUUGCGAAGAUAACUCCAAUUGGGAUUGAAAAACAAAAAGAAAUAAAUGAAAACUAUUUAAUUGGAAGCUUGAAUCGGAAUUGAAUUCAAGUUAAACAAGAAAAAAAUUGUUUAGGACUAAAUUGAAAGAGAAUAAAAACUGAAAAUAAAAACCCUAAAACGAAACCCUAAAAUGAACUAAGUGGCUCACUUGGCGAAGCCACUUAAAAUGAGGCUAUACACUACUAUUUAUAGACAAAUUUGUGUGACCUAAUUAGGUUAAAUUAACAACAUAAUACUAAUAAAAAUACAUUGCGCAAACUAAUUUGCCCCUGAUUAAUUUUGACUUGUUAGUCAAUCGAUGUCGUGACAUCAUAGGACUGGUGUCGCGACAUGAAUUAUUUAGCUUUGAAGGUUGAUGUUGCAACACCAUAUUUGGUGUCAUGACCCUGACGUCAUCUUUCGCGUUCUAAGCCUAAAAUUAGUGUUCUUCACACUAAAGUAGCUCAUUAGUUCAGCCCUAGGCCUGUAUAGGCCCAUUAGGUCAUUAAUUGGCUAAAAAUUGCAUAAAAAUGCUUAUUUUUCAUAAAUUAAACCUAAAAUAAUAAAAAAACAUAAUAAAAACAUAUUAAAAAAUUAGAAAAUAAGCUGGUUAAGUGCCAGAAAGACUCUAAUUUGCCACAACGAAUUGUGACACAUCAAACUCCCCCACAUUUAAGUCGUUGCUUAUCCUCAAGCAACAAAGUAAAAACACACAAGAACAAGAAAAUAAAAUAACUAAAUAGUGCACGAGCAUGCUAAAUACACGAGAUUAGUUCGAAAUAAUAUAAACAAGAUAAUGUAAUUAAAAACGUAAUUUUAGCACGAUAUAUAAUCGACUUCUGAUUUUCAAUAUCAGACACGUUAGUUCACUAGGUUACAAGGUAAACAAAUUCAAGAAUGUUAAGCAUAGCAUUCCAUUGAAACAAGUACACAAAAUUUACAUUUAUGUUCAAAUAAACAAGUGGUCAAAUGUGUUAAUACUUAGUUUUAUUUUGAUCCAUGAAUUGUUUCACUUAGGUCACAUAGGACUUUUCAACUUAUAAUGUUUUACGGCUUAGAUAGUUUGGCACAUUCUCAUCACCUUAUAUCCACUUCUCUCGCCUUCCUUUUCUAUUCAUUUACUAAGGUGCUUUAUAACAUUGGUGAAUACAAUAAUCUUAGCGAGUCUUAUGUACAAAACUGAGUAUUUUUCCUUCUUUUUUCUCUUUUUGAAUUCUUUCUUUCUUUUUUAUUCACUUUGCUUUUUACAUUCGAGAUUUUCUCACUUGGCUUUGGCCUUUUCAAAGUUUUUCUUCUACUCUAUUUUUCUUUACUAAUCAUAACUUUGCAAGAAUCUUAUACUCACUAUACUAUACUAUCCCUUAGUUUUCACUCUCGAUUAUUUUGAAAUCUUUGUGAUAUAUCUUCCUAACCCUCAAUUUUAAUGGCUGGAUGUCUAGGUUCGUGUUGGGACCAAAGAGAAAAAGGAUUAAGAAUUUAUACAUUAGGCUUGUGGUUUCAUUUGAGGUUAAUCAAAAAGUGGACUUAGGCUAAAAAGUUAUGUACUAGGGAAUUUUUGUAUAGGGAUUUUUGGCUCUAGUGGUGACCAAACAAUGCCUUAGGUCAUCCUUAAGUGUCUCAAUUUAUGGAAUCAAUUAACUAAAUCUUAACAAUCUAACAAUUUAUAAAUCAAACAAACAUAUAUGCUUUUCAUGCACUUAUUUAUCAUUUGGUACACUUAACAUGUUUUUACCUAUUUACAGUGUAACAAAGUGAAGUAAUUAGUCUAAUACUAAACAACCUAAAAUUGAUUACUAUCAGACUAAGUUUAUAAUUUAAACACAAAAUCUUAUUUACGUGCUCUUAACCAAUCACUUGUAUUUCUACAAGCUCUCGCACAAAUAAGCCCACAAAAUUAAAAUUAAACUACGAAAGUAAUUAAAAACAAACAGAAAUUUUGAAAAUUUUGAAAAAAAUUGAAAAAUUCUAUGUUAUCCCUUCCAAAAAUUAUUUGGCACAUUGUCCCUAAUGUGCAACUAAAAAGAUAAGAGAAAGAGACUACCCAGGUUAGCAUUGAAGUUCCUCGAAUGUGGUUGGGUGGUCCUUCUCGUAUCGGUUUAGCUCCAAAUUUUAGUGCCUCAUAAUUUGUGGGGUUCCUACACAGAAUAAACAAGAAUUUUUUUGCAUUUAAUUAAUUAAUAAAAACUAAAUAAAAUAAUUAAAAAUAAAAAUCAUCCAAAUUAAAAUUAUACAAUCUAAAUAAAUUAAACUAAGUAAAAUUUCAAAAUAUUUAAUCAAAAUCAGAUUCCAAUUGAUCCCAUACAAUGAUCGAGUCUAUCCCACGACCCGCAACCUCCUCGGUGGCUUACCUCCUCGCGGAUUGGGUCUGGUUGCUUUGGCUCGGGUUGCAAAAUUGGAUGCCUCUGAUGGAUGGUUGUUUCGGUAGGAACACGUUGUCAAAGUUGUGGUCUAACUCUUCUCCUUCUUCCUUAGCAUCCAAUUCUCCUUCCUCCUCCCCUUCCUCAUAUUUGGCUUGCACGAAAAAUCGCGUGGAAGGGUAUCAGUUCGGUGACGGAUUAGGUACGUAGAUACCAUACCUCUGAGCGUAGUCAAUGCCCACCGGUGUCAUUACUUUUAUCCAUUGGAUUACCCACUCUAUGUCAAUCAUAUCACUAGACCCAUGGCUCGGUUCCUCUUCUCCUUACUCUUCCGCUUCAAAGAUUUCGAGACAUCCAUUUUGUUUUUUUGAUUUUUUUAAUUCUUUGAUUUGCUUCCUUUGAAGCUUGAUGUAUUGAGUGUAGAGUAAUUACUGAUGAGGAUCCUCAUCAGCUUUACAAACUGCUCCGUUGAGGAAAUGGGAACCUUCGCCUCUUUGCAUAGGGAAGUCACUAGGUACGGUAAAAAUAUCCCAACCUUCCUGUCGCUAAUACACAUGAGAAUGGAUUGAUAAAUUCACUUACCCAUGCAAGCCUGUCUCUGCUGUAAAAUACAAUAAGGAAGAAAAAGUCAGAAAGUAUUAACAUUGGAAACAUUCAGGGCCGAUGAUAUACAAGUGCAGAUAAAUUGCAUCCACAUUUCUGCAUCUGGAAACAUAAUUGCCUGAUUGAAUAAUAAUGGAAUAUUGGUUCUUGGUUGGCAUUUCCAAACGCCUCUCCACUCAGUUAAGUAGUUAAUAAUAGUGUCCAUAUCAAUGUCUCAGAAAUAGUAAGUAUCUAAAUCAACGAGAGUGUUCGAAACAUAAUACGAAGCAUCGUAAAAAUUACAGAUAUCAUAGAGAGUAACGGGGACCUAUUUUCCCCCAACCCUAAAAUGUCAAUAUUCGACAUUUGGGACCUUAUUAUUUUCCCCUGCUUUAAGGGAUGCAUAAAAUUUGUACACCACAAAGUUGAUCCCGACUCUUUUAGCGUGAGGUAAAAAUCGAUCCAAUGGCUCGCCUGGAGCAAAUCACAUAUAUCAUCAUUCAAAUUGAAUGACAUGUUGAACUCGUGUUCUUGAAUAAAAGUCUUGCCUUGGAGUUCUAAUAAGUUCUUUUCGACUUCUUGGCUCCAAAAUCGGGUGGAAUCGAAUUCCCCCAUGUCUCUCAAUUGCAUGGUGUGGUGUACUUUCUGGGGAGCCAUUUAAAGAUAAUAUAGAUAUUCAAAUAAAAUCUAAAACAACAAAAAUGAUGAAAUAAAAUAAAAUAAAAGUUGAGAACAUUUCACCGGAGUUAUUUGUGGACAUGUGGUUUUCAAUUGGAGGGGGAGAGACUCGUGAAAAACAACAAAAAAAAAGCAAGGAAGGAAAUGAGGGGAUCGAUUGUUGUUGGAAGAGCUUAGGGAAGUGUCUAAAGUAUGUUUAAGUUGAAGAUUAAGGUAAAAAUGGGUUAGGUUAUUUAUAAGGACAGAUUGGGUUGUGUAAAAAAUGGGUCGGAUUAUUGCAAACCCAACGUUGAUGUCGCGACAUAGGGUUUUGGUGUCACAACACCACACUUCAAAUACCCUAGAUUUUAGGUUCCAAGUUUUGUGUCGCGACAUGAUUACACGGUGUUGCAACAAAGACCCAAAAUUUCAAAUUAUUUUGAAAUGAUUUUAGGUUCGAGGUACGGUGUCGCGACAUGGUUCUAGAUUUUAAAAUGAUUUUAGGUUCGAAGUGUUAUGUUGUGACAUGGAGAAGUGGUGUUGCAACAUGACCUCCAUUUUGAAAAUUUUAGAGGUUUGAAGUUUAGUGUUUUUGAAAUUCCUUGACCCUCGUUUCUGAAUUUCCUCAUUUUUUUGGUGUUUUGGGCCUUUCAUUUUCUCCUGAUUCUAAAUAAGUCCCUAUUAUCCCUUUUGCAGCUUCGUACAACCAAAAUCCUGUCCUAAUUAAAAUUUCUAACCUAAUAAAAUUUCAAAUUUUGAAAACAAGAUUUAUUUUACACUAUUUUGACAACAAAUAUUAAUUUUUUUGGUGAUUAAUUAAGUGUGGCUAUCGGAACGUGAAGUCCAUCCACCAAAUUAUUGUUCUGUUAUCGAUCUUCAAGGCCCGUUCAAUAUAUGCCCUUCCAUUUGGGUUCUUUCCACUUGUCCUGCUCCCUCGAUCCUUGUUUUCCUACACACAUUGAACUGAGACCAUACCUCCGACCAAGGUUGUUAAGGGUAAUAUAAGAAAUUAUAUAACAAUCCUCCUUUAGUUUGUUUCCUCAUUCCUCAUUUUGGGAAUCGUGGCCACAUUUGAACACCUCUAUUUCGCCAUCAAUUUUCAUAAUCAAAUCAUUUUUCUUAGGAUCGAUAGUCGACCUAGAAGUGGCCAAAAAUUGUCUACCCAACUUACUGGGAAUAUCUUGGUCCUCGUAAAAGUUAGGGACCAAGAACUUCAAGUACACAUUAGGGAUGUACAAGACACCUAUCGACUAAUUGUAGCGCGAUCGUCGUGUUUUUCAGCUCCCUUAAUCUGAGUUUUAAAUAAGUCGAUAGGGGCAUCAAAUUAAUACUGGCCUCGAAAUCACAAAGGGGCUUACUAAAAUAUAAAUUGUAAAAUUGCCCAAAUCUUUAAAUUUUGGGGGUAUUUAUCAAGAAAUGAUCUCACAUCAAGAGGCAUCGAUAUUAAUUUGUUCAUGUUUCUUUAGUUUAUUAUGUCUAUACAUUAUUUCCUUUAAAUACUUGGCAUAUUUUGGUAUAUUCUCUAUUAGUUCUAGCAGUGUAAAAUUUACAUUAAAAGAUUUAAACAAAUAGAGAAAACUUAUGAUUUUUGCCUCAUCCCUUCAGUUUUUGUCCUCUAACCUCGAUGGAAAUGGUAUGUGUUUGGACAUUAGGUCCGAGUGUUGAGCGAUUUUCAGUUCAACUACCAGUGCGGGUAAUUCUCCGCUUUUUUUAUGAGUCUGGGCUCAUCAAGGGUGUUGUCAACCAUCUUGAAUUUGUCAUCCACAUUAGUCAUAGCCAUAUUUUGGCUUACCAAAGCUUUUCCCGAAUGAAUUGUGAUUGCAUUCACAUGAUUUUUUUCAUACUUUUAGGGAUUAUUUUUCGUAUUACUCAGAAUACCCGUACCCAUUUGCUUUCACAUUUCAUUCAAUGUGCUUACGAUGUGGCGUAUCAUUUCCUUUAGUUUGGCCAUAUUAGCACGAGUUUGAUCUACUCGGUCUGGACUUGUUGCAUGUCAAAUCUCAUUAAUUGCAUCUUAGAUUUGAUUCAGUCCAAUCAUUGACCAUAAUCAACAUGAUCGUUACUAAUGGACCUUUCUUGAGAUCACUAAAUAUGCAAAGGUUGAUAUGAAGGAUUUUAUUGAUUUGGAAUUGGUUUUCGCUACCUUGAUUGCCUCCCCACUUUAGAUUUGGAUGUUCCUUCCAAUUGGGGUUGUAAGUGUUUUAAUAGGUAUUUUCGUCCCUAUUGCCCAAAUAAUUCACUUCUUCUAAUUGGGUUUCUGAGUAUGUCACGUAGUUUCAAGGGGCAUCGUGCAUGGAGGACUUAACAAUGGUCCCGAGAUGAUGUAGCUUUAGCAAAAUCUAUUGAUAAUUAUCGUCUUUCUUGACUACUUUAGCUGUUGACAACUUCGUGUUAUAUGAUAAGUGCUUGUUGGGCCACAUGUACGAGUUCAUAGCCAUGUACUCGAUCAAUUGAUAGGCUUGUUUGUAUGUAUUGUUCGUAAAGGCCCCAUUGGAUGCACCAUCUAAUCCGGCUAUUAAGCUACAAUCCAAUCCAUGGUAGAAAAUUUACUGCUAUAGCCAUUCUUGCAUUUCAUGAUGUGGGCACUUCCUUAGCAGUAAUUUAAAGCGUUCCCAUGCUUUUUAUAACUUUUUGCUUUCUAAUUGCUUAAAAUUGGCAAUGUCACACCUCAAUUGAAUGGUUUGACUAAUGUGGAAAAACUUGUGUAAAAAGUUCCCUACUACUUCAUCCCACAUCGUGAUAGAACCAAGCUCUUGUGAAUCCAACCAUUCAUACGCAUUGUCGCAAAGUGAUAAGGGGAACAAUAGAAGACGAAUGAUGACAUCGGUAACCCCGUUAUACUUGAAAGUAUCAUUUGGAUGGCGACUGUCUUGAUUUUGAAAUUAUUGGUGUUGAUUGUCGGCCUCUCGAUACUACCUCGGACUACAUCUAAGGUGGGUAGCGCGUAUUCGCGCAAGGUUCACUCUUGUCGAGCUAUCAAAUGCUCUCUUCAGAACUAUGCUUCCGGUUCUAGUGAUUCAUCAAAUGGAGGUUUUUCUUGAGGUAAGUCAACUACCACAGAUGGAUUGUUUUGCAUUUGUUGACGGGUUCGCCUUAGAAUUCUCUCUGGUUUAGGAUUUCGCUUGAUUGGAAUGGCUCUGCUAUGAGUCAUACAUAGAAAUCAAAGAGAAAUUGAAAUAAAAUUAAUAAUCAAAAAAUGAAAUAAAAUAAAAUAUGUAUCUAUAAUUCUAAAAAUUCCUAUUUUUCCUAUUAAAAUUUAGAAAAUAAAAUUUUAGUUUAAUGUCGAAACCUCGCGGCAACGGCACUAACCACUUGACCACCGCAAGACAUGCGAACGGUAGGAUUGGAAAUACUGCAGUAAAAACAUAAUAAAUAAAACAACAGUGUCUUCAAGUAUACAUGUCAAAUUGUAAUAUAGUAAAGAAUGUUACAACGAAACACUCUGAGAAGCAUUCCAAGAAUCGUACCCAAUGGAGGUUGAAAGUACUAAUCUAAAAUUAUAUUAAGAGCUACCAAAUUAAAAUUGAUCAAAAAAAAUAAUUUAUCUAUAAUUAAGACAACCAAAUAACAAUAAAAAAUAAUUCCAAUUAAAUAGGCAAAAGAUUAACUCACUUCAGUGUUCCUAAUUACCUUCAAAACUCAGGUUCUAUCGACUUGGCUAUUAAUUAACUAGUUAUACUUCUCGACCUCUAACUGAUUAACUAACCAACCAAUGCACGCUUAUUUCUUGACCUCACUUUCUUGACCGGGAUAAAUUAUGAUUUACUCAGUAAACUUAUCUCUCGAUCUUGUCUAUUAUAAAUUACUUCCUAGGGUCGUCACUUCCUACGGCUUAAUCGCACAUAAUGUAAACCAACUAUAACUGUCUGCCUCUAGACAUACUAACAUCUAAAGUGUGAAUACUACAACCAAAAUAUAAGUGUUAGACGAUUUCCUUAAGUAUACGAUUCAGGUUGUAAUAUAGUUUUACAACGAAGUAUUGAAGUGCUCUGAGGAUCAUACCCAAGGGAGGCGAGACUAAACUAACCCUAACUUCUAAGCUAAUAGGUCUAAUUAGCAAUUUAAUUUAACUAUAUUACAAUUAAUCCUAAGAUGGUGAAAAAAAAUAACUUAUGAAAUACUAAAAGAACAUAAAAACAAAUAUUGAAGACAAAUUGUAUAUUUUAUCAUAUCUAAUCAAUAGAAGACAAACUCACUUCGGCGUUCAUAACUAUCUUCUAUUUCGGGUCCUAUACAAUCAACUAGUCAUUAACCUAGCAGGGCCUCUCGGCCUUCCACUAACCUAAUGAGUCGGCAAAAACUACUUAUCUUUCGACCUAACAAUCCAAACCAGAUUUGGGUUAGGUUUUCACAUAUAGGGAAUACCAAUUUUGGGUUGAUUCCCAGCUAUUAGACUUCCUAGGGUCGUCAAGCCUAUCUCUCAUUAACGAAUUAGUUCCCUAUGGAUUUAACAAACAUCGUAAACUUGAGUAAAAAGAUAAAAAACUAAAAAGACAAAUAUUAGAAAUAAAUCAAGAAGAGAGUUUAGAAAAAUUAUGAUAUAUUAAUAGUAGUGCGAACAAUAAUUAGCCAAAUAGUUUAGUGAAUCGACAAUCUGAAUUCCACGAAGAACGAAAUAAACUAACUAGAAUCACAAUUAAAUAGAAACAGGAAUUACAAAUAGAGAAUAAAACUAAGUAGGAAACAAAAAAUAAAUAUUAAGUAAAAUUGUUCAUAAACUAAGCAGAGCAAUCCAAUUUAUAGCCCUAGGGUUGUCCAUCGGUCCUUGACCUAAUUUGGCUGACUAUUUCUUGCUAAAAUUUGUUGUGUGGACGAAAACACCUUUGACUCAUUAAUUGGCCUCGUCACAUCGGUGUCGAAACACCCUAUAGCCUAUUUUGCUACACUGAUUGCAGUAUACUAGUCUUGGGCGUGUCUUCAGGGCUUUUUCGCAACACUCUCUGGCUAUGUUGCGACAUCGAAGGUAGUCUGCUCCUUUUGAAUACUUUGUUCACUAGGUUACGACAUCGAAACUCCUUAUUGUAACAUCGUGGGCAGUCUACUAUUUAAAAUAAAUAGUUCAAUGUCUGAUUUGAUGCUUUGCAUGUCAGGUCUAGUCUUAGUUAUGAGGGUUACCUAAACUGUAUAAGACAAAAGGAGUGAGCUUAUGAAAGCUCAGUGUGAGUCAACUUAAGAUACAAUCAGAAAAAUAAUCAAAAGCGUAUAACAAUCAUCAAAAUCAUUUUAGAUUAGUACAUGGAAAAACAAAUCAGUGUAUGAGCAUGUAAUAUGUAUGAUGCGAUGCAAAAAGAUUCCUACCCAACCAUCCGCUACACACCACAAGUUCCCCAAAACCCGUCUACAAAACUCCAAAUAGUGGGAGACAAAGCUUGACGUGGAUAAACCACCAAUCAUUAAUGUAGAUAAGCUGACAGUAAAAUACAGACAAGCUGCCGGUAAUGUGGACUUGCCACCAAUGUCAGCAAUGCAGUUAAACUGCCAAUAAUGUGAUUAAAUCACUCAAUCUUUCGAUACUCUAGGUGCAGUAUACUGACUCAAUAUUGCAGACUUUAAUUACUAUCAGCACUGAACAGAACUCCUCUGUCAUCAACAAAACCAAACCCAAUGCAAAUGCAAAAUUUCAUAUUAUUAAAACCAGUGGAAUAUGAACAUGCUUUCAAUAAAUUUAGUGCCAUGCAUAAAAUGUAACAUAAACACCCACAUAACAAUAUCAGUCAUGGCUACUUCACAAGCACAUCAAAAAGUAUCUCAAUUUUUAGCAUGUUUUCCAUGCGUCCAAUGAUUAAUAUUCAUCACGCGUUAAACAAUAUGGAGUAUUUCACAACAUACAUAAAAUCGACCAAAAUAAUGGCACAUACUCAUGCAGUGUAUACAUCUUAUACACAAUCAUACAAUCACAAAUAGGGCCUCUAACAAUCAGCUUUACCAUUUAAGUACAUACCUUGCUCGAUAAUUUUUUUAUAUGUUUUUAGGCCAUUCGACCAUGCCACAUCCAGCAAGCAUAUAUUACCAAUUUUUAAUCAUAAAAUAUUAAUCUAAGGCUAAUUACACAAAAGAAAGACCUACACCUUAGUUUCGAAGCCCACAGCACUAAACUGUAAAAUCCGCACUUUCGCUUUUAAGCCUUAAAUGAACCUAAAUAUAGAAAAAAGCAUUUAGCACUUCAAAAUAAGGUUAAUGAACAACCUUGAAACACCCCUAAAGGUUCGACCAAAGAGGUGUUAGGAGCACAAAUUUUUAGAUUUUAAAUAUUGAGCGUACUUACACUGAUUUGAUGCGAAACGGAUAUGCGAACGAGAUCCGACUUCACUACUGCUCCAGGAUGUUUCGAUCAGCACCUAUGAUUAAAAUAUUACUCAAAAUAAGUAACCGAUAACCAAUUAAAGACCUUAGAUCAAUUGGCCAAAACAACGACCAUUAACAAAAUAAAAUUGACAUAAGAGUUCGCUUAAAUCCGUAUUUUCACUUGAACAUUAAUGUUCUCACUGUUACUAUACUUGAGAUGUCGAUUGAACAAGACCGGAUGCACUUUCAAUUGGCAAGGUUAGGGGUUGUUUUAACAGUGGAAAAAGUGAGGAAAACCAAUAAUGUGGUGCAGCAAAAGGAACAAAUAAAUAAUAACACAAAAUUAGUGUUCAAAGGGACAACACACCUCUACAAAAGGCAGCAAUAAGAGGUUGAUUUAGGUGGGUUAAAGAGAGAUUUUUGGGAAGCAAUGGGAUGGUUUAAAUGCCUGAAAUAAAAAUGAAGUGGUUAGAAAAAUAGUAGCAAGAAUCGUCAAUCACAGACUAAAGGAGAAGUGAAUAAAAAAGAUCAAAAUGACACCACCACAAGUAGAAGGGAUUAGACGACAAUGGAGGUUAAAUUGGCAGCAAGGUGGAGCAAUUUUUGGUAACAAAAAAAUAGUAUAAUGGCUUGAAAAAUGGUAGCAAAACUGUAGGAAUAAAAGAGAAAAUGGAUGACACAAGGAAACUAACGAAGAAAAAAAAUGAGAAAUAUUGAGAAAGGAAAGGGGUUAGGCAGCAAGAGUAAGAAGAAAAAUGUGAAAUGGCUGUAUAAUGAAUGAAAAUUUUGUAUUUAAACCUAGAUUUUCUUACUCGUUUGGACGACACAACAUAGGGGAGUGGGAGAAAAAAUAGAAAAUUAAUUUAUUUGUUUGGGAACGGACUUGAACUUGGGUCUCUAAGCAAAUUACACUAUCUCCUUAUUUUCCUUUAACCAUUAAGCCAAUAGCUUAUUCUUGAAAUAAUUUUACAAAAUUUAAACUAAAAAUUUGAGAUGUUACACCAACUAACUCAAAUUUAAACCCUAAUUCAUCUGUUAAUUAGUCAAACAUCCAUUCGUUAAUCUCCCUAAGAAAACUAGCCACUUAUGGAUCUAAAUGCAAUAAUCCCUAAAUUCAUAUUCAACAAACAAACAAUAAAUUAAAUAAGGAAAUAAAUUUGUUCCGAUGUCGAUUUGCAUACCAAAAGCUAGAUUUCCUUUAAUAAUUGUGAAGAUAUCUACGAUUGCGAUUGGAAACCAAAAAGAAAUAAAUAAAAAAUAUUUAAUUGAAAGCUUGGAUUGAAAUCGAAUCCACGUUUAAAAAGAACAAAAAUUGUUUAGCAUUAAAGUGAAAGAAAAUAAAAAAUAAAAAUCCUAAAACUAAGAGGCUAAACACUACUAUUUAUUGCCAAACUUUUGUGACCUAAUUAUGUAAAAUUAACAGUCUAAUAAUAAUAAUCCAAUGUGCAAACCAAUUUGCCCCUGAUUAAUUCUGGUAUUUUUGUCACUCGAUGUCGUGACACUACAGGACCACUGUCGUGGUACUGUAUUUAAAAUCUUAAUUAUUUGGCUUUGAAGUUCGGUGUUCUAACACAACAGCCUGAUGUCGCGACAUUAUCAUCGUCCUUCGCAUUUUAAAUCAUAAAUCAGUGUUCUGCAAACUCAAAUAGCUCAUUAAUUCAUCCCUAGGCCUGUAUAGGCCCAUUAGGUCAUCAAUUGGUUAAAAAUUGCGUAAAAAUGCUUAUUUUGCAUAAAUUAAAUGUAAAGUAAUAAAUAUUGAGAAUGUAAUAAAAACAAUGGAAAAUAAGGUCAUUAAGUGCCAGAAAGGCCCUAACUUUCCAUAACGAAUUCUAGCUGAUCAACAAGCAAUAUAUUUAUCAAAGUGAAGCACAAGAAAAAUUUUAGAAAAGCUUUCACCUUUCUUGAAAGAACUUGAAGUACAUAACAAUGGCAACAAUGGUGGUGUAAAUAAACACAAAAGAUCAAUUUUUUAUAAGAAUAAGUGAAACAAAGUUGAGCUUUAUUAGGUUUAAUGAUUAAACUGAAAAUACAAUAAUGUUUAAAGGACUAAAAAGCAAAUAGAACCAAGAUACAAUGUUAACUAACUAACUAUUGAUUUAACUUAAAAAAAUAAAAAAAGUCUAAACCCUAGAAGUUGAAGAGGACAAAUCAAAUAAACUAAGCUAAAAAGAUGCUAAAAGGUGAUAAAAAUGAAAGCCUAUUCUCUUAUCAGCCAAAAAUAGGAUUUUCAUCUGAUUACGACCCAAUUUUUGUGACCAAAAUACCACAAAUUGUCUAAUUUUGAUUGAUGUUGAGGUUGGACAAGGACUACCUCUGCAGUAAUCUUUUGUGUCCUGAUAGUAUUAGAAGAACAUAUGUUUUCUCCCUACUUAUUGGUUAAUUUGUCCCUAUUUAAUUAUCUUUAGCACAUAUUUUAGCCUUUUCAAUUUAGUAAAUUACAUUUUAUAACUCAGUGGAUCUUAGCCUAUUUAUCCUUAAUUUUGUCAUGUUUUGGUCCUGAUGUAGCAACAUGACUAUUUCCAAAUUGCACCUAGAAUUGUCGUUGCACCUGACAGCUAUUCGGAUAAGAAAAAAAAUGUGUGCUCUGUCUAGUCUGGUAUAAAUAACUUGCACGUACAGAGGCAGCAUGAUUCUAAUGAAAGGACACCUAGACUAUUUGGAAGAAUAUAAAUAUUCACAUGAAAAAAGUGAGGUUUUUUUUAGUAGGAUAUCAUCUUCUUCAACCUAUUUUUUUAAAGCUUUUUUACUAUGGCGACUUAUGCCUCCUAUGGGGAGCCGAAGUGAAAGGGAUGCAGAUUAGCUCUUGACGAGGAGCCUUGAGUGUGACACAAAAGGGAGUUGAGAGAUCAAGUCGACAUUUUCUAAGAAUAGUACUCUCCACUUGUUUCUUUUAUAUUUCUUUUCUAAACGCUGGUGUUUACUUUCUAUUUCAUGUUUGUACGAAAGCAUACAUGAUUUUUGUUUUAUAUGUUAUUUUAUUCAUCUUACAUCUACUGUUUAAUAUUUCUGUUUGAAUGGUUUUAGCAUGAAAGUGUUAUUUCGAUCAUUGACACUAGAAAGUGCAGCGACAGUUCAAGCUAACAAGCAUGACAGCGGAAGUUACUUGAGGAUUAAAGGAAUUUAAUCCACUUGUUCUUAAUUGUGUUCCAUUUCCAUUAUCGGAAGGAGUGGCUAAUGUGCAUGUUUAAGUCUUUAAUUAAAUACAGAAGUUAAGCUUCGUAAGAUAUUGAUUGCAAUUUAAUGCAUCGACAAUCACCUAUCCUUUUAUACCUUGUAAGCACUUAGUAUUGUGUUGAAUAUUCACGUUGGGGAUCCCAGUUUAUCAGUAUCAUAUUUUAACUUAUUGUUUUCAAGUUAUUUCUUCUACAACUACUCUCACAAUUUAUCUCGUUUCUAUCGAUUUAUUGCAUUAACAUUGAUAGACAAAAGACAAUCGUCCUCGUGGGAUCGAUAUCCAACAGACUCAUAUUUGUCUACUAUACUUGCAUCGACAGUGUAUGCUUGCACAUUACUGUUGUGACGUUAAACGGUCGAUCAAUUUUUAGCACCGUUACCAGGAAUGACGUUUGUUUGAUGUUUAUUUUUGUUUUUUUUUAUUUCAUAAUAUUUAGUUGUUACUAUUUUUCUUUUUGUCGCUAUUUUCACAUUUUAUUUUAGGUGUUGUAUGACCCGAAACAAUUUAGAUUUUAUUAUUGAUUUUGAUCCAGAAAUUGAAAAAACUGUUCAGAGGAGACUUAGAGAACAAAGGAAUAUGGCUUUACCAAUAAACUAUGAAGUCAUACAUCUGAUGCAGUACCAAAAUGCUAAUGACCCACCAUUGCCACGAGAUGCUCAAAUACAAAUCGGACUAUACGAGAUUUUGUAGUACCUGUCUUGGAUGACUUACAACUGGGAUUUAUUAGGCCAGUAAUCCAAGCAUGAAAUUUUGAACUCAAGCCAGUGAUGUUUCAAAUGUUGAAUUCUAAUGGGCAAUAUGUUGGACUGCCACAUGAUGAUGCACGAGAGCAUCUUAAGUCAUUUUUAAUGAUUUUUGCUUCCUUUAGUCACUAAGGUGUUCUUGAUGAUGCUUUGAAGAUGAAAUUAUUUCCUUAUUCCUUACAGGGAAGAGCUCAUACCUGGUUCCUUAGGCUACCUACCGAAUCAAUUACUUCUUGGAACGCACUAGCAAUACAAUUUAUUUUGCGAUUUAACCGACUGAUAAUGAAUGCUCAUCUCUGAAAUGAUAUUACAGCUUAUCAUCAGCUGGAUGAUGAGAAUCUUCACACCAUAUGGGAACAUUAUAAAUGUUUGCUUCGACGUUAUCCCAUGCACGACGUUCAACAGGAAACAAAAAUUGAGAUUUUCUAUAAUAAGCUGAAUUCACACACGAGGAAUCUUGUUGACGCAUCCGCCAAUGGUCUUUUUUUAAGAACAUUGACGAAAACAGUACACAUAAGCUUCUCCUUCUGAUCGGUUAGUAGCUCUUGAGGCUUUAAUGCAGGAGCGUAUGACCUGCACAGAAGCUAUUGUGCAAGGGAAUUCAUCUUCUAUUCGGGUGUUAGAGCCACAAUUAGGACAACUAGCUUCGAAUCUGAAUACUCGUCCACUGGGCACACUCUCUAGUGACACAAAAAAUUCCAAUCUUAGGGGGAAAGAACACUACAAGGCUAUCACUAUCAAGAGUGGUAAAAAAACUGGGAAGCCGACUACAGACUCUACUGUAGCACCUCAAGAUACUAGUGAAGUGAUCCCUGGUGAGAAGGUUUAAUCUUAAGAGCUUGUCGAUGUACUAGAGAAAGAAGUUCCACAAAUUGUCACUCAGAUGCCUAAUGUCUGACCCUCAAAACUGUCAACGCAAUCAAAGGUGUCGACGCAAUCAGAAUUAUCUCUACUUUUACCUUUUCUACAAACAUUCAAAGAAAAGGAGCAAGAUAAGCAGUACCAACAGUUCCCGAACACACUGAAACAACUUUAGGUCAAUAUCCCUUGAGUAGACACUAUUGUGUAAAUUCUAAAUUAUGGGAAGUUUAUGAAGGAGAUCUUGUCCAAGAAGAAGAAGCUUAUUGAUAUGGAAACUAUUACACUCACAGAAGGCUGUAGUACUAUUUUGACAAAUAAGUUACCCCCCAAAAUGAAAGAUGUUGGGAUCUUUACUAUCCCAUGUUCAAUUGACAACCAUUAUUUGGGUAAGGCUUUAUGCGACUUGAGAGCUAGCAUCAACCUAAUGCCAUUAUCUACUUUCAGAAAUUUGGGAAUUAGUCACAUGAAACCUACUGUAGUGACAUUGCAACUAGUUGAUCGAUUCUUGGCUCAACCUGAAGGGCAAAUCAAAGAUAUCUUAGUUCGUGUGGAUAAAAUCAUUUUUUCGGCUGAUUUUAUCAUAAUUGUGAGGCAGACAAGGAGAUUCUGAUAAUCUUGGGACGACCAUUUUUAGCGACCGGACGAACUCUUAUUGAUGUCUACAAAGGUGAACUGACCAUGCAGCUUAAUGAUGAGCACGUUACCUUCAGUGUUUUCGAAUCUAUUCAAUAUAAGAAUAAAGAAGAAUGCCAUACUGUCGACGUGCUAGAUGAUUUAUUUGAGGAAGAAUUUAAUGACCAAAACACAAUACUUUCUGAGGAGUUUGCAGUGACAUUUAAUGAUGAAUUCUAAGAUAAUUGUGACACCAUGGUUGAAGCUAAAAAUAUUGAACUUAAGCAUGGAUGACAGAUUAAAUCCUUAGACUUAGCCAACAGAAUAACUCCAAUGUUCAAGCCAUCUAUCGAUGAAGCUCCUACUCUGGAAUUGAAGCCACUACCUACUCAUCUUAAAUACGUCUUCCUUGGUGAUAACAAUAAUCUUCUAGUUAUUGUCUCUGCAACACUAGAUGUAACUUAAGAAGAUAAAUUGGUCCAUAUUCUUAAGCAAUAUAAACGAGCUAUUUCUUGGAGUAUUGUCGAUAUCCCAGGCAUUAGUCCAUCUUUUUGCAUGCACAAGAUCGUGUUGGAAGAUGAAGGCAAGUAAUCAAUUGAGCAACAAAGAAGGUUAAACGAGAAGAUGAAGGAAGUUGUUAAGAAAGAAAUUAUAAAAUGGCUUGAUGCUGGAAUUAUUUACCCUAUUUUUUAUAGCAAUAAGUCUACUGUAAUGCAUUCCUAAAGAGAGUGGCACCACUAUAGUUAGCAACGAAAAACACAAAUUAAUUCCUACACGCAUUCCAAUGGGAUGGCGAGUCUGUAUGGAUUAUUGCAAACCUAAUGCUGCCACAAGGAUGGACCACUUUCCACUUUUUUUCAUUGACCAAAUGUUAGAUAGGCUGACUUGAAGAGCCUAUUACUACUUCUUAGACAGUUAUUCUGGGUACAACCAAAUUGCUAUUGUACUAGAGGAUCAAGAGAAAACAACUUUCACCUGUCCCUUUGGUACUUUUGCUUUUCGCCAUAUGCCUUUCAGUCUUUGCAACACACCAGCCACAUUUCAAAGGUGCAUGAUGACAAUAUUCUUGGAUAUGAUUAAAGAUUCUUUAAAGGUUUUUAUGGAUGAUUUCUCAGUCUAUGAGAAUGACUUUGAUCAUUGCGCUGACAAUUUGGAUAAAGUAUUGCAAUGAUGUGAAGACACACAUCUUGUUCUAAAUUGGGAAAAAUGUCAUUUUUUGGAAACUGAAGGCAUUGUGUUAGGUCAUUGCAUCUCUAGUCAAGGCAUUAAAGUAGACAAAGCUAAAGUGGAAAUCAUUGACAAAUUACCUCCACCAAAAAAUGUGAAAAGUAUUCAUAGUUUUCUUGGGCAUACUAGGUUCUACCAAAGAUUUAUUAAAGAUUUAUCAAAAAUUGCAAAACCCUUAUGCUCAUUACUAGAACAGAAUAAAAAAUUCUUCUUUGACGAUGCAUGUUUAGAGGCAUUCAUUGAUUAAAAGACGCAACUACUAAAUGCACCCAUUAUCGUUGCACCAGAUUGGUUUUAAACUUUUGAAGUUAUGUACGAUGCAAAUGACUUUAGUGUGAGUGUUGUUCAAGGACAGCGUAAGGGAAAAAUAUUUCAUGUCAUCUAUUAUGCUAGCAAGAAUCUUACAGAGGCUCAAAUCAAUUAUACCAUUACAGAGAAAGAAUUGUUGGCUAUAGUCUUUGCUUUUGAAAAGUUUCAUUCUUAUCUUGUCAGUGCAAAGGUUACCGUAUUUACUGAUCACUCGGUGUUGAGAUAUCUUUUUGGGAAUAAGUAUGCAAAACAAAGACUGAUUUGCUAGAUCUUACUGUUGCAAGAAUUUGACAUCGAGAUAAAAGACCGCAAGGGUUCAAAAAAUCAAGUUGCAGACCAUCUGUCUCGAUUGGAAGUUGGUAGCGAAGAUAGAAACAUACUUCAAAUUGUUGAUGCAUUCCCAGAUGAGAAGUUAUUUGCUGUAGAUGCUACCCUUUGGUAUGCAGAUUUGGUUAAUUAUCUAGUGUGUGAAAAACUCCCAUUUGGUGUCACAGGCCAUAAAAAAAGAAAGAUUUCUUCGUGAAGUAGUGAAGUAUCAUUGGAACGAGCCAUAUUUAUUCAAGGUAUGCAAUAAUAACAUUAUUCGACGUUGUGUUCUGGAAGAGGAGAUGGUUUCAAUCCUAAAGCACUAUCAUAAUGCUCCUUAUGGAGGUCAUUUCGAUGGCAUGUGAACUACUGCUAAGGUUCUCUGAUCAGGAUUCUACUGGCCUCCAUUAUUCAAUGACGGCCACAAUUUUGUGAAUAAAUGCGAUAGGUGUCAGCGCACUAGUUCUAUAUCUCAACACAAUGAAAUGUUGUAGCAUCCAAUUAUAGAGGUUAAAUUAUUCAAUGCUUAGGGUAGGGAUUUUAUAGGAUCAUUUUCAAGUUCAUUUGGAAAUCUUUAUAAUAUAGUAGUUGUUCAUUACAUCUCGAAGUGAGUUGAAGUUGUUGUACUCCCAAAGGAUAAUUCAAAGACAGUGCUUAAAUUUUUUCACAAGCAUAUACUCACCCGCUUUGGCACACCAAAGGCAUUCAUUAGUGAUCAGGGUACACAUUUUCAUUGCAACCAAGUGGCAACCACAUUGAAAGAUAUGGAUUUAAUCAUAGAAUGGCUACUACUUAUCAUCUGCAAACUAAUGGACAAGCCGAAGUAUCAAAUCGACAAAUUAGAAACAUUCUUGAGAAGGUUGUGAACCCUUCAAGGAAAGAUUGGUCUUCCAGAAUGGAUGAUGCUUUAUGGGACAGCAUAAAAAACUCCAUUAGGGAUAUCACCGUAUCAAUUGGUUUUUGGGAAAGCAUGUCACUUGCCAGUUGAACUGGAGCACAAAGUAAUGUGCGCAAUUAAUUAAGUGAACAUGAACUAUGAAGCUGCUGGAAAGAAAAUGUUGUUGGAUAUCACUGAACUAGAGGAGAUUAAGUGAAAUGCCUAAAAAAACGUUGCAAUUUACAGGGAAAAGACCAAACGAUGGCAUGAAAAAAUUAUUUUGUAGCGACAAUUUAUUGCGAGUCGUCAAGUUUUAUUAUUCAAGUUGUCGAAGUAUUUCCUCAUGGUUCGGUCACAAUCAGAGAUUUACAUGAUGGAUACCAGCGCAAAGUGAAUGGCCAACGAUUGAAACAUUAUUUUGGGUAUACUGAUCAAAAGUAGGCAGAGACCAUUAAAUUGGUCGAGAAUUUUUAAUUUUUAUGGGAUUUAUUAUUACGUAAUUUUAUUUUAUUUUUGAUUCUGCUUAAGUUUGUUUUCCUUUUUUUAUUCUUGCAGAAUAAUUAGUUACAAUUGUCGACGCACUUGGGUUUUAUUGCCAACACAAUUCGUACUAUUGUACUGUUACGUAUGACUCACCACGAAUGAAGGGCAGAUCAUAAUUUUUAGAUCCCACCGUUUGAUCAAAAGUGACCUAGCCAUUUGAUCUAUCUAAGCGGGCGGAAUUCUUAUUGGACAUAUUUAUUCUCGUCAGCUUUAUAUCCCUUCACAAAAGUCACCCAUUUCCAUCUUCUUCUUUCACACGCUAUAAACCCCAUUCACUGUGCCAACUAUAACAACUACAAAGCAACCAUUUUUAUUCACUUUAUCUUCCCUAAGCUCGUACCUUUACAACUUUAAACCAUCUUCACUCCACAAAACAAACAAAAUAUGGCAAGAACGAGAGGAUCAGUCAAGAGAGACACCAAGCUUGUUGAAGAACACUCAUCCUCUGCAACUGUAGUUUGUGAAUCGAAAUCCUCCAUGCCAAUGGAGAAAAAAGGAGCCAAUGAUAUUUUUAAAGAAAACGGCCAAGGACCGGUUUCAAGACAUCAUUUUGAAGUGAAAUUUCCACCUAGAACAGGACAUUGUCCUUUCACAACAUCAAGACUUGGGCAAUCAAUUCUACAAAACCAUCUCCAAGCUAAAGUGGGAGACUUUCUGCACUCAUCCUGGAAGUUAUUCUCUUUCAUUGGUACGUGAGGUUUACGCUAACCUUUAUGACCAUAAGUUAAAAUUUAUCUUUGUUUGAGAAGGCUUAAUCCUAUGGGAUGCUAAAAAAAUCAAUGAGCUGUACAACACUAAAGUGGAUGUAGAUGAACAUUCUAAUUUAUUAAGGAUGUCACAGACAAAAAAAGGGACAUGUUGGUGAAGGAUUUAUGUGCUAAAGGAGUAUUGUGGAUGAGUUCACAUCAAAAGAAUUAUACGAUGGACCGCCAGUUCCUCACAUUGUGAAGCAAAAUCUGGUUUCAUUUUGUCAACUACAGGCUACUACCCUCUACUCACAACACCACAGUCAACCCCGAUAGAAUGUGUCUGGUACAUUAAAUUGUGAAGGGCAGAAAGAUUGAUGUCGGUGCAAUACUCCACCAGGAAAUUGCUGACUACGCCACAAGGCAAACUGGGAUUUUGGUUUUCCCAUCGUUGGUGAUACUAUUGUGCCAGUAGAAAGGGACUGUGCCCCAUGAUGGUGAAAAGUUCCUGGAGAAUAAGGGUCCGAUAAAUGAAGCCUCUAUUUAAAGAAUGACUCGUGGCAAAGAUAAACAGACAAUGAAGGGGAUAGAGACCAGCAAGAAAAGGAAGGGUAAAACCAAGGAAAAAACCAAGGGAACAAACCUAACUGCAGAGACAUCAUUGUUGCGUAAAAUGUAUGAUCUCAAGAAGUUAGCCAAUUCUAUCAGCAAUAAGCAGAUCAGGCUUGUCGCUACAAUGGAGGAUAUAGACAGAUCACAAAAUUUGUUCUAUGCUUAUACCAAGGCCUAUAACAACUCUAUUGUAACUGAAUUAAGUCAGUUAAGCUCGGCCCCACUCCCAGAAUUUCCAGUGUUCCCACCGAUCAACCAAGAUUUUGAACCCGCAUCAAAGAAAGAUGAAUUAGGGGACCGAGACAGAUCGAUGGAAUCCCCUCCCAUUAUGCAUGUCUCCAAGUUUGUGGGUACAACUACUGAUAAUUUGGAACGAGAUGGACCUAGACCAACAGAUGUUGCAGAGGUACCCAAUGAGCAGCAAUAACUCAUUAGCAAUAGUGGUCUAUACCGGACCACUCAAGGUGACCCCUCCUACACAAAAAGUAGCCGAUGAUGCUGGGGUAGCGCUAAAAAUUGAGCAAUCUAAGGAUCGUGCGAAUCCCAAAGAAAAUAAGAGAAAGCGCUCUAAAGAUAGAAAGCGCAAGAAGGAGGAGAAAAAGAGGAGAAAGAAGAAACAUCGUGCAACCACAUUGAUGGCCGAAGAAAACUAAGUUAGUUUAUUUUAAGUUUCAGCUCUAGUAUUCAUACAUUGUAUGUAGUUGGAAUUUUCAUUUUGUUCGUGCACAUUGCCGUUGCGGUUUUAUUGUCAUUGCAUUUUAAUGUUAGUGCAUUCGGGACAAUGCAGACUUUAAGUUUGGGGGAAUGCAUAUAGGGUUCGAAAAUAUAGCCACAUUUCAAAAAUACAAAUUUGAGUUUAAUGAAGCAUGCAAGGUUUAUUUGUGGCUAAUGCAAAUAUGUUUGAAUUUUUUUUUUACAUUUGAUGCUUAAUUCUUGAAUCAUGUGAAUUAUCGAUGAAUGUGUUGGAUAUAUUUGACUCAAUGUUGUAUUUUUAAUUCUUUAAGGAAUGAUUUAGGUUGCAUUAGUAAUGGAUUUCUAGUAGCAUUCCUUGAAUCCUGAAUGAAUCUACGUUUUACAGCUGCUUAUAUAUAUAGUUAUGAAUAAGAGACACUCCAAAGUAGGUGUAUUGUGAAAUUUUAAAGAGGGAACACUCUAAUGCAAGCGUUAGAGAAAUGAAUCUAGCCCAAGGCUAUCACUGUAUGAAUGUGUGUCAGCGUAAUUACGUACUGCCUAGGGGUUUGUUACACUCCAUCGUUACUUCUCAGGAACAAGGGUACAGUAAUGCCACGAUAUCCUUUAUUCACCAAAAAAAAGAGACAUAUUGUAAAUGUUGUAUUGGUAGAUAGAAUUUAGGAUUUAAAGCAUGAUGUUGGUUUUGAUGAAGUUGCAAUCUUAUUCAUUCUUACUCAUGUAUUGUCGAUGCAAUAUUUUGUCAUCUGAAUGUGACUUAUUCAUUGGGAUUUUAGAUGAUUCAAGUUGCUAGAAUGAUCAUUUGCCUUAGUGAAUUCUUGUGUAGCCUUGCUAGUUUCUGUUUUACUUGAGGACAAGUAAAUACUCAAGUUUAGGGACGUGAUAGUACUAGAAAGAACAUAUGUUUUCUCCCUACUUAUUGGUUAAUUUGUCCCCAUUUAGUUAUCUUUAGCACAUAUUUUAGCAUUUUCAAUUUAGUAACUUGCAUUUUAUAACUCAGUGGAUCUUAGCCUAUUUAUCCUUAAUUUUGUCAUGUUUUGGUCCUGAUGUUGUUCCAUGAGUAUUUCCAGAUUGUGCCCAGAAUUAUCGUCGUACCUGACAGCUAUCUGAAUAAGAACAAAUAUCCGUGCACUGUCUAGUCUAGUAUAACUAACUUGUACGUACAGAGGGAGCAUGAUUCUGAUGAAAUGACACCUAGGCUAUUUGGCAGAAUAUAAAUAUUCACUUGAAAAUAAACAAAAAGAGGUUUUUUAAGGGGAUAUCAUCUUCUUCAACCUAUCUUUUGAAGCUUUUUGACUACGGCGGCUUAAGCUUCCUACGAGGAGCUGACGUGAAAGGGAUACAAAUUAGCUUUUUACGAGGAGCCCUAAGUGCAACACAAGAGGGAGUUGAGAGAUUAAGUUGAUAUUUUUAAGAAUAGUACUCUCCACUUGUUUCUUUUAUAUUUCUUUCUUGAACGCUAGUGUUUACUUUCAAUUUCAUGUUUGUACGGUUCUAUUUUUCUAUUAAUAGGAGUUUUGGGUCUCGGUUUAUACGGAUCUAAUGAACCGACAUUAAAUUUUGAAACAUUAGCUAAUCAGUCAUAUCCUGUCGCACUGGAAAUAAUAUUCUAUAUUGGAUUUCUUAAUUCUUUUGCUGUCAAAUCGCCGAUUAUAGCCUUACAUACGUGGUUACCGGAUACCCACGGGGAGGCCCAUUACAGUACUUGUAUGCUUCUAGCCAUAAUUUUAUUAAAAAUGGGAGCAUAUGGAUUAGUUCGGAUCAAUAUGGAAUUAUUACCCCAUGAGCAUUCCAUAUUUUCUCCCUGGUUGAUAAUAGUGGGUACAAUGCAAAUAAUUUAUGCAGCUUCAACAUCUCUUGGUCAACAGAAUUUUAAACAAAAAUAGCCUAUUCCUCUGUAUCUCAUAUGCGUUUCAUAAUUAUAGGAAUUCGUUCGAUAACUGAUACGGACUCAACGGAGCUAUUUUACAAAUAAUAUCUCAUGGCUUUAUUGGUGCUGCACUUUUUUUCUUAGCAGGAACGAGUUAUGAUAGAAUGCGUCUUGUUUAUCUCGAUGAAAUGGGAGGAAUGGCCGUUUCGAUUCCCAAAAUAUUUACGAUGUUUAGUAUCUUAUCCAUGGCUUCUCUUGCAUUAUCGGGCAUGAGUGGUUUUGUUGUAGAAUUGAUAGUCCUUUUUGGAAUAAUUACCAGCCAAAAAUAUUUUUUAAUGCCAAAAAUACUAAUUACUUUCGUAAUGGCAAUUGGAAUGAUAUUAACUCCUAUUUAUUCAUUAUCUAUGUCAGGUCAAAUGUUCUAUGGAUACAAGCUAUUUAAUGCUCCAAGUUCUUAUUUUUUUUAUUCUGGACCACGAAAGUUAUUUGUUUCGAUCUCUAUCUUUCUACCAGUAAUAGGUAUUGGUAUUUAUCCGAAUUUCAUCCUCUCAUUAUCAGGUGAGAAGGUCGAAACUAUUCUAUAUAAUUAUUUUUAUAGAUAGUUUUCAUGAAUAAAAAAAUCAAAAAGGAAUCCUAUUAUUUUUAAAAUUGGUCGUUGUACAAUGAAAAAGAAAAAAAGAAGAAGUCUUUAUUCAAUUCAAUUAGAUGUUAAUUUAAUUUAAAUGAACCAUAACUAUGUAAACCUAUUCCUAAUAGAUUGACCCCAAAAUAACAUAUCCAAAAUUAUAAGAAAUCCCAUAGAAGCCACAAGUGUGGAAUUUCUAGGUUAAUUAUUAUUAUUUUUUCACUCUUGCUUCUACUGUUUAAUCUUUGGGUUUCAAUGUUUUUAGCAUAGAAGUGUUAUUGCGGUCACUAACACUAGAAAGUGCAGCGACAGUUUCUUGAGGAUUAAAGGAAUUUAAUCCACUUGUUCUUAAUAGUGUUACAUUUCCAUCAUUGGAAGGUGUGGCUAAUGUGCAUGUUUAAGUCUUUGUAGUACCUGUCUUGGAUGUUUUACAGCCAGGAGUUGUUAGGCCAACAAUCCAAGCUGGGAAUUUUGAACUCAAGCCCAUAAUGUAUCAAAUGUUGAAUUCUAGUUGACAAUAUGUUGGACUGCCACAUGAAGAUGCGAGAGAACAUCUUAAAUCCUUUUAUUGAUUUGUGCUUCCUUUAGUCAACAAGGCGUUCCUGAUGAUGCCUUGAAGAUGCAAUUAUAUCCUUAUUCCUUACAAGGAAGAGCCUGUACUUGUUUGGAUGCACUAGAAACACAAUUUGUUUUGCGAUUUAACCCACCGAAAAUGAAUGCUCGUCUUCAAAAUGAUAUUACUGCUUAUCAUCAGCUGGAUGACAAAAAUCUUCACACCACAUGGAAACAUUAUAAAUCUUUACUCCGACGUUGUCCCAUGUAAGACAUUCAACCAGAAACGCAAAUUGAGAUUUUUUUUAUAAUGAGCUGUAUUCACAUACAAGGAAUUCUAUCAAGGCAUCAGCCAAUGGACCUCUGCUGGAUUGUACUUAUAGUGAUGCUGUGAGAAUUCUUGAGAGAAUUGCUCAGAAUGAUUACCAAUACCUUAUUUCCAGAGCUGCACAAGCAAAACCUACUCUAGGAGUUAUUGAAUUGGAUGUAAUAACAGCACUAAGUGCUCAAGUUUCUUCUCUCACAAACAUGAUUAAAUAUAUGCAAGGGGCGAGUGGUGUUGCACCUAUACAAGUCGUUCAGCAAGUUGAUGUUCCUACUUUUUCUUGUAAGAUUUGUAAUUACAACCAUAGCUAUGAAAAUUGUCCACAACAUGUAACGAAUGCAUGUUAUAUUAGUAACAUUCGCACUAAUUCUUAUGGUAACUCUUACAACAACACUGCACGUAACCAACAGUUUUGGGGAACUCAGAAUGCUGGACAAAAUGAUACGACAUUCAGAUAUGAGAAUACAUCUACUCAGGGCAAUUAUAAUCCCAGGCAACAGAAGUAUAAUCAACAACAGCAGAACUACAAUUAGCACACUCAAAUGCAUCCACAACAAGGCUAGACACAGCUACACCAAAAUCUGAUGCAGCCACAACACUCUGCAAUACCAAAUCAACAUGUUUAAGGACAUUGACAGCAACCGUACACUCAAGCUUCUACUUCUGAACCGUUAGCAACUCUUGAGGUGUUAAUGUGGUAGCAUAUUGCUCACACAAAAGCUAUCGUACAAGGGAAUUUAUCUUCCAUUCGAGCAUUGGAAGCAUAAUUGGGACAACUUGCUUCAAAUCUGAAUACUCGACCACUAGGCUCAUUACCUAGAGACACGGAAAAUCCUAGUCUAAGGGGGAAAGAACAUUGUAAGGCUAAGUGGUAAAUAGACUGGUGAACCAUUUCUAGACUCUAUUGUAGCACCUUAAGCUACAAAUGGCAUGAUCACUGGUGAGAAGGUUGAAUCUGAAGAAUUUUUCGAUACAUCAGACAAAUAAGUUCCACAAAUUGUAACUCAUAUGACUAUUGUCGGACCUUCGAAAUUGUCGACGCAAUCAAAGAUAUUGAUGUCUGUAGAUGUAUCUCUACCUCUAACUUUCCUACAAAGAUUUAGGAAUAAUGAGCAUGACAAGCAGUAUCAGCAGUUCCUGGACACACUGAAGCAACUGCAGAUCAAUAUUUCUUUAGUAGAUGCUCUGGUACAAAUUCUGAGUUAUGGGAAAUUUAUGAAAGACCUCUUGUCGAAAAAGAAAAAGCUCACUGAUAUUGAAACUAUUGCACUCACAGAAGGCUAUAGUGCUGUCUUGACAAACAAGUUGCCCCCUAAAUUGAAAGAUCCUAGGAGCUUUACCAUCCCAUGCUCAAUUGACAAUCAUUAUUUGGGUAAGGCUUUAUGAGAAUUGGGAGCUAGCAUUAACCUAAUGACAGUAUCUACUUUCAGAAAGUUGGGAAUCGGUCAUAUGAAAUCUACUGCAGUGACAUUACAACUACCCGAUCGAUUAUUGGCUCAACCUAAAGGGCAAAUAAAAGAAAUCUUAAUUCUUGUGGAUAAAUUCAUUUUUCUGGCUGAUUUUAUCAUACUUGACUGUAAGGCAGACAAAAAGGUAUCUGAUAAUCUUGGGACGACUACUUUUAGCCACUGACCGAACUCUUAUUGAUGUUUAUAAAGAUGAACUAACCAUGCGACUUAAUGAUGAGCAAACCACCUUCAGUGUUUUCGAAUCUAAUCAAUGUAAGGACAAAUAAGAAUGCCCUACUGUUGAUGUUCUAUAUGAUCUAAUUGAGGAUGAAUUCAAUGACCAAAGCACAAUACUUUCUGAAGAGUUUGUAGUGGCAUCAGAUACUGAAUCCUUAGAUGAUUGUGACAGCAUGGUUGAAGCUAAUAAUCUUGAACUCAAGCAUGGAUGGCAGAUUGAAUCCUUAAACCUAGCCAACAUAACAACCUCAAGUUUCAAACCAUCUAUUGAAGAAGCUCCUACUCUAGAAUUGAAACCACUACCUCCUCAUCUUAAAUAUGUCUUUCUGGGUGAGCAUAAUACUCUCCUAGUUAUUGUCUCCGCAACACUGGAUGUAACUCAAGAAGAGAAAUUGGCCCAUAUUCUCAAGCAACAUAAACGAGCUAUUGCUUGGAGUACUGCCAAUAUUCAAGGUAUUAGUCCUUCUUUUUGCAUGGACAAGAUCAUGUUGGGAUAUGAAGGUAAGUAAUCGAUUGAACAACAAAGAAGAUUAAACAAAAAGAUAAAGGAAGUUCUCAAUAAGGAAAUCAUAAAAUGGCUUAAUGCUAGAAUUAUUUACCUGAUUUCUGAUAGGAAUUGGGUAAGUCCAGCGCAAUUAGUACCUAAAAAGAGUGGCAUCACUGUGGUUCACAACAGUAAAGAUGAAUUAAUUACUACACGCAUUCUCACGGGAUAGCUAGUUUGUAUGGAUUAUCUCAAAUUGAAUGCGACCACAAAGAAGGAUCACUUUUCGAUUCCUUUCAUCGACCACAUACUGGAUCAGCUUGCUAGAAAGACCUAUUAUUGCUUUUUAGACAGAUAUUUUGGGUACAACCAAAUUUCUAUUGCACCAGAGGACUAGGAGAAAACAACCUUCACCUGCCCCUUUGGUACUUCCGCUUUUCGCCGUAUGCCUUUCAGUUUUUGCAACGUACCAACCACAUUUCAAAGGUACAUGAUGGAAACAUUCUCAGAUAUGGUUGAAGACUCUUUAGAGGUGUUGAUGGAUGAUUUCUCAGUUUAUGUGAAUGAUUUUGAGCAUUGCGCUGAUGAUUUGGAUAAAAUACUGAAGCGCUGUGAGAACACACAUCUUGUCCUAAACUGGGAAAAAUGUCAUUUCAUGGCAACUGAAGUUAUUGUGUUAGGACACAGCAUCUCUAGUCAAGGAAUUCAAGUAGACAAAGAUAAGGUGGAAAUCAUUGAGAAAUUACCUCCACCAACAAACGUGAGGGGUAUUUGCAGUUUUCUAGGACAUGUAGGGUUUUACAGAAGGUUUAUUAGAGAUUUUUGAAAAAUUGCAAAGCCCUUGUGCUCAUUGCUGGAAUAGAAUCAAAAAUUAUUUUUUGAUGAUGCUUGUUUGGAUGCCUUUAUUCAGUUAAAAAGAAGCUAGUGAAUACACCCAUUGUCGUUGCACCAGAUUGGUAUCAACCUUUUGAAGUUAUGUACGACGCAAGCAAUUUUGCUGUUGGUGCAGUGCUAGGACAAGGGAAGGGAAAAAUAUUUCAUGCCAUAUAUUAUGCUAGCAAAACUCUUACAGUGGCUCAACCCAAUUAUACCACUAUAGAGAAAGAAUUGUUGGUUGUAGUCUUUGAUUUCUACAAGUUUCGUUCCCAUCUUGUCGGUGCAAAGGUUACAAUAUUCACUGAUCACUCAGCGUUGAGAUAUAUCUUUGAGAAAAAGUAUGCCAAACCAAGACUGAUAAGCUGGAUAUUACUGUUGUAAGAAUUUGACAUCAAGAUAAAAGACCAUAAUGUUCAGAAAAUCAAGUUGCAGACCAUCUGUCUCUAUCGAAAAUUGGCAAUGAAGACAGAAACAUACUUCAAAUUGUCAACGCAUUCCCAGAUGAGAAGAUAUUUGUUGUAAAUGUAACUCAUUAGUAUGCGGAUUUUAUUAAUUAUCUAGUGUGUAGAAAACUUCCAUUGAGUGUCAUUGGCCAUAAAAAAGAAAGAUUUCUUCAUGUCGUAGUGAAGUAUCAUUGGAACAACCCAUAUUUAUUCAACGUAUGUAAUGACAACAUUAUUUGACGUUGUGUUCUGGAAGAGGAGAUACUUUCAAUCUAAAGCAUUGUCAUGCUGCUCCUUAUAGAUGUCAUUUCGGUGGUAUGAGAACUGCUGCUAAAGUUCUCCAAUCAGGAUUCUAUUGGUCGACAUUAUUCAAAUACACCUACGAUUUUGUGAAUCAAUGCGAUAGGUGUCAGCGUAUCGGUUCUAUAUCCCGACGGAAUGAAAUGUUGUAGCAGCUAAUUAUGGAGGUUGAAUUAUUCAAUGCUUAGGGUAUGGAUUUUAUGGGAAAGUUUUCGAGUUCAUUUGGAAAUCUUUAUAUAUUAGUAGCUGCUCACAAUGUCUCGAAGUGGAUUGAAGCUGUUGCAGUCCCAAAAGAUGAUGCAAAGCCAGAGCUAAAAUUUUUCACAAGCAUACACUUACCCGCUUUGGCACACCAAAGGCAUUGAUUAGUGAUCAGGGUACACACUUUCAUUGCAACCAAGUGGCGACUGCACUGAAAAGAUAUAGAGUUAAUCAUAUAAUGGCUACUACUUAUCAUCCGCAAAUCAAUGGACAAGUCGAAGUAUCGAAUUGACAAAUUAAGAACAUUCUUGAGAAAGUUGUAAACCCUUCGAGGAAAGAUUGGUCUUUCUGAUUGUAUAAUGCUUUAUGGGCAUUAGGGAUUCGCCGUAUCAAUUGGUUUUUGGAAAAGCAUGUCACUUGCCAGUUGAACUGGAACACAAAGCAAUGUGGUCAAUUAAGCAAGUGAACAUGGACUAUGAAGCGCCUGGAAAGAAAAAACUAUUUGAUAUCACUGAACUAGAGGAGAUGAGGAGAAAUGCUUAUAAAAAUGCUACAAUUUAUAAGUAAAAGACCAAACGAUGGCAUGACAAGAUUAUUUUACAGCGAUAAUUUAUCAUGAGUCAACAGGUUUUAUUAUUCAAUUUUCGACUUAAAUUACACCCAGGUAAAUUGCGUUCACGUUGGUCUAGACCUUUUGAAGUUGUCAACGUAUUUCCUCAUGAUGUAGUCACAAUUUGAGAUUUACGUGAUGGACACCAAUUCAAAGUAAAUGGAUGAAGCUAAAACACUAUUUUGGUAACAAUGAUCAAAAGCAGGUAGAGACCAUUAAAUUGGUUUAAAGGUUUUAAUUUUUUAAUUAGUACUCCUUGAUUUUAGUUUAUUUUAUUAACGUUUGUUUUCCUUCUUUUUUUUUGCAGAAUAAUUAGGAACCAUUGUCGACGCAUUGAAAUCUUACUGUCAACGUAUUCCAUAAGUCUGUACUACAAUUUAUAACUCAUCAGAAUUUAGGGAAAUUUAGAUUCCACCGUUGGAUCAAAACCCACUCAGUCGUUUGAUCCUUCUAAGCAGGCACAAUUUCUAUUGAACACAACUCUUCCUACUAGCUUUAUAUCUCUCUAAAAAACAACAUGUCUCUCCAUCUUCUUCAUUCAUUCACUAUAAAUCCUCUCCCACUGUAUCGACUGUAACGCAUUCAAGUAACCAUUUUUAUUUCUUUUUUUUCUCAAGAUCAUAUCUUUUUAACUAUAAAUCAUUCUCCCUCAACAAAAGAUGGCCAAAAUAAGAGGCUUGGUCAAGAAAGCCACCAAAUCUGCUAGAGAACAUACGUCCUCUGCUAUCACGACCCGUGAAUCAGAAUCCCCCAGGCCAGUGCAAACAAAAAAGGCAGUAAUCUUCUUGAAUAAAGCGGCAAAGGAACGAUUUCACGACAACAUGUUGAAGCGAAACUUCCAUCCCAAAUAGGGUAUUUCCCUUUCGCCACAACAAGACCUAGGUAAGGAAGUCUCCAAAACCAUCUCGAAGUUAAAACGGGAAACCUUUUACAGUUAUCCCAGUAGCUACUCGCCUUCACUAGUACGUGAGUUCUAUGCUAAUCUCUACGAUCAUGAGUUAGAGUUCAUUUUUGUUCGAGAAGGUUUGAUACCAUGGAAAGCUAAAAAAAUCAAUGAGCUGUACAACACUAAGGUCGAUGGAUGAACACUCCGAGUUCAUUGAUGACAUCACAGAUGAAAACGAGACAUGUUGGUUAGAGACUUAUGUGUCAAGGGAGCAGUGUGGACGGGCUCCCAUAAAAAGAACUAUCCGAUGCACCGUCGCUUCCUGACACUGCAAGGUAAAAUUUGUUUUCAUUUUGUCAACUGCAGACUCAAACCCUCCACUCACCGCACCACAGUCACCCUCGACAGAAUAUGUCUGAUACAUUCUAUCAUCAAGGGCAGAAAGAUUGAUAUAGGUGCAAUACUUCACCAACAAAUUGCUGACUACGCCGCAAGGCAGAUUGAGAUAUUGGUUUUCCCAUCAAUGGUGAUGUUAUUAUGCCUACAAAGAUGAACCGUGCCUCGUGCUAGUGAGGAAGUCUUGGAAAAUAAGGGCCCAAUCAAUGAAGCCUCUGUAGAAAGAAUGACUUGUGGCAAGGACACACCGAUAGUGAAGGAGGCGAAUACCAGUAAGACAAGAAAGGGUAAAAUCAAAGCUGACAACAAAGGAACAAACUUGAAUGCAGAGAUAUCAUUAUGACGUAAACUGAAGGGUGUCGAAAAAAUGGUAAAUUCCAUCAACAAUAGGCAUAUCAAAUUUGUCGUACAGUAGAAGAUAUGAAGAAAUCCAAAAAUUUGUUUUAUGCUUAUACUAGAGCCUGAAACAGUUCUAUUGUAGCCACAUUAGGCAAACUGAGCCGAUCCCCACUACUGAAAUUCUCAGUGUUUUCACCAAUCAUUCAAAAUUAUGACCUAUCUUCCUCGGAUGACGACUUAAAAGACCAAGACAGAUCGGUGGCAUCCCCACCCAUUGUGCAAGUCUCGGAUAAUUAGAAAGACGAGGAAUCUAGCGACAUUGAAGAAUGCCUGCAGAAGAUUAAUAGCUUGUUCGAGGAAGGUAUUUUUGCUUAUCAAGAGGACACUAUUGUUGAGAAGGAUGUUGCUGCUGCUAAACAGGAAGUUGUUGCUGAAGAAGAAGAAGUUGCUGAGAAUAAGAAAGAAAAAGAAGAAGAAGAUUCUAGUUAGAAGACUGUCACUGCACCCGAGUCUGUGGGUGCAAAUAUUACUAAUUUGGAGCUAUUCGGAGCGAGACUAGUGGAAUUUGUUGAGGUAACUAGUGAGGAGCAAUGCAAUUCAUUGGCAAAAGUGGUCUACAAUGGACCACUCCAAGUGGCCUCUACUACACAAGAAGCAGUCGAUGAUACCGGAGAAGGGUCGGGAACUGAGGAGCAAUCUAAGGACCGUGUAAAUCUCACAGAAUAGAAAAGGAACUGCUCCAAGAAUAAAAUACGAAAGAAGAAGGAGAAGAAAGAAACAUCAUGCAGCCAUAUCGACGAUUGUGGAAAACUGAGUUAGUUUCUUUUAAAAUUUAGUUAUAGUAUUCAUGCAUUACAUGUAGCUGUAGGUUUUAUUUUGAUAAAUAUACAUCGUCAUUGUAUUUUUUUAUUGUCAUUACAUUUUCAUGUUAGUGCAUUGGAGACAAUGCGAACUUUAUGUUUUGGGGAAUACACAUGGGGCUUGGAAAUGCACCCAUAUUUCAAUUUUUUUCAGAACUGAAGCAUGCAAGGUUUAAUUAUAGUUAGUAAAAAUUGUUUGAAAAUUUUUGUUACAUUCGAUGGUUAAUUCUUGAAUCAUGAAAAUUAUCAAUGAAUGAGUUGGAUAAAUUUGACAGAAGGUUGUAGCUUCAAUUCUUUGAUGAAUGGAUUAGGUUGCAUUAGUAAUGGAUGGCUGUCAUCAUUCCUUAAAUCUUAAAUGAAUCUAAUUUUUACAGCUGCUUAUAUAUGUAUAUAUAGUUAUAAAGUAGAGACACUCCAAAUUGGGUGUAGUAUGGAAUGUUAAAAAGGGAACACUCCAAUACAAGCAUUAGAAAAAUCAAUCUAGCCAAAGGCUAUCACUGCAUGAGUCUGUGUCGGUGCAAUUACUUACUCCCUGGGGUUUUGUUGCACCCCAUCAUUACAUCUCAAGAACAAGGGUACAGUAAUGCAAUGAUAUCCCUUAUUCUGAAAAAAAAUAUGUAUAUAUAUUUAUAACAUAUAAGUACUUAGUAUUAUACAAUAAAUGUUGUAAUGGUAGAUAGAACUUAGGGUUUGAAGCAUGAUGCUAACAUUGAUGAAGUUGUAACCUUAUUCAUUCAUGCUUAUGAAUUAUCUAUGCAAUAUUCUUUCACCUGAAUGUGAUUCAUCCAUUGGGAAUUUAGAGGGUUCAAGUUGCUAAAAUAAUCAUUUACCUUAGUAAAAUAUUUGUAGCCUUGCUAGUUUCUGUUUUACUUGAGAACAAGUAAAAACUCAAGUUUGGGGGUGUGUUAGUACUAGAAAGAACAUAGGUUUCCCCCCUUACUUAUUGGCUAAUUUGUUCCCAUUUAGUUAUCCUUAGCAUACAUUUUAGCAUUUUCAAUUUAGUAAAUUGCAUUUUAUAACUCAGUGAAUCCUAACCUAUUUAUCCUUAAUUUUGUUAUCUUAUUGCAUUAAUGUCGUUAUAUGAGUUAAUUCCAGAUUGCGUCCAGAAUUGUCAUCGCACUUGACAGCUUUCUAGAUAAGAACGAAAACUACGUGAACUAUCCAGUCUAGUAUAACCACCCUGUACAUAUAAGGACAGAAUAAUUCUGAGGAAAGGACACCUAUACUGUUAGAGGGGGACAUAAAAGGUAGACACGAGAAGAAAAAAGAGAGCUUUUUUCUCCACCAUCUUCAUCUUCCUACCGUGAAGCUUGUGGCCAUGGCAGCUUAAGCCUCUCACAGGUGAGCCAACAUGAAAAACAUAUGCAGACUAGCUCCUGACGAGGAGACCUAAGUGUGAGAUAAGAGGGAAUAGAGAGAUUCAGUCAAGUUGUUUAAAGAUAGUAUUCUCCAUUCGAUUCUUUCUUAUUUCUUUCUAAAUGCUGGUGAUUAUUCUCUAUUUUCUGUUUGUAUUGAAGUACACAUGAAUUCUUGGUUAAGUGUUAUCUUAUUCAAUCUUGCUUUUAUUGCGAAUGUUUUUUAACACAGAAGUGUUAUUGCAUUCACUGAUACUGGAAAGUGCAGUGAUAGUUUGAGCCAACAAGCAUUACAUCGGAAGUUGAGUGAGGAUUAGAGGAAUUUAGUCCACUUGUUCUUAAUAGUUCCAUAUUACCAUCAUCGGAAGGUGAGGAUUAGAGAAAUCGAGUAUACAGUGGAAGAUAAGGAAUUCUUGAAAUUUUAUCCAUGGGAAAAGGUUCUAUGUUUUGGUCACAAUGGGAACUUGAGUCCCAGAUUUAUCGUGUCGUAUGAAGUUAUUGAAUAAUUGGACCAGUAGCAUAUCGGUUAGCCCUACCGUCAAAAUUGAAAAAGACUCAUGUUGUAUUCCAUGUAUCCCUGCUUAGACGAUAUUAUUUGGAUCCGUCUCAUGUUGUAUCAUUCCCCAUCCGGGCUAGACGUUAUGAUUAAAUUGUGAAAACCAGAUUAGCCACUUGUGUCACUGAAAGACCGACCGCUUAUUUGAAAACCAUAACUACUCUCUUUUAAGAAAAAUUAUGGAGUACUCUUGUGUUAAUUUGGAAAACAUUCAUAAUUUAAGACAAAUGUCUUAAGUCAUUUUCUUAGUGAUAGCAUGGUUUUAGAAAACAUGUUUCUCGUCAUUUCAUUCAACAAAAAUUUAACUAUUUUUUUUGCAAUAGAAAACUUAAUUUAUGACAAAGUUUAGUUAAAUCGAGUAUCAUGCAAUGUCCAAUUUCAAAACACAUUUUUAAAUCCAAUCAAUGAAAUGAAUAUGCAUGCAUAAAACCCCAAAAUGAAAAAAAUUAUAACAUCCCAAAAAUUAGGGUUUAGUAGAAUCAAGUUUGUGAAUUGAGAGAAAGUGGUAAAGCCUUAAUUUUUAAGAUUAUAUAUGUAUUUUUAGGAAAUAAAUAAGGUAUUGGUUUUUUGGUUAAGUCUUAGUGAAAUGUUCCUUGAAACCCAAGUUCAAAUUCCUUCUCUCUCACCAUUUUUAUUAUUUUACAGAUUCUGCCUUAAAAACUAGUUUGUGGCAUGCCUUGUUUUUCAAAUAAAUAUUGCAAAAUUAUUUCAAGAAUGAGUAAGAAGCCUAAUGGUUAAAAGAAAUAUGAGAAAGCAUGGAAAUUAAAUGAGGUCCCAAGUUCGAAUCAUUUCCCUUGCAAAAUCCCUUAUUUUUUAAUAUGUGUAUCAUCCAUACCCUUAAACCCUAAGCAUAAAUAAAAAAAUUUAUUGUAUUUUUCAGCCUUUCAUUCAAUUUUUCCCUACCCUAUCCGUUCAUCCCCUUCCUCUCCUCUUUUCUCUUCAAUUUUCUUUCUUUCUCCCAUUGUUGUCAUUGCCUACACCUCCUAUUUUACCAUUUUUUCUUCUUUUUGCAUCAAGAUUUUGCACCAUCUCAUAACUCUAUUGCUUCCAUUUAUCCUCAUCUAAAUUAGCCCCAUAUCUGAAAUCUUGAACCCUGAGACCAAUCUCUAACAUAGCCAAGGAAGUGUCAUUUCCGUUUCUCUUAGCUAGCUUGGGUAAGAUCUAUUUUCUCUUCAAUUUCUUGAUUAAUCUUGUCAAUUAAGAACCAAAAUUUAUAGAUCUGGAAUUUGGUGAAUUUUAAAUUAUUUCAAAGGUAUUUUUCCAGAUUUUAAUGAGAUCUCAAACCAUUUUAAAAUUCAGCCCAAAUUUUGGCCACCAUGGGUGGUGGUGCGUGCGCUUAUGUGCAAGAAAGGGGGUUGUUUUGUUUCUUGGGUCUUGCCCAUAUUUUUCCAUUAUGAAAUUGUGUUCUUGAACCCUUCUAACCAGCCUUUAAGCACAUGUUAAUUAGGUAAAGAAAUUAUUGAUCAAUUAGCCAAUCGGAUCCCAUAAAUCAUGAAGCGUAAGUGCAAUUAAGGAUAACUAGUUUGUUAUUUCGACAUAGUUGUUGGGUAAAGGUUAUGAAUUGAUUAAAUGAAAGAAUUUAAUCAUUAAAUGUCUAGUGAUUUUGAAGUAUAUUAUUGAAUUUGGUGCUGACCCAAAUGCCCCAAAUCAUCCGUAAAGGUGAAGAACGCUUGUACAUAUGGUUCGCAUCGAUACAGUGCAAGGAAUCUAAUUAGUUUGGAUUCAUAAAGUAGUUAUCAUUUCAACAAUUGGUAUAAACUCAUAAGUGGGUGUUUGGGGUAUGGUUUAAUGGUAAAUUUAUUAAAUUUAUACUGAAUUUUGGUUUUGGUUCAUUUAAGGAAUUAUUAAGGAAAUUUGGAAGAUUCUCUACUAUGCUGCGAGAAAGCAAAAAAUAAUGUACGGGUCCUAAACUCAUAAGAUUGUUUGAAAAUGUUAAAUAUCAUUUUAUAUUUGAUAAAUUAUCUUGCUAAUUGAAUUGUAUUAAUAGCCAAAUUAUUGAUUUUGUGAGUAGCCGAACCAGGUAUGUUUCGAGCCUUAAAAGAUUGACAUGUUGGCAAAAUUGUUAGUUUGAUAGUAUGAAUGUUUAAUUGAGUUUGUAAUUGUAUAUUUGAGUUAUGAGAUAUGAGAAUGUUUGACUGAAUGGUAAUGUGUUGAGAUAUUAAGUGUAACACUCCAAACCCGGCCUAGACGUUAUGGUCGAAUCUGGCGAUAUCACAUUGAAGUGUUUUUCAAAAACACAGUUUCAUUGAAAACCCGUUCCUUACUAAUUCACGUUUACUGAAAACUCAAGUUGUCUUUAGCAGUGUGUUGAUCAUAUUAGUUUGUUACUAUAUUUAAAACAUUGUCUGAUGCAAAAACUUUUACAGUAUUUUAUGAAAACGUGGUGUCUUUGAAAAUAGUUACCUUUUGAAAACCCGUCUUUUUCUACAAUUAGCAGUUUAUAUCAAACUAAAUAAAUAAAAACCCCAAUUUAAAAUUUAUAGCCUUAAAGAGGCCUUUUUACAUAAAAAUACCCAAAUUCAGUUACUUAUAAAUCAGAAGCUAAAAAAGAAAACUGAUGCGGUUGUGUGGCCAUCAUCAAGUCCUUCGCAACACUGACCUGCCUACAAUUGGGGAUUACCUGUACAGUUAGAUAGAGGGGUGAGUUUACAAAAACUCAAUGUGUAAUCCACUAACAAGCAAACUGUCAAUUAAACAGUAGAUAAUGCAGUUUGGGCUUGAACCUGUUACAGUAAUAGUCCAGUUUAGUGUGGGCCUAAGCCCUUUCCCGUAACAGUAAACGAUUGGGCUUGAGCCCAUCACAAUGUUUGUAAUCAGUAGGGCAUUUGCCCAACUUCAGUAAUAGUAUCAGUGGGGCCUUGGCCCAUAAGAGUAACAGAUAUCAGUCAUGCAGUGAACAGUACAAUAUCAUUUAUUAGUGCAGAUAUACAGCUAGAAGUCCUACCCAAUCCAUCCUCUACACACCACUCCAUCCCGCCAAGCGCACCAUGUAGGGAUAAAAUCGACCCACCCAGCCAGACACACCAAGAUUAGCACUGGAUGCGGCACGAAAUAGUAUUGCAACAAAGCUGCCAGUAAAAUAAAUGGCAUAUACCCAUCAGUAGGUCCACAGUCAUCUUGGGCGACCUGUGCAACCUUAUCAGUACGGUACACUUCCUCCAAAUAUAACAACCCAUCCCCAUGCAAUAUGUCAUGACAUAAUAUCUUACGUGUAUGCAAAAUGUCAUGCUCAAUCAUAAUCAUAUAUAUCAUAGAGCAAAUCAGUCAUACAUAACUUAAGGCCAUAACAGUCAUUUCAUCUCCUCGGGUAUAAUAGUCAUUUUACCCUAUAGGGGUAUUUUGGUCAUUUUACCCUAUAUGGGUAUUUCGCUCAUUCUAACCUAUGGGGGUAUUUCAGUCAUUUUACCCUAUAAGGGUAUUUCGGUCAUUUUACCUUAUGGGGGUAUUUCGGUAAUUUUACCCUAUUGGGGUAUUUUGGUCAUUUUACCCUAUGGGGGUAUUUUAGUCAUUUUACUUUAUUGGGGUAUUUUGGUCAUUUUACCCUAUGAGGGUAUUUUGGUCAUUUUACCUAUUUUAGGGUUUCGAUGCCGAUAUCGACCUCUCGAAAGGUCCGUAGUCACCUCGAGCAACUUAGGUAACCUAAAAGGUCAUAACAGUGAAAAUGGGCCCAAGACCCAUUACUCGACCCAAGUGGGCUUCCACGCUUGUGCGGCCUGUUCAGCCCAAAUUUUGCCACGGCAAUGAGAUCUAAUUAUCCCCGUCCAAUAUUUUCCACAAAUUGUGGAUUUCAUCUAUGUGGGGCCCCCACAAGCCCAAUGAGCCCACACGGCCCAUCUCGGCCCAACGUGGCCCAUUACGAUGUAAGCCCAUGGAAAUGCUCAUUGAGGCCUCUACAGAUUAUCACCCAUGAUUCGUAGGUUUGGCUUUCCACAUGAGUGAUCGCACACUCGUGUGGUCUCAACGCCGUAUUUCAGCUUUUCGGCUUUUGCCGUUCUACAAUUACAGUGGGUUACACACCUGAUGCAAUUUGUAGAUUCCCUUUGUUCCGAACACUCUUUUAUUCUGAAAAUCAAUGAUCAUCGCACCCUUAGUUCCUAGGCAAUGUGCCAAUCAACCUCGACCACGACCAGUUAGGAAUGAAAGCAAUGCAAGUUGGAGAAAGCGACGAAAACCUUGAAAACCUCGUCGAUCUCCCAUCGAGAACAAGGAACAAAUGAGAUGGAUAUAUAGCUGUCCACAACAACCUCUCUCCAAAUCCCAAUAUUCUCUCCUCAAAUCUCUCCAAAUAUCCCUCAUCAAUUCUCUCUAUGACUAGUUCAAACUCCAUUUAGCAGUAUUUCAAUCCAACUCUACCACCCACACGAAUUAAGCAGCAAAAUAAAUACCCCUUUUUUUAUACGCCACCACUCGAACCUUAGAGCCCAUGUACACUACACACACCCCUUACCACUAGACCAACAACUCAUUUGUAUCAUAUUUUAACCACAAUACUUUAAGAACCAACUAUCUAGAUCCAAGGAUUUUAUUCACUUAAAAUAAAAAAAAAUUUGCAUAAGCCAAGGCUUGAACCCCUGACUUCUCAGACACUUCCAAACACUCCUAAAUCACUUAACCACUGAAGCAGACAUUCACUUAUGUUACUUCCAUGCACAACUAAAUAUUUAUGUGUAGUCUCCUAACUGUUCCCCUGUUCAAAAUCUAUUUCUUCUAGGCCCAAAAUUUGGGGUGUUACAUUAAGCUUAUGUAUGAUUGAAAAGCAUGAGAUAUUUUUUAUAUUGUGAAUUGAAAAGGGUGUUAUUUAUGCACAAUGAAAAUCCGUAAAAUAUUUAAAAUUGAACGAUAUCAAUUUAUACCAACACAAUAGUAAUUUGAAAGAUUGGAACACUGUUUCCAUUUAUUGAAAGCAUGUGAUUAUUGUGGACAUGCCGCUCAUAUUGAAUGAAUGUGAAAAGUCUUAAGAUAUGAUUAUGUAUGAGAUUGUGUGACAUAUUGCAUAUGCAUUGGGUUGGAAUUUUGUGGUUUAAAGAAGAGUUUCAUGGAGUACCGACAACAUAUUAAGUCUACAUUAUUCGUAGUCAGUGCACUGCACCUGGAGUACCGAGGGAAAUGGCAAUUUAUCGUAUUUUUACUGGCAGCUUGUUUGCAUUUUUACUGGUAGAAUUUUUUGCAUAUUGUUAUCGGUGGUUUUAACCACAACGGGCUUAAGCCCAUAAUGUUUUGGAGUUCGGAUGACGAAUUCUGGGGAACUCGUGGUGUGUAGCGGAUGGUAUGGGUAGGAACCUUUUUGUAUUGCAUCAUGCUCAUGACAUAUUCAAAUGUUAUUGAUUUGUGAUAUGUGUUGUAUUGUGUUAUAUUGAAUGAUAUCGAAAUUAAUGGUUGUUACUCAAAUGAAUGAUGUCCCAUGCUCAUACACCGUUCGACAUUAAUUUGAUAAUGGCUAUGUAAUGAUAUGAAAUUCCUAUGAUGGUUCUGUUUUCUUCCUUUAAUGCUAAUAUAUUUCACUGUAUUUUAUGUUUUUUCCCAUUUAAAUAAUUGUUCGACUCACACUGAGCUUUUCAUAAACAUACCCCCAAUAGUGUUUAAAUUUUCAGGUAAACCUCGAAAUUAGGACCAGACUUGGCAUUCGGAGAAUCACCUUGGACUGGGACUAUUUUGAAUAAGUAUUAAUCAGUCUCUGUUAGUUUUGGUUUGUAACUUUUAAUUAUUUCUGGUCUAUGGCUUGGUAACUUUUCUUUUAGGGAUUUUUGCAUGCAUGGAUUACUCAAGCAUAAUAAUCGGAUAAUGCAUGAUAUCGGUCUUAAGUAAAAUUUGAUAUUGCUCCCUAGUUUCCUCAGCAUAUUUUCUUCCAGGUAUUUGAUUUUAUUUUCUUGUGUUGACUUUUUUAUGUUUAAUGUUUCGAGCUACUACUUCAUUAUCAAUACUUAUUCCAAAGUUAAGUUUUAAAUUUUUGUUCUAGCAUAAUAUUUGUAAUCUUGUAAGUUCUAAUCAACUUGUCUGUGGAUCAACCUCGGACUCUUGAGAUUUUAUUACUUGAAUAUAACCUACACUUGGGUUGUAGAACUAGAAAGUCACUGUCAAGUUUUUAGCACCGUUGCCGGGGAAAGUAAGAUUUAGGUUACAAGUUUAUAAGUAUUUUUUUAUGUACUUAUAUUUGGCUUGUUCUACCGCCUAAUUUGUUUAUGCAUAUUUGGCAUGGUGAUUUUAAUUCUCGUCGUUUAGUUAGAAAAAAUUGUGAAACCUUUGUUGGUAAUUUUAUUGAGACACCUCGACAUUCUCCAAUCAUGGAUGAGAUUGAAAGAGCUCCUGAUGAAAAUGAGAUUCAACAAGUGUGCACCCUGCGUGAUUACUUGUAACCUCCUCGAAACUCAACACCCUUUUGCUUUGUUUUACCUUUGAAUGCAAAUAAUUUUCGGUUCAAAUCUGGAAUCAUAAGUUUACUUCCUAAUUUUCAUGGCUUAGAGCCUGAAAUUCCUUACUUACAUCUUAAAUAUUUUGAUGAAGAAUGUGCCACCUUUAAUGAUCCACCUUGUGCUAAUGAAAUUGAUAAACUCAAAUUAUUUCCUUUUCCUUUCAAAGAUAAAGGUGAAAAUUUGGUUUUACAAUUUAAAACCAAGAUCAAUUGGUACUUGGCAAGAAAUGCAAACUGAAUUUUUAAAGAAAUUUUUUCCAACACAAAAGCACCAAUGCUUUUAAAAGACAGAUUCAAAAUUUCUUGCAAAAUUCAAAUGAACCCUUUUUCAAACACCAAAGAGAAUGCCCAAACAUUUCACUUUUCAAAGAAAUGUUGCAUGAACAAGAAAAUGUUGUGGAAACAUUCAGAAAGCCCUUUCAUUCUCCAUACUCAAGCAUUUACAACCCUCAAUGGACAAACCACCCUAACUUCAGCUGGCAAAAUAAUAAUUGUGCUCAUUUACCCCAUCCUCCAAAACCUCCCAACUCUCUGACCCAACCGUCUUUACAUGUUAAAAGUUUAGAGGAUAGAUUGCAAGAAUUCAUGCAGACACAAAAAAAUGUCAACAAUCAGACUUCACAAGGUAUCAAUGAAAUCAAGAGCACACUUUCUAUGUUGAUAGCCUCAUUGCGCAUUCAAGAAAAAGGUAAGUUUCCUGCUCAACCUCAACCUAAUCCUUCUACUCAAUGUCAUAUUUCUUGUCCUAAAGAAAUCCAAAAAGAAUAUGUGAAUUCUAUCACAACUCUUCAAAGUAGUAAGGCCAUCGACAAGAGUAUUUCUUCCAAAGCCCAAUAGCCCUCUCUCAGUUCGCUAAGUAGUGGUAAGGAUAAUUGCAAGCCUAAAAGUUCUAACAACUUAGACAAGGAAAAUAUGGGGUUUCUGCUCUUUUCCCUCCAAGAUUACAACCAAUAAGGAAUUUGAAUAAAAAUGCUAAAAUUUUAGAAAUUUUCAAACAAGUUAAGAUUAAUAUUCCUUUAUUGGAUGUGACUAAACAAGUGUCGUCUUAUGAUAAGUUUUUGAAAGAUAUCUGCAAAGUCAAAAGGAAACAUAAUGUGCAAAAGAGAGCCUUUUUAACUAAACAUGUGAUUUAAAUCAUUCAGCAUAUCACUCCACCUCAAUACAAAAAUCAUGGUUGCCCUACAAUUUCAUGCAUCAUUGGGAACACCAUAAUAGAUCGUGCUUUGCUUGAACUUGGUGCUACUGUUAAUCUUUUACCUUUCUCUAUUUAUCAGCAAUUAGAUUUAGGUGAACUUAAGCCAACAUCUAUCACAUUUCAGUUAGCUGAUCGAUUUUUCAAAAUUCCUCGAGGGAUAGUAGAAGGUGUGUUGGUUCAAAUUGACAAUUUUUAUUUUCCAAUUGAUUUUAAUAUUUUGGACACGGAUCCUGUCUUAGAUUCUACUUUACAAAUCCCUAUUAUUUUAGGCCGUCCAUUCCUUAAAACUUUAACUACUUUGAUUAAUUGCAGGAACGGUGUUCUAAACUUGUAUUUUGGAAACAUGACGUUAGAAUUAAAUGUGCUUAACAUUUGUAAUCAACCUGCUAAAGAUUCUGAUGUACAUGAAGUGGACUUCAUUGAAUAACUUGUCCAUGAACAGUUCAUCAAUUCCAAACUAUGCAAUCCUUUGGAAAAUUAUUUAACUGAAUUUGAAAUUGAUGACGAAACAAAAAAUCCAUGCAUUAAUCCUGUCUUAAAUAAUUUUCAGGGACAAAAUAAGAAAUUUUAUUAGAAACAAAAGUUUGAGGAACAUCCAACAACUAAAGAUGUUUUAACACAUCAGUUGAUCAACCACCCAUGCUUGAUUUGAAACAACUACCAUGUGAUCUGAAAUAUUCAUCUUUGGGUGAGAAUGAACUUUUCCAGUCAUAAUUUCCUCAAAACUUGAUGCACACCAAGAAGGUAAGCUACUGAAAUUUUGUAAAUGCAUAAAAAUGCAUUAGGAUGGACCAUUAUAGAUAACAUAAAAGAAAUUAACCCUCUGAUUUGCACACAUAACAUUUAUUUAGAGGAAAAUGCUAAACCCUCUAGACAAAUGCAACUAAUUCUUAAUCCUAAUAUGAAAGAAGUGGUGAGAAACGAAGUCGUUAAACUCUUGGAUAAUAGAAUCAUUUAUCCCAUUUUUUACAGCAAAUGGGUAAGUCCUACCCAAGUUGUACCCAAGAAAUCUGGGGUUACUGUAGUCAAAACUAAAAAUAAUAAAUUGAUCCCAACUAAGACUAUUAUUGGUUGGCGCAUGUGCAUUCAUUAUAGGAAACUUGAUUUAGUGACCAGAAAAAAUCAUUUCCCUUUACCUUUCAUGGAUAAUAUCUUAGAAAUAGUUGCAGGGCAUGAAUUUUAUUGUUUUCUACAUGGAUAUUUUGGGUAUAAGAAAAUUGUAAUUUCACUUGAGGAUCAAGAGAAAACCACUUUUACAUGUCCUUUUGGCACUUUUUCACAUCGAAGGAUGCCUUUUCGAUUAUGUAAUGCACCAGCCACAUUUCAGAUAUGCAUGUUUAGUAUUUUUAGUGAUAUGGUUGAAUGCAUUUUAGAAGUCUUCAUGGAUGAUUUUUCUUUUUUGGUGAUUCAUUUGAUGAUUGCUUAUCCAGUUUAGAAAAGGUUUCAAUUAUAUGUAAAGAAAAAAAUUCUUGUUCUUAAUUGGGAAAAUGUCAUUUCCUUGUCACUAAAGGAAUUGUUUUAGGACACAUAGUUUCUUUAAAAGGGAUUCAGGUAGACAAGUCAAAAUUUGAGUUAAUUUCCAAUUUUCCAACACCGAAAACUGUAAAGUACAUUAGGUUAUUUUAGGACACACAGGAUUUUAUAGGAGAUUCAUAAAAAAAUUUAGUGUUAUAUCUAGGCCUUUGUGUAAUCUCUUAUUAAAGGAUACUGCGUUUAGAUGGACUGAAAAGUGCGAAAUAAAUUUUGGAAAGCCUAAAAGUAUGCUUACUUCUGCUCCUAUUUAUGAAACCCCAGAUUGGACUUUACCAUUUGAAGUAAUGUGUGAUUCUAGUGAUUACGUUAUUGGUGUUGUGUUAGGAUAAAGGAAAUGUAAGAAACCAUAUGUCAUUUUUUAUGCAAGUAAAACUUUAAACAGUGCUCAAAUGAAUUAUUCUAAUACUAAAAAAUAAUUACUUGUAGUAGUUUUUGCAUUGGAAAAAUUCAAAUCUUACCUUGUUGGAUCAUCCAUUGUUGUCUUUAGUGAUCAUGCAACUUUAAAAUAUCUUCUCUCUAAAAAGGAUGCCAACCCCAGGUUGAUUAGGUUGAUUCUUCUUCUUCAAGAAUUCAACAUCGUAAUUUGAGAUAAGAAAGAAGUAGAAAAUUUGUGGCUGACCAUUUUUCAAGACUUUUUUGUAAGGAAUCUUUUGAAACUUUCCCAAUUAAUAAUAGUUUUCCUAAUGAACAAAUUUUAAAUAUCUUUGUUAUACCAUGGUUUGCUAACAUUACAAAUUUUCUUGCGACAGGAAAAAUUCCUUCCUAAUGGAGUUUACAACAUAAAAGGAAAUAUUUUUCUGAGGUAAAAAAUUUUAUAAGGAUGAUUUCAUAUCUUUUCAAAUACUACCCUAAUCAAAAUUUUCGAAGAUGUAUACCUGACAAUGAGGUACAUAGUGUCAUUAAUUUUUUUUUCAUUUUGAAGUAUGUGGUGGUCAUUUUUCAUCCAAGAAAAUUGCUGCAAAAAAUUUACAAUGUGAAUUUUAUCGGCCAACCUUAUUCAAGGACACUUAUAAUUUAUGCAAAUCAUGUGAAAAUUUCCUAAAAUAUGGAUCAAUUUCAAAACAAAACAUGAUGCCAUUAAAUCCAAUUUUUGUGAUUAAAAUAUUUUACUGUUGAGGUAUUGACUUCAUGAGACCUUUUCCAUCAUCGUCUGGUUUCUUAUACAUUUUUGUUGCAGUAUAUUAUGCUUCAAAAUGGAUAGAGCCAACUCCAUGACGAAAUAAUGAUCACAAAACAAUGAUUAAGUUUUUAAAAGAAAAUAUUUUAAGUCGAUUUGGGAUUCCUCGAUCUAUUAUAAAUGAUGGGGGCACACAUUUUUGCAACAAAAUUUUUGAAUCAUUAAUGAAGAAAUAUACCAUUAGACACAAAGUUGAAACCCCUUAUCACCCUCAGACAAAUGGACAAGUAGAACUUGCAAAUAAGGAAAUUAAGAACAUUUUGGAAAAACAUGAUUAAUCCAACUUGCAAAGAUUGGUCUCUAAGACUUAAUGAUGCAUUAUGGGCUUACCGAAUUGCUUUCAAAACAGCAUUAGUCAUGUCUCCCUAUCUACUAGUUUAUGGAAAACCUUGUCAUUUACCCAUGGAAAUUGAACAUAAGGCAUAUUGGGCUACUAAAAUGCUUAACUCCAAUCUUGAUGAUGCAUCUAAGUUGUGAAAGUUGCAAAUUAAUGAACUUGAUGAACUUAGAAAUGAUACUUAUGAGAAUUCAAAAAUAAAUAAAGAAAGAACCAAAGCUUUUCAUGAAAAGAUGGUGUUAAGAAAGACAUUUGAUGUUGGACAAAAGGUUUUGCUUUAUGACUCCCGACUUCACUUAUUUCCUGGAAAACUAAGAUCAAGGUGCAGUGGUCUAUUUGUUAUAAAGCAUGUGUACCCUCCUGAGGCAGUCAACAUUAAGAAUCCAAAGAAUGGUAAUGUAUUCAAGGUUAAUGGAAAUGUUGUGUGGAAGCUUGUAAAAGAGUAAAAUUAUUGUACUAAAAAAUCACACUGAGUUCAAUUCCCAGGAAAGAGAGGUGGAUCACAAGGAUCGCUUAAGUACCAUGUCUUUCCUAGCCAGAAUAUCCCUCAAUCGUAAUUUAAUAGCACAAUAAAUCACUACAAUCACACUCACAAUUCAUGCAGAAUAAUACAAUAAAGAACACAAGAAUUUAACGAGGUUCAGCAAAUUUUUCCUACGUCCUCGGGCACUACCAAAUAUAUUUCACUCCAAAACACAAGUGAGAAUUUACAAAGAGAGAGAGAGAAAACAAUGCCUUAAGUAAAGAAUGGCAAAUUUGGGAUGAUGAAAAAGAGAAAUGGUUAGGCCUAUUUAUAGUUGAGGUUUAGGGAUCAAAAUUGCAAUUAUCUUAUGUCAAAUCUCAAUCCUACUUUUGGUGCCUUAAAUCCCAAAUUUUGAUACCCAUAUCUUUUUUUUAUACUCAUAUCUUUCUGAUACCCAUAUCUUUGACUUUUCUAAAUAUGGAAGGUUGCCAAUAGGAAAAAAGACUCAAAUUAUUCCUAGAAAAUCAAUUUGCUCAAGAUGAAAUUCUUUGUCCUUCCGAUCGUUGUUACAAUAAUGUUUAGUUGUAAAUAUAUAUUUUACUACUUAGGAAUUCAUAUUAUUAUAAAUAUUAUUAUCGUUGUUAUUGUUACCAUUUAUUACAAUUCUCUUUUUUUUUGUAUUGUUUUUUUACCCCGGUUAAAUGGCGUAUAAUGGUACUCCGUGGCUUUAAUGUUGAUCCUAUCAACUACCCAUCAAACUAAUAUAGUAUAUUCUUACUUUUAAAUUUUCUACAAUCUAAAUCCUUGUACUUUUCUCUCUCAUCUCAUUUUCUUGGCUUUCAAAGUAAUCUAAUUUCUUUUUCUCAAACUUUCUUUGAUUUCAAAAUGGAUAACAUUGUUUCAAAGUUGCACAAACAAUUUUCUUGUCUCCCCAGAAAUAUGAUAGUGAAGCUUUACAAGGUUAGAUGCGAGAGAUUAAGGAUGCUCAUGCAUAAGGGAAUGCCUAUAGACAUUCAAGUGAUCAUUGAAGGAAAAGUAUGAUUUGAGAAAUAUCUUCAUGUUUUGCAUUUACCUGGCACAAGUAGGAGCAGUUAUGCAAGAAAGCGAAGAGCAAAGUGCCUUGAGUGAUUUGUAGCAAGUGUCCCAGAUGGACCUAUAACGAUCAAUGUCAAUCUCUUGGGAUGGCAUUUGUAAAUCGAGAAGAUAAAAUAAUGUUCAUUAAUGACGGAUUAAGUAAGGAUAAUUUUAGAGAUAUCCAAAUUUCUCUUGAGACUCAUCCUAGUGGAGCUGUGCAAAAGGAAAUUCUUGAUUUAUGGUCUUAGUUCCAAUAUGAAUAGAAUCGUCUUGGAAAUCUUAUGAUCAAAUAUCUUGUUUGCUAGUUUAUAGGAAAAUUGGAUGGGACUCAUAAAAGGCAUUUAAGCCAUUACUGGACGUAAAAUCGGAGGAAGAUGUGAGCCACAAUCACAACUACUGUAAAUAAUUCUCAACCUUUAAUCUUCAUUUGCAAUAAUCAUAUGUUUCUUGCAUUUUACAUUAUGUUUAUAUCUAUGUUAUUUAUCUUGAUCUCAACUAUUUGAAAAAAUAAUAAUAAUUAAAAACAAAAACAAAAAAGGCGAUUGUUAAUAUCAAUAUUUUAUUACUAUUUGUUUUUAGAUUUUCUGUUUCGUGUGAUGAUUUUCUCUUCCGUAUUAUUAUCUCAAGAUUCAUGUUUUUUUGUACCUGAUAAAUAAUUGUGACAUGUUCCUUUCUUGAAUUUUUUGAAUUUUUCUUCUCGAGAAAUAUUUGCCUCUGACUUGUUUGAUUUUUUUCUUGACAUCUUAUUUUCUCUUUCUAUUUUAUUAUUACUCUAUGUGGGGUCCAAACCUUAUAUAAUUUACUACUUCCUCAUUCACAUUCAGACAUUCAAAAAAAAUAUGGCAAGUACUUCAACUCAAAAGUGUGAAAAGAUUUGUGUUUUUUUUUGUGGAUCUUAUCCAGGAAAAGAAAAAACUUUUAUAGAUAUGGCUAUCAAAAUUGGGCAAAGUACUACCCAAUGAAAAAAUUAAGUUAAUCUAUGGAGGGGGAAGUAUGGGUUUAAUAGGACCAGUGGCUACAUCAGCAUAUGUUAAAGGAGUUCAGUUUUGGGAAUAAUCCCAAGAGUAUUCAAAGAAAAUGAACUAUGUUGACCGACUAUCAAUAAAUAACUACAAGUUUGAAGUAUUCAUGAACGGUUAGCUAUUAUGUUCGACACUACUGAUGCAUUCAUUGCCUUACCUAGAGGUUUUGGUACAUUAAAGGAAACAUUUUGCAUAACCUCUUGUUCAUCUUUCUUCAAACAUAAAAAACUCAUCGGUUUGCUUAAUGUUAAUGGUUAUUAAACUAAUUUUCUCUCAUUUUUAGAUAAUGUUGUGGAAAGUGGAUUUGUGUUUUCAGAGGCAAGGAAUGUCUUGAUUGUUACGCAACUGUUGAUGAACUAUUCAUUAAGCCUCAAGCUUUUAAGUACCAUCCAGAUCUAAUCACUCAACAAAUUGUUGAAUCAAGAAAAAGGAAAAGAGAUUCUGACAAAUAAGAAAUGGAUUUAACUUUUUCUUUCUGACAUUAUUCAACUUUUGGGUUUAUCUUAUAUUUACAUUUUUAUAUGUAUACAUUGUCGUGUUUCAGUUGUAGCAAUCUUGACUAACAAUCACAGGUGAUAUCCUCUAAACUUCACUUAUGAUUUUGACAUUGAGGACAAUGUCCUAAUUUGGCAGAGGGUAGGGAAUACUUUUUUGAAAAUCCUAAGUCUCCUUAAAAAAGAAAAACACUAAAGGUUGUUAUUGUAAUCAAUGUGGCAGGGUAUGGAAAAUAAUCUUGAGACUACACCUUAUUAGAAUGUCUACCCUUAUUAUUAUUAUUAUUAUUAUUAAUUUUAAAUAUAUAUUGUAAAACACAAGUAAGGAGUGAAGAGCAUUCUUAAAUUGCAUCAUUUCAUGUUGAAAUGGAGGAUAAGGAGUAAUCUUGACACCCAUGUUUCAAAUUUUUUUCUCUUUUUUAAAAUAAUUCUUUAUCAUUUUUUUUGUGAUAUCAGAAAAUGUUUUGCAUGAUCAUUUAAUAUAUCUAGUACUUUUGAGAUUUUAACAUGCUUGCGAAGUACUAAAGUAUGUAAGCUUGAAUAAUUGAUGAUCAUCAAAAAAUUAGUUGUUAAUCUAUUAUAGAAUGUGUUUCAUGGGUUUUGUGUAAUUAGGUUUUGUUAGGACUUUGGGUUUUUCCUCUUUGAACUUUCUUUGACAAAAUUAUCUUUUGAAUUUUCUUUAAUACAUUGUCUGUCUUAGAUGAUAUGCAUGACUUGUAAUGGGUUGUAAGUAAUAUAUUAAUCAUGAUCUUAGAAUCUAUUGGCUUAUUACCCUUAAAUAUAAUGGGUAGUUCCAAAUGCAUGAUAAGGGAAGACCUAGGCAAUUUCUUUAGAUCGUUUGAGGUUUUCAAGCCAACCCUUGCAUAAAAUUUCUUAGUACCCUAAUUUAGCCUUUUAAGAUUUUUUUUUUGUUUAAUGUUGUUAUCUUAGCCUAUAAAGCCUUAAUUGCUAAAUCCUAAUCCUUUUGUUUACCCUAAGUAUUUAGUGCUUAUCAGACAUAUUCCUUUAGGUUAAGUAUUAAAUGAGAUAAGUAGAAAUAUUAAGGUGGAUACUUUAAGGUGAGAAAAUGAAUAAAGCAUAGCUUCACCAUACGUUGUAUUUACAUCAUGGAAAAUUUAAAAAAUCAAAAGAAAAGGACUAUUUUUUUGUUUACCUAUUUUAUCCAUGUUUUAUUUGAAAGGUAGAAAAAUAAAGAGAUAAAAAAAAGGGAGUUGAAAAUAUAAUUAGUGCUCAUAUAGGGGAAGUAGGGAAUGAUACUUUAAGCUUUUUAUGAUCCAUAAGUAACUAAUGCUUAAGAUUUAAGCCUAAAUUGACUUUUCAUCCUACCUUAGCCCUAGCCUAAUGUUACAAGCCAAAAGACCUAGUGAACUUGUUAUUCAUAUUGGAAUCAAAUUAAAGGAGAGGGGAACUGUUAAUGGACUUAUGAAAUCAUGAUUAUUAUGCUUAACUUACAAUCUAUUAUUGUUUAAUGUGUUGAUAAGAUUGCACACAGGUAAUUGCACACAAGUACGGAGGUCCAAGGUUUCUAGUUUUGCCUAAUUAUAUAAAUAUUCAUGUGACUAUUUAUAUUUUGUCUAGCAUCUAUUAUUUCUAUUUUCAUCAUAACUUCUUGUUUUAUAAUACUUUUGUACUUUGUUCACAUGUUAUUUUAAUUUGUGUACUAUUUUUGGGUAGUAACAAUUUUCUUUUUUGUUUUGUUGCUUGGGGACAAGCAAAAAUGUAAGUGUGGGGGUAUGAUGACUCAUCACCAUGUGAUUGUUUUGGAAUAUAUCUUACUUACACUUGCUUGGUUUCCUAACGCGUUUUAUAUGUUUUAAUUUUAUUUUAGUGAUUUGAUCUCUUUUUUGUUUGUAUUGCAAAUAUUGUGUAUUUUUAGUGUUUUCAUGCAUUUAGUUUCAACAAAAUAUUCCAUGUGGAAUUUGCAUGUAAAAAAAGUUUGGGAAGAAGACGUCAAUACAUGGAACCAUGAGAUUAAAUGCACUAAGCCUAAAGUUGAUCCAAGAUGAUGAGUGAAAGUUAAAAGCUCAAAAGAUUAAUUUUUUUUAAUUUGAACACAUUCAGAACUUUCAGUCGAAACACUUCCUAGUGUUUCGAUCAUGCCUCGAGCCUUAGGACUCCAUUUUCAGUGUACCUUAUAUCUUUGAAAAGGGGAUUUGAAUAUCUAUUCAAAUAUUGGAACACCAAAACCAAAAUGCAUCAAGAAGAAAUCCAAAAGUAAAGAUAUUGUUACAAGUUUCACAUUAAUGGAUAGUUUUGAUGCAUUUUCUUGUUUGGCUCAUAUCUCCUAACAAAAUUGGAAUUUGGAGUUGAAAUUUUUACAACAUAUAGACACGAUACAGACCAUCAAUCAACUCUCUUUGACUUUUCCCAUUGAGAGUCGUUAACUUGGACAAAAGGAAUCAUCUUUUAACAUGUGAAAAAUGCCUCAAAAGAUGACAAAGAAGUAGGCCUAGAAAUUUAUUAUUAACAAGUCCUUUAUAUUUUCAUUUUCCUCUUCACAAAUCUCUAUAAAUAGCCUUUCAUUUCAAAAUAAGAGGCAUCUUGAAGUUGAGUUCAAGAUCAUUUGCUUGUUAAGUUUUUGUUUGUUUCAUUAUUCGUGUAAAUUUUCAAGUUUCUUAUAUCUAAUAAGUCUAUUUCAUCUCAAUUUGAGUUGUUUACUUUUGCUAUGUUAUUUUAAGUUUUCAAUAUUUAGGUGAAAGGGUGAAACUCUUGGGAAAUAUUAAGGUAAAUUCCAUACUCAUCAUUUGAGCUAAAAUUAAUUAUCAAUCACUUGUUAUAUCAUACUUGUAAAGUAAGAUAUUUUAUUUAUUAUAGACAAUAUAUGGCACAAUGAAUGCUUGGAUAAAUUAACCUUAAUUUUUUUAGACAUAAAAAUUGGUGUAAUAAAUAUUUGAAAUAUUUUUAUAAGUUUUGAAGUUAUCAGCUGAUUAUAAUACCAUAUGGUUGGACUAAACUUAAAUAGUUGAACUGUCAUAUUGCACUAUCCUUUGCUUAUGGAUUCAUUUGCUAAAUUCUUGGACUUAUUGGACAAUAAUUUUGGACACUUCAUUGGUGGACAUACCUUUGCUCAUGGAUUCAUAUGCUUAAUUAGCGGACGUACAUUGCUAGAUCAUCCGAUUAGGACCUCCAUUUAUGUGUGUAUUCUAAUUGAGUAAUAACAUUGAGUAUUAAAUUUUAAUCUUAAUAUGACACUAAGAGUUGAUCCUCUAACCUUAGCAUAUUUUCUUCCAGGUAUUUGUUUUAAUUUUCUUGUCUUGACUUUUUAUUUUUAGUAUUUCUAGCUACUAUUUUCAUUAUCAGUACUUAUUCCAAAGUUAAGUGUUAAAUUUUUGUUCUAGCAUAAUACUUGUAAUCUUGUAAGUUCUAAUCAACUUCUCUGUGGAUCGACCUUGGACUCCCGAGAUUUUAUUACUUGAAUAUAACCUAAACUUGGGUUGUAGACCAAGAAAGUCACUGUCACAAUGUGAUAUGAUUCCCAACCCAUCCAUCCACUACACACCACGAGUUCCCCAAAACCCAUCUACCAAACUCCAAACAUUGCGAGCUGAGCUCGAUGUGGUUAAACCAUCAUUAUAAACAAUGCAAUUAUAUUGCCAAUCAUAAUACAAUGCACUAACAACAUUAAUACGGACUUAAUUUUCCCCCAUUACUCCAUAAAACUCCUUCGUCAUCCACAAUAUCCCAUCCCAUGCAUAUGCAUUAUGUCGUCUGAGAUGCAAACUAGAACUUGUUUCCAUUAUAAUCACAUUUCAGAGGCAUGAUCUAUACACCUUCAUUAUCAUUCAUUUCCAUAUGGUGAUGACACUUGUAACACCCCAAACACAACCUAAACAUUAUGGCUAGAUCUAGAGAAGUCACCAUGAUCAAUUAUGAAAAUUCAUAAAUAAAUUGAGGCUUGUAGAAAAUGCUAGUUUUUGAUAAAUACAAUCCCUAGUUUAUUUUAAAGAAAACCCAUCUCUUUUAAUUAUUUUGUAAAUUUUGUUGAUUAAUUUUAUGUUUAUAAAACACUUAUGUUUGCAAUGAAACUCUUAGUAAAAUUUAGCUUUGAGAAACGCGGUUUGUUUUCAAAAAUUCAACAUUUUGCUAAUAGAGUAAUUAUAAUUUAAAAUGAUUAAACGAUUCAAAAAAACAGAAAACCAAAAGUCCAAAACAAAAAUAAUCCCAAGAGUCCAAAAUAGUCCAACAGUAUCAAAAUAGAGUAAACAAAGUUUAAAGUAACACAAAUUAAAUGUGUUUAUCUGAGCUCCCGUCGCACCGACCCGUCCUAUGCCUAAGGAUUACCUGAGAAUCAAGCAAACAGAGAAUGAGCUUACAAGCAGUAUGUAACUUACUAUAAUUAAAAUAGUAGAUAAAAUUCCAGACAUGCAUUCAGAUACCAAUUAGACGAAUUUCAUAGACAGAAAUAGAAACAGAUGCAUAUCAGAUACAGAUACAGAUUAAUUUCCUACCCCCAUCUGCUACACACCAGCUCUGACCAUCCCUGCACACCAAUUAGGGUAUUAAAUACCCAAUUAGUGUCUGUAUAACACUUUUCAGAAUAUUUGUAGCCUAGCUACAAGAUCAAUAGGCGAUAUACCGCCAAAUAUGGAUAUACGUAGCUGAGCCACGAAAUUAGGCAGAUAAAUUAAACUAUCAGCAAUUCCUCCAUAAACAUAUUUCUCACCCCAAUGCAUAUGUAAAACUAGACAAUAUCACAUAUGUGCACGACAUGCAUGUUUUUCACAUCUGAUUAGAUCAUACCUAGCAUAUAACAGAACAUGCUAUCACAUAUAACAUACCACUCAUCCGUUUGCUAGUCAUAUUAAGCAAUAACAGAGUAUCAAAAAUCAUGGUUUAUAGGCAAUUUUAUACCAUACGGGCCCUACAGAAAGGUUAUAUUCGAUUCGCACGACAACCAGAACCCUAGGGAAAAUUUUCAGAAUUUAGGCCCACACUCCCAUGUGGCAUCGACAGUCUCAAUUUUGGCUUUCAGUCGUUCGCUAAUUUCUUGAGUUUUCGUUACACACUUCAUCUAAUUUUGAUUCGAUUGCAACCAUGAGAUUUCCAGAACCUAAAAAUAAUAAUUAAACCACCAAUUAAGACGAUUCCCACACCCAAUUCACAAAAAUUGAUAUAUCAAACAUCAAAUUUUAAACGAAGAAUUUCAACCUAAAACCCCAAUUUGACUCCUUAUCUUCAAGAAACAGCAGAACACCAAUGAUUCUAGGUUUCUGAAGAAUUAAUUGCCUUUCCAACUUCACCUAGAAAGUCAAACAAUUAAUCAUACAGAACAUAUUUAACCCACAACUAACAAAAAGAACAAUAAGAACAAACUCACUUAAUACAAGAGAAAACUUAAUGGCAGAUACACAAGUAAUUGAUUACGCUUAAUGGCAAUUGAUUUGCAGAAAGAAAAGGAAAAGAACAAAGUGUAGAACCGCACAAGAAAAAAAAGAAAAGAAACUAGCAAUUGGGAAAAAAUAAAAGUGGGAACUGAGGGAGAGGAAAGUGGAGAAUAAACAGAGGACACCUUACCACUAAACCAGCAGGCUCAUUUUAUCACAAGUUUAGUGGAAAUAGUAUUUAAGUCAAAUAAAAAGAGGUAGGGAUAGGACCUCAAACACACAUCCAAUGCAUUUAACCAUUGAACCAAAUCAAUUACUUAGACAAAAUUUAACAAAUCAAAACUUAGAUUUUGGGGGCAUUACAACACUUAUCAAGCAUUCCAUUUCAUAAUCAAUUCAAUGAAAUUCUAACAUGCCUCAUUUUCAUAAUAAUUUCUUAUGCAAUUUAACAUGUUACAAGAGGAAUUUUUCAAUACAUGUAUAACAAGCUCUCAACAGUACAUUCCAUGGCAUUUCACUUAAGCAUACAAUUCAACCAUUCAAUAGUUUUACUUUUGUAAUAUUAAUACAUGUUAUGCAUUCAACCAACAAUCAUUUUAUUUUCAAAUCAUCCAUGUUAUUUCAUACUGAUACCACUCGUAUAAAUAGUCAUUCAACCAUGCUAAUCUUGCACGAAUUCCAUUUAAUUAGGGCUUGAAAUGUACCUGAUUUAACCACCUUAAAAUUGUUUCCUUAGCCAUUUAAAAAGUCGUACCAACAAGGUUAAACAUCAAUUUAACCACUAAAAAUAUAAUUUAAACAGACAAGUUUACAGGUUAGAACACAAACCUUAAUUUCACAAAACCGCAGUACUACUUGUGAAAUCUACGCUUCCUUCACCAAACUUAAACGUACCUAAACCAAAAUCCAACUUUAAUAGAGUUAGGAUGUUGUCAAACCAGCCUUAAAACACCCUCUAAGGGUUUAGGCAAAUCAUUGUUACAAGGCCUUAAUUACAAAUCCAAAUCAGUUGAAUCAAUUACAAUGAUAUGGUGCGAAGCGAGAGCGUGGACGAAAAAUGGCUUCACUGCUGUUCUAGGAUGUUUAAAUCAAUGCCUAACACAUUAAAAUGCUAAAAAAUCAGUAGCUAAUCAUCCAUUUAAAACCUUAAAAUUAGUAGCUAAUCAAUAGUUGAUUAGGAUAGGAUAAAAUAGAUCUACCCUUGCCGGAAAAUACUCGAAAAAAUUGUGAAAAAUUAGCAGCUCUUAAUGGCAGAUCUAGGAGCAAAGCACCAGCAUAAUUGGCCACAUAGGGGCGGUUUUGCAAAACACCAAGGAGAUUUGUUUAAAAGCUGAUAAAGGAAUAUCUUUAGACUUGAAAAUUAGUAAAAAUAAAGGCUGAAAUAGUAGUGUAUUUUACUAAAUAAAUAACAUACUGUUGCUCAAUAAAAAGAAAAACUUUAGGGGUAACAACAACCACUGACGGUAGCAAUUUUUGGGAUAAUUUUGGCAAGUUCAAAAGGAAUGUUUUAGGGCUAGAAAUAAUUUUUUAAAAUUAGUAUAGAAAACAGAAAUUUUAAGAUAUGAUUUUGAAAACAAAACAAUAGGAAAAUGGUGUAGAAAAAUGAGAGAAUCAAGCACUUACUCUAGCAAGUUAAAGGGGCGAAAAUGGAGAUCUUUGUGGCAACAGUGGGAUCCAAUUUUUGAGUGGUUCAAGAGACUAAUUCAAGGUUGAAAAAAUAAUGAAAUAAAAUCGAAAGGGAGGAAGAAAAAUGACAAAAAUUAGCACCAGUGGAGAAGGGAAGGACGCCAAGGAAAAAUGAGUUUGGUGGGCGACACGAUGAAGGAGAAAAGAAGAAAAUUGAAAAAGGGAUAAAAGAGAAAAGGAAGGGGUGGCUAAGGUUGGAAAAAGGAUGACUAAAAGAUGAAAAAUAAAUGAAAAAGUGAUAUUUAUACCUAGGUUAACUAGGCAUGGGCAGCACAAAAAUAGGGGAAAGGAGGAAAAUUAGCAAAAGUAUGCUAUUUUGCAAGGGAAUAGAAUCAAACUUGAAUCCUUGAGCAAAUUUCAUUGUCUCCUUAUUUUAUUUUUAAUAACUAAGUUAAUAGCUCAUUCUUGAUACAUUUUUACAUUCUUUAAACCAAAAAUAUUGGAUGUCACACAUGUUAUUCCGGUAGAAGAAAUAUAAGUUCAACACAACUUUUCGUAUGAGGAACAUUUAGAAAUCUUUGCUUGCGAACUGAAAGAGUUGAGAAAUAAAUGCAUGCCACUUGUGAAAGUUCUAUGGAGCAGUUAAAGCGUUGAGGAAGCAACUUGGAAAUCAAAAAAUACAAUGAGAUCCCAAUAUCCCCACCUCUUUUCAGGUAAAUUUAAGGACGAAACUUCUUAUGGGGGAGAAUUGUAACGACCUGGUUUCUAUUGGUGUUAAAAAAUAUGAUUUUGGGACCCCGUUUCUAUAAACUAAGUCUGUAAAUAUUAAAUAAAGAUAUUUUAUUAAAUAGGUGAAUUAAAUUUUGGAUAAGUAAUUUAGUUGAAUUAGUCUUUAAUUAUGGCCUAGAGACUAAAUUGUAAAGUCCAAUUGUUAUAGAUUUUUAAUUAGAAAAUGCAUUGAGGACUUAAAUUGCAAUUAACCAAAGAUUUAAAAUAGCAAAUAGAGCAUAUUAAAAUAUGGCAUAAUGGACGGUAUAGUGGGGAAUGGUUAAUUAAGAAAAUUAUUAAAAAUUAAUGAAUUUAAACUAGUUUAAUUAAGAAAUAAUUUUAGUAUAUAAAUAAGAAAGUGGAAGAAAAGAUGAUUCGCAUCAUCUUCAUCAUCUAACAUUCGAAAUUAAAGAAAGAAACCCUAAGGAGUUGAAACCUUUCACCAAAAAUUGGUUAGUGCAAUUUAGUCAUUUCUUUGUAACUUUUAUGUUUUUUAGGUCAUGGGAGCUUGAUUUAGCUAGCCCAUGUACCAAUUUUUAAAACUUUUAUAGAUUUAGGAAGUUUUUAUUGUUGAUUUCUUAAAUUUUUAGGUGUUAAAUUGAUAGAUUUUAAUAUUAGAUGUAAAAAAAGACUAAAUUGUAAAGCUUAAUUGAUAGUUUUAUACAUUGGGGACUAAACUAAAUAAAUUGUAAAAUUGACUGUAGAUAUAAGAAAUAGAAAGUACCUAAUGAGUAAUAGUGAAAUCAGAAUUCAAUUUGGAGCUUUUAAUAGAAAUUUAGGUUAAUCCCGGUGUUAGAGACUAAAUUGAAUAAAUUGUAAAAUUUGCAUAAAUUGAUAAUGGAUUUUGAAUUGGUUGUAUAUUAAUGGUGUUGUAUGUUUAUGUUAAUUUUUAGCUAACAUUGACUCAAAUUCUUUGAGAGGGAAAGGAAAAUUCAAAGUUGUCUAUAAUUCGAGAAUCUUUUAAUUGUUGCGUAUUUAUAUCAUUCUACAUUAUAUGAAGCUUGAGUACAAUAUGCAUGUUUAGAACUGGUUUGGAAAGUUGCAGGUUUUAACUAUAAUGGAAAAUUUGUAGAAACCGGUAUGUAACGUCAAACGUAUCAUGACGCAAUGAGAAUUGACCUAGAAUGUCCUAUUGAUACGAGAAACCCUGUCACCUCGACGAGGCCAAAAUAGCAAGUGAUGUCAUGACAUCAAGUUGCCUAAUUUCAUGAUGUGACAAACUGUGUGACAACGCCUCAACAUGAAAAUGUGAUGUCACGACAUUAACCCUAUAAUUUGAAUAUUUUACAAUUCAAUCUUAAUUUGGCCUCGGGAUAACUUUAAAGGUUUUUAUAAGCUCAUAUAAAACCCAAAAUGUAUAAUUUCCAUCUUGUUUUCGUAUAAUUUUUACAUUUGAAUGUUAAAUUGUUUGAAUUGUGUUUAAUUGAUCGAAUUACUCCCACAACGAAUAUGGCACAUUGUAGCUCAGACUUGGCGACUGGGUCGAGUAUAGAGUGGUACAAAUUUCAUUUUUUUUUCUCUUUAACAUGUUUUGCAUUUAAAUUCUAUUCAUGAUUAUAAAUGAAAUGACUUACUAAUGUUCUAGAAUGAACAAAAUCUUUAAAAAAAAUUAUUCAUACUCUCAUUUUGUUAUUUUGUUGACAUUCCGAUACAAAAUGUUGUUCUAUAAGAAAGAUAUGAAUCUUGCAACCAAUUAUUUUCCAUCAAGAUAUACUUACAAAUAACCUAUUUCUAUUCUAGCUCAAGCUCAUCAAUCGUAACUAUAUCAUGAAUACAAUAGUGAAGUUCAUCAUGAAACAAAGGAUAUUUAUCAUAUACAUAUAUAUAAUAUAAGUGCCAAAUGUUCUUGAAGUUUUUGUAAAUAUGAAACAUGCAUAAUCUAUGAGUAGAAUUAAGCAAUACAUGUGCAAUUAACUUAUCCAUAGGUUUGUCCUCAUUUGUGAUAACAAUAGUCAGUGCAUAACCAAGCAUCUUCUCAAGCCAUGUAGUUAGAAACCAUAUAUAAGAUUCUACAGUUUCAUUUACUAAUAGAGCACAUCCAAACAUUAUUGAUUAUUGAUGAUAGUUUACCCCAGUGAAUACUGCAAAAGGCAUACCAUAAUGACUUGUUAGAUACAGCAUCAAAAGUGACAACAUCUCCAAAGUAUUGGUAUACCGUUAUCGAUCUCACAUCCACCUAAAAAUAGUUUCCCAUGUGACCGCUAUAAUCAACUUGUUGAAAGCUCUGAAGCAAUAUUUACAAGCAAAAUCAAGCAGUGCUAGAAGUAGUGUUUAAGAGUAGUGCCAACUACUUUAGGCACUAGUGAUGAACAAGGUAGGAAACUAUGAAACACAAUGUGUUUACAUAGUUUGGUUUCCCUACGUAUGCUAGGUUUUGCUUAGAAAGAUAAUCCACUAUCUUAGUAACUCCUACAACAAGUGAUUGCAACCUCUAACACUUACCAGAUUGGACUCCUUGUUUUCUCACCUAAGAUUUAGAGAAUUCUCCUCUAAGUUUUCCCCUUGAAAACUUAGUACAAUAAUAAAUUAGCACACUUGAUUUAAUAUUUAAUGGGCUCACAAGAAACGUUUCUCAAUGAACAAGAACAAGUGUUUUCUAAUCAAUACAUCACCUAUAUAAGUCCCUUCAAUUUAUAAAGAAUUGAGACAUGCUAACAUACUAUAUCAAUUAAAAUCAAUCUUCCCAUAAAAUCAAUAAACUCAGGAUAAAUCUUAACUCUUCAAAAUAUGCUUCCAAAAUUUUCCUACAUCUUUUAGGGAAAAUACUGAAGAUCCUUGUAACAAUUAAAUUGGUUUUUUAUUUUUUGGAUUGUAAUGAUUAAAUUACAUUCAAACUUCUACUACUAUUUCCCACGAGUAAAUUACCAAAAAAGGUCGAAAAUUAAAAAAAUUUACAUGUUUAGGUCAUUUUCUCGAAAAAUGACAGGAAUAGGCCAAUUUUACGAAAACGCUUCCACCUAGCAACGUUUCCAGGUGAAAUGCAGAAAAGUGCAUCUAUGUGGAAGCGUUUUCAGCGUAUGUGCAGGAAAAUAUUUCUAGCUAGAAGCGCAUGCACCACAUAAGCUGAAAACGCUUCCAAGUGGAAGCAUUUUCCCCAACCGUCAACACCUCCAAAGACUCUUUUCCGCCAAAGACUAUUUAGUUAGUUGUUGGGACCAAUGGCUCCCCUCCCCACAGUGGUCAUAUUUUCAUUUCUAUAUAACACCCCCAUUUCAUUUUUCUAUUCAAUUCAAUCUCAACUCUCUCUCACAUUCUCAAAUCUCUCUUAAAUUUCUCUCAUUUCUUCAUAAUUUCUCACUAAAAAUUUAUUUCUCUCCCAACUCAAUAUUUUUGAAAAGAAAUUGUCUUAAGUUUUUCAUAAAAUACUUUUUAUAUUACAAUUUAUUUCGUGUUUUCUGAAAUUAACAAUGGCACCAUCUCUAAUCCGUUUAGAUGAGAAGCACAUUUUCGUCGAUUAAUUGCAAAUGGUAAGAAUUUUUUUAUUAUAAUUAAUGUAAUUUAAUUUAAAUAUUUUAUUGUUAUAUUGGAAUUUAAUAUUUUAUAUGUUUUUAUAUAUAUAGGCGAAAGAUCGAAUUUUGGAGACAUAUAUUUGUAAUUUACUCGCUCUUCCAUCACCCUUAUCGACCUUUACCUAAGAGAUGUUAGAUUUUUCCAUGUGGCCCUUAUUGGUCGGUGGUGUAAAUUGGACCCCACACUUGUAAGCAGAUUGGUUGAAAGGUGGAGACCAAAGAUGCACACAUUCCACAUUCCAUGCGGCGAAUGCACUAUCACUCUAGAGGAUGUGCAAUUACUAUAACAUCCUAAAUUUUAGCUUAAUAGGAAUGAAAAGUAUUUCAAAGAUGAGUAAUUAGCCUAGUAGUUAAAAUAAAAAUGAGGAAGCAUGAAAAUAAAAUUGAGUCCCAAGUUCAAUUCCUUUCCCUUGCAAAUAAUUUAAUUUUGCAAAAAUCCUUUUUUUACUUUUAAUUAAUUUGAUCAGCCCUUAAUUGUUUUUACUACACCCUAGUUUCCCCUCCCUCUUCUUCUCCUCUCUUCUCUUCAAUUUUUUUUCUUUUUCUUCCUCUUGUUGCCGUUACCCAAACCACUUUGAACCACCAUCUUCUUUUUCUUUUCUUUUUCCAAAAGAUCUUGCAUCAUUCACCCGUCCUUCUUUCUUCCAUUUUUUCUCAUUUUUCUAGCCAUAAAUCUAAAAAUCUUUGGCCUCCAAGAACGAUUCCCAUUGUCGCCCAAGAAGUGCCAUUGCCACAUUUCUCUUCUAGCUUAUGUAAGUGCCUCUUUUUGUUAAUUUUAUUAAUGGAUCUUUUAAUGGAAUACCCAAUUUUGUAGAUCUAGAAUUAGGGGAAAUUUUAAUUAUUUUAUGGGUUUUUUUCAGCUUAUGAAAUUAUUUUCAAUUGUCUUUUUAAAUCAACCCAGAUUUGCCACCAUUGGUGGUGGUGUGUCGUACAUAGAGGAACCAAAAGGUGGUUGUCAUUUUCUUUAAUUCCUCACAUCUCUUUCCAGCAAUAUUUUGGUUCUAAAAACCCUAACUAAUCACUCUUUAAUCAUAUGUUCCUUAGGGAAAUUCAAUCUUGCUCAUCUGAAGAUUCAGAUCUGACAAUUUGGGACACGAAAAUGUGGUAGUUUGUCAGCUAUUGCAUAGUUUUGACUUAAUUGUUGGAGAAAUUGGCAAUUGAUUGGAUUAAAGAAUUUUGUGAUUAUAUAGCUACUUAUUUUUCAAUAUUUAAUGGUGUUAAGUGCCAAUCCAAACACCCCAAACUGACAAUGAAGCCGUUAGACGUUUGCGCAUACGUUUCACAUAAAACUAGUGUAAGAGACGUAGUUAAUUUGGAUCCGAAAAAUCUUCAUAAAUAUGUUAUUUGAUUUAAACCCAUAUGAGGGUGUUUUACGGCUGAUUAAAAGGUGUAUUAAUUCAAUAAAAUAUUUCUUUUUAAUUUAGGCUCGAUUUAAGGUCUUAAAGAGAAAGUGCAGGUUUUGUCAGUGUGCUGCAGUAGUGCAAAAUAAGGUGUGGGUCCUAACUUGUUAACUUGAAUGUUUUGAUAAUGUUAUAUAUGAUCUAAAUGAGGAUUAAGUUUGUUUUUCGGACUUAGUUAAUUGACUAAGUGAAUGUGUUAAAGUGGAAAAAUGAGGUACGUUACUAGCCUCGACUAAAUGGCAGAUUUGCAAAAUUGUUUGGUUGACUUAAUAGUUAAUUGUUUGAUUUUGAUAUAAAAGGUUUGUUGCGAUAAUGUCUAAUUGAUUGUUUUAUUUUGGAAAUUAAUACUAUAUGCUCGAAAUCUUGUUGGAUAAAAUGUCAUGAAAAAUAUUGAAUGGAAAAACUGGUAUACAUGCACUGGAAAUAUUUCCCCAAAGUGUUAAUGAUUGAUGAUAUGAUUAAAUGUCACCAUAUUGAUUGUGAAACUGAACGAUUGAUUUGUGAAUAUUAUAAUGAUGGCAUGUAAUCUAUGCUACUGAAAGAAUACAUAUGAAAUGUGCAUUUGAUUGAAAUAUUGUAUGACACAUCGCAUGUGUAUGGGGUGGGAUAUUUAGCCUGCAUUUAUUCGUAAUCGAUGCACUGCACCAAAAUUACCGUAGAGAUUGGUGAUUUUAUCACAUUAUAUCUUAAUUGACAGAGUAUUUGCAUUAUGUUUAUAUGGUGGUUUAACCACAUCAAGCUUUGCUCACACUAUUUUGAUUUUGGCAGACGAGUUUUGGAGAACUCGUGAAGUCUAGCGAAUGGUUAGGGUAGAAAUUCAUUCUUGCAUUAUGAAAUGUCCAUAACUUAUGCUAUUAUUGAAAUGGUUGUGAUGAAUAUGUUACACGGAUGUUCUAAGUGAUUGAUCCUAAACGAUUGUUUUAUGUUCUUAUUGAUUAAACUCACGUUGAGCUAGUUAGCUCACCCAAUUACUUCAAACCUCUCAGGUAAUAAAUGAAAUGAGGAUCAAACAUGGCAUGCGAACGUACGACGACCGUGUGUCAGGCUGUGUGCUAGGUCAUGUGGUAGGUCGUGUAACUCACUGUUUAGAAUUAGAGUCACACGAGCCAGAGACACGGACGUGUGUCCAGGUCGUGUAACUCACCAUUUUGGAAUUAGAGUUACACGGGCUAAAGACAUGGGGAUGUGCUAGGCCGUGUGGACCACAUGGGCUAGCCACCCAGACCGUGUGAAUCUAUACGAGUGUAUGGACCAAAAAUUAGAAUUUGUUUCCUAGGGCUGUAAUCGUUGUUAGAGUCAAACGUGGGCUUAUUGUAGGACCUAUAUGAUCUAAAACAAGCUAUAAAACUUGAUAAUCGAUGAUUGAUUGAUGUAUAAUCCAUUAUCUGUAUGUAUGUCUAAUAUGAUAUUAGUUAAGUAAGUAUGAUUUAUUAGCGUAUAAGUUGUUUUUGUUGGGACGUGUUUAAGGUAUGUGAUUUAUUCAGGUAUGAUCCGUGCUUUGUUAAUUUUGAUGAUUCAUUUUUAUGUUACUGAGUUAGAUGAGAACAUGUGAUAUACGAAUAUAUUUUUGUGUCUGGUACUAAUUCUGAUAUGUAACCAUGCAUGUGACUUCAUGGCAAAUAUGAUAUGAUUCAUUAAUAUUUGAUCAAUCUAUCCUGCAAAGAAUGGAAUCCCAUGCCUCAUGUUUCUGUUAUUGUAUGACAACGUGUCCUACAUGCUUAACAUUCUGAUUCUGAAUAUGCAUGCCAUAACAUAUUGCAUGGGUUUCGGGAUGAUGUGAACGGAGGAAGUUUUUUGGCAGUGUAAUUAUCUGCAUUAUCAGGUGGGUUAUCCAUAAUUCUAUCUGGAAACAUGCCUACAAUUAUAGUGGCUUAACCACAUAUAUCUGAUCUGGCAGUUUAACUGCAAUUCUGGUGGCACUGUCCACAAUUAUUUGUUGGUGUGAUUUGGUUGGAUGAGUUAUGGGAACUCUAUUUUAGUGUGUAGUGGAGUUGGGUAGGAUGUUUUUUGAUAAUCUGCAUCCUGAUUUUCUGAAAAACACCAGAUUGGCUUAAUCAUAUAUCUUUUAUUCUGUUAUAAAAUUGUUAUGAAAAUCUCUGUGAUGCUCUGAUUUGUUCCACUCCGAUUAAAUGAUUGAUACGAAAUUCUCUGCGUUGUCUGACUUGUAUAUUGUGUUUUGUUAAUCUCUGUUUGAGUUUAGUUAUAUACUGAGGUUCAUAGCUCACCCCUUUGUUUUAUCUUUGUCUGUUUAGGUAAACUUCUAACUUAGGAUCGGAUGACGUGUGAGAGCUCGGAUAUUUUCGUCCUUAAUGUAAAUAUGGUUAUUUAUGUUAUUAUUUGUUUUGAACUUUUGAGUCUGUAAUUUGUAACAUCUUUUGAACUCAUUUUGGGUUUUUGUUAAUUUGUCGGUAACUAAUAUUUUCAAGCGUGAAAAUGCAAAAUUACUCAAGUCGACAAAAUGAAUUUUGGUUUUCAAAAAUAAAACUCCAAAAAGAUAUUUUACUGCAAAUUAAGUAGUUUCCUAAGUAUUUUCUGUAAAUGAACAGAUAGUUUUUCAAUGGUUGUUUUCCAUUUUCGUAUUUGCUAAAUACUUAUUGGGAAUACUUUUCCAAACGAGUCAAUGUAAUCUCUUCAGAUUCGGCCACAACUUCUUGGCCAGGUUUGGGAUGUUACAUUUAGUAGUAUCAGAGUCAGGUUGUAAAACUUGAGCUAUGGCUUUUGGGUUCAAAAAUUUCACUGAAAAAUGUUUCAAGUACAAUGAACUUCUGGUUGACUUUUAUAUUUUGGUUUAUGAAAAGUGUGCUCAUUAUUUUCAAGUCUGUAGAAAAAGAAUCUGAGACUCCGACGUCGAUCCUGUAUGUACCUUUACUUUAGUUAUAAUAUUAGAUAAGCUAGCAAAACUUUACUGCUAGGAUUACUCUAUCCUAGCUAAAGACUGUGGAAAUUCUGUGAAAACCACUGCUAAAGCUUUAGGCCUAGGAUUUUAAUAAACAUAAGCUAACUCAUAAAAAAUUUUGAAAGUGUAGAUUAGUAUAAUGAGUACUCAUGGUCAUGAUGUACAAGGGCAUGCUAGACAGAGUCGAGUGACUCGAGCCGAAUUCUCUUCUCGAUGCAAUGCAUAACACAAAUACAAUAACUAAUUAUUAUUUAAACCUAAAUGAUUACAACUAUUAUUUACAAAUUUUAUAAUAGGAGUUUUUAUUAAUUUUAAUUUACAAUCCCACAUAAUAAAAAAAUUUGCUUAAAAAAUAACUUGCUUUUUUUAUAACAAACUUUCCAUUUUCAAUCAAAUAUUAAAUGUGUGUGUGUUUUUUCUCAAGUUGUUUCCUUUUAUGUAAGUUUUCUCUUUUAACUUAACUUUAGAUUUAUAUUGUUGUCAUAUUUUUUUUAUCUUUUAGGGUCGAAAAUGUGAAAUUUCCUUUUGUGUUUAUCCAUUAUAUUUUAAAAGGAUAAAUAUACAUUUUGGUAUGUAAAUUUGGUCUCAAGGUUCAAAUUAGUAUUUAAGUUUUUUUUUGUCCAAUUGGGUACCAAAAGUUAGUUUUAAGGUUCAAUUUGGUACCUCAAUUUUUUUUGGUCCACUUAAAUACAUAAAUUUAGCUUUUUGGUUCAAAAUAAUACCUGAACUUAGUUUCGUAGUUCAAAUUUGUUCAUGUACCAUGUACCAAUUUGAACCAAGAAGCCAAGCUUAAAUACCUAAUUUUUUGGUAUCAACUAUACUAAAUAACUCUAGGCCCAACAUGCAAUGGACACUUCUACCCAAGUCUCGAUCUUUAAAUCCAAAAAGAAAAAACAAAAGAAUCUGAUCUUUAUCUUCAUAAUAAAUGUAGAUAAUCAGUAUUGUUAAAAAAGAAGAAGAAGAAGAUAAUCAGUGUGUUAGAGACACUCAAGGCUCAAAACAAAAGUCAAAGCUCUUGAAAAUGGCUGAAAUAAAAUCAGAACCAGCUGAACAAUCCAUUUACAAUCGUAUAAAUGAAUUGAAGGCUUUCGAUGAAACAAAAUCAGGAGUGAAAGGCCUGGUAGAUUCAGGUUUAUCAAAGAUUCCGACCAUUUUCAUCAAUGAAGAGUACAAGCUUGAGAGAAACAACAACAUCCAUAACCAGAAAUCUAGAGGCUGCACCAACAAUGGCGGAAUCCCGAUCAUAGACUUGACCGGCGUCGACGAUGAUCCAAAUUUACGUCGCGAAAUAGUGAAGAAAGUUGUUGAAGCUUGCGAUAAAUGGGGUUUCUUUCAAAUUAUCAACCAUGGGAUUCCAGUAACGACUUUGGAUGAAAUGAUGGAUGGGAUUCGGAGGUUUCAUGAACAAGAUAAGGAAGCUAAGAAAGAGUUUUAUUCUCGAGAUAUAACCAGGAAAGUGUAUUAUAAUAGUAAUUACGAUCUUUAUUUGGCUGAAGCAACCAAUUAGAGGGAUACUUUGAGUUGCGCUAUGGCACCUCGUGGACCUCUUCCUCAACAACUGCCCGCUGUUUGCCGGUAAUUCUUUAUUAUUAUUAUUAUUAUUGACAUGUUCCAGUGUUUCAUUUCGUUAAAACUCAUAUACGAAGCCAACUCAAUUUGCAGAGAUAUAUUCAUAGAAUAUUCAAACAAAAUGGUAAAAUUAGGGCAUACUUUGUUGGAAUUGUUCUCGGAAACUUUAGGUCUGAACCGCAGUUAUUUGGAAGAUAUUGGGUGCGGUGAGGGACUGUUUGUGAUGGGCCAUUACUACCCACCGUGCCCUGAACCGGACUUGACAUUGGGCACCAGCAGUCACACUGAUUGUGGCUUCUUCACCAUACUUUUACAAGAUCAAAUCGGCGGACUUCAAGUCCGCCAUCAAAAUCAAUGGCUUGAUGUUAAUUCUAUACAUGGAGCUCUUAUUGUAAAUUUGGCCGAUAUGAUGCAGGCAAGUCCACCUUACCUUUAACCUUAAUAUGACAAUUACAGUAUUUUUGUCGGUAUUAAUUAUAAUUAAGGCUUUGAAUAUUCAAUUUUUUCAUAUUUUAAGAUAAGAGUUAUGAUUUUCAUGAAUUUUAAAAUACGUAAUUUGAUAUAUAUUUAACCUUCAUACUUAAGUAUAUGUUAGUUAUGGUUGUAUAAACUUUUCUUAUAUUCCAGUAUAUAGAUUUUGAGACGUUUAUAUAUAAUGUACACUUUAUUCAAUAGAUUCUAGAUUAUUGUGAUUUUAGAAAGUGAAUACUUUUUAACAUUUUUCUUAUAUCUAUUCUAAUUGUUUUUUAACUUUUAUGCAGUUAAUAUCUAAUGACAAAUUUAUUAGUGUUCAUCAUAGAGUGCUUGCUAAUACAAGAGGCCCAAGAGUUUCUGUAGCAAGUUUCUUUAAAACACAUCUUCUACCAGAGAAUGCUUCGAGGCUUUAUGGACCAAUCAAGGAAUUGAUAUCUCAAAAAAACCCUCCACUUUAUAGGGAAACUACUACGAAAGACUUUGUGUCAAACUACUACUCCAAAGGGCUUGAUUGUAAAACUCUUCAAUACCUUAAGUUAUGAGUUGCUCAUGUACCUAAUUGAACUAUUUUCGAGCUUAUUUCCAUCUUUUGUCGAGUUCUAUGUUUACAUUAUAAGACAGUCACCAAGGCUUGUUGCACCUUCAUUAGCCUAGUUUGUAUAGACGAUGCCACGUCCUCUGAGUUCUUUUUUGAGGCGCUUUUCUUGCCCUUUGUCACAACUCCUUGAUUCUCCAUCAUGCCUUCUCUUCAUUACCAAAUAAUGCCUCUAGAUCCCAAGCUUCUUCAUUGUUAGAAGUAAUAAUAUUACUUUCAAUAGGCUUUUUCUUCGACCAGCAAGCUCUUUCCAUGUAACCUUUUUCCCACAAUUAUAAAAAUUUCCGUCAAAUUUUUUAUUGUUGUUGUGGUUGUCCAAAACUCCCCCUUCAUGAAUUCUCCUUUUGCCUUGAUAACCUUUUGACUUGUCAUCAUUUUUCUUGGAUUAAAUUUCCUUUCGACUUUCCUAACAUAAGGGUGCCUCUUCUUCAUUCUUUAGCAAGACUCCUCCAAUUUGUUUAGCUAAUGCUUUUUUACUAGCUAACAAAUUUUCAAAUUCAACAAGUGAUGGUUGAUUUUACCAUCCUUGUAUAGCACCAACAAAACUCCUGUAUUCUAGCUUCAACUAAUGAAUGAUGAUUCAUUUCAUUCUAGUAUCAUUGAUAGAAGCUUCAGAUCCAACUCAGAAAUCUCUCGACAUAACAUCUUUACUUUGUGGAAAUAUUGUAUUAUUAACAUAUUUCUUUGUGCCACUAACAACAUUUCACUAUUUAGAAUUGGAGCUUUAUAUCAAUUUUUUUAGAAAACGACUUGGCGAGUGUAUCUCAAGCUCUUUCGGAGUUUUGGCAUCACGUAUGUCUUCUAACACAUCCUCCUCGACUGUUGUUUUUAAGGCGAUCAUUACCUCACCAACUUUUAUUUUCCCAUUUUCUUAGUGUGUCACUUGUAUCCCCGACUUCCAGUUGUGUCACUUCAGUAUCGUUAGCAACCUCUCAAAGGUCUUGUCCUUGCAUAUAAGACAUUAUGCAAGUUGACCAAGUAUUGUACUUGUUUUUAUUAAGCUUCUUCAUUCUGACAACAACUUGUAAGUAUGUCGUCGUAUCAACAAAUCAUUCUCACUAUUGAAUACUAAAUUUAUAAUGAAAGUAGUUUGUGAACAAUGAGGCAGGUAAGUUCCCAAGAAAGAGAGGUCAGUCACAAUGGUCACUUUUAAGUAUUAAGUCUUUCCUUAGCCAGAACAUUUCCUAGACAUGUAAUUUCACACUACCACACUUCUCUCCAACAACUAAGAAACCAAGGAUAAUCUUCAAGUAGCUAUGAAAUUUCUUUUCUGAUGUGGAAGAUCAAACAAUGUUGCAACCACGAAGCAUACUAAAAGAAUUUUCACUCCUCCAACCAAGCUUUGAUGUUAAUUGUAGAACACUCACACCCAUGACACCACUAAACUAAUAUUUAACUACACCUCCCAACACUCCAAAAUAAGAAAAUAAAGGAGGAAUUAUAAGAAACUAAAUAGAAAACUCGAUAUUUGGUUUUGGUGCAAAUAAUACUUACAACAUAGGUCUUUAUAUGCUCAAAGUUCUAAGCAAUGUGAGAUAUGGUCUUUAUAUAGACUUGAAUAAUCAUAUUGCCUUUUGUUUCUAAGUGACGUAGGAUUCAUAAAAAAACACUAACAAUAAAUAUAAAAUCAAUAAUCCCCCUGCCCAAAUAGUAUUUAUGAUUUGGUUUUAAAAUUUUUAAUUUUACUAUUUAAAUUUAAUUUAAAAAUGUACUUUUAAAACAUAUAAAUAUUUGAAUUAAUUUUUAUAUUAAAACAUAUAAAUAUUUCAUAUAUUAAUAUUAAAGUAUUUAAUAUAAUUAAGAUUAUAUAAAAUUUAAGUUGGUGACGAAACGAGAAGACAAUCUAAUUAUAUUAUUAACUAUAAAUUUUAUUUUCAUCUAUAUUCAUAUCUAAAUUUAUACAUAAUAUGAAAAAUAUAUAGAAAUGUAAAUUAUUAAAUUAUUUAAUAAUAAUUAAUUUGAAUUAAUAUAGUAAAUUCAAAAUUAUGUUUAUAAAUUUAAAAAAAUUUAAAUUUUAUAAUAUUUAUUUUGAUUUCAUUAUUUUUUAUCAGCAAUAUUAUUUAUAAUAUUAUUUAAUGGAUAAGUUUUCUAUAAAAAGUUCCGUGAUCAUAAUAAUACGAACCAAUUUACACCCGCAAAAGAAUCUAUAACUUAAAACUUUUUUUACCAUAAGUUAAUAAACAACACCUUAAUAUUAUUAGCUCAUAAUCACCUAUAUAUAUAUGUAUAAACUAAAUAAUCCAAAAUAUUAUUUAAACAUACGAGAACAAUUAACAUCCAAUGAACAGAAAAAGGGAUAAAAUAUGUGAACCAAAUUCAACCAAGGACUAAAUGAAAUUACGUGCUCAACGAGUGAACUGAAAUGAACUAAGGAUUAAACAGUAAAAUUGUCACACUUUGAUGGGCCCAAACCGAAAAUAAGCCAUGAACUUCAAAAUAUACAUAUCCACAUGUUUGAUUCAAAAUAGGCAACAACUUUUCUCCAAUCCCGUUUCACUAAAAUAUAAUUAAGAGUUAACUACAUCAUUAGUCACUACAUUAUAGAUAAAUAUUCGUUUUAGUCACUUACUAAAAAAAGUUACAAUUUAGUCAUUGAAUUUUUUGAAAAUCUUCUUUUAAGUCACUGAACAAUUGAAAAGUUUUUAUUUAAGUCACUAUGUUAUUAAGUUUUUUGAAUAAAAAAGUUCUUGCACUAAGCUCCAAGUGACAAUUCGACGUUGGUGUCGGGACCUUGCCAACAGAAUUCUCCCAAAUUUGUCUAGCAGCAUUGGUGUUGCGACUCUGGUCCUGAUGUCGCGACUCUAGCUCCUUGAAUAAUUGGGAUCUUUCUACGGUGGUGAGUGUCCUCGAUGUCACAACAUUAGCAUCAUAGUGUCAUGACCUUACCACUUGCUGUUGCGACACUCAGACAUUGGUGUCACGAUUCUGUUUUUCAAUUGGUUGGCUCAUUUUCGAUUAGACUAAAGACAUGUUUAGGUUAGUGUAGUAAUAUAAGUUGUCUUUUUGUAUUACGAUCCAACCAUGUAAUAUCUCUUAGUAUUAGUUAAACAUUAGACAACUAAUGAGCUAAUAUUUGCUUCUAUUUUGCUUUACAUGCAAAAACCACAUGAUGACCAUAUACUAAGGGUAUUAAUGUAAUCAUGAAUAACUUUAUUAGCUAAUCUAUUCCCCGAAAAUUUCAACAGUAAGGAAAAUAAGAUAAUAUCUCUGAUAUAGUAAAAUAAGGAAAUAAAGUGAUAAAAAGGGUAAUUUUGAGUUAUGUCAACAUUGAGAAGUAUAUUAUGACAUAUUAAUUCAAGAAAGGAUUAAAUCACAAAAGUGAGAAAAGUUUUGUUUCCCAAGAGUAAAUACUCAAAAUUUGAGGGGUUAAAGUGUAAAUACAAAAAAGUUGAAGGACCAAAGGUGUAAAUAUUUUAAGGGUGAAAUGAUCUAGAAACUAAGGAAAAUGGAUGGAUUAGAACCAAAUUAAAAAAUGUGAAGAAUUUUGAGUGACUAAAUCAUAAUUUUACCAAAUUAAAUGAUGACUCAAUGAUGAAAUUUUAAAAGAUUAUAAAGGGCAAAAUGGUCAAUUAGAGAGAGAGAGAGAGAACUCUAGAAGGUAAUGAUGAUGUUGGUGAUAUUUUUAUUAAUUAAUUAGAUAAAAGUUAUUUAAUUAAUAUUUUAUUAAGAUUUUUAGUAUUAUUUUAUUAUUAAAUGAUUAAUAAAAAAGGGAGNNNNNNNNNNNNNNNNNNNNNNNNNNNNNNNNNNNNNNNNNNNNNNNNNNNNNNNNNNNNNNNNNNNNNNNNNNNNNNNNNNNNNNNNNNNNNNNNNNNNNNNNNNNNNNNNNNNNNNNNNNNNNNNNNNNNNNNNNNNNNNNNNNNNNNNNNNNNNNNNNNNNNNNNNNNNNNNNNNNNNNNNNNNNNNNNNNNNNNNNNNNNNNNNNNNNNNNNNNNNNNNNNNNNNNNNNNNNNNNNNNNNNNNNNNNNNNNNNNNNNNNNNNNNNNNNNNNNNNNNNNNNNNNNNNNNNNNNNNNNNNNNNNNNNNNNNNNNNNNNNNNNNNNNNNNNNNNNNNNNNNNNNNNNNNNNNNNNNNNNNNNNNNNNNNNNNNNNNNNNNNNNNNNNNNNNNNNNNNNNNNNNNNNNNNNNNNNNNNNNNNNNNNNNNNNNNNNNNNNNNNNNNNNNNNNNNNNNNNNNNNNNNNNNNNNNNNNNNNNNNNNNNNNNNNNNNNNNNNNNNNNNNNNNNNNNNNNNNNNNNNNNNNNNNNNNNNNNNNNNNNNNNNNNNNNNNNNNNNNNNNNNNNNNNNNNNNNNNNNNNNNNNNNNNNNNNNNNNNNNNNNNNNNNNNNNNNNNNNNNNNNNNNNNNNNNNNNNNNNNNNNNNNNNNNNNNNNNNNNNNNNNNNNNNNNNNNNNNNNNNNNNNNNNNNNNNNNNNNNNNNNNNNNNNNNNNNNNNNNNNNNNNNNNNNNNNNNNNNNNNNNNNNNNNNNNNNNNNNNNNNNNNNNNNNNNNNNNNNNNNNNNNNNNNNNNNNNNNNNNNNNNNNNNNNNNNNNNNNNNNNNNNNNNNNNNNNNNNNNNNNNNNNNNNNNNNNNNNNNNNNNNNNNNNNNNNNNNNNNNNNNNNNNNNNNNNNNNNNNNNNNNNNNNNNNNNNNNNNNNNNNNNNNNNNNNNNNNNNNNNNNNNNNNNNNNNNNNNNNNNNNNNNNNNNNNNNNNNNNNNNNNNNNNNNNNNNNNNNNNNNNNNNNNNNNNNNNNNNNNNNNNNNNNNNNNNNNNNNNNNNNNNNNNNNNNNNNNNNNNNNNNNNNNNNNNNNNNNNNNNNNNNNNNNNNNNNNNNNNNNNNNNNNNNNNNNNNNNNNNNNNNNNNNNNNNNNNNNNNNNNNNNNNNNNNNNNNNNNNNNNNNNNNNNNNNNNNNNNNNNNNNNNNNNNNNNNNNNNNNNNNNNNNNNNNNNNNNNNNNNNNNNNNNNNNNNNNNNNNNNNNNNNNNNNNNNNNNNNNNNNNNNNNNNNNNNNNNNNNNNNNNNNNNNNNNNNNNNNNNNNNNNNNNNNNNNNNNNNNNNNNNNNNNNNNNNNNNNNNNNNNNNNNNNNNNNNNNNNNNNNNNNNNNNNNNNNNNNNNNNNNNNNNNNNNNNNNNNNNNNNNNNNNNNNNNNNNNNNNNNNNNNNNNNNNNNNNNNNNNNNNNNNNNNNNNNNNNNNNNNNNNNNNNNNNNNNNNNNNNNNNNNNNNNNNNNNNNNNNNNNNNNNNNNNNNNNNNNNNNNNNNNNNNNNNNNNNNNNNNNNNNNNNNNNNNNNNNNNNNNNNNNNNNNNNNNNNNNNNNNNNNNNNNNNNNNNNNNNNNNNNNNNNNNNNNNNNNNNNNNNNNNNNNNNNNNNNNNNNNNNNNNNNNNNNNNNNNNNNNNNNNNNNNNNNNNNNNNNNNNNNNNNNNNNNNNNNNNNNNNNNNNNNNNNNNNNNNNNNNNNNNNNNNNNNNNNNNNNNNNNNNNNNNNNNNNNNNNNNNNNNNNNNNNNNNNNNNNNNNNNNNNNNNNUUUUUCAAAAUUACAAUUUUGCCCCUAAACUUUUACAUAAUUACAUUUUUGCCCCAAGGCUCGGAAAUUAAACUUCAUCUCUUAUUCUUAUGUUUUAUAACAUUCUGAACAUUUUUCCCUUCUAUGGCAACAUCAAAUUCCCACUCUAACAUGUACUUAUGAACAUUAGGUAUUUUUACCGAUUAUGUCGUUUUACUCGUUUUCACUUAAAAUCGCUUAGCAAAAGUUGUUUAACAUAAUUUCUAGCUUCAUAUUCUAUCAUAAAACAUCAAAAUAAACACUUUUCACCUAUGGGUAUUUUUCCAAAUAUAAACCCUAGGUUAAAUUAUUGCUAGAAUAAGCUAAAUUAAGCUACCGGGACUCCAAAAACGUAAAAAAACAUUAAAAACGGGACUUGGGAUCACUUACUAUGGAGCUUGGAAGCUUGAAAACCCUAACUAUGGCUUCCCCCCUUGCUGAUUUCGUCCUAAUGAAGAAGAUGAUGAUUUUUGCCAUCUUUUUCCCUUUUAAUUCAUUUUAAUUACUAGAUUACCAAAUUGCCCCUAACUUAAAAAUUUUCUAUUUCACUUAUCUCAUGUCCAUUUUUGUCUACCAAGUUACCAAUGGUAUAAUUACCAUAUAAGGACCUCCAAUUUAAAGUUUCAUAACAAUUGGACACCUCUAACAUGUAGAACUCAACUUUUGCACUUUUUACAAUUUAGUCCUUUUGACUAAAUUGAGUGCCCAAACGUCGAAAUUUUCGAACGAAAUUUUCAAAAAUCAUUUUGUGAAAUUGUAAACCAUAAAAAUAUAAGAAAAAUAAAAUUUUUCUCAUCGGAUUUGUGGUCCCGAAACCACUGUUCCGAUAACCUCAAAUUUGGGCCAUUACAACUCUCCCCCCCUUUUUAGGAUUUUCGUCCUCGAAAAUCUUACCAGUAAAGAGAUUCGGGUAUUGCUUCCUCAUUGUCUCUUCCGGUUCCCAUGUUGCUUCCUCAAUCCCGUGCUUUUGCCAUAGCACUUUCACCAGAUUUACCUUUUUGUUUCUAAGCUCCUUUGUUUCUCGUGCUAAUACUUUAACCGGUUCUUCAUUAUAAGUCAUAUCCGGCUGAAUUUCUACUUCUGUUGGAGUAAUAACAUGUGAAGGAUCUGACCGAUACCGUCGUAGCAUAGAUACAUGAAAUACAUUAUGAAUUUUGUCGAGUUCCGGUGGUAAAGCCAAUCGGUAAGCAACUGGUCCAAUUCUUUCUAUAAUCUCAUAUGGUCCGAUAAAUCUUGGACUCAAUUUACCCUUUCGACCGAACCGGAGAACUUUCUUCCAAGGAGACACUUUUAAGAAUACUUUAUCACCCACCUGAAAUUCAAUCUCCCUUCGUUUAAGAUCGGCGUAUGACUUCUGACGAUCGGAAGCUGCUUUUAAACUAUCUCGAAUCAGCCUUACUUUUUCUUCUGUUUCCCGGAUCAAAUCAACCCCGUGUAUCUUCUUUUCACUGAGCUCUGUCCAAUAUAACGGUGUUCUACAUUUUCUACCAUACAAACCUUCAUACGGAGCCAUUUUAAUACUAGACGGAUAACUGUUAUUGUAAGCAAAUUCAAUCAAAGGUAGAUACCUUUCCCAAUUACCUUGCAACUCUAAUACGCAACAUCGGAGCAUACCUUCCAAUACCUGAAUUACACGCUCAGAUUGGCCAUCUGUCUGAGGAUGAAAUGCAGUACUGAAAUACAACUGAGUACCCAAAGCUUCUUGUAAUUUGUUCCAGAAACGAGACGUAAAUCGGGGAUCUCUGUCUGAUAUAAUGGAGACAGGCACUCCAUGUAGUCUAACAAUCUCAGAUAUAUACAAUCCAGCCAAUUUAUCUAAAGAAUAAUCCAUACAUGCUGGGAUAAAGUGCGCGGACUUUGUCAAUCGAUCGACAAUUACCCAAAUGGCAUCUUUCUUCUUUGGAGACAUCGGUAACCCAGAUACAAAAUCCAUAGUGACUCUUUCCCAUUUCCAUUCCGGUAUAGUGAUUGGUUGAAGCAACCCCGAAGGUACCUGAUGUUCAGCUUUAACCUGUUGACAUACCAAACAUCUUGAUACAAACUCAGAGAUAUCACGUUUCAUACCCGGCCACCAAUACAUCUUUUUCAAAUCAUUAUACAUUUUAUUACNNNNNNNNNNNNNNNNNNNNNNNNNNNNNNNNNNNNNNNNNNNNNNNNNNNNNNNNNNNNNNNNNNNNNNNNNNNNNNNNNNNNNNNNNNNNNNNNNNNNNNNNNNNNNNNNNNNNNNNNNNNNNNNNNNNNNNNNNNNNNNNNNNNNNNNNNNNNNNNNNNNNNNNNNNNNNNNNNNNNNNNNNNNNNNNNNNNNNNNNNNNNNNNNNNNNNNNNNNNNNNNNNNNNNNNNNNNNNNNNNNNNNNNNNNNNNNNNNNNNNNNNNNNNNNNNNNNNNNNNNNNNNNNNNNNNNNNNNNNNNNNNNNNNNNNNNNNNNNNNNNNNNNNNNNNNNNNNNNNNNNNNNNNNNNNNNNNNNNNNNNNNNNNNNNNNNNNNNNNNNNNNNNNNNNNNNNNNNNNNNNNNNNNNNNNNNNNNNNNNNNNNNNNNNNNNNNNNNNNNNNNNNNNNNNNNNNNNNNNNNNNNNNNNNNNNNNNNNNNNNNNNNNNNNNNNNNNNNNNNNNNNNNNNNNNNNNNNNNNNNNNNNNNNNNNNNNNNNNNNNNNNNNNNNNNNNNNNNNNNNNNNNNNNNNNNNNNNNNNNNNNNNNNNNNNNNNNNNNNNNNNNNNNNNNNNNNNNNNNNNNNNNNNNNNNNNNNNNNNNNNNNNNNNNNNNNNNNNNNNNNNNNNNNNNNNNNNNNNNNNNNNNNNNNNNNNNNNNNNNNNNNNNNNNNNNNNNNNNNNNNNNNNNNNNNNNNNNNNNNNNNNNNNNNNNNNNNNNNNNNNNNNNNNNNNNNNNNNNNNNNNNNNNNNNNNNNNNNNNNNNNNNNNNNNNNNNNNNNNNNNNNNNNNNNNNNNNNNNNNNNNNNNNNNNNNNNNNNNNNNNNNNNNNNNNNNNNNNNNNNNNNNNNNNNNNNNNNNNNNNNNNNNNNNNNNNNNNNNNNNNNNNNNNNNNNNNNNNNNNNNNNNNNNNNNNNNNNNNNNNNNNNNNNNNNNNNNNNNNNNNNNNNNNNNNNNNNNNNNNNNNNNNNNNNNNNNNNNNNNNNNNNNNNNNNNNNNNNNNNNNNNNNNNNNNNNNNNNNNNNNNNNNNNNNNNNNNNNNNNNNNNNNNNNNNNNNNNNNNNNNNNNNNNNNNNNNNNNNNNNNNNNNNNNNNNNNNNNNNNNNNNNNNNNNNNNNNNNNNNNNNNNNNNNNNNNNNNNNNNNNNNNNNNNNNNNNNNNNNNNNNNNNNNNNNNNNNNNNNNNNNNNNNNNNNNNNNNNNNNNNNNNNNNNNNNNNNNNNNNNNNNNNNNNNNNNNNNNNNNNNNNNNNNNNNNNNNNNNNNNNNNNNNNNNNNNNNNNNNNNNNNNNNNNNNNNNNNNNNNNNNNNNNNNNNNNNNNNNNNNNNNNNNNNNNNNNNNNNNNNNNNNNNNNNNNNNNNNNNNNNNNNNNNNNNNNNNNNNNNNNNNNNNNNNNNNNNNNNNNNNNNNNNNNNNNNNNNNNNNNNNNNNNNNNNNNNNNNNNNNNNNNNNNNNNNNNNNNNNNNNNNNNNNNNNNNNNNNNNNNNNNNNNNNNNNNNNNNNNNNNNNNNNNNNNNNNNNNNNNNNNNNNNNNNNNNNNNNNNNNNNNNNNNNNNNNNNNNNNNNNNNNNNNNNNNNNNNNNNNNNNNNNNNNNNNNNNNNNNNNNNNNNNNNNNNNNNNNNNNNNNNNNNNNNNNNNNNNNNNNNNNNNNNNNNNNNNNNNNNNNNNNNNNNNNNNNNNNNNNNNNNNNNNNNNNNNNNNNNNNNNNNNNNNNNNNNNNNNNNNNNNNNNNNNNNNNNNNNNNNNNNNNNNNNNNNNNNNNNNNNNNNNNNNNNNNNNNNNNNNNNNNNNNNNNNNNNNNNNNNNNNNNNNNNNNNNNNNNNNNNNNNNNNNNNNNNNNNNNNNNNNNNNNNNNNNNNNNNNNNNNNNNNNNNNNNNNNNNNNNNNNNNNNNNNNNNNNNNNNNNNNNNNNNNNNNNNNNNNNNNNNNNNNNNNNNNNNNNNNNNNNNNNNNNNNNNNNNNNNNNNNNNNNNNNNNNNNNNNNNNNNNNNNNNNNNNNNNNNNNNNNNNNNNNNNNNNNNNNNNNNNNNNNNNNNNNNNNNNNNNNNNNNNNNNNNNNNNNNNNNNNNNNNNNNNNNNNNNNNNNNNNNNNNNNNNNNNNNNNNNNNNNNNNNNNNNNNNNNNNNNNNNNNNNNNNNNNNNNNNNNNNNNNNNNNNNNNNNNNNNNNNNNNNNNNNNNNNNNNNNNNNNNNNNNNNNNNNNNNNNNNNNNNNNNNNNNNNNNNNNNNNNNNNNNNNNNNNNNNNNNNNNNNNNNNNNNNNNNNNNNNNNNNNNNNNNNNNNNNNNNNNNNNNNNNNNNNNNNNNNNNNNNNNNNNNNNNNNNNNNNNNNNNNNNNNNNNNNNNNNNNNNNNNNNNNNNNNNNNNNNNNNNNNNNNNNNNNNNNNNNNNNNNNNNNNNNNNNNNNNNNNNNNNNNNNNNNNNNNNNNNNNNNNNNNNNNNNNNNNNNNNNNNNNNNNNNNNNNNNNNNNNNNNNNNNNNNNNNNNNNNNNNNNNNNNNNNNNNNNNNNNNNNNNNNNNNNNNNNNNNNNNNNNNNNNNNNNNNNNNNNNNNNNNNNNNNNNNNNNNNNNNNNNNNNNNNNNNNNNNNNNNNNNNNNNNNNNNNNNNNNNNNNNNNNNNNNNNNNNNNNNNNNNNNNNNNNNNNNNNNNNNNNNNNNNNNNNNNNNNNNNNNNNNNNNNNNNNNNNNNNNNNNNNNNNNNNNNNNNNNNNNNNNNNNNNNNNNNNNNNNNNNNNNNNNNNNNNNNNNNNNNNNNNNNNNNNNNNNNNNNNNNNNNNNNNNNNNNNNNNNNNNNNNNNNNNNNNNNNNNNNNNNNNNNNNNNNNNGCCCCUUACUUCCUAAUCUUAUCAACAGGUGGUCUCUCCCUGAUAAAUAUACCUGCAGCUGGGGAACCUACAUGGGGAACCUGUGAAUCUUGAGGGGGUGGAGGUCUUACAGCCGGAUUCGUACGAACGAACUCGGCAAACCAAUCAUUCAUGGCUUGGAAGAAGGCUUCUCUAGCUCCUCCUCCCUGUCUAACUGAUGCAGGCCUUUCACUAACAUUAACAUCUAGUGGCGCCGUCCCUUCUACGGAAGCAAGCGCAUUACUUUCUACUUCAUCUGUACUAGCUCGUUCAGGAUCCAUAACUAUAAAAGAAAACAUUUUAAAAUCGUCAGGAGUCGUCACACUAUCAAAAUAUAUAAGUAUGGCAUGUAUAGGUAGACUCUUAUUCAUACUGCAUAUUUCCGAGAAUCGACUAAACCUGCUCUGAUACCAACAAAAUGUAACACCCCUUACCCGAGACCGUUUCCGGAGUCGAGCACGAGGCAUUACUUAGCUUAUCUUACCAAUUCGGAGCAUUAAAACUAGGUUUGAAAAUUUAUUUCACUAUUUACAGCAAAUCUGUCCAAUCGCGCAGCAGUUACUAAAUUAAUUAUAACUUGAGCUACAGAACUCGAAAUUUAAUUCCGUAAAUUUUCCCUGAAACUAGACUCAUAUAUCUACUCACCAUAAAAUUUUUAGAAUUUUUGGUUCAGCAAAUUAGUAAAUUUUAUUAGUUAAAGUCUCCCCUAUUUCACCAUUCGACUAUUCUUACCUCUUGUUACUAAAAAUAAGUUUUCUCACUGUAGGAUUUUCAUAUGAAGUUCUUACUUGUUUAUAAAGAAAAUAGACUCAUUAAGGAAUCUAAGCAUGUAAAUUUCAACUCAUAACCAUUUUUUUACAAUUUUUAAUUAUUUUCUAAACUCAGAAUAGGGGACUCCAAAAACAGUUCUGACCCUAUCUUACUAAAAUUCACAUAUCUUAAAAUAUAAAUUUUCUUUUGCUACACGUUAUUUUUCCAUGAAAAUAGACUCAACAAGAUUUAAUUCCAUAUAUCAUUCACCCUCUAAUUCAUUUUAUACUAUCUUGGGUGAUUUUUCAAAUUCACGUCACUGUGCUGCCUGAAUUCUGUUUCUUUGCAAAAUUUUAUCCUUUCAUGAUUUCCAUGCAUAAUUUAUCACCUAAUCUUUCAUAACAACAAACACCUUCAUCCUUAACCAUUUUAAUGACCAUACAUCAUCAAAUACUUACACAUCACUCAUUAGCAAAUCAUCAUUACAAACAUACAAAANNNNNNNNNNNNNNNNNNNNNNNNNNNNNNNNNNNNNNNNNNNNNNNNNNNNNNNNNNNNNNNNNNNNNNNNNNNNNNNNNNNNNNNNNNNNNNNNNNNNNNNNNNNNNNNNNNNNNNNNNNNNNNNNNNNNNNNNNNNNNNNNNNNNNNNNNNNNNNNNNNNNNNNNNNNNNNNNNNNNNNNNNNNNNNNNNNNNNNNNNNNNNNNNNNNNNNNNNNNNNNNNNNNNNNNNNNNNNNNNNNNNNNNNNNNNNNNNNNNNNNNNNNNNNNNNNNNNNNNNNNNNNNNNNNNNNNNNNNNNNNNNNNNNNNNNNNNNNNNNNNNNNNNNNNNNNNNNNNNNNNNNNNNNNNNNNNNNNNNNNNNNNNNNNNNNNNNNNNNNNNNNNNNNNNNNNNNNNNNNNNNNNNNNNNNNNNNNNNNNNNNNNNNNNNNNNNNNNNNNNNNNNNNNNNNNNNNNNNNNNNNNNNNNNNNNNNNNNNNNNNNNNNNNNNNNNNNNNNNNNNNNNNNNNNNNNNNNNNNNNNNNNNNNNNNNNNNNNNNNNNNNNNNNNNNNNNNNNNNNNNNNNNNNNNNNNNNNNNNNNNNNNNNNNNNNNNNNNNNNNNNNNNNNNNNNNNNNNNNNNNNNNNNNNNNNNNNNNNNNNNNNNNNNNNNNNNNNNNNNNNNNNNNNNNNNNNNNNNNNNNNNNNNNNNNNNNNNNNNNNNNNNNNNNNNNNNNNNNNNNNNNNNNNNNNNNNNNNNNNNNNNNNNNNNNNNNNNNNNNNUUCGUAUCCAGUACCAUCCUUAUGUAUCAACGGGACUUUAAAUUUUAAUUCUCUAUCAUUUCAUGCUUAGAUCAUCAUCAAAUAAAUUCAUAAAAUAAAUUCAUAGUUGCUGGAAAAUAACAGCAUUGAUAAUAAAUAUUGAAAUAUUGCAUUUAUUUAUCGUAAACUUACCUCGGUACCAAUUAUAGCCAAAUUCACCAACUUAGUCUUCAACUUUAUUCUUCCCUUUGUCUAACCUCGAGUUUCGUACUUCUUGAUCUAAAAUAGUAAAUUUAACUUAUUUAAUAAUCACAUUCAUCAAAACAGCCCUUGACUCUAACUUUUUCAAAAUUACAAUUUUGCCCCUAAACUUUUACAUAAUUACAUUUUUGCCCCAAGGCUCGGAAAUUAAACUUCAUCUCUUAUUCUUAUGUUUUAUAACAUUCUGAACAUUUUUCCCUUCUAUGGCAACAUCAAAUUCCCACUCUAACAUGUACUUAUGAACAUUAGGUAUUUUUACCGAUUAUGUCGUUUUACUCGUUUUCACUUAAAAUCGCUUAGCAAAAGUUGUUUAACAUAAUUUCUAGCUUCAUAUUCUAUCAUAAAACAUCAAAAUAAACACUUUUCACCUAUGAGUAUUUUUCCAAAUAUAAACCCUAGGUUAAAUUAUUGCUAGAAUAAGCCAAAUUAAGCUACCGGGACUCCAAAAACGUAAAAAACAUUAAAAACGGGACUUGGGAUCACUUACUAUGGAGCUUGGAAGCUUGAAAACCCUAACUAUGGCUUCCCCCCUUGCUGAUUUCGUCCUAAUGAAGAAGAUGAUGAUUUUUGCCAUCUUUUUCCCUUUUAAUUCAUUUUAAUUACUAGAUUACCAAAUUGCCCCUAACUUAAAAAUUUUCUAUUUCACUUAUCUCAUGUCCAUUUUUGUCUACCAAGUUACCAAUGGUAUAAUUACCAUAUAAGGACCUCCAAUUUAAAGUUUCAUAACAAUUGGACACCUCUAACAUGUAGAACUCAACUUUUGCACUUUUUACAAUUUAGUCCUUUUGACUAAAUUGAGUGCCCAAACGUCGAAAUUUUCGAACGAAAUUUUCAAAAAAUCAUUUUGUGAAAUUGUAGACCAUAAAAAUAUAAGAAAAAUAAAAUUUUUCUCAUCGGAUUUGUGGUCCCGAAACCACUGUUCCGAUAAACUCAAAUUUGGGCCAUUACAUCAACUUAUUCUUUUUUUCAAUUAAAUUAGUAUACUUAACCUCAUUGUCCCAAUUCUAUGACAGAUUUGGGUGCAAGAAGACUUCCAGGGGGAAGAGUCACUAUGACAAUGGAGAAAAGCUUAAAUGCAACUCGGGGGUGACAAUGGUUGUUGUGAUUAAAGAAAUCAUUAAUAACUAUAACUGUUUUUGCCUCGACUCGAGUUUCAGCUUUUUCUCCAUCGUCUUAGUCACUCCUCAUUGAAAGUCUUCUUACCCCCACCUUUGACACAGGUUUCAGACAAUAAGGUUAAAGAUACUACUUUGAUGGAUAAAAAAAUAAGUUAAUAAUAUUGGUGAGCUUCUUUUUUUUUUCCGAUGAUUAUGAGCUCAAACUUAUGUAUGGGGUCCGUGACCGUAUAACCACCGUCAACUGAGAGCCCUAGUUAUACUUCUACUUGUGACCAUAUAACCACCGUGAAUUGGGAGCCCGAGUUGUAAUGUGAUAUCUUCUAAGGUGAUGGUGAACUCUCUAUACAGCAAAUGAAAUGUGUGGGUCUUUGAGCGCCAUCACAUUACUGUGAACUCAAACAUACCUUAAAGCUAUCAUAAUCUUUCCCUAAAACACAAACACAAAUAAAUAUUUUUCCCCAAAUUUUUAACUAUUGAGUAUGCCUCAUAUUUCAGUCAAAUUUGAGAGAUAAUCUCUCAAUUAAACUCUAUUUAUUUGUUUCAUCGAACUCUGAUUAGUCUAGAUUAUUUUAUUAUUAUUUAACCUACGAAUUUAGCCUAUAAAUAUGCUCUUUUACAACCUAAAAAACACACCCAUUAAAUAUUAGAACUCACAACACUUCUAGAGAAAUUUGUGUUUAUGUUUUGAAGGUUCUUUGUUUUCGCGUUUCGGGGUUUAGUUUUUAUCUCCAUCUUUUGUAUUAUUUUUUGUUUUUCCAUUAUACUAAUAUUAUAUUUUCCUAUCAUUUUUUAUCCUCUUUGGAGGGGUUUGUCAACGUUAAAUUUGUGUGUUUAAUUUCUCAAUUUCUUCCGCUAUUUUUAUUUGUUUGUUGCUUAAUCGAGUCGAUAUCCAAUAAAUGGUAUCAAAGCUAGUUCAAUUUUCGUAGAUCAGCCUGUUCAAAUAUGGUAGUAACAAGUUUUGACAUUAAGAAGUUCGAUAGUGUCACAAAUUACAAUCUGUGGCAAGUUGAUAGCAAUUCUAGUUCAUACCGGCCUUAAAAAGGUCGUUAUUGGAAAAAAGCUUGAGAAUUUAAAUUAGACAGAAUGGGAAGAGCUUGAUGAAAAGACCCUAUCUAUAAUCCAAUUGUACCUCAUGAAUAGGGUAUUGCAAGAGGUAUUGAUGGAUAAAAUCUCAUCCACCUUAUGGAAAAGGUUAGAAACUAUUUAUGCAACUAAGUCUCUGACUAACCGUUUAGUGUUGAAACAAUGUUUAUUUACAUUCGUAUGAAUGAAGGUGAGAUUUUUAGAGAUCACAUUAGUCAAUUUAUUACUCUUUUGAAUAAUUUAAAGAAUGUUGAGGUUAAGAUUGACAAUAAAGAUCAAGCUAUGUUAUUAUUAUGCUAUUUACCCUCUUCAUACAAAUCUUUUAGGGAGACCCUAAUUUAUGGCAGAGACAAACUCUCGUUCGAAGAUAUGAAGGGUCAUUUGUUGAGUAAAGACAAACUCAACAAUGAGUUUAGUUCGAAUAACAAGGCAGAUAGGUAAGAUUCUGUUUUGGUAGCAUCAAAGAAGCGAGACAAAAGGUGUCGCUAUUGUAAGAAGUUAGGUUAUGUCAAAGUAGAUUGUUAUAAACUGUGAAAUAAAAGGGCUAUUGAGAGUAAUGAGGAAGAUGUAGUUGGUGUUAAUUUGGUCAAUAAAAGUGGUGAUGAUUUCUUGUUAGUGUCAACGAGUGAUAACUCCAAGCUUAAGUCCAAGUGGAUCCUAGAUUCGGGAUGUUCUUUCUACAUGUGUCCCAACAUAGAAUGGUUCUCCAUAUACAGUUCGGUUGAAGGUAGACUUAUGCACAUGGGAAACAAUUCAUCCAGUAAGGUAAUCAGUAUUGGUACUUUUAAAAUUAGGAUACACGAUGGGACGAUUAGGACACUCUCAAAUGUAAGGUAUAUACCUAAUUUACGAAAGAAUCUCAUCUUAUUGAGCAUUUUUUACUCAAAAGGUUGCAGAAUCAACAUUGAGUCGAGCGAUAUUAAGAUGUCUCCUAGGGCUCUCGUUUUGUUAAAAGGUAAAAGGACCGACAGCCUUUAUAUUCUGGAAGGUUCUAUAGUGGCCAGUAAAAUCAGACGUCCCUCAUCUGUUAUGGAGUCGAAGUCAACUCGUUUGGAGCGGAGACAACUUGAUCAUAGGAGGGAAAAAUGUUUGAUUGUUUUGUUGAAGAGAGGUUCUCUUUUGAAUGCAGGUUUGAAAAGUUAGGGCAUUGUGUUCAUAAAAAUCAGACCUGGGUUAAUUUUAAUUUGGUGGUGCACAAAAGUCUUCCAGCUUCCAAGCACAAAUUCAACUCAAUUAAUUCUCUGUAUAGUUCAAGAUAGGACUGUGGCGUGCUUUGGCAAAGAUUGCGUUGUGGAAAUAUGAGUCAAUGUGGAGAUUUGUUGAGUAUGUCUCAUAUUUCAGUCAAAUUUGAAAGAUAAUUUCUCAGUUAAACUCUAUUUAUUUGUUUCAGUCGAACUCUGAUCAGUCUAAAUUAUUUUAUUUUUAUUUGACCUACAAAUUUAGCCUGUAAAUACACUCUUUUACAACAUUAGAAAACACACCCAUUAAAUAUUAGAACUCACAAUACUUUUGGAGAAUUUUGUGUUUACGUUUUGAUGGUUCUUUGUUUUCGGGUUUCGGGGUUUAGUUUUCAUCUCUAUAUUUUGUAUUAUUCGUUUUUCUUGUCAUUAUAGUAAAAUUAUCUUUACCUGUGAUUUUUUAUCCUCUUUGGAGGCAUUUUUUCAUGUCAAAUUUGUGUGUUUAAUUUCUUAAUUUCUUUCGCUAUCUUUAUUUGUUCAUUGCUUAAUCGAAUCGAUCCCCAACACCAACACCCAACACAAAAAAAAAAUUGGAAGGAAGAAAACGCGACCUGCUGAAAGCGUUUUCUAUUUCUCUCUCCAAAAUCGACCUAUUCCCUUAAAUUUGAGAAAAAUUGCCUAAAUCCUUAAUUAAGUUUUAAAAACGGCAUUUUCUACUAAUUUCCCCUUCAAAAUGAUGUUUAUAAAUUUUUAAAAUUUUAUAAUAUUUAUUUUGAUGUCAUUAUUUUUUUAGCAUUAUCAUUUAUAAUAUUAUUAAAUGAAUAAGUUUUCUAUAAACAAUUCCCUCAAUCAUAAUAAUAUGAACCAAUUGACACAGACAAGAGAGUCUAUAACUUAGAAUUUUUUUUAACCAUAAAUUAAUAAACAACACCUUAAUAUUAUUAGCUCAUAAUCACCUAUAUAUGUAUAAAUUAAAAAUUAUGCAAACACAGGAGAACAAUUAACAUCCAUUGAACAGAAAAAAGGAUAAAAUAUGUGAACCAAAUUCAAGGAAGGACGAAAUGAAAGUAUGUGCUCAACGAGUGAACUGAAACGAAUUGAACAAUAAAAUUAUGAUGAGCCCAAAAAUUAUUUAGUUGUUGGAUGAAGAAGCCUUCUAUUUUGGUGGGAGGGCAUCUCUUCCAUUCAAACACUGAGUCCACUUAAGUGAAACUAUUGUUUGUUUUUUCUUUUUCUUUUUACUAUUAUAAUGAUGCGAAAACUAAAAGUUACUUUGUUGUUUCACAUCCAGCUUGAUUGAAUUGGAUACUCUAGAAUUAAUAAUAAUAAAUAGAUAUAAUAAUAAGAGUCGUUGGAAGGUUUAGGUAAAUGCAUUUUCAUGAGAUUGAUGGGGUGUAAGAUUUAUUAUAAAUUUUGAUUAUAUUUGUUUUUUAUAUAUAUAUUAUUUGGAAUUAUUCAUAUUUCUUCUCCAUCUCUUAAAUAAAAAGAUAAUAUAUUUCAACGUAUUCGAAUCUACAUCCUCUUAUGAAUUUGAAUGUUUACUUAUGAGAUUUUGUAAUAAUUAAGUUUCUGUAUAUGUGAUUAUGUGCUCUGUUUAUGUGUUUAAGGUUAGGAGUUCAAGUUGUGCCUUUAGGAGUUUUGCUAAUUCAAUUUUAAUUAAUCUAUGCUCUUGAGUCGUUGACUUAAAUUUAGUUCUGUGUAAAUUUGUGUCAAGAAUGAGUUUGUUGAUUCACUCACUGGCUAAGCAUUUAUGUACCCUACAAUCUUGUGUUCAAGUCUUUGCAAAAGUGAAGCGGAGAUUUAUUUUUGCUACUUUACAGAAUUAAUUUGGUUAUCUUAUUUUCUAAAGUUAAUUAUUUUUAUUUUUCCUUCCUUUCCCUUUUCUUUUUUUUAUCGUUCUCCCUCUUUCAUUCCUUCUUCUCUUUUCUUCUUUUCCUUUUUCCUUUCCUUUUCUUUUCUUUGGGUUGUUGUUAUAGUUUCGGUGUGUGUGAUCGGGUAAGUACGCAUUCCACUGUUGCCGAUUGAAAGGUUAAUUGGGUGAAUUUUUAUUUGUAGAACUUCUGUUAAACGGUUUUUUUUUCAUUUCUAUCGGAGUUGUUUUCAACUCAAAUUAUUUAAGCUUUCUUUUAAGAAAUCGUUUGGUUUCUUUUUAGAGAAGGAUAUCGAAAGCAACGAUCCUCAACGCACUAACUCGAGUAAUUACAAUUGAUUUUUUCGAUAAGUCUGGACUCGUUGAAGCUUUUGCGUCGAAAAUUUUGACAUAGUUUCGGCGCGUGAUUUUGUAUUGUUAUCAAUUAAGUUAUUUAAUUGAGUUAUUGAAUGGUCGUUUUUAGGCUUCGAGAGUCUUCUGCGUUGUUCCUCCUUUGAAACUACUUCAGAUACAUACCGAAAACCUGACUCUCUGCGAAAUUUAGACGCCGAAAACCGUGACUGUCAAUGCCACACGGCUGUGUGCUAGGUCGUGUGGUAGGCCGUAUGCGACACACAGUCGUGUGUUAGGCCGUGUGGCAGGUCGUUUGACUCACUAUUGUUAUUAGGACCACAUGGACCAGAGACACAGACGUGUGUCCAAGUCGUGUGACACAUUAUUGUUAUUAGAGACCACACGAGUCAGAGACAUGGGUGUGUGUCCAAGCCGUGUGACUCACUAUUUGCGAUCUAAGACCACACAGGCAGACAACAUGGGCGUGUGACAGGCCGUGUGGGGCGAUGCAGGCCAAUCAUUUAGGCCAUGUGAAACCACAUAGAUGUGUAGGUCAGAAUCCUUGUGGCCGUAAGCGUCGUCUGACGUGAAUGUACGCCAUCCAUAAUGUACAUAUGAUCUGAAUUAGACCGUAUCAUUUGCUAUCUAAUGAUCUGAGACCGAGUAAUUGACCAUCUAAACGUAUACUGAUUGUGAUGAUUGUUGAUGAUAAUAAUCUGUACUACCGAACUGUGAACUGUAAUUGAAUAACUAUGUGUAUGUUCUUGAUAUUUGACGUCCAUAAUCUACACUUGCAGUAGGUGGGAAUUGUAUGAAAGGGAAGUGAUCUAUUCUGGUUCAGUGGCUAAGCCACAAUUUCUAUGUGAAUAUGGCGUUUUAUCGCAAAUUGAUCUGACAGCUAGUCUGCAAUCACGUUGAAUGUGUUUAGUCCAAAAAUUAUUUAGUUGUUGGAUGAAGAAGCCUUUUAUUUUGGUGGGAGGACAUCUCUUCCAUUCAAACACUGAAUCCACUUAAGUGAAAUUAUUGUUUGUUUAUUUUGUUUUUCUUUUUACUAUUAUAAUGAUGCGAAAACCAAAAGUUACUUUAUUGUGUCACGUCUUGAUUGAAUUGGAUACUCUAGAAUUUAAUAAUAAUAAAUAGAUAUCAUAAUAAGAGUGGUUGGACGGUUUAGGUAGAUGCAAUUUCAUGAGAUUGAUGGAGGCGUAAGAUUUAUUCUAAAUUUUGAUUAUAUUUGUUUUUUUAUAUAUAUUAUUUGGAAUUAUUCAUAUUUCUUCUCUAAUUCUUAAAUAGAAAGAUAAUAUAUUUUAACGUAUUCGAAUCUACAUUCUCUUAUGUUGAUACUAAUUAAAUUAAAACUCAAUUGACUUUAUAAUUAUAUUUUUAAAUGUAAUAAGAUAAAAUUAAAAUAUUGUUGGUUUUAAUACUAGUAUAUUAUACUGAAAUCAAAAGUUAGCGCGUCACAUUCAGCUUGAUUGAAUUGGAUACUUUAGAAUUCAAUAAUGUUAAUAAAUAGAUAUAAAAAUAAGAGAGGUUGGAGGCUUUAGGAAAAGUCCAAAAGUAAAAAAUGCAUUUCCAUGAGGUAGAUGGGCUGCAGGGCUUUUCACGUCACCAGCAAUGCCCUUUUGUAACGAUUAUUAAAUUUAUAAUAAGACAGNNNNNNNNNNNNNNNNNNNNNNNNNNNNNNNNNNNNNNNNNNNNNNNNNNNNNNNNNNNNNNNNNNNNNNNNNNNNNNAUAAUUGGAUAGUUAAAUUUUGAAUUAAAUAAAUUGAGUUAUUCGAUUUGCUUGAAUCAAUUUUAAUAAGUAAUUCGAGUUUUGAGUUUAAGUCGAGUUGAAUUUGAUAAUUCAAAUAACUUGAAUAAUUCAAAUAACAGAUUGGUGUAAAUAUCUUUUUGGUCCCUGUCAAUUUUGAAAAUAAACAAAUUGAUCUCUCUCAACAAAAAAACUAAAAUAAUUUUUAAAAUUCAAAAUAUUUUUAAAAUUUUCAAAAUUUAUCUUUUUUUAAAUAUAUAUAUUUCUUAAAAAUUUCUAAAGAAUAUAUAAAAAAAGGUUAAAAUUUUAAAAAAUUUCUAAACCAAUCAUUUUGAGAUCUAAAUAAGUUAAAUUAAUGAUUCAAGUUUAUCAUAAUAAAUUAUCUUCUUUUUUAAAAUAAUAAUUUUCUAAAAAUAUUUUUCCAUAUUUAAAUAAGUUAUGUUAUUUUAAAAAAAUCUUAUGGUGAAAUUUAAACCCAUGUUAAUUGCAUCAGUAAAAACUUAAAUUUACUACUCAACCAAAACUUUAUUUUAAAUCUUUUAUAUAUUUUAAUUUUAUUAUGCACACUUUAUUAUUUGUAUCAAUUAUAUAUAUAGUUACUAUUAUUUAAGUCAUGACUGAGUUGGUGUCACAAGUCAACUCGGCACCAACUCAAUUAGGGAAAUUAGACUGAGCAUGUUACUCUACUUAAAAAAUAAUUGGUUUUCAAUUGUUUUUCCGCUGCAACUAAACCUAAUAGGGUUUUUCAAAAGUAAUGACAAACAAUGUGUUUUUCUUAAAAUCACACCAAUUAUUAACUUGACUUAAUAAAAGUUCAACUAUUUAAUAAAUGAUUUCCAAAAUAACAGAGGCAAUCGCAGUUUUAUUUAAAAGAAAGUGCAUUUGAGUUUUUCAACCAAUGAUAAGGUGGAUUCGUAGUUUAGGUGUCCUAUGUGACCUUUACUAUUCGGCUAUAACAUCUAGGCCGGGUUUAGGAGGUUACAAUUACAAAUCAGGUUAGUGAUGGAUGGGCUGGUAGUGACUGGGUCAGUUCACACAGCUGAUUAGAGAGACAUAUGCGAGCAACUUUUGGGCAGGUUCCGAAAACCAUUUUUGGAGCUCCGAUAGAUACCAAUUGGCUAAGAAGAAAUUUCGGUGGGCUCGAUAAGGAUUCAACUGAAAUCCAAAGAGAACAACAUGCUUGGGCAUAUAUUUUUAUGAUUAUUGGGGGUCUUCUAAUGCCCAGUAAGUCAGAAAAUCUCGUCUAUUUAAAGUGACUUCUAAAACUCGUCAACUUUAGAUAAGCAAGUGAACUUAUAUGGGUCUCAUCCGUGUUGGCGACAUUGUACCGGAGAUGUGUCGGGCGAUCGAACCACAUGAAAUCGAAAUUAGUGGUUGCAUGAUUCUACUACAAUCAUGGGCACAAUACUAGCUUCCAUUUUUAUGUACUCGAGUGGACUACCAUUAUACAUUCCCACUAGCAACAAAGUAAAAUUCAUUAGUUAAUAUAUUUACCAUAAAAAAUUAUUUAAAUUUUAAAUUUUUGUGUUAACAUAAUAUUUCAAUAUGUGGAAUCAUAGAACGAGUUACGUAGGACUACCUGAUGAGCUUUGAGCUAUACAGCUUCUGUUAGACUAACAAUUAGAAGCGGAGGUAUGUGUUUUUUCUAUUAUUUUGAAUUAUAUAAUAUUAACAUAGUUCGCUUAAAAAUUAGUAGUAUAUAGAUAACUCAAAUUUUUAUUAUUUUAAUAUAGUUUGAAUGGAUGCCUUACUCAGAUUCGAAAAUUCAAGAAUGUAUCCCGUCGAAACUCUUGGUCAAUCUCAACAUAUAACAUGUGAAGGUGCCACUAGUAGUGUACGCUACCAUAGAGAUGCACGAGUUGAAUAGAGUGUUGUGGCAAUUCGAGUUUAGGCAAUCAAUUCUAGUGGCACCCCAAGACCUCAAUGAUCUGCAUCUUGUCGACUUGCAGGGAGGACGAAUGAGAAUUGGACUACAUUCCAUGCCCAAUAUGUCAAUAUAUGAAAUAGUAGGUACAAGUUUUUACCUAUUCACGAGCCCAUUGCCACUCUUGAGUUAGCCUACUAUCUGGAGUACAUGCCAUGGUUUAGAGUCCAUGGAAAGACAUAUUUGUUAGGUGAAGAGGUGAAGGGUAUGCCACCACAUGCAAGGAGUCCACGAUGGGCGCCUAGGAAUCCAAGACGAAGAGACCACAAUGGAGCAAAUGAGGUAGGUCCAUCAUCUACACCGAUGCAAGAAUCGACACUGAUGGUUCCACCACCCCCUUGUUUAGUAUAACUUGACUUAUUCUGGUGCUUAUACUAACCCUUGUUUUUUUACACAAGCACCACACAUUGCACCACAUUUUUCUGUUUCUACUUUGAUGCCAGGUUAUGCUUAUAGACCUCGGUCCCCAACAUAUUACAUGUCGAUGCCAUCAACCCUUUUAAUGACCAUGAUACCGAUGACAACGUAUAGGUUGUCUAUGUUUGGUGCACCGACCAGGAUUCCAAUCGCACUGCCACUGGUGUACGAGACACAAUAUAGUUAUACACUUAAUUCGGUGGUGUCACAAACACCUCCGGGGUCACUGUUCUACCAAAGUGGACUAUCUUCGCAACCAACUAUUCCUAGACUGGAGGAUACAUGAUAGAAACCAAAGAGCAACCGAUCACAAUCAACUAUGGAUAAAGGCAAAGAAUAUGAGAGGCAAAAACCAUAACCUGUAUCGAAGGUUGAACCAUGAAGGAAUCCGGCUCACAACCCUUGACCACCGUGAUGUGGCACACAUUUUGGUUGAGGAUUAGAUUGAUUUAUUUUAUUUUUGUACUUGUCAUGUGAAUUUUUUAAAUAAAUACACAAUUUUUUAUUGUAUGGAUGUUGUACAUUCUUUUGGUUUUAAAUAAAUAUCGUUUUUGCAUCAAAAUUGGUUGUCGUUGACAUUUCAUAUUAUUAAAUCAAGUAUGUACGAGAAUAAUAGAACAAAGUUGUAUUAAAAACACGUGUUUACAAAUUACAAAAAAAAAAUGUGUAGGAAUGAAAGAUCAUUUAAAAUAUUGCAAUUAAAAAAUAAAUAGGUUAAAAAAUUAAUAAAUAUGUUAAUGAGGUGUUGUCCUUAUAUCAUCCCAUCGAUGUGAACAUGACGGCAUUGUAUGCCCCAGGUUCCUACACCACCCGCAUAACCUCGGUUGGUUUGACUUCUCCCAAAAGUCUGUGUUGUCGCAUAUCCGAGUCGACGUCAGACGACCUUUUAGUUUGUGAUGCAAUGAUCUAUUGGAUAACAACUUGAAUAGAGUGGUUGAUACAGACAGCCACACACGUUCAUCUGGGAUCAAUGCGAAUAUGUUUCUCCAUACGGUAUACAUGUGUUCUAGUUUCUACACUUCGUCCAGAAAGCUCAUGUAAUCAAAAUAUUGAUUGCUACAUGCUGCAAUUGCAUGAGCGCAUAGAAAACAAAGUAUGUCAAAUCUCUCAUAGUCGUAAGUUCAUUUUCUCAAGUCUACUCAGUAUACUCCUUUGGCAAUACCUUGUUUCAGUCUAUCGAAUUCCAUAACUUGGAACCAUAAGUCUUCACAUGAGUGACACACUAGAUCCAUACAGUUCGCUCAUGUCGUAACCUUCCUAAUUUCUUUUAGUACAUCCUCGCUCCAAACGUGGUCGCCUUGCAUCUAUCCAACAUAUUUACCCGUUUGCUUUGGAAAAAUUUUAGCCAAAUAGAAAUAUAUUUCUUUGACAACAGAGGUUAUCGACAAAUGAUGCAUUCCCUUCAAUACGAAGUUGAUGCAUUCCACCAAGUUUGUCAUCAUGUGCCCAUAUCAUAGACCCUGCCAUACGAUUUUUUCCACUGAUCAAAGGGUAUGCUAGAUAGGUAGCUCGCAUCUGUAUCGUUAACGGCCCGUAAUUUUUCCAAUAUUUCACGGAAACGGUGUGAAUGAGCUCAUACCCUGUCGAGGAAAGUAAAUAGGUUAUCUAUUAAUCACAACAUCUGCUGACCGGUUAAAUAUCAAACUGUUGAUAUAGUGGAGAAUACAUACCCAUGUUGAUCACUUGCGCGCACUGAGUUACAGAAUUAUACAAUCCAUCGUAGUUCGCUGUAACAUGUCUUAGACAAUACCUAUGGUGUAUGCAGUCCCAAAAGCUUCCCUGUCAUUCAAUUGUGGCCAGUAUUCUAGGUCCCCUGUCAGAGAUCACAUAUAUCAAGUUGUGAGAAAACAUUUCUCCUAAAACUGGAUAGGAAGAAAUCUCAAAUAUCUUCUAACUCUCCCAGUGUUAUUGUAAAAGUAAUCAGUAGGAUUUUCAAAUUGUCAUCUUGUGUCACAACUAACAACAACUGAUGGGUGUAUCUCCCGUACAUAAAGGUACCGUAAAUUUAUACCAGUGGUUUGAGUAUUGGAAUGCCUGUCUCCAUUGGUUGAAAGUCUAGAACAAGCGAUGAAAAACUCGACAUCCAUGAAGCAACCAAUUGUUGUAGUAUGCAAACCCUAUUUUCAAAUCAGUUACGCAACAUGGAACGUACCUCUCCAGCCCGUCACACGACUGCCAGGAAUUGUUGUACGACAUGUCCCACCCAUUAUGCAUCUUCUCCAAAGUCUUCUGCCUUGUAAUCCAUACCUUGCGGUACGACGACGUGUAGUCAAACUGGCUAUAGACAUUUUAAUUAAAAUGGGCACAACCUUGGGACUUGCUUUGACCAUAUGUAGGAUUAUGUCCGCGAUCAUAUCUGAAUCCAAUUUCGGAUGAUCCUGUGAAAUACCUACAAUAACACAAAUAUAUUAAAAUAAGUGAUUCUUCGAUCGUUGUAAUAGAAAAUAGUCUUGAUGCAGUACCCAUAACAACACACGUAUGCAGAGUAAUAUAUUACACACUUCACCUCAAACUUGUUAGAUCGAGACUUAACAACAUGAAAGCUUACCCCAUUCUUGAUGAUGUAUUACUUCACUAUAGCGAUAAAACCAUCUCUAGAGGAAAACUCUUUCCCCACUUCUAAAUCACCUGAAUCAAACGAAGAACUCGCAUGGCUCAAUCUUCUGUAAUAUUUCUACAAACUCCAGUGCAUCUUCUCCUGAUAGAUCCACAUUAUGCAUGUAGGUUGCAAGUAAGUACGCCCUGAAUCGUGGAUCUUCUUCAGCAUCUACACCCAAACCUUUACUGUUUGAACCUCCAUCUUUUGGUUCAGUUGGAACCGACUCCAGAAUAAAAAAUAAUACAAUUUCUAAUCCAUCAGCACCGGACUCUCAGAUUAGAUCGACAUCAGAGUUAGUGCCCUCUUCAUUUUCAACCCCACCAACAUCUCCAAGGUUGGAUGUCCCCUUGAUAUGGACAUCGUAGGGUGUACAUCAUCCCUUCUUAUGUAUUUGUCGAAACAACCAAAACUAGUCAUUGAUAGCCAACCACUGGAACUUGAUGUAAUUCCCCUGUAAGUGUUCCCAGCGUUGAACAUCGGUUGACUGAAGUUCAAAUCAAAACCACCAAAUGAGUGUCAUGUAGAGGUCCAAUAUUCUGUGUUACAAAAAACCCCAACUAUUUGGUGUUCCCACUGCCGUAGUUGACAUUUAGAGCCGUAACAAAUGAGUGUUUUCCCAUUGAUGAUUCUGGGAUAUCAUAAUGGGAACCUUCUAACAAAGCGAUGAACCCACCACAAAAUUGUGUCAUUGGAAUCUUAGUUUGUUCUUCUGUUUUGCCCUCUCAAACAGGAACAUAUGUCGACCUCCGAGGGCCACCAUCUAUCCUUGCAAACUCUGCAUAUAACUUGAGAAAGGAUGAUUCAUUGUCAAUAUGUGUUUGCACUAUCGCCUCCAACCCCCUCGCACCUCUGAUAUCGAAAGCGUCAUAUCUAACGGAGUCAACCAAAGCACCAAAUUGAUAUUUAAGGAAUGAUACUCUCAUUUGGUUGGAUCCAAUGAUUUUCUGCCUAAUUCUUACUUGAAGUUCUGGCAGUUGUAUGUUUUGGUUAAAAGCUAAUCGCAUUGUAUUCUCUAAUUAAAAAAAAGACCCCACUCUCGUUGUCACGCACUUCACUGUCGUAAUAAACAAUAGCAUUAAUUAAAUUAUGCAAAACAAUAGUGUUGUAAUUAAAUGUGAACAAUAAAAAACGAUCCUUACUUUAUGCAAAUUGUGUGGCAGCUCCAAAUUACCCCUAAUCUGUGAACUUCUCUUCUUCUAAUCUUCUUUCAAUUUUCUUUACUUGUAAAUGCCAUAUGGCACUUAACCCUGAAAUAGCUUGCUUCUAUAGACCGGAGGGUAAGUGCCAAUUGAUUCAUAAAAUUUUCCCAGGGUAGUGGGAGUUAAAAUUCUUAGGCAGAAAGCGCUCCAUGUAGGAUGCCUUUUUAGUGCAUAUCAAAGAAAAACACUGAAAGCUCCUCCAGCAGGACACGUUUUCCUGCCACAUCAGCUAAAAAUGCGUCUAGCUGGAGGCACUUUCAGUGCUUUUCUCUAACAUGCACUGAAAAAGUGUCCUAUAUGGAGCGCUUUCUCUCUAAGAAUUUCAACUCAAACUUUUAGCCUCAACCAUUAUAUAUCCCAUGAUUCUCAAGAUAUAUUUUUUGAACCUAUAUCAGUGUUUGAAAAUAAUGCACUAGAAUAUUUAAUCAAACCGAGUAGUUCAAGUUUCGAUUAUGAUGUGAAUUGAAUUUUGCAAUUCAAAUAACUAGAAUAUACGAUUGUUGUAAAUAUGAUGCCUCUAAAAAUCUAGUUAAAAAAUUAUUAACUUUACAUCUCAAAAAAUUAUAAAAAAUUAUAUAUAAAAAUUAAAACUAUAAAUAUAUAUAAAAAUAAAUCUUAAACACUAAAAUCCAAAAAAAAACCCUAAAGCAUAACCCUAAUUUAAAAAACAGAACCCUAACCCUAAAUAAAAUGUUGCACAUGGAAAACGCUUUCACCUAAUGGCAUUUUCAGGUGAAAUGCAGAAAAAUGCUUCCAAGUGGAAGCAUUUUCCUACACAGACGCUGAAAACCUUUCACGUGAAUGUGCUUUUCUGCAUUUGACUUGAAAACACUGCCAAGUGGAAGCAUUUUCGUAAAAUCGGCUUAUUCCCAUAAAUUUUCAAGAAAAUAGCCUAAAAAUGUAAAAAUGUAAUUUUUUUCUAACAUUUUUAGGAUAUUUCAUCAUUUCUAACCCUAUACAUUUUAUAAAUAUUUAUUAACAGUUUUUUAAAAAAAAUGUUUAAAAUUCUUUUAAAGUUGUGCAUCACACAAAUAUAAUAACUAAUUAUUAUUUAAACCUAAAUGAUUACAACUAUUAUUUACAAAUUUUAAAAUAGGAGGUUUUAUUAAUUUUAACUUACAAUCCCACACAAAAAAAUAACUUUUUUUAACAAAACUUUCCAUUUUCAAUCAAAUAUUAAAUGUAUGUUUUUUUUCUCAAGUUGUUUCUUUUGAUGUAACUUUUCUUUUAACUUAACUCUAGAUUUUUAUUGUUGUCAUAUUUUUUUAUCUGUUAAGAUCGAAAAUGUGUAUUUCCCUUUUGUGUUUAUUCGUUCUAUUUUUAAAAGGAUAAAUAUACAUUUUGGUAAGUAAAUUUGGUCUCAAGGUUCAAAUUAGUAUUUAAGGUUUUUUUUUUGUCCAAUUAGAUACCUAAAGUUAGUUUUAAGGUUCAAUUUGGUACCUCAAAUUUUUUUGGCCCACUUAAAUACCUAGACUUAGCUUUUUGGUUCAAAAUGAUACCUAAAUUUGAUUGCAUAGUUCAAAUUUGUUCACUCAAUAUUUAUCUUUCGUUUGAGAUUUUGUGUCGAACUUCUUCAAUGUGACUUCAGUUUGGAUGCUAAUUAAAGCGAUUUGAUUCGGUUUAAUCAUCUGAUUUGGUCAAUGUAAUGUCAUUUUUAGGUCCCGGAAUCAUCUUUGUUACUUCUACGUCAAAAUCGCAUCAGGUGCACAAGGAAAACCUGAAUUUCUGUGAACGUCGAAAGUUGGAAUCCGUGGUUGUCGACACCACACGGCUGUGUGUCAGGCUGUGUGCUAGGUCUUGUGGUAGGUCUUCUAACUCACUGUUUAGAAUUAGAGUCACACGAGCCAGAGACACAGACGUUUGUCCUGGUCGUGUAACUCACCAUUUUGGAAUUAGAGUCACACGGGAUAGAGACACGGGCAUGUGCUAGGCCGUGUUGACCACAUGGGGUAGCCACCCAGACCGUGUGAAUCCAUACGAGUGUGUGGACCAAAAAUCAGGAUUUGUUUCCUAGGGUUGUAAUCGUUGUUCGAGUCAAACGUGGGCUUACUGUAUGACCUAUAUGAUCUAAAACAAGCUAUAAAACUUGAUAAUCGAUGAUUGAUUGACGUAUAAUCCAUUAUCUGUACGUAUGUCUGAUAUGAUAUUAGCUAAAUAAGUAUGAUUUAUUAGCGUAUAAGUUGUUUUUGUUUGGGCGUGUUUAAGGUAUGUGAUUUAUUCAUGUAUGAUUCGUGCUUUGUUAGUUUUGAUGAUUCAUUUUUAUGUUACUGAGUUAGAUGAGAACAUGUGAUAUCUGAAUAUAUUGUUGUGUCUAGUACUAAUUCUGAUAUGUAACCAUGCAUGUGACUUCAUGGAAAAUAUGAUAUGAUUCAUUAAUAUUUGAUCAAUCUGUCCUGCAAAGCGUGGAAUCCCAUGCCUCAUGUUUCUGUUAUUGUACGACAACAUGUCCUACAUGCUGAUCAUUCUGAUUCUGAAUAUGCAUGCUGUAACAUAUUACAUGGGUUUCAAGAUGAUGUGAACGGAGGAAGUUUUUUGGCAGUGUAAUGAUCUGCAUUAUCCGGUGGGUUAUCCACAAUUCUAUCUGGCAGCAUGUCUGCAAUUAUAGUGGCUUGACCACAUAUAUCUGAUCUGGUAGUUUUAACUGCAAUUCUGGUGGCACUGUCCACAAUUAUUUGUUGGUGUGAUUUGGUUGGAUGAGUUAUGGGAACUCUAUUUUGGUGUGUAGUGGAGUUAGGUAGGAUGUUUUCUGAUAAUUUGCAUCCUGGUUUUCUGAAAAACACCGCAUUGGCAUAAUCAUAUAUCUUCUAUUCUGUUAUAAAAUUGUUAUGAAAAUCUCUGUGAUACUCUGAUUUGUUCCACUCCGAUUAUAUGAUUGAUACGAAAUUCUCUGCUUUGUCUGACUUGUAUAUUGUGUUUUGUUAAUCUCCGUUUGAGUUUAGUUAUAUACUGAGCUUCAUAGCUCACCCUUUUGUUUUAUCUUUGUCUGUUUAGGUAAACUUCUAACUUAGGAUCGGAUGACGUGUGAGAGCUCGGAUAUUUUCAUCCUUAAUGUAAAUAUGGUUAUUUCUGUUAUUAUUUGUUUUGAACUUUUGGGUCUGUAAUCUGUAACAUCUUUUGAACUCAUUUUGGGUUUUUGUUAAUUUGUCAGUAACUAAUAUUUUCAAGCGUGAAACUGCAAAAUUACUCAAGUCGACAAAAUGAAUUUUGGUUUUCAAAAAUAAAACUCCGAAAAGAUUUUUCGCUGCAAAUUAAGUAAUUUCCAAAGUGUUUUCUGUAAAUGAACAGAUAGUUUUUCAAUGGUUGUUUUCCAUUUUCGUAUUUGCUAAAUACUUAUUGGGAAUACUUUUCCAAACGAGUCAAUGUAAUCUCUUCAGAUUCGGCCACAACUUCUAGGCCAGGUUUGGGCUGUUACAUUUAGUGGUAUCAGAGUCAGAUUGCAAAACUCGAGCUAUGACUUUUGGGUUCAAAAAUUUCCCUGAAAAAUGUUUCAAGUACAAUGAACUUCUGGUUGACUUUGAUAUUUUGGUUUAUGAAAAGUGUGUUCAGAUUUUGAUUAUUUUCAAGUCUGUAAAAAAAGAAUCCGAGACUCCGACGUCGAUCAUGUAAGUACCUUUACUUUAGUUAUAUUAGAUAAGCUACCAAAACUUUAGUGCUAGGAUUACUCUAUCCUAGCUAAAUACUGGAAAUUCUGUGAAAACCACUCCUAAAGCUUUAGGCCUAGGAUUUUAAUAAACCUAAGCUAACUCAUAAAAAAUUCUGAAAAUGUAGAUUAGUAUAAUGAGUACUCAUGGUCAUGAUGUACAAGGGCAUGCUAGACAGAGUCGAGUGACUCGAGCCUAAUUCUCUUCUCGGUGCAAUGCAAAACACAAAUACAAUAACUAAUUAUUAUUUAAACCUAAAUGAUUACAACUAUUAUUUACAAAUUUUAAAAUAGGAGUUUUUAUUAAUUUUAAUUUACAAUCCCACAUAAUAAAAAAAUUGCUUAAAAAAACAACUUGCUUUUUUUUUUAUAACAAAACUUUCCAUUUUCAAUCAAAUACUAAAUGUGUGUGUUUUUCUCAAGUUGUUUCCUUUUAUGUAAGUUUUCUCUUUAACUUAACUUUAGAUUUUUAUUGCUGUCAUAUUUUUUUUUUAUCUUUUAGGGUCGAAAAUGAGGAUUUUCCUUUUGUGUUUAUCCAUUCUAUUUUAAAAGGAUAAAUAUACAUUUUGGUAUUUGGUCUCAAGGUUCAAAUUAGUAUUUAAGAUUUUUUUUUGUCCAAUUAGGUACCUAAAGUUAGUUUUAAGGUUCAAUUUGGUACCUCAAUUUUUUUUUGGUCCACUUAAAUACAUAAACUUAGCUUUUUGGUUCAAAAUGAUACCUGAACUUGGUUUCGUGGUUCAAAUUUGUUCAAAUAACUAAGUACUAAUUGGACGAAAAAACUAAGUUCAUGUACCAAUUUGAACCAAGAAGUCAAGCUUAGGUACCUAAUUUGACCGAAAUAAAUUUUAGGUACCAAAUUGAACUUUAAAGUCAAGUUCAAGUAUCUAAUUGGAAAAAAAAAACCUUAAAACUAAGUUCAAGUACCAAUAUGUUAAUUUACCCAUUUUAAAAUUAUAUUAUAUUAUUUACAUGUACAGAUAGAUAUUUGUAGAUAAAUAGAAUGAUGCAACGUAAAGUUCAAUAUUAAUGUUCCUCUUAAUAUCAAACACUGCAUUUAAAAUUGCAAAUAUAAUUGUGAAUUAAGCAUUGAUUUAAUGAAAAGUUAAUGUCUUAAUUCUUUAUCUCAGUUAAAAUCUCAUAGUACAUAAAUAUUAUGCGUUGAUUUUUAGUCUGUAUUUUGUUUUGUUUUAAAUUUUAUUAUGUGAGAAUUUUCUUUAGAUAUAUUCCGGUUUUCUAUCUAUUCAAUUUUUACAUCAUGAUAAUUAUAGUAAUUUAUUUUGAUUUUGGUUAUUAGAAUUUAUUGAUUAUGAUUUUAAUUUAACUUUAAAAUAUAUAUAAUUUAAUCAUAUAUGUACUAAUUAAAUUAUAGUAUAUUCACGAAGUGAAUAAAUAAAAUAUGUAUCAAAUUUAUAAAAAUAGAUAUUAAAAUCAAAUGAGGUUUUGAUUGAAAUAAUAAAGUUAAAGACAUUGAAAAUUAUGAUGCUUUAGGUUUGAAUUUUACAAUGUAUAUGUUUUUUUUUUAAUUUUAUAUAAAAAUAUACAAAAAAAACAUCCUUAAAAUAAUAUUUAUUACAUUAUAAAAAUAAUAAAUUUUGAUAAUUUCACAAUUAAAUUAAGAGCAGAUAAUGUCAACUCAAUCAACAAAUAUAAUAUAGAUACAUAUCUUUAUAUCUUUAAUAAUUUCACAUCUAACUUGAUUUGAAUUAUCGAGAAAAAAAAAACCAACAUUUAACUUGACGUUACCGAAAAAUUAAGAUUUGUUUAACUAGAUUGAACAAAUUAUUUAAACAUCAACAUUGAAUAACUCUAAUUUCAAUAUAUAUAUAUAUAUAUAUAUUAAUUUUUCGAAUCAAAUAUACUAAAUAACUCUAGGCCCAACAUGUAAUGGACACUUCUACCCGAGUCUCGAUCUUUCAAUCCAAAAAGAAAAAAAAAAAAGAAAGAGGCGUAACGCUAAUGCUAACUUAUCUGGUCUUUAUCUUCAUAAUAAAUGUAGAUAAUCGGACAAUUUACCAAUAAAAGCCCAUUUUUGUAAAAAAUUAUUGAAAUGGGCCCUCUAUUUAAUUAUUUAUCGGAAUGGACCAUUUUCCGCGAAAUCGCGUCCAUGUCAACGCGAUGUCAGGGAACCCGUUAGGAAAUCACAUACACGUAAUCGCGAGAUGCUUACGUGGACGCGAUUUCCUGACGCGUACCCUGACAUCGCGCUGACGUGGACGCGAUUUCGCCAUUUUUCCCACGUUAGUUUUUUUGGCUUUUAGGGUUUAGGGUUCAGGCUUUUUAGGGUUUUUAGGUCCUGGAAGAAAUAAUUUCGAGUUGAUGUUUCUGAGCAAAUAGUAUAAAAUCGCUUUUAGCAGGAUGCUAUUUGAGAAGAAUUUGUGAAAUCGCGGCCUUGUGGACGCGCUUUUGCUACAGUAGGUCAUGUAAGAAAUAUUUUUUUUUGACUUUUCUGACCAAAUAGUAUAAAAUUGCUUCUAGCAGGAUGCUAUUUGAAAAGAAUUUGUGAAAUCGCGGCCUCGUGGGCGGGCUUUUGCUACAGUAGCAUGUUUGGGCUGAGGCUAUAAAUUAGGCAUAUAAUGUUCUCAGAAUGCAUAAGUCACAGCAGAAACAAUUUAGAGAGGCUAAGAAAGUUAGAGUUUCAAAUAUGAGUGAACGUAUUAGUGCUGUUAUUUAUUAUGAUGGUAAGGUUUGCCACACCGAGAAUGGUGUUAUUUUUUUGUCGGAGAAUACGGUGCGACUAGUUUUUAACCAGAACAUAGAUUUGACAGAACUUUGUAAAAGAAUUAGGCGUAAAAUUUUUGGAACGACGCCAAUGAAAGUUCUGUCCAUGACGUAUCGAUUUUGUUCUUCUGUUGAUCCGGUGACAUAUGACUCGUUCGACAUAAAAGGUGCUCGUAGCUUGGAGGCAAUGGUGCAGACUCAUCUUGCUAGUGGAGCACCUUAUAUUGAGUUAUAUGUGCAAUUUACAUCGCCAACUGAUGUACUUGCGAUCGGUGUUCGAGAUAUAUACACGACCCCUGGCCGACACUCAGUUAGCGGGUUACAAAAUUCGGAACAGCCCAUGUUCGGUAGCGGUGUCGAAUGCACAUCCCCUGCGAGACACUCUAUCGGUGGAUGGGACAUGUACGUCGGUGACUCGACGUUUGAUGCUGGAAAUACGUACUGGGGAACGACAUCAAGUUCUAGUGGGUGGCAAUCUACAUCCAAUUGGGGACAUUAUGAAAUGCCCAGAAGAAGGGAUGACGUACUCGCUACGACGUCAACCGGUGAGGGGACCUCGUACACUGCAGAUGAUUGUGGGUUAAAAGAUGACUCCGAUGUGGAUCCACCUCGAGAGCCCGGGCCGGAUGGUGCAGAAGUUGGCUUAUUUUCUGAACCGGAGCCUAUUCCAACAGAAGCUGAAGAUGCUGAAAAGAGUUCAAAUGAGGAAGAAAAUCUACCACACCGGUCGUGUCUGCAGAUGAUGUGUUAGAGUUUCCAGAUCUACCACACCGGUCGUGUGAUCAUACAAGUUCAGGGGUAGAUUUUAGAUAACUUGAAGUUGGUAAUCAGUUUACCAACAAGGAUAGUUUUAUUGGUGCUUUGAAACAACAUAGCAUCAAAAACGGCGUUAACUACCACGUCGUUAAAUCAAAAUUUGAUAAGUUUGAGGCGAAGUGUACGGUGCAAGACGGCACAUGUUCAUGGAAAAUCUACGCCUCGUUAAGGAAAAGGACAGGGUUGUGGGAGAUAAAAAAGUACAAAGGUCCAUAUACAUGUGCUGUAGGUACAGUAUUGACGGUAUCUGAAUAAUACUUUUAUUAUGCAAUGUUACAUUAUUUAAUGUACUCCCUUUAUAGCUGUUUCACAAGAUCAUCCCAAAAUGGACUCAGCUAUGUUAGCUAGCUUGAUACUGCCCACAAUAAAAGUAGAUCCUAGGACUUUAGUGUCAGUGUUAAUUGCCAAUAUCCAUAGCCAAAUGGGGUACACGCCCUCUUACCGCAAGGCUUGGAUAACUAAGCAAAAGGCGUUGGAGAAGAUGCAUAGUGGGUGGGACGCCUCAUAUAAUGAAAUAUGGCAGUGGUGUCAGGUGCUAGAGAGAUACGUCCCAGGUGCCAUCACAGACCUUGAAACGGAACAUGCGUACUACAACAGCCGAUUGCUACGUGGAUGCCAAGUGUUCAAACGUCUGUCUUGGACCUUUAAGCAAUGUCGAGAUGCAUUUCCAUACUGCAAGCCAUUGGUACAAAUUGACGGUACCUUCAUGUUCGGUAGGUAAACUCAUCGGCUAUUGCUUGCAGUGGCAUAGGAUGGCAGUGGGAGAAUUCUUCCAAUUGCAUUUGCAAUAACACCGGGGGAGUCGUCUGAUGACUGGGAUUUCUUUCUCUCUAGGUUAAGGAGGCAUGUCUGCCCCUAACCUGAUAUAUGUGUUAUUUCAGAUCGGGGCACCAGUAUUCUAGCUGUAUUUGAACGAGAGGGAAGCUUAUGGCAACGCACACACCAUAGAUAUUUCCUAAGACACGUUGCUUCGAACUACUACAGGGUAUUUAGUCUAUAUCUAUGUUAUUUCGUUUGUCAAUUUGAAUUAGUUUUAUUAGUAGAAGUGGUAUAAAUUAUUCGCUAUGAUCUUAUAUUGGCAGGGUAUGAAAUAAAUAAAGAUCAUUUUCACGAGAUGUUGUCAAUUUUACGUUCAAUUAACGCAGAAGGGGCGGACUACCUUUGUAACAUACGUUUCGAACAGUGGUCACAAUCAUACGAUGGCGGCCUACAAUAUGGCCAUAUGACGUCGAACCUGGCUGAAUGCAUAAAUUCUGUUCUUAAAGGAACGCGUCAUCUACCGAUAACAUCGGUUGUGCAGGAGACAUAUUUUCGUUUAGCGGCGCUAUUUCCAAAGCGAGCCGCAGGUUAUGCAGGCCAGAUGCAGGGAGGCCAUGUAUGGUGCAGUAAGGUAGUUCAAGAAAUAAACAAGGUCAAGGCGAGGGCAAACAUCAUGCACAUAGUUUGUCACGAUCGAGACAAUUUAUGGUUUCGCGUGACAGAGUUUGACAGACCGCACCAAGGUGUUAUUGGCGGGCAAUAUCAUGUACACUUGCGAAAUAGGACUUGUGACUGUGGGAAGUUUGAUGCACUUCGUUAUCCAUACGCUCAUGUUAUUGCAGCUUGUCAGAAACUCCGUCUGGAUCCGAUGAGUUAUGUGGAUGAAGUGUACAAAUUAGAAAACAUGCACAACGUCUGGAGACACGUUUUCCCACCGGUCCCAAAUGAACGUAAUCUCUCUUACUCCUUUUAAGCUAUUACCGGAUAAAGAAUUACGUCGCAAACCAAAGGGUCGACCUUGCUCGACUAGAAUAUGUAACAAUAUGGAUAUCCCAGAAACAGCCAGUCAAACGAAGUUGUGCGGAUGGUGUAGGAAUCUAGGCCAUACAAGUCGAUCAUGCCCUAAUCGUAAUUAGUUGAAUGUAUUUGUAAAAAAAUUAACUUUGUACCAUUAUUCAUUGAUAAAUUGUAAUAACUCAAAUUAUAUAAAAUUAUAAAUGGUUAGUAAAAUUAUCAAAUUAUAUAAAAUUAUUAAUGGUUAGUAAAAUUAUCAAAUUAUAUAAAAUUAUUAAUGGUUAGUAAAAUUAUCAAAUUAUAUAAAAUUAUAAAUGGUCAGUAAAAUUAUCAAAUUAUAUAAAAUUAUUAAUGGUUAGUAAAAUUAUCAAAUUAUAUAAAAUUAUAAAUGGUUAAUAAAAUUAUCAAAUUAUAUAAAAUUGGGUUAGGGUUAGGGUUUUUAAUUAAGUUUGGAUAGGGUUAGGGUUUUUAAUUAAAUUGGGUUAGGUUAGGGUUUUUAAUUAAGUUAGGUUAGGGUUAGGGUUUUUAAUUGAAUUGGGUUAGGGUUAGGGUUUUUAAUUAAAUUAGGUUAGGGUUAGGGUUUUUAAUUAAGUUAGGUUAGGGUUAGGAUUUUUAAUUAAGUUAAUUAGGUUAGGGUUAGGGCUUUUAUUUAAAUUGGGUUAGGGUUAGGGUUUUUAAUUGAAUUGGGUUAGGGUUAGGGUUUUUAAUUAAGUUUGGUUAGGGUUAGGGUUUUUAAUUUAAUUGGGUUAGGGUUAGGGUUUUUAAUUAAGUUAGGUUAGAGUUGGGUUAGGGUUAGGGUUUUUAAUUAAGUUAGGUUAGGGUUGGGGGUUUUAACUGAAUUAGGUUAGGGUUAGGGUUUUUAAUUAAAUUGGGUUAGGGUUAGGAAUAAAUUUCUAUUUUGUUACAUCAAAUAAUAUCAAAAUAGCUCAAAAAAUUUCUAUUUUUUUACAUAAAAAUAACAUCAAAAUAUUCAAAAUAUUUGUACAAAUAAAUUUAAAUACGGGAAUCAAUGUCUAUGCCCGAGGGAUUCAGUGCCACAUGGCGGCCGUCGACGGUUACGCGCUAGAUUCCUCCUUUCUCUAGCUUCCGGUGGCGGUUGUUGUUCUUCCGGUGGGGAUUCUGGUUCUUCCGGUACGACAUCUAGUUGUCGAACUUGGGACGAUGAUCCACCUUCAAAGAAUAUUGUAUGUGGAGGUGUUUGCAUCAGGAACGGCGAUGGUGUUUGAAACCCAUACGUUGGUGGGGAUUGGUAAAAAGGAGUGCUCCCCGACGGCCCCCCUUGCGAUCCCUCGUGCGCCGCUGGCCUAUGCAUCGGCGAUCAGCUCGGCAUAACAGAAAAUGGAGCUAAAACGGGCAUUUGGCUCAAACCUACCAUAGGACUCGAAAAAGGAUACAUAUAAGGGUAAGGGUACAUAUAAGGGUUAGGAAACGCACCUGCAUCAUCUGAAAAGGCUGUUGCGUGGGCAUCAUCAGUUGAUUUGCUGCGUCGGGUGACUGACUCGGUGCUCUCGUUGGGCUUGGUGAUUGCAUGGCCGCUGAUGAUGAGCCAGGUGAACGUCUGAGCCUCGUUGUGUGGCUGCUUUCGUCGUCUUGGAUUUGGAGGCCCGCGCAUUUCUCUUUUGACACGUAUUUGCUGCUGCCUCUGCUCUGGCAUCAGUAAAUACGGCUUGCCAUGGAUCCUAAACCAUGGCAUGUAUUCUGGAAUGCACGCUAACUCCGAAACGAUGAUUGCUUCCCGAGUAGGUAUAUAUUCAUGCCGAUCUUCCCACAUAUCUAUGUACUCGGACCAGUAUCUCGGCCAAUCCGUAUUCAAUUGCUGAAGGUCGAUUUUGUGUUGCUCGUCAAACUCCUCAGGAUCUACGGGAAUCGGUUGUCUACAUCCAAACUGUCGUAGCACUCUGUUUGACUGGUGCGGCUCCACGGUUGCGUAGUUAAUCAACACAACUUUCACGUGCCAGGCAUUCAGAUUUUGUAAGACCUCUUCUGGAAUUACUGCCCGAAUUGCCGGAUCCUCGUAUGGUGUCCAUUCAAACUAUAUAAACAUGAUAGAAAUAUUAGUUAUAUACAUAAUAAUACUAAAUACUAAAUACUAAAUAUCAAUCGACUAGCAAAUGUAUGGAAAUAUCUAUUUGCAAUAAUACUUACUUCUGCUUCCGACCGUUGGUCUAAUAGAAGCCGUACAUCUUCAAGAGAGGACGGUAAUCCAGCAUAACUUGCCGGAUGGUUCCACCUAAUUAAAUAAAUUUUUAGCAUACUUUUAUUUUUAAAAAUCUACAUAAUAAUUGUAAAAUGUAAUAUAAAAUUUACCUCGUUAUGAGUGGGAAUGUAUAUGGGUGGUUCAGUCGAGGAUGUAGAAAUGGAAAGCGAAACCGUGCCCAUGACUGCAGUAGUGACGGGCAACCUCUGAUUUUGGCUCUCCUCGGUUGCGUCGCCCCGCACAUCUCCCGAUAUAAAGUAGCCAACACGGCAGACCCCCAACUGAAUUCACCGGCUGCUCUAAAAUCAACGAGUUUCAACAGCCAUCUUAGAUGUACGCGGCUCCGUGACGUGUCGGGCAUCAGAUAACCUUCAAUUAUUUGAAGAAUGUAUGCCUGAGUAUAUCGGAUUCUUUCAAUCUCGAUUGAAUCUUCAUUCGGAUCAGCGAAUGUGUCACGUAACCAACCCAUCUCGACCUUACCUCCCUCAAUUUUCUUCGGAAUUGCGCCCAAAAGCUCGUAGCACACCGCCUCCCAAUUGCUAGAUUGGGCAGACCCGGUGAUUGGGUGCCCGUCCACCAGCAAUCCCAAUUGCAGAUGGACAUCUUCUAGAGUGAUAGUGCACUCUCCACAUGGAAGAUGGAAUGUGUGCGUCUCGAGUCUCCACCUCUCAAUGAACGCACUGAUUAGUUUCGGGUACAACUUGCAUCCCCGGCCUACCGUCCCCACGUGCCAAAAACCCGCUUCCAGCAAGUAGUUCUCUACCAACGGUGAUAGAGGAGCAUGCAUAUUCCGGAUAUUGCAUUCCAAUACCCGAUCUACCUCCUUUUAUAACAAGUAAUAAAUUAAUAAUUAUCUAAAAAUGCAUAAAUAAAAAUUCUUAAAUAAUAUUUAAAAAUUAAAUUUAACACUUACCAUUUUCAUUUGUUCCACCGAUAUGUGAUGCUUAUCAAGACGAGUCAAUGAUCCGGCCAUUGAUGAAAUCAGACAAAUUUUUACGAUUUAUAAAAAUAUAAAAAAAUUUAAAAUUAUUUUAAAAAAGGAAAUUGAGAGGAAAUUGAAAUCAAAUAUGGAUUUGAGAGAAUUUUGGAAGGAAAUUGAGAGGAAAUUGAAAUUAAAUAUGCAUUUGAGAGAAUUUUGGAAGGAAAUUGAGAGAAUUUUGGAAAGAAAUUGAGAGGAAUUGAGAGGAAAUAUGAGAGAGGAUUUGUUUGUGAAAAAAUAAAAAGGGGUGGGGGUAUUUAUAGUUUUUUUUUACCGUUGGGGGGGCAACGGUCAAAUUUUUGACCGUUGGCUACUGUUCACGCGCGGGAGGAAAUCGCGUCCACGUAAGCAUCUCGUGCUUACGUGGAUGCGAUUUCCUGACGCGUACCCUGACAUCGCGCUGACGUGGACGCGAUUUCGCGAAAAAUGGACUAUUCCGGUAAAUAAUAAAAUAGAGAGCCUAUUUCGGUAAUUUUUUACAGAAAUGGGAUUUUAUUGGUAAAUUGCCCUAGAUAAUCAGUAUUGUUAAAAAAGAAGAGGAAGAUAAUCAGUGUGUUAGAGACACUCAAGGCUCAAAACAAAAGUCAAAGCUCUUGAAAAUGGCUGAAAUAAAAUCAGAACCAGCUGAACAAUCCAUUUACAAUUGGAUAAACGAAUUGAAGGCUUUCGAUGAAACAAAAUCAGGAGUGAAAGGCCUGGUAGAUUCAAGUUUAUCAAAGAUUCCGACCAUUUUCAUCAAUGAAGAGUACAAGCUUGAGAGAAACAACAACAUCCAUAACCAGAAAUCUGGAGGCUGCACCAACAAUGGCGGAAUCCCGAUCAUAGACUUGACCGGCGUCGACGAUGAUCCAAAUUUACGUCGCGAAAUAGUGAAGAAAGUUGUUGAAGCUUGCGAUAAAUGGGGUUUCUUUCAAAUCUGUAGAAAAAGAAUCUGAGACUCUGACGUCGAUCCUGUAUGUACCUUUAGUUAUAAUAUUAGAUAAGCUAGCAAAACUUUACUGCUAGGAUUACUCUAUCCUAGCUAAAGACUGUGGAAAUUCUGUGAAAACCACUGCUAAAGCUUUAGGCCUAGGAUUUUAAUAAACAUAAGCUAACUCAUAAAAAAUUUUGAAAGUGUAGAUUAGUAUAAUGAGUACUCAUGGUCAUGAUGUACAAGGGCAUGCUAGACAGAGUCGAGUGACUCGAGCCGAAUUCUCUUCUCGGUGCAAUGCAUAACAAACCUAAAUGAUUACAACUAUUAUUUACAAAUUUUAAAAUAGGAGUUUUUAUUAAUUUUAAUUUACAAUCCCACAUAAUUUUAAUUUACUUUCCAUUUUCAAUCAAAUAUUAAAUGUGUGUGUUUUUUUUUCUCAAGUUGUUUCCUUUUAUGUAAGUUUUCUCUUUUAACUUAACUUUAGAUUUAUAUUGUUGUCAUAUUUUUUUUAUCUUUUAGGGUCGAAAAUGAGAAAUUUCCUUUUGCGUUUGUCCAUUCUAUUUUAAAAGGAUAAAUAUACAUUUUGGUAUGUAAAUUUGGUCUCAAGGUUCAAAUUAGUAUUUAAGUUUUUUUUGUCCAAUUGGGUACCAAAAGUUAGUUUUAAGGUUCAAUUUGGUACCUCAAAUUUUUUUGGUCCACUUAAAUACAUAAAUUUAGCUUUUUGGUUCAAAAUGAUACCUGAACUUAGUUUCGUAGUUCAAAUUUGUUCAAAAAACUAAGUGCUAAUUGGACAAAAGUUCAUGUACCAAUUUGAACCAAGAAGCCAAGCUUAAAUACCUAAUUUUUUCGUAUCAACUAUACUAAAUAACUCUAGGCCCAACAUGCAAUGGACACUUCUACCCAAGUCUCGAUCUUUAAAUCCAAAAAGAAAAAACAAAAGAAUCUGAUCUUUAUCUUCAUAAUAAUUGUAGAUAAUCAGUAUUGUUAAAAAAGAAGAAGAAGAAGAUAAUCAGUGUGUUAGAGACACUCAAGGCUCAAAACAAAAGUCAAAGCUCUUGAAAAUGGCUGAAAUAAAAUCAGAACCAGCUGAACAAUCCAUUUACAAUCGGAUAAACGAAUUGAAGGCUUUCGAUGAAACAAAAUCAGGAGUGAAAGGCCUGGUAGAUUCAGGUUUAUCAAAGAUUCCGACCAUUUUCAUCAAUGAAGAGUACAAGCUUGAGAGAAACAACAACAUCCAUAACCAGAAAUCUGGAGGCUGCACCAACAAUGGCGGAAUCCCGAUCAUAGACUUGACCGGCGUCGACGAUGAUCCAAAUUUACGUCGCGAAAUAGUGAAGAAAGUUGUUGAAGCUUGCGAUAAAUGGGGUUUCUUUCAAAUUAUCAACCAUGGGAUUCCAGUAACGACUUUGGAUGAAAUGAUGGAUGGGAUUCGGAGGUUUCAUGAACAAGAUAAGGAAGCUAAGAAAGAGUUUUAUUCUCGAGAUAUAACCAGGAAAGUGUAUUAUAAUAGUAAUUACGAUCUUUAUUUGGCUGAAGCAACCAAUUGGAGGGAUACUUUGAGUUGCGCUAUGGCACCUCGUGGACCUCUUCCUCAACAACUGCCCGCUGUUUGCCGGUAAUUCUUUAUUAUUAUUAUUAUUAUUGACAUGUUCCAGUGUUUCAUUUCGUUAAAACUCAUAUACGAAGCCAACUCAAUUUGCAGAGAUAUAUUCAGAGAAUAUUCAAACAAAAUGGUAAAAUUAGGGCAUACUUUGUUGGAAUUGUUCUCGGAAGCUUUAGGUCUGAACCGCAGUUAUUUGGAAGAUAUUGGGUGCGGUGAGGGACUGUUUGUGAUGGGCCAUUACUACCCACCGUGCCCUGAACCGGACUUGACAUUGGGCACCAGCAGUCACACUGAUUGUGGCUUCUUCACCAUACUUUUACAAGAUCAAAUCGGCGGACUUCAAGUCCGCCAUCAAAAUCAAUGGCUUGAUGUUAAUUCUAUACAUGGAGCUCUUAUUGUAAAUUUGGCCGAUAUGAUGCAGGCAAGUCCACCUUACCUUUAACCUUAAUAUGACAAUUACAGUAUUUUUGUCGGUAUUAAUUAUAAUUAAGGCUUUGAAUAUUCAAUUUUUUCAUAUUUUAAGAUAAGAGUUAUGAUUUUCAUGAAUUUUAAAAUACGUAGUUUGAUAUAUAUUUAACCUUCAUACUUAAGUAUAUGUUAGUUAUGGUUGUAUAAACUUUUCUUAUAUUCCAGUAUAUAGAUUUUGAGACGUUUAUAUAUAAUGUACAUUUUAUUCAAUAGAUUCUAGAUUAUUGUCAUUUUAGAAAGUGAAUACUUUUUAACAUUUUUCUUAUAUCUAUUCUAACUGUUUUUUAACUUUUAUGCAGUUAAUAUCUAAUGACAAAUUUAUUAGUGUUCAUCAUAGAGUGCUUGCUAAUACAAGAGGCCCAAGAGUUUCUGUAGCAAGUUUCUUUAGAACACAUCUUCUACCAGAGAAUGCUUCGAGGCUUUAUGGACCAAUCAAGGAAUUGAUAUCUCAAAAAAACCCUCCAUUUUAUAGGGAAACUACUACCAAAGACUUUGUGUCAAACUACUACUCCAAAGGGCUUGAUUGUAAAACUCUUCAAUACCUUAAGUUAUGAGUUGCUCAUGUACCUAAUUGAACUAUUUUCGAGCUUAUUUCCAUCUUUUAUCGAGUUUUAUGUUUUAAAGUUAAAAUUACUUGAAGUUGUGUUUACAUUAUAAGACAUUCACCAUGGCUUGUUGCACCUUCAUUAGCCUAGUUUGUAUAAACGAUGCCACGUCCUUUGAGUUUUCUCUUGAGGCUUUUUUUUCCUAUUGUCACAAUGCCUUGAUUCUCCAUCAUGCCUUCUCUGUUAAGCUAAAUACCAAAAACAUAAAUCUUUCGUUCUAUUCAUUCAUCAGCAGCUCAUGCAUUUAUACACAAGUCAGAAGUAACGUACUUAACUACUUCAAAUAGACUUCAAAUAACCUAAACCGUUCAACCAACUAUUAUCUAAAUUGUUGCCUUAGCAGUUACUCUAACGUUCUCCUGAUUUUAUUUAAACAUUCAACUUUGACAGUCAACACCAUCAAGAGCACUGGAACGAACUCGCAAGCUUUGUCUAAAAACAGUGAAUUGUUUUGGCGAAAUCAACUUGGUGAGGACAUCAGCAACUUGCUUUGUAGACGGUACAAAAUUGACCUGUAAAACAUCAUCCAGAACCUUCUCAUGAACAAAAUGAUGAUCAAUCUCGACAUGUUUCAUUCUAGCAUGAUGUGUGGGGUUGGCAGCCAUGGUGACUGUAGACAUAUUAUCACACCAGACCACCAAUGUCUGACAUGGUGCCAGACCAAUUUCAUCUACCAGUUGUUUUAUCCACAACAACUCUGACACACAAUUAGCUAAGCUACGAUAUUCUGCUUCAGAUGAAGACCGAGACACAACAGCUUGCUUCUUGGAACACCAAGAAAUUGGAUUGGACCUUAGGUAAACAACAUAUCCUGUGGUUGACCGUCGAUCGUCCACAAAAGCAACCCAGUCAGCAUCAAAAUAACAUACCGGCUCAAACAGUCCAUUCGUGAGAAACAAACCAUGAUCUAUAGUCCCUACAAGAUACCUCAAUACUCGCUUAACAACUUUCCAAUGAGUAUCACUAGGGGAAUUCAUAAACUGACUUAGUUUGUUAACAUAAAAAGCUAAGUCUGGUCAUGUAAUACACAAAUAUUGAAGCAUGCCAACAACACUCCAAUACAAAGGACCAUCAGCAAAUGGUGGACUAUCGUUUGACACAACUAGUUUGGAAGUAACGACCAUGGGCGUAGGCAUGGGCGUUGCACCUAUUAUCCAUGUCUUAUGAAGUAUAUCUAAAACAUACUUCUUUUGACUAAGCACAAUUCCCUUUGCCACAUGCUGUACUUCAAUACCCAAGAAAAAACUAAGUUUACCCAUGCCUUUAAGAGCAAACCUAUUGUGAAGUUGUUGAAUCACUAUGUCUACAUCUGCAACGGAGCUGCCUGUGACAACUAUAUCAUCCACAUCAGUCAUGAGUAAAAGUAGCUGCCCAAACGAAGGAUCAGCUUUCGAUGCCCGAAACCUCAGGUUAUUCACUAGAUACUACUUUCGUGUUUGAAACCAUGCACGAAGAGCCUGCCUUAGUCCAUACAAGGCUUUGUUUAGGCGACACACCAGUUUCUGACCAUUGUCACCAGCUACUUCGAACCUGGGUGGUUGUUCCAUAUAUAUUUCUUCUAUUAACUCCCUAUUAAGAAACGCAUUAUUCACAUCAACUUGUCUCAAUGACUAGCCUUUCAUGACAGCGAUGGAGAAAACCGUUCGUAUAGUUUUUGCUUUAACUAAAGGGCUAAAAGUGUCUCGAAAAUCAAGUCAUGCAUGCUGAUAAAACCCCUUAGCCACCAAACGCGCCUUAUACCUGUCCACUGUCCCAUCAGCCUUCUAUUUCACUUUAAACAGCCAUUUACAACCAAUAAAUUUUCGAUGAACAGGUGGAGAAUAGAGAGACCAUGUCUUGUUUUGAAUAAGCGCUUGUAACUCCUUAUGUACUACGACUUGCCAACAUUCCUUUUACAUUGCAUCAUGUAUGGUAAUAGGAACAUCAUCUGAUGAACAGUCUGUUGCACUUAAGUAUGCUUUGGGUUUAAAAAUACCCGCCUUGCUACGUGUAACCAUUGCAUGUGAAUUAACAGGAGCAGACAGUGGUGGAGGUGACACGUGUGUUGCAACCAAAUCAGACACGUGUGGUGCAACCGAAUCAGAUCACAUGGAGUCAAUACUGUCACUAGUAGAUACUACUGGACUAGCAACUUGAGGCACAUAAAUCGCAUUUAUUAGACCAGUAGAAUUAACUACAGGUACAGGAGCAGUCACAACAGCAUGUGCUGGACGAGCUGGUGGCACGACAAGCAGCCUGAAACUAGACCGUAAGGAUGACACUAGAGGCACUGACUUGGAAUUUAGAGUUUUGAAAGGAAAAUCAGUUUCAUGGAACGUCACAUGGCGUGAGACAUAUAUCCGCCCAUCAUUAGCUUGACAUCAAUAUCCUUUAUGACACGAAGAAUACCCCAAAAAUGUGCAUUGUGUCGACCUAUAUUGCAGCUUGGACAUGUUGUAUGGUUGAAGAUUGAGAAAAAAUAGGCAGCUAAAAACUCUAAACAGUGAAUAUGCUGGUUGUUUCUAAAAUAAUUUCUCAUAUGGCGAAACACCUAAGGGAGAGGAUAGUAGCCGAUUUAUCAAAUGAAUUGCACUACUAAAAGCAUCAUUCCAGUAGUUGACAAGCAUGGACGCGUGAGCCAGCAUAGAGAGACCAGCUUCAAUGAUUUGUCGAUGCUUGUGCUCGACCAGUCCAUUUUGCUCUGAGGUAUAUGGACACGUAACACGCUAAAUAAUUCCCUGUUGAGACAAGUAACUCUUCAACACUUGAAACUCUCUUCCUCCAUCUGUUUGCAAGGCUUUGAAUCUGAACCCAAGCAACCGUUCAACUUGUCGAUGAAAAAUAGGAAAAAUAUUGGAGACAUCGAAAUUUUUCUACAGAAAAUAUACCAAGGUAUAUCUAGAAUAAGCAUCGACAAAGGCAACAUAAUAACGAAAACCAUUUGAGAAAAUCGGGGCUGGUCCCCAAACAUUAGCAACCACUAGUUGUAAUGGCAUAACAUACUCAGACAAAGACAGAUUAAAUGGUUGCUUAUGCUCCUUCUCUAAGUGACAGGCAACGCAACAAUGAAAAUCUUUAUUUGCAUCAAACAUUAUAUUACACUGUCGCAGAGCCUUUUUAAGAGUUCCAUUACGUGGAUAACCCAAUCUAGCAUGCCAAAUACUUAAUGGCGUUGUGAUUGUAGUAUGGAAACAUUAAGCUGAGUCAGAAGACACCAUUGUUGAUGCGUAAUUACUCAAGCUUAACUUGUACAGCCCAUCAUGCACCGAGCCUCGAAUAAGAACUUUCUUGGUCUUUAGAUCACGAACUAGACACUGUGUAGGAUAAAACUCAAAUAUCACUUGAUUAUCUUUAGUAAAAUUGGAUACAGACAACAGAUUUUUUGUUAUGCCAGGUACAAAUAAUAAGGAUUUCAUGAACAAAUGUCGUGAUCGAGUAAGCAACGAUGAUUGACCAGAGAACAUAACUGGAAGAGCAGAACCAUUGCCAACAUAUACUUUACCUGGACCAUUGUAAUUCACAUCUUCACCUAAAGAAGCAUAAGAAUUUGUGAGAUGAUGAGCAGCACACGAGUCAGGAUACCAUGCACUGUUAGCCACUGUUGUAGGAGUUGCAAGACACGCCUGAGACGAGGGAGUGGCUGAAGAAGAACUGCUAGACUGUGAAGCAUUAUGAACAAAUGGGUUAGACCAGCUGGUAACAGGUAGAGAAGGACAAGACCAACCUAAUGAAGGACCGAAAUUAGUAGAGGGUGCACCAGCCAUGGAAGACAUCCAAGGUAAAACUGGAGAACCAAACCCAAACACACAAAGAUUUGCUUAUGGAGGCAUGGAUGGUCUAUACCCUAUAUUUUUGUAUGAAGAAUCAAAUCGAUAAUAGCAUCUAUCAACAAGAUGACCAGGUUUCCCACAUAGCUGACACUGGACAUGAGAUCCAUACGAGCGACCACAUCCCCGUCCUCGAGCUGGUGUGGUACAUCGAUACUCUGGUACAGAACCAUUGUCAACAAUCAAAGAUUGAGACUGAUGAGAUACUAAAUUAGUUGAACUAGGAGUCUCAAGAACAGUCAUCUGUUGUCUAGCUUUCGCAUCAAGAAGUAUAGUAGUGACCCCCUGCACAUUGUAAGGUACCUGGCUAGCAGUAACAAUUGUAAUCACUGAUUCAUAUUCUGGUGACAGUCCAUUAAGAAUAAUAGUAACGUGCUCAUGAUCACUGAUAACCUCUCCACAGCUAGCCAAGUUGUCGCAAUACCCCUUGACCUUCAUUAAAAAAUCUUUCAUAGAAAGAUCACCUUUUUUCUGAUAAUGCAGCGCUCGUCUGUAAAACAUUAACCUAGACAUGGUUUUGCUGCCAUACAAAGUAAUAGCAGUCCAAAUUUGGGCACUAGUAUCCAACCCUAUAAGAUGAGGAAGAACAGCAGUACUUACAGAUGAGAGAAGCCACGAGGCCAGCGCACUAUCUUAUUGUUCGAACUGAGCAAACUCAAGAUUCUCCUACAAAACACCAUCAUCAUCCGUAACCUAUCGAGGAGGAGGAAUAGUGCGCAAGUCAAGAAAAUGCUGAAGCUUGUACAUUUUGAUUGCCAAAAGCACUUGCUGACACUACAAUAGGUAAUUAUUAUCAUUAAGCAACACUCUGACUCUCUUAGUCGAAAAGAAACGACUAUCUACAACACCAUCAGAGAAACUCAAAGCCACUACUGGUGUAGUGGAUUGCACAGCAGAUGAACUAGAAGGCAAGGCCUUUAAAAAAAAACUCAAGAUACUAACCCCAGGAAAAAAAUGGAACAACUGAUACCAUGUUAAGCUGAAUACCAAAAACAUAAAUCUUUCAUUCUACUCAUUCAUCAGCAGCUCAUGCAUUUAUACACAAGUUAGAAAUAAUGUACUUUACUACUUCAACAAACUUUAACUAACCUAAACCAUUCAACCAACUAUUAUCUAAACAGUUGUUUUAGCAGUUACUCUAACAUUCUCUUCAUUACCAAAUAAUGCCUCUAGAUCCCAAGCUUCUUCAUUGUUGGAAGUAAUAAUAUUACUUUCCUUAGGAUUUUUCUCCGACCAGCAAGCUCUUGCCAUGUAGCCCUUUUCCCACAAUUAUAAAAAUUUCCUUCAAAAUUUUUAUUGUUGUUGUGGUUGUUCAAAACUCCCCCUUCAUGAAUGCUAAUUUUUCCUUGAUAACCUUUUGACUUGUCAUCAUAUUUCCUGGACCCGCCAAUGUCAUGCAGUUUAAAUUUCCUUUCGCCAUUGCUAACACAGGGUGCCACUUCUUCAUUCUUUAGCAAGACUCCUCCAAUUUGUUUAGCUAAUGUUUUUUUACCAACUAACAAAUUUUCAAAUUCAACAAGUGAUGGUUGAUUUUUACCAUCCUUGUAUAGCACCAACAAAACUCAUGUAUUCUAGCUUCAACUAAUGAAUGAUGAUUCAUUUCAUUCUAGCAUCAUUGAUAGAAGCUUCAAGAUCCAACUCAGAAUUCUCUCGACAUAACGUCUUUACUUUGUGGAAAUAUUGUGUUAUUAACAUAUUUCUUUGUGCCACUAACAACAUUUCACUAUUUAGAAGUUGGAGCUUUAUAUUAUUUUUUUAGAAAACGACUUGGUGAGUGUAUCCCAAGCUCCUUCGGAGUUUUGGCAUCACAUAUGUCCUCUAACACAUCCUCUUCGACUGUUGUUUUUAAGACGAACAUUACCUCACCAGCUUUUAUUUUCCCAUUUUCUUAGUGUGUCACUUGUAUCCUCGGCUGCCAGUUGUGUCACUUCAUUAUCGUCAACAACCUCUCAAAGGUCUUGUCGUUGCAUAUAAGACAUUAUGCAAGUUGACCAAGUAUUGUACUUGUUUUUAUUAAGCUUCUUCAUUCUGACAACAACUUGUAAGUCUGUCGUCGUAUCAACAAAUCAUUCUCACUAUGGAAUACCUACAUUUAUAGUGAAAGUAGUUUGUGAACAAUGAGGCAGGUAAGUUCCCAAGAAAGAGAGGUCAGUCACGAUGGUCAAUUUUAAGUAUUGAAUCUUUCCUUAGCCAGAACCUUUCCUAGACAUGCAAUUUCACACUACCACACUUCCCUCCAACAACUAAGAAACCAAGGAUAAUCUUCAAGUAGCUAUGAAAUUUCUUUUCUAAUGUGGAAUAUCAAACGAUAUUGCAACCACGAAGCAUACUAAAAGAAUUUUCACUCCUCCAACCAAGCUUUGAUGUUCAUUGUAGAACACUCACUCCCAUGACACCACUAAACUAAUAUUUAACUACACCUCCCAACACUCCAAAAUAAGAAAAUAAAGUAGGAAUUAUAAGAAACCAAAUAGAAAACUUGAUAUUUGGUUUUGGUGCAAAUAAUACUUACAACAUAGGUCUUUAUAUGCCCAAAGUCCCUUUUCUCUUGUUUUUUAAGCAAUGUGAGAUAUGGUAUUUUUAUAGACUUGAAUAAUCAUAUUGUCUUUUGGUCCCAAGUGACAUAGGAUUCAUUCCUAAGACUAAGUUUAACUUUAAUAACUGAAAACUAAACACAAAAGUAACUUUGUACAAUAAUAAACACUAACAAGAAAUAUAAAAUUAACUAAUAAUCCCCCCCAAAUAGUAUUUAUGAUUUGGUUUUAAAAUUUUUAAUUUUACUAUUUAAAUUUUAUUUAAAAAUGUACUUUAAAACAUAUAAAUAUUUGAAUUAAUUUUUAUAUUAAAACAUAUAAAUAUUUCAUAUAUUAAUAUUAACGUAUUUAAUAUAAUUAAGAUUAUAUAAAAUUUAAGUUGGUGACGAAACAAGAAGGCAAUCUAAUUAUAUUAUUAACUGUAAAUUUCAUUUUCAUCUAUAUUCAUAUCUAAAUUUAUACAUAUAUAAUAUGAAAAAUAUAUAGAAAUGAAAAUUAUUAAAUUAUUUAAUAAUAAUUAAUUUGAAUUAAUAUAGUAAAUUCAAAAUUAUGUUUAUAAAUUUAAAAUUUUUAAAAUUUUAUAAUAUUUAUUUUGAUUUCAUUAUUUUUUGUCAGCAAUAUUAUUUAAUGGAUAAAUUUUCUAUAAAAAAUUCCCUGAUCAUAAUAGUACGAACCAAUUUACACCUGCAAAAGAAUCUAUAACUUAAAACUUUUUUUACCAUAAGUUAAUAAACAACACCUUAAUAUUAUUAGCUCAUAAUCACCUAUAUAUAUAUAUAUAUAUAUAUAUAUAUAUAUAUAUAUGUAUGUAUAAAUUAAAUAAUCCAAAAUAUUUUUUAAACAUACGAGAACAAUUAACAUCCAAUGAACAGAAAAAGGGAUAAAAUAUGUGAACCAAAUUCAACCAAGGACUAAAUGAAAUUACGUGCUCAACGAGUGAACUGAAAUGAACUAAGGAUUAAACAGUAAAAUUGUCAAACUUUGAUGGGCCCAAACCGAAAAUAAGCCAUGAACUUCAAAAUAUACAUAUCCCCACAUGUUUGAUUCAAAAUAGGCAGCAACUUUUCUCCAAUCCCAUUUCACUAAAAUAUAAUUAAGAGUUAACUUCAUCAUUAGUCACUACAUUAUAGAUAAGUAUUCGUUUUAGUCACUUACUAAAAAAAGUUACAAUUUAGUCACUGAAUUUUUUGAAAAUCUUCUUUUAAGUCACUGAACAAUUGAAAAGUUUUUAUUUAAGUCACUAUGUUAUUAAGUUUUUUGAAUAAAAAAGUUCUUGCACUAAGCUCCAAGUGACAAUUCGACGUUGGUGUCGGGACCUUGCCAACAGAAUUCUCCCAAAUUUGUCUAGCAGCAUUGGUGUCGUGACUCUGGUCCUGAUGUCGCGAUUCUGGUCCUGAUGUAGCGACUUUAGCUCCUUGAAUAAUUGGGAUCUUUCUACGGUGGUGAGUGUCCUCGAUGUCACAACUUUAGCAUCAUAGUGUCGUGACCUUACCACUUGCUGUUGCAACACUCAAACAUUGGUGUCACAAUUUUGUUUUUCAAUUGGUUUGCUCAUUUUUUAUUAGACUAAAGACAUGUUUAGGUUAGUGUAGUAAUAUAAGUUGUCUUUUUGUAUUACGAUCCAACCAUGUAAUAUCGCUUAGUAUUAGUUAAACAUUAGACAACUAAUGAACUAAUAUUUGCUUCUAUUUUGCUUUCCAUGCAAAAACCACAUGAUGACCAUAUACAAAGGGUAUUAAUGUAACCAUGAAUAAUUUUAUUAGCCAUUGUAAUACCCCGAAAAUUUCAACAGUAAGGAAAAUAAGAUAAUAUCUCUGAUAUAGUAAAAUAAGGAAAUAAAGUGAUAAAAAGGGUAAUUUUGAGUUAUGUCAACAUUGAGAAGUAUAUUAUGACAUAUUAAUUCAAGAAAGGAUUAAAUCACAAAAGUGAGAAAAGUUUUGUUUCCCAAGAGUAAAUACUCAAAAUUUGAGGGGUUAAAGUGUAAAUACAAAAAAGUUGAAGGACCAAAGGUGUAAAUAUUUUAAGGGUGAAAUGAUCUAGAAACUAAGGAAAAUGGAUGGAUUAGAACCAAAUUAAAAAAUGUGAAGAAUUUUGAGUGACUAAAUCAUAAUUUUACCAAAUUAAAUGAUGACUCAAUGAUGAAAUUUUAAAAGAUUAUAAAGGGCAAAAUGGUCAAUUAGAGAGAGAGAGAGAGAACUCUAGAAGGUAAUGAUGAUGUUGGUGAUAUUUUUAUUAAUUAAUUAGAUAAAUGUUAUUUAAUUAAUAUUUUAUUAAGAUUUUUAGUAUUAUUUUAUUAUUAAAUGAUUAAUAAAAAAGGGAGGAAAGAUGAAGAGAAUUCAUCAUCUUUUCCAUGCAACCAACGUGAGAAGAGAGGAAAAGAAAGAAAUUUUCCUUUCUUUACAAUUUGGUCGUUUUACCAAAAAUUCACUAUUUUCACUUAGAAAUCAAAAGAAUCUUCAUAGCUUCCAAGAGAGAAAAAUAAUAAGGAGACAAUAGGGAGCUAGAAUAUCAAGUUAGAUUCAAGAAAUAGAAUCUGAAGGAGAGAGAAAAUCAAGUUAAAGAUCGAAAUCAAUAGCACAAGAUAAGAACAUCAAGAUUUCAAUAUAUUUUUGAGUUUUAUAUUAUUGAAAAAGUAGGAAAUUAAUGUUAUAGUAGAGUUUUCUUAUAUAAGGUCUUGUGUUCUUGAUAUAUUAGUGCAGGGAAAUAAGUGAAAGUGAUGAGAAAUAUUAUAGAGAAAGGGAAUAAGGGAGUUAUAAACUUAGUAAUCAAUAUCUUGCACUAAAAUAGUUUUGGAUAGCAGCAGUAGGUUAACUUUGGAAAAUCACUAUAAAUCUUGGAAAUUGAAUUAGAGAAUGAAAAAAAUAUGGAAUAGAAGAAACGAUGUAAUUAAUGGAAUUGUAAAUCAUGAGAUAUAAUACAUUUUGUGAGACAAGGUCAGAAUGAAUUUAGGUUCCCCUGUUCUGACUUUGGAAAAUCAUAAAAAAUUGAAUAAAAAUAAUUAGAGGCUUAAAUUUAUAUUUUUAAAAUCCUGAAUGAGUCUAUUUUCAAUAGAAACAAACGAGAACAUCAUCUAAAUUCUGUACAAAGAGAUAAUUAAUUUUUAGUGAAGAGGGGUCAAAACUGUCAAACAGUGAAACAGGGGAAACUUUAAAGAAUAAAAUCUAUUAUUGGAUAAACCAAAAAUUCUUAAAAUUUUAUGGAAAGAAUAUAUGUGAGUCUAGUUUCAGAUAAAAUUUACGGAUCUUAAUUCAGAGUUUUGUAGCUUAAGAUAUAAUUAAUUUAGUGACUAUGACUCAAGUAAAAAGCUUGUUAUGAGUAAACAAGUAAAUAGUGGUAUUAUGUAUAUAUCAAGAAUGUGAAAUGGAGUGGAGGAGGAGGAAAAAUAUAUGUGAAUAUUCAGCUAAUAUGAUUUUAUUUUAAAAUAGCUAAUUUACAUGUUUUAGAUUCAGGGACUAAAUUAAAUAAAAGUGUAAUUUUAAGUGUAAUUUUGUAAAAAUGUCAAAAAUGACCAAAUUGUAUGAAAUGAAUUUUUUUAUUAUAAAUUGAAUGAAAUAUUAAUUUAGAUCAAGAUUGGGUGGAAAUUCGAGGAAAUGAAAAUUACCAAAAUGUCCUUGAAUUUUGGUAUUUCUGCAAUUUAGCCCGAUAAGUUCAUGUAACUUGAAUUAUAUUCUUAAAUGCUUGAAAUGUUGUUAUUGAUGUGAAUAUGAUUUGAAUGUUCAUUGUAUGAAAAUUGAUGAAACAUUGAUAUAUUUGAUAAAAAGGGGAAGAAAUCCCGGUUGAAUGGAAGGAAAAUUCGAUGGAUCUCUGAAAAGGAAUUGACGGUAAAAAGGAUCUAGCCCGGACGGGUGAUCCUAUCCUAAUAUAGCACUCCCGAAGAAUAUGUGGAAAAUGGAUUUAGCCCGAACGGGUAAUCUGAAUUAGGUUUUGAAUUUAGCCUGGACUGGUAAUUCAGAUCCAAGCUCAUUAGAGUAAUUGUCAUUGCAGGGGAUUUAGCCUGGACUGGUAAUCCCGCUGUAAGGAUAAGGUUCGCGGGUGUGUGCUUUUUGAAAUGAAAAUGUGCGCACAUGAAUAUGAAUUAACGGACCUAGAUUUGCACACUAAAACUGUACCUCUGAAAAUCCAUCGAAUUUUUGAGAAAUUCAACGGGAUUAAAAUGGAAAAUAAUAAGGGUAAUGAAAAAACAUGGAAUUGAAUUAUUAUUGGAAAUAUAUUAUCGAAUUUAAUACCCAGUUUCGAUUGAACGCAGGAUUGAGUACAAUCGUUCUAUGCCAAAGGAUGAAUUGACGGAUAAGACCAUAACUGAGUUAUGGCAUUACAAAUGUAAAGGAUGAAUUGACGGAAAAUUACCCAAGUAAACCGAGGUUCAGCAUUUGUUGCGGACUUUCGUGUUUACUAUUUGUUUAGCUCUCAUGAGCUUAAGUUUAGCAUUCGGGCUUCUAAAAAAGAUGUACUCAUAUCCGUAAGUCGUUCUUCGAUACAGAAAGAAACGGUAAAAGACUUAUGUGGUUGAAUUGAAAGAUUUAUAGAUUAUUAUUGGUAUUGAUCUAAAAUAAAAGUAACCAUUGAUAUUUAAAUGAUAUAACGGGUAAAGUUCUGAAGUGAGAUAACAUGAGUUUGAAAUGAACUAUUACCGGUAUGUACGCGAAAUUCAUGAAAAUUAUGGUACAUGAAAUAUCGAAAUAAUGAAAUGAAUGAUAUAUACCUAUGAAGAAAUGAUAAGAGAAUGAUAUGUAUCAUGACAUGUAAAUGUAUGAUUAUCUUUAAUAUGUUGAUACAAGAAAAUUAUGCAUGAUGGGUUUAUAUGUAAUGUGUGCAAGUACAUUAACUAGUGUUGUUGCUUGAUGCUUAGGCAAGUGCUAAGCUAUUGGUUGAAUAGUAAUAUGAUUAUUUAAUGGAAGCAUUGAAUUGAUAAGUAUUUGAGGGAAAAUAUGCUAGUGUUCAUGAAAAAGUGGUAUGGUUUAAAUUAUGAAAUGACUUAUCAUGUGAUCAAUUCGGAAAAGGCUUUAGUUAAAUGCACUAGCUUGUGACUAUGAUUAAAUGAUAUGUUUAUGACUUGUGUGUCACGCAUAUGGAAUAAGUGUUGAAAUUAAAGAAAUGCAAAUGAAAAUAAAGAAAUUAUGAAGAGUUAAAGUUAUAUAAAGUCCUACUAAGCUUGGGAUAAUAUGUAAGUGAUACUGUGAAUUUAUUCACCUUGUGAGUUGAUGAAUAUAGCUUCAUGAGUACUAUGGUAUUAAUAUUGGAUUAUUCUUGAUAUGUAUAGAUUUCAUAUUUUAAAUGAACUAAUAUGAUUAAAGACUACACGAGCUUACUAAGCAUCCAUUGCUUACGUAUUUAUUUUUUUUAUUUACCUUACAGAUUAUCGAAAGCUCGAUUGGGUUGGAAGCUUGUCAGAUAUAUAUCACACUAUCCAUUGGUUCUAUCGGUAAUUUUAGAUGAUUUGAUUUUGGUUAUAAUGUCAUGUAUAAGUUAAUUUGGCCAACGUUGGCUCAUUAAUGUUUUGAUUUUGGUUGGUUUCAAAUAUGAAUGCUAGAAGAAAUGAAAUGUCUGAAAAUUAAUUUGUAAAUUUUAGUAAUCCUCUGUAACCCUAUUCUGGCGACGGAUUUGGGUUAGGGGUGUUACAACCAAUCUGUUCGAAAAUAUUACAAGUGUACAUAGACGAAAAUACUACACUUAGGACACCAGAUCCAUUAAAAUACUACACUUAGGGCACCAGAUCCAUCGGAAUAUGAUGCUUUCUAAACCCCGUACAUAAGUUUGAGAUCAUAAUCAUAGAAAAAGAAAAAGAGGUUCACCAGUAUAAUCAACUUAUUCUUUUUUUUCAGUUAAAGUAGUAUGCUUAACCUCAUUCUCCCAAUUCUAUGACAGAUUUGGGUGCAAGAAUACUUCUAGGGGGAGGAGUCACUGUGAUAGUGGAGAAAAGCUGAAAUGCAACUCGGGGGUGACAACGGUUGUUGUGAUUAAAGAAAUCAUUAAUAACUAUAACCAUUUUCGCCUCGACUUGAGUUUUAGCUUUUUCUCCACCGUCAUAGUCACUCUUUCUUGAAAGUUUUCUUACCCCCACCUUUGACAUAGAUUUCGGACGAUGAGGUUAAAGAUACUACUUUGAUGGAUUAAAAGAAUAAGUUAAUAAUAUUUGUGAGCCUCUUUUUUUUCUAUGAUUAUGAUCUCAAACUUAUGUAUGGGGUUUAUAAAGUAUCCUCUUCUGGUGGUAGGAAACUUGAACCCACAACUGCAUAACCACCGUCAACUAGGGGCGAGUUAUACUCAAACCCCAUGAUCGCAUAACCACCGUCAACUGAGAGCCCUAGUUAUACUUCUACUUGUGACCGUAUAGCCACCGUGAAUUGGGAGCCCAAGUUGAAAUGCGAUAUCUUCUAAGGUGAUGGUGCACUCUCUAUAGGGCAAAUGAAAUGUGUGGGUCUUCGAGCGCCAUCACAUUACUGUGAACUCAAACAUACUUUAAAAUUAUCACAAUUUCUCCCUAAAACAUAAAUACAAAUAAAUAUUUUUCCCCAAAUUUUUAACUAUUGAGUAUCCUCAUAUUUCAGUCAAAUUUGAGAGAUGAUCUCUUAAUUAAACUCUGUUUAUUUCUUUCAAUUGAACUCUGAUUAGACUAGAUUAUUUUAUUAUUAUUGAACCUACGAAUUUAGCCUAUAAGUAGGCUCUUUUACAACCUUAGAAAACACACCCAUUAAAUAUUAGAACUCACAACACUUCUAGAGAAAUUUGUGUUUAUGUUUUGAGGGUUCUUUGUUUCGGGUUUCGGGGUUUAAUUUUUAUCUCCAUUUUUUUGUACUAUUCGUUCUUUUUCCAUUAUAGUAAGAUUAUCUUUGCCGGUCCUUUUUUAUCCUAUUUGGAAGGGUUUUUCAACUUUAAAUUUGUGUGUUCAAUUUCUCAAUUUCUUCUACUAUUUUUAUUUGUUUGUUGCUUAAUCGGGUUAAUCCCCAAGAAGUGAUAUUAGAGCUAGUUUAAUUUUUGUAGAUUAGCCUGUUCAAAGAUUUUAGCAACAAGUUUUGACAUUGAGAAGUUCGAUAAUGUCACAAAUUUCAAUUUGUGGCAAGUUUAUGGCAAUUCUAGUUCAGACCGAUCUUAAAAAGGUCGUUAUAAAAAAGCUUUAGAAUCUAAAUUAGACAGAAUGGGAAGAGCUUGAUGAAAAGACCCUAUAUGCAAUCCAAUUGUACCUCUUGAAUAGGGUAUUGCAGGAGGUAUUGAUAGAUAAAAUCUCAUCCGCCUUAUGGAAAAGGUUAGGAACUUUUUAUGCGACUAAGUCUCUGGCUAACCAUUUAGUGUUGAAAUAACGUUUAUUUACGUUUUUCAUGAAUGAAUGUGAGAUUAUUGGAGAUCACAUUAGUCAAUUUAUUACUCUUUUGAAUAGUUUAAAAAAUGUUGAGGUUAAGAUUAACAAUAAAGAUCAGGCUAUGCUAUUAUUGUGCUAUUUACCCUCUUCAUACAAAUCUUUUAGGGAGACCCUAAUUUAUGGCAGAGACAAACUUUCGUUCGAGGAUGUAAAGGAUCAUUUGUUGAGUAAAUACAAACUCAACAAUGAGUUUAGUUCGAAUAGCAAGGCAGAUAGACAAGCUUCUAUUUUGGUAGCAUCAAAGAAGCAAGACAAAAGGUGUCGCUAUUGUAAGAAGUUAAGUUAUGUCAAAGCAGACUAUUAUAAACUGUGAAAUAAAAGGGCUGUUGAGAGUAAGAAGGAAGAUGUAGUCGGUGCUAAUUUGGUCGAUGAAAGUGGUGAUGAUUUCUUGUUAGUGUCAAAGAGCAAUAGCUCUAAGCUUACAUCCGAGUGGAUCCUAGAUUCGGGAUGUUCUUUCUACAUGUGUCCCAGCAUAGAAUGGUUCUCCAUAUAUAGGUCGGUUGAAGGUGGACAUGUGCACAUACGAAACAAUUCAUCCAGUAAAGUAAUUGGUAUUGGUACUUUUAAAAUUAGGAUGCAUGAUGAGACGAUUAGGACACUCUCAGAUGUCAGGUAUGUACCUGAUUUACGAAAGAAUCUCAUCUUAUUGAGCAUUUUUUACACAAAAGGUUGAAAAAUCAACAUUGAGUCGAGCGAUAUUAAGAUGUCUCCUAGGGCUCUCGUUUUGUUAAAAGGUAAAAGGACCGAUGGCCUUUAUAUUCUGGAAGGUUCUAUAGUGGCCAGUGAAAUCGAGCGUCCUUCAUCCAUUACAGAGUCGAAGUCAACUCGUUUGGAGCGGAGACAACUUGGUCAUAGGAGGGAAAAAGGUUUGACUGUUUCAUUGAACAGAGGUGCUCUUUUGGAUGAAUGUUUGAAAAGUUAAGGCAUUGUGUUCAUGAAAAUCAAACCUGGGUUAAUUUUAAUUUGGUAGUGCACAAGUCAAAGGCUAGAAGUCUUCCAGCUUCCAAGCACAAAUUCAACUCAAUUAAUUCUCUGCAUAGUUCAAGUUAGGCCUGUGGCGUGCUUUGGCAAAGAUUGCGUUGUGGAAAUAUGAGUCAAGGUGGAGAUUUGUUGAGUAUGUCUCAUAUUUCAGUCAAAUUUGAGAGAUAAUCUCUCAAUUAAACUCCAUUUACUUGUUUCAGUCGAACUCUGAUCAGUCUCAAUUAUUUUAUUAUUAUUUGACCUGCAAAUUUAGCCUAUAAAUACACUCCUUUACAACAUUAGAAAACACACCCAUUAAAUAUUAGAACUCACAACACUUUUGGAGAAUUUUGUGUUUAUGUUUUGAGGGUUCUUUAUUUUUGGGUUUCGAGGUUUAGUUUUUAUCUCCAUAUUUUGUACUAUUCGUUCUUUUGUCAUUAUAGUAAAAUUAUCUUUACCCGUGGUUCUUUUAUCUUCUUUGGAGGGGUUUUUCCAUGUUAAAUUUUUGUGUUUAAUUUCUUAAUUUCUUCCGCUAUUUUUAUUUGUUCAUUGCUUAAUCGGAUCGAUCCCCAACACCAACACCCAACACAAAAAAAAAUUUGGAAGGAAGAAAACGCGACCUGCUGAAUGCGUAUUCUGUUUCUCUCUCCAAAAUCGACCUAUUCCCUUAAAUUUGAGAAAAAUUACCUAAAUCCCUAAUUAAGUUUUGAAAAACGGCAUUUUCUGCUAAUUUUCCCUUCAAAAUGAUGUUUAUAAAUUUUUUAAAUUUUAUAAUAUUUAUUUUGAUGCCAUUAUUUUUUUUAGCAUUAUCAUUUAUAAUAUUAUUAAAUGAACAAGUUUUCUAGAAACAAUUCCCUCAAUCAUAAUAAUACGAACCAGUUGACACAAACAAGAGAAUCUAUAGCUUAGAAUUUUUUUUACCUUGAGUUAAUAAACAACUCCUUAAUAUUAUUAGCUCAUAAUCACCUAUAUAUAUGUAAAAAUUAAAAAUUAUGUAAACACAAGAGAACAAUUAACAUCCAUUGAGCAGAAAAAAGGAUAAAAUAUGUGAACCAAAUUCAAGGAAGGACGAAAUGAAAGUAUGUGCUCAACGAGUGAACUGAAACAAAUUGAACGAUAAAAUUAUGAUGAGCCCAAAAAUUAUUUAGUUGUUGGAUGACAUCUCUUCCAUUCUAACACCGAGUCCACUUUGUAAGACCCAAUUAUUUCCCAACCCAUAAAUAAAACCAAUAUAAAUGCAAAAAAAAUAAGUCCAUUUACAUAAAAAAAUUUCCAAAUUACAAUUACCCAAAACCCAAAACCCAAACCUAAACUAUCAACCCAAUUACCCUAGCCCGGACAGGCCCAAAAUCAACCCAACUUCCAGCCAAAGAAAGACCAGAAAACCCUAGCAUUCAACCUCAGCUGCCGCACGCAGCAUGAGGCCAAGUCCCUCCAUGCGUUCUGAGCCCCUGCCUCCACGUGCGCCUCCGUACACGCCACGUCCACCUCCUCCGUAAGUCGUACCUACAAAUAGGAUGAAAACAACGCAACAAAGAAAGAGAAAAACAUUGUAUUUUUUAUUUCAUCUGUAUUUUUUUGAAUAUUUUGCUAUAAAAAAACAAACAGAAAGCCAUUGUUUUUGUUUUACGGGGACAGACGAAAAGCAAUAGAGAAAUAAAUUUUUUUUCAAAAACCAGUAAAGAACAAAUCAUUUCAGGUGGUUUUUUGACUUCGUUUUAUUAUUAUUAUUCUUUCGUUUUCUUUGAUUUGUUUUCAUUUUAGAUGCAAAAAAUAUAAAAUAAAAAGGGUGAGAUUACCUUUGUGUGCGCCAUCUAAAUCUCUGCUUGCUCCGUCCCAAAUCAGAGCUGAAAGUGGAGGGUCUAGAGUCUAUGCGGCGGCGAGAAAAAAACACAGAAGUGGCUACUGGUUUUAGGGUUUAAAAGGCUAUUUAAAGUAGGGAAAACAACACCGUUUAGGGCUUGUGUCAAUGGCUCUAAAACGGUGCUGUAUUGAGCCAUACUCGAUGACCCGACCCAAAUGAGACUAGAUCCACGCGUUUUGGCAGGGGGAGGGAUAUUUGCGCAUCAAGCCCUUUUGCUUUUGUGCCGUAGUUCAAUCUAGUGUUUUUUUUUGUUUUGUUACUUUAAUUUUGGACAUACGAUUUUCUGCUGAUUGCAUUUCGAUCCCUAUUGGAACGCAGCAUUUUGGAAGGCAGGGAUUAAUUUCCCUUUUGACCGCUCUCUGUUAUGCGCGUGUUCAAUGGGGUUCGCAUCUUUGUAUUUAUUUCGAAUUGGCUCUCAAAUUUCAAUUUUGAUUUCAAAAUUAGUCUUUCUGUUGUUUUUGUACUGUUGCUGUUGUUAUUAUUAUUAUUAUUAUUAUAAUUAUUAUUACUCUUAUUUCUUCUUUAUAUUUUAGAUUAUGUCUUAAUUCUAGCUUAGUCUUUAAUAGCAUAAUUUUAAAUCGAAUUAGUACUUAUUUUAAUAUAUUUAUUUAUAGCCUAUUUUAAUACUUAGUUUGACAUUACUUUUAAACUUAUUAUUAAUAUAAUUUUAAGAUGUAGUAUGCUAUUAUUUUUAAAUUAUCAUUAACAUGUUUUAAAUUUAUAGCCAAGUAUUUAUUUUGAAAUAAAACCAUACAAAUUUUAAAUAAAAGUUUUUCGGGAUUUCAAAAUGUUGGAUCCUAACUCACUAGAUAUGACAUUUUGCUACCUCGAAUUAAGGAUUUUAAAAAUAAAGGCAAUAUUCGAUAUUUAGGAAUUUCGGGAAAUUGAACCCUAACUUACUGGGUUUUGAUUUUUCAUUUUACCCAAAUAACCAAAUAUCCUUCUCAAAAUGCAUGGGUUCUAAAAAUGUUGCGCCCUAACUUACUGGGUAUGACGUUUUAUUUCUUUGAAAUAAGAGUGUUUUAUUUUCAAUUUAUUCAAGUUAAAAGGAUUGUAUUUUAAAAUCUUUUCAAAAUUUCGACACUAAGACAUUAAACAAUCAAUUUGGUACCAAUUUUGGGCGUUACGAGGGUGCUAACCCUUCCUCAUGCGUAACCGACUCCUGAACCUGUUUUCUCAAAUUUCGCAAACCAAAAUUGUUUUUAAGGUGAGCUGAUCACACCCCAAUAAAAAAUCGGUGGCGACACUAAUUUUUGUUUUUAAAGUCGACAACUAACUUUUGUUUCAAAAAAGUGGUUUCGACACACUUAAGUGAAACUAUUCUUUGUUUGUUUAUUUUCUUUUUACUCUUAUAAUGAUGCGAAAACUAAAAAUUACUUUGUUGUGUAAUAAAUAGAUAUAAUAAUAAGAGAGGUUGGAAGGUUUAGGUAAAUGCAUUCUCAUGAGAUUGAUGGGUUGUAAGAUUUAGGCUAUUUUACCUAAAUAGUCUAAAAAAUAUUAUAUUUAUCAAAAUAACCCAUGUUUAAAAACAAUCACCAAAAUAACCUGAAAUAAACAGUAAAAUGAGGUUGUGGCCUGUGAAUGGCCGGAACCAACUAGUAUUUUAGACACAUGAUUGUCUGAUAAUUGUGUCAGACUUAAAAAAAUGAUUUUUUUGGUUCUGGCCUGUCAAUGGCCGGAACCAGUGUAUUUUUUUUAAAUUGUAUAAUAAUGAUAUACAAAAAUGAAAAAUAAAAAAUAAAAAAAAUUCAAGUUUUGGCCUGUCAAUGGCCGGCACCAAAAUACGAAAAAACUAUAAAAAAAAAUUUUGGUGGUGGCCUGCAAAUGGCGGGCACCACCUUUUUUGGGGGAAUUUUUUUUUUACAUAAAAAAAUUAAAUCAAUAUAAAAGCAAAAAAAAUUAAAAGUCCAUUUACAUAAAAAAAAAUAGUCCAAAUUACAAUUACCCAAAACCCAAACCUAAACUAUCAACCCAAUUACCCUAGCCCAGACAGGCCCAAAAUCAACCCAACUUUCAGCCAAAGAAAGACCAGAAAACCCUAGAAUUCAGCCUCAGCCGCCGUACGCAGCAUGGAGCCAAGUCCCUCCACGUGUGCCAAGCCCCUGCCUCCACGUGCGCCUCCGUACACGCCACGUCCACCGCUUUCGUACGCCGUACUUGCAAAUAAGAUGAAAACAACGCAGCAGAGAAAGAGAAAAACAUUGUAUUUUUUAUUUUAUCUGCAUUUUUUCAAAUAUUUGGCUAAAAAAAAAACAAAAAGCCAUUGUAUUUUUUUACGGGGACGGACGAAAAGAAAUAGAGAAAUAAAAAAAUUUUCAAAAACCAGUAAGGAACAGAUCUUUUUAGGUGGUUUUCCGACUUCGUUUUAUUAUUAUUAUUAUUAUUAUUAUUAUUAUUAUUAUUAUUGUUAUUAUUAUUAUUAUUAUUAUUAUUAUUAUUAUUAUUUCUUUCAUUUUCUUUGAUUUGUUUUCAUUUUAGAUGCGAAAAAUAUAAAAGAAAAAGGGUGAAAUUACCUUUGUGUGCGCUAUCUAAAUCUCUGCUUGCUCCGUCCCAAAUCAGAGCUGAAAGUGGAGGGUCUAGAGUCUGUGCGGCGGCGAGAAAAAACACAGAAGUGGCUACUAGUUUUAGGGUUUAAAAGGGGCUAUUUAAAGUAGGGAAAACGGCACCGUUUAGGGCCUGUGUCAAUGGCUAUAAAAUGGUGCCGUAUUGAGUCAUACUCGAUGACCCGACCCAAAUGCGACUAGAUCCGCGCGUUUUGACAGGGGAAGGGAUAUUUGCGCAUCAAGUCCUUUUGCUUUUGUGUCGUAGUUGAAUCUAGUUUUUUUUUUGUUUUGUUACUUUAAUUUUGGCCAUACAAUUUUCUGCUGAUUUCAUUUCAAUCCCUAUUGGAACGCAGCAUUUUGGAGGGCAGGGAUUAAUUUCCCUUUUGACCGCUCUCUGUUAUGCGCGUGUUCAAUGGGGUUCGCAUCUUUGUAUUUAUUUCAAUUUGGCUCUCAAAUUUCAAUUUUGAUUUCAAAAUUAGUCUUUCUGUUGUUUUUGUACUGUUGUUGUUGUUAUUAUUAUUAUUAUUAUUAUAAUUAUUAUUACUCUUAUUUCUUCUUUAUAUUUUAGAUUAUGUCUUAAUUCUAGCUUGGUCUUUAAUAGCAUAAUUUUAAAUCGAAUUAGUACUUAUUUUAAUAUAUUUAUGUAUAGCCUAUUUUAAUACUUAGUUUGACAUUACUUUUAAACUUAUUAUUAAUAUAAUUUUAAGAUGUAGUAUGCUAUUAUUUUUAAAUUAUCAUUAACAUGUUUUAAAUUUAUCAUGCAUUAUUUUUUAGUCUAUUAUAUACUUUUAUUUCCAAACUUAACAUGUUAUUAUUUGAUUCAUUAUUUAUUAAUAUAUAUUUUUUAUAAGAAUUUGAUAUAAUUUGUAUAUAUUUUAAUGUUUUGUUUUAGGUUAUAUCUUAAAACUCAUUUUUAUUUCCAUACAUUUUUAAAAGUGCUCAUUUUUCAAGAUUCUCGAGAGGAUUGUGCCCUAACUUACUGGGCUUCAAUUCUUUACAAUAAAUUUAGAUAGCCAAGAUUUAUUUUGAAAUAAAACCAUACAAAUUUUAAAUUUAUUCAAGUUAAAAGGAUUGUAUUUUAAAAUCUUUUCAAAAUUUCGACACUAAGACAUUAAACAAUCAAUUUGGUACCAAUUUUGGGCGUUACGAGGGUGCUAACCCUUCCUCAUGCGUAACCGACUCCUGAACCUGUUUUCUCAAAUUUCGCAGACCAAAAUCGUUUUUAAGGUGAGCUGAUCACACCCCAAUAAAAGAUCGGUGGCGACACUAAUUUUUGUUUUUAAAGUCGACAACUAACUUUUGUUUCAAAAAAGUGGUUUCGACACACUUAAGUGAAACUAUUCUUUGUUUGUUUAUUUUCUUUUUACUCUUAUAAUGAUGCGAAAACUAAAAAUUACUUUGUUGUGUAAUAAAUAGAUAUAAUAAUAAGAGAGGUUGGAAGGUUUAGGUAAAUGCAUUCUCAUGAGAUUGAUGGGUUGUAAGAUUUAGGCUAUUUUACCUAAAUAGUCUAAAAAUAUAUUAUAUUUAUCAAAAUAACCCAGGUUUAAAAACAAUCACCAAAAUAACCUGAAAUAAACAGUAAAAUGAGAGUGUAUCCUGUCAAUGGUCGGAACCAACUUGUAUUUUAGACCCAUGAUUGUCUGAUAAGUGGGUCGCAGUCACAAUGACGGAGCCUGCUUUCGGAUACCACCAUUGAGGGGCAUUGGAACACUUUGAUCUCGAAUCAAGCCCCGCAGGUGAGACCAUUGUUGAACAAUGCUGUGCNNNNNNNNNNNNNNNNNNNNNNNNNNNNNNNNNNNNNNNNNNNNNNNNNNNNNNNNNNNNNNNNNNNNNNNNNNNNNNNNNNNNNNNNNNNNNNNNNNNNNNNNNNNNNNNNNNNNNNNNNNNNNNNNNNNNNNNNNNNNNNNNNNNNNNNNNNNNNNNNNNNNNNNNNNNNNNNNNNNNNNNNNNNNNNUGGGAUGAAAUAGGAAGAGAAAUGAUUGAUGAAGAGGGUCAGAAAGAGUCAGAAAAGAGAUAGAAAAAAUGACAGGUAUAAGUAUAACGAAAAAGUAAUAAAAAAAAUUUGUGGUGGCCUGCCAAUGGCCAGCACCACCUUAUUGGGGGAAAGUUUUUUAAUUUUUCGUGUCAAUAACAGGUAUCAGUAUAACAAAAAAGUAAAAAAAAUUCCCCAAACAAGGUGGUGUCGGCCAUUGGCAGGCCACCACCAAAAAUUUUUUUUUUACUUUUUUCGUAUUCUGGUGCCGGCCAUUGACAAACUAAAACUUGAAAAAAAAAUUUCCGUGUACAGGAGUGCCGACCAUUGACAGGCCAGCACCCAAAAUUUUUUUUAUUUUUUUUCUUUUUUGUAUAUCAGUAUUAUACAAUUUAAAAAAAAUACACUGGUUCCGGCCAUUUACAAGCCAUAACCAAAAAAAUCAUUUUUUUAAGUCUGACACAUUUAUCAGGCAAUUAUGGGUCCAAAAUACGAGUUGGUUCCGGCCAUUGACAGGCCACAACCCCAUUUUACUGUUCAUUUCAAGUUAUUUUGGUGAUUAUUUUUAAACCUAGGUUAUUUUUGUAAAUAUAAUAUUUUUUUGGACUAUUUAGGUAAAAUAGCCACCCUUUUAAUUAAAUAAAAAUUACAUUUUUAGUCUCUUCUAAAAUUAGUAAAUCAUUUUUUAAGGACACAUAAAGUGAAAUAAAUUGAAUCUUAAAUGAGUUAAAAUGUUUUUAGCUUCUGUUUCUCAUCUUUAAAAUUUAAACUCGAAAUUUUAUUAAAUUUUAAUCUGUUCAAAUAAUUUAAUUUACGCUUUUAAACUCCUUGGUAAAAUGAAACAAAUAUAUCAUUGGUACCUCUGAAAAAUAAUAAUUACAUUAAACUCUUUCAAUACAAAAUAUUUAAUUUUAACUCUAAAGUUAUAUAUAUUUUGUCUAUUUUUAUUCAAAAUCUCUAAACCCUGAAAUCCGUUUUGAAUUCACAUUCUCUUAAAUGUUUUAAUAACAAUAAUACCAAUUAAAUUAAAACUCGAUUUGUUAACCCCAAAAUUUUAAUACAAAAUAAUUAUUGUGUUAUAUUUAUAAAUUAUUUGGCCAACGAAUUAAAACAGAACAAAGUGGAUAAAAGUAUUUUGGAGGAUCUUAUACUAUGAGUUAGAUUGCAUUUUGCUCAUUCUACUAAAAAAGGGACAAAUUAGUCUUUGUAAAUUAGACUCAAGAGCAAAUUAGUCAUUCUGUUAACAAAUUUAUCCAUUAUUGUUAAUUAAAACUGAUUCUUAUAGGUCAACGUGAGGUAUAUGGGAUACGCCACAUGUCACUAAUUGUUUAUUUUGUUAGCCAUAUCAUUUUUUAAUAGUACAAAUGGAUAAAAUUUUAGCAAAAAAAGAUCAAUUUGUUCUUUGAUAUUGUAUAUAGAAAAAACAAAAUGUAAUCCAAUUUUUAAUAUAGGGACCUCUACGAUAAUUUUACAAAAUAAAAUGACAUGUAUGUAGAAAAAUGAAUCAAAAUUUAUUCAAAUAACAUUACAAAUAUGAUUAUCACUAUCAUAGUAAAACAAUGGAUCUCAUCUCACAUAACAUCAAAUAACAAAAAGUGCAAAAUGGAAUUAAUAACCUAAUCAGCACAUCAAAACUAAGGCAAUGGCCAUGAAGAAGACAGGAGACAGAGUAGAAACAAGGGAAGAAGCUGAGUUGGUCUCAGAAGGAGGACUUGAAGUUCCAGGCGAGGUGGGCGUCGCAGCGGUACGGUUGUUCCCAUUUCUAACUUCGACGUGGAGCUUUUGCCCGCCGGAACAGUGACCGGGGACAGUACAAGUGAAGUAAAAAACUUCGGGCCUGUUAAGAGGAAUACUUGCCGGUCCGGUGCUGACGGUGUAUAUAUUAUUGGUAGUGUUGCACGCAUCGUAAGCAGUUUUCGUUACCUCUGCAACAUCAUGUAGUUGUCCGGUAGUGAAAUUGAUUACCUCUGCAACAUCAUAUAGUUGUUCUGUAGUGAAAUUGAACACUGCAAAACCACACGCAUAAAAAUAUCAAAUUUCGAAUCAACAAGCUCAAUUAACAAAGAUUUUAAAGCUAAAAAACUCACCAAGAACAUCUCCAACAACGAAGACCGAAACUCGAAAAAAAAAAUUUCCAUGUACAGGGGUGCUUUUUUUUUUUUUCUUUUUUGUAUAUAAGUAUUAUACAAUUUAAAAAAAUACACUGGUUCCGACCAUUGACAGGCACCAAAAUUUUUUUUUUUAAAUCUGACACAAUUAUCAGGCAAUCAUGGAUCCAAAAUACGAGUUGGUUCCGGCUAUUGACAGGCCACAACACCAUUUUACUGUUCAUUUUAGGUUAUUUUGGUGAUUGUUUUUAAACCUGUGUUAUUUUUGUAAAUAUAAUAUUCUUUUGGACUAUUUAUGUAAAAUAGCCUAAGAUUUAUUAUAAAUUUGGAUUAUAUUUGUUUUUUUUAUAUAUAUUGUUUGGAAUUAUUCAUAUUUCUUUUUCAACUAUUAAAUAGAAAGAUAAUAUAUUUCAACGUAUUUAAAUCUAUAUCCUUUUAUAUUGAUGAUAAUAUUGAUACUAAUUAACUUAAGAUUCAAUUGACUUUACAAUUAUAUUUUUAAAUGUAAUAAGUCAAAAUUAAAAUAUUGUUGGCUUUAAUACUAUUAUAUCAUACUGAAAUCAAAAGCUAUUUUACCAAAACAAUCCAAAAAAAAAUUUAUAUUUACAAAAAUAACUCAGGUUAAAAAACAAUCACCAAAAUAACCUGAAAUGAACAGUAAAAUGGGGUUGUGGCCUGUCAAUGGCCGGCACCACCUGGUAUUUUGGACCCAUGAUUGCCUGAUAAUUGUGUCAGACUUAAAAAAAUGAUAUAGUGAGUGGUUUGAGUUUUGAUAGUGUAAAUGGAAUAAGAAAUAAAAUUUGAGAGAGCCAUCAAAAUGAGAGUGUUUUGUAGUAUAUUAUCAAAUAAUUUUUUUUGGAGUGGAUUGUAUAUGGAGUUUUUUGUAGUGUACAACCAAAUUUCGGGUUUGAAUUAUAUACUGUCAUAUUUUAUUGGAGUUGAAUUAUAUACUGUCAAGUUCACCCUAAAGGUUAUGCUAUUAGGGGUUGGAUGAUUAUUUGCACCAUAAAUGGCUAAUCGAGUUGUCUAAUAUGCAGAUGGACAUUAUCUAUGGUGUAAUAGUGUUUAUUCCACAACUAGGUUCUGAUUGGAACCGGUUGGUAGAGUCUCCAUGCAAAGGUAUCUCAUGGGACCUCAUGGGACG